rnacentral:lncRNA from 1 species
UAUUACUUCUUAUAUGAUUUCUUAGAGUUUUUUCUCAACAUUUUUCAUAAAUUUUGAUUAAUUUUUAUCAUUGAUAUCUUGUAUCAAAAUAUCCAUCAAUAUUUUUCGAUAUAUUCCGAUACAUCUAUAAAAUUAAACUACUGACUGAUAUAUUCAUAAAAAUGAAUAUUUUUAUUCUUGAUCAUAGUCAUAUAUUUUCAAUUUUCUUAUACAAAUAAAUUAUUCAUUUUAUUCUUUAAUAAUAUAUUCAAAUAUACAUUUGAUAUUGUUCAGUCAUUUGAUAUAAAUCAUCCUCCAAAUAUCAUUACGAUCCAAAUAUCUUAAUUCACCAUCUCUCAGCACUUCUGAUUUCUUUUCUUUUUUUCUUUUUCUUUUUUUUUUAAAUCUACAUAUUUAUCCUAUUUAGGAUUUUUUUUAUUUUCCUUUUUUCUUUCACUUUUAUUUCCAUUUUACAUAAAUAUUUAUUUAUUUUUAUUUCUCAUACAAGUAUAGAUACAAAAUGAAUGCAUUAAUAAUACUCAAUUUUAAACACAUAAACUUAAUACUUUUUUAUCACAAUUUAGACAUAUAAUAAACCUGAAAUUUAUAAAAUUUAAAUUACCACCAUUUCAUAAUUCUAUAAAUAAUUUUUAUUAUUUAUCAUAUUAAUAUGUCAUUAACUAAGAAUCCUAAAUUUCACACAUCAAAUUAUUUUAAAUUUGGUUCCUUAUUAAUUCCAACCUUUCUGAUUUUAUAUAUUAAUAUUCCGAAAAAUAAAUUUUAUUUUAUUUUAUUUAGUCAUUUAUUUAUAUCCCAAGCUUCUAUAUUUUCAAAGAUUCCUUCUCAAUAAUAAUUUCAACUUGAAUCUCUAAAGGUCAAGGCUCUCUGUAAGUAGCCAUGUUUUUAAAGUUUUAUCUCAAUGUAAGCUAACGGAUAGGCAUUUGUGAGACUUUUUAGGGAAAUCCAUGCAAAGCCAAAGGGGAAUAUGUGAAAAUUGAUUUUUUAAAGAAAAAAUGUUUAGAAUUAUUAGAGUUUGUUUCAAACAAAGCCCAAGAGAAUAUAUGUUUAGUAUAAAUUGAGUAUUUGAAAGGAAUAUUUAAAUAAAGGAUUUUCUUAUUGGAUGUUUGGUAAAUCAAGCCAACUUAAUAACUUAAAGAGAUUUAAUAACUUAAUUUAAGUUUAAUGUGGACCCCAUAUUUUCGCACGAUGCGUUCCCACUCAAUGGCGAAACUCACUUUUUAUUUAUUUAUUUGGUGAAAAAAUAUGAUUUUUAGAAAAGACUUGGAGUUGCCACUUAUUUUUGUUUCAUUGUUAAAGGGAAAACAAAAUAAGAAAGAAAACCCUAAGUGUGACUCCUUAUUUGGAAAAGAUGGUCUGUGAAAAACCAAAUCUGGGCUUAGGGGUCAAGUUACUUAUUGGGAAGGUACGAUAAAGACCGUAGCACCCCUCUAGGCCCUUAAAAUGGGUCUCUACUAAAUAUGAUGAAGCAGACAUGACAAUUAACUAGUAGAUCAGGGGAUACCCAAAAUGAUAUUACACUAGAAGCCAAACAUGCAUGGAUAAUGGUCAAAGUGAGAGCGUGUGCAUACCUUAGCAGCAAAUGAUAAUGCGCUAUCAUGAAAUGGGGUUAGUGCAUAAUAAUGAGCAUAAAAUAUGUCACAUGCAUCACUAAACAGGAUAAGAAACUACCAAUGUCACACAUGACACUUCACUCAAUUUUUUUUUUUUUUUUUAAGAAGACGUCACUGAUGUUGGGUCCCCACCAAAGCCCAAUUUAUUUUUGCAUGAAUCAAUUCCAUAAAUUCCAUCACUUUGGAAUUACAGAAUUUAAUUCAUACUUAUUUUAAAACAUUUAAAAAUCAAGGAAAAUAUGAAAUGAAGCUUGCCGGAAAGAAAAUGGCAAUAAAUUUUAUUGAAAAAUGGAUUUUUGGGGCCUAAAAAAUCUAUGCAUGAAAAAUUGAAGAGUUGAAAUGAUUUGGAAACCAGAAUUUUCUAAAAUUAGUUUUGAAGGACAUGGGCUUUGACAAUGGGCCUAGGAAGGUGUACAUGCAAAAAUGGGGUCAUGCACGUGGACGUGGGGUGCAACUAAUACUACAUUGGUGGUUGAAUGUGGGAUACCAACAACAGAGAGAGUUGAGGUGGACUGUCCAAAAGCAGAAGUCGUUUCCCAAGAAAGGUGUUGAAGAUUGGAACAAUGGUGAUGAUUGAGUGUUACCAAAAUUUAAGCCAGAACCAAAUGCUAGAGUUAUUCCCUAAGUUGAAGUGGAACCAAAAACUGAAGGUGAUGACCCAAAGCUUGAUGAGCUUGAUGCUCCAAAAAAAGACGGAGAAGAACUAGCUUCAAAUGGAUGAGUUGAUGAUGUUCCAAAUAUAGAAGGUGUUGCAGAUGAAGUCGAUCUAAGAAUAAGGGUGCUUGGAGCACUAAAUGCUCCACUAAAUGCAAAGACUGGGGCGCUUGAAGCACCAAAUGCAUUGCAUGUGCUACCAAAUGUUGAAGUUGGCAUUGAACUAAAGGCAAAAGUGUUUGUAGCACUAAACACGGAUGUAGUACUAGCAGCACCAAAUGCUGGUGUGCUUGUGGCCGCAAAGGCCGAGGUGUUACUAGCACUGAAUGCAGCUUGACUUGCACUAAAAGACGUAGAGGAACCAAAUAGACUGCUUAUGAAUGUUGGUUGCGCCUAUUGAAAAGCACUUCCAAAAGGACUUGUUUGAAUAGGAGUAGACCCAAAACCUCCAAAACCUAGCUUGUGCCCAAAUAUAAAGAUCAACCAAAUGAUGAUGACGUACUACUAAAAGCAAGAGUUGAAGAAGCUCUAAAAGCAGGCAUUGAACUUCUAAAAGCCGGUGAGGAAGAAGUGCCAAAUGUUGUUGUGGAAGGCAAUGAGGAAGAAGAUCGGGUUGCACCCAAACACACUAGUUAAAGUGCCACCAAAUAUUGAAGACACCAAGGUUGGGAACAAGCACGCACAGACUACACACGCAUGAGAAGGAAAGGGAAGAAAUUCAAGUGAAAGAAAUAGUGAGAAUAAUGGGUUUGGAGGUGGGACGAAUGGGAAAGGUGGUGAGAUAAGUGGGUUUAUGGGUUGGGUGUUGAGUGGAACUGUAGAUAGUGAAGGAAGUGGGUUCGGUGAUGGAACCAGUUGUUGGAAAUGGGCAUGAUAGAUGAGGAGUGAUUGAAUGGGCAUAGUGAUAGGUGUGUUGGAUAUGAAGGGUAGUAAGUUUUGCAAAGGUUUUAUGGGGCCAUGCAUGCAUGAUUCCCGUGCAUGUGGGUAGGAAACAAAUAGCUGGGCAAUAGGUUGGGCAGGUGUGAAUGAAGUUGAAGGCGGGAGUGUGGUGACGGGUUCAGUGGAUUGGUGGAAGGUUGAUUAGUGGAAUGACCUAUCUCCUUUGCGAUUGCCAAUUGAUCACUUGUAAUCAUCUUAACACAAACUCCAAGGUUAAGUGCCCUGUAGAUGGUCUCAACACUAUCAUGUCUUGGAGGAUCAAACAAGGGAAACAACCCACAAAAUGUCCAAGGACCUCCAGAACUUUCUUUAGUUUGUUCUAGAACCUUCUAAUAUGCAACCCCAAGAGAUCGCAAACCCUUUUCAGCGAACUUGUCAAUAAUGGCAUGGACUUUUCCAGCAAUUUCUUUUUUUUUCUUGGCAACGAUUUAGAAUAUGUUCAAGAGCUUCUUUACUGGCCCGAAUCCAGUUAGUAAUUGCAGUACGCUUGUCCACGGGAUUAAAAGGCAGAAAAUGCAUUUCUAUGAUGUUUGCGCGUGCCUCCUUUUCGAACUAGCAUCAAUACUCUCCAUUUCAGCCAAGUUACAAGCUUGGCAUAUUGGAAUCAGUAGCCCAGUAGAGAGAGUCAACUCCACGUCAAUCGCUUUGAUCGAAAGUUCUGUCAUUAUUGCUGCCUAAAUAUAGACUUUGUACAGUGGCUCAUAAUUCCCAACUUCAAAGUGUUGUUAAGGUGGUGCCCUCCAAAUCCCACUUUGAGUGUCAAGAUGGUUGUGUGAAGAUUGGCAUUUGAUUACAGACUCAUCAGGCUUGAGCAUUCGAAGCUAAGAAGUUCUGGAAGAUAGCAAAUAUAAGGACUUUGAGAAUCAACCAAUCACUCACAUGAAGCAAUAACAAUACCCAUGCGAUCAUUGGCCAACUUAGGUCCUACACCCAGUAGCGGUGACUCAGAAUAUAUUUCCACUAAACCAAUCCCAAAUUACAGUAGUUGUCUUCUUAAGCAAACCAACAAACUUAGAUCGAGCCCAUGUUUAAUAGUGAUUAGAGACUUCUCAUAUGAAGAAAAUUGCUAGCAGAUAACUUUACCAUUUUUGGUCCAUAUGUGACAAACUUUAGCAAGGGUUGAAUCAUCUUUAGAAAGUUGACAGCAUGUAGCUUUCCCGUCUGAUUUGGGACUCCUUUUAUGCUUAGUUGUGUCAUACAGAUCCUUACAACCACUGUUAUUGAUAUAGUGGUUAUGUUCCAGGUUCAGUUGACGGGGUGCAUCUGUCAGCACGGUAGAGGCUCCGACCAAAGCAUUAACAGCACCAACCUUCUCAUAAUGAUUUAACUCAAGUUUCUUUUCUCUAGACUUUCCAAUGCAGUCUAUAUAGUUCUUCAGGCAUCCGAAAAUCUCCAACCGUAUGGAAAAUGGCUCUCAUGGGGCUCUCCCAAAAACACCCUCCCCGAACUAAGGUGGCCAACCGUAAAUGAGAUAUUUAACACCCUAAGCACAACAAAAAUAUAGGAAUAAAAGCAAAGAUAGGAAUCAAAAGGAACAUUGAGGGUAGAGUAAGUAGGAGAACAUGAAACACAUAGAUGUACAGGGCCUCAUUCCAGGUGACGUCCAUGGGCUCAAAACAGGUGGGAUUAACAAAUCAAAGAAAACCCAAAAAUAGAUCAUGUAUAUAGAAGACUACAUUCAACUAAAACAAACAAAUAACUCUUCCUACCCACACCAAAACAACAAAUUAAUGCUUAAAACUGAGCUAGAAGUGUCAAGAUGAGUUUAAACAGGAGUUAAAACAUGGCUCCUUGGACAUCAGUCAGCAAACAACAUUCAAGAGUCAAUAGAAACAUUGAACAACGUUUAUCAUCCAAUAAUCAAAAGGAUAAGAGAAUAAUGGAAGAUGAAAUGUCUAAAGUUCAUACCAGCAAAUUGCCUUCCUACUAACAAGACUAGCUCGGCUUCAAGCAACUCUAUUUCUUCUUUCAAACCUCCAACAAAACCAUAGCAAAAUCAGCUUCCCUUUAUCUUCCCUGAACCUAAUCACCCUACUAAUGCCCAGCUCAACACCUCUCUGUACUCUUUUUUUCUUCUUUCAAAAUCCCUCCAAACACUCUCUAAUCCCUUUCUCUUUCUUUCUUUCCUCUUCCUCCCAAUUGGUUCAUCUCAAGCCUUUCUCUCACAGUCCCCGUUUCUUCUCACUCUAUUCUUAGCUUUUUUUUUUCUUUUCUUUUCAGCUCCCCUUUCUUCCUCUCAGUUGCCACCUCUUGUUCUUGCUAAAAAAAAACCUCAUUUUCCUAUCUCUACACUAGCUCAUUUUUCUUCUCAAAACGAUCCCUAUUUUUUGUCCAGCUUUCAAAACCCCCACCUAUUGAAAACCUCUUCAAUCCCACUCCCCCUCUCCAUCCCGUUUUCAGUUUUUUUAUUUAUUUUUUCUCUUCAAAUCCUCAUUUCCAAGCUUUAGUUUUUCUCUUAAAAAAACUCGUCAUCUCCUAGUCUCAUCCUCUCCCUCAAAACAACUCACCCAUGCUCUGUUUUUAUUUCACUUCUAGUCUCAUCCUCCAUAUGUUCCAUUGUUCUCGGUUCAGCGAAUACGUCACCACCCUCAACCACCACCAUGGCGAGUUGGUGACAUCUUUUGCCAUGCAUCUCAAUCAUGCAACUUGGCCAUCUCAUGGAGAGGUCGUCCCCCACUCUUUGCCCAACUCACUCUUAGGGUGGUAAGAAAAAAAAAUUCUUCCAUCCGACGGGUCUACAAAUAUGCCCCUCUUCAGUAGAGUUCACGAGUGUAAGGAAUAUGAAUACUAGAGUGAAAAGAAAGUGUGAAUAAUGAGUGAAAUGAAGUGAACUCUACCGAAGAAAAGAAAGACCCCUAAAGGUACAUAAGUAGAACACAAACUCGCUCAAACUAAAAAUGAACAAAAGGGGUUCUAAAAUAUUAAGAGAAGGGUAGCACUCGGAGUGCCUCUAAAGUUGCGCUAUGGAUCCAAACUCCCUCUAAGAUGUCUCCAAAAGUGACUUGAAGAUCAAUAUCAAAGUUGAGUAGUAAUCGAACAACCUAGGAGCAGAGAGACGAACAUAUAUAAAAGGAAAACUACACAUGCACCACACAAGAGCACGAAGUGAGGGGCUCCAAUGAUACAAUCAAAACACAAGCUACGAGCUCAAAGAGCUAUAUCACACACAAUAAAGGAGAACAAACUCUGGAAAAUCACGACUUCGAAUGCCUGAAAUAUGGCUCUAAACGCCAAGACUGAGACGAAUGAUUUUUAACAACUAAACUAUGACUUUAAAAGCCUGUGAGAGGAAUGGCUCUGAAGGCCUACGAAAAUGGUGGCUCUAACCACCUAAAAUUGUAGAAGUGAGUGGCUCUAAACGCCUAAAACUCGAAGAUAUGACUCUGAACGCCUAAAUUAGAAAAGAUGGCUUUGAACGCUUAAACUGGAAGAGAUGGAUCUGAACGCUUGUACUGAAGACAUGACUCCGAAUGCCUAUACUGAAUACAUGGCUCUGAACGCCAAACUAUGGAGAGAUAAUGGCUCUAAACGCUUGAAACUGGAAGAGAUGGCUCUAAAUGCCUAGGAAGGAAAAUGGUGGCUCUGAACGCCUAAAAGGUGAAAAUGGCUCUGGAUGGUGAGCUCAAGGCUCUAAAUGGUAAGGAUGACUCUAGGUCAUAAAUAAGAAGAACGACUUUGGGUCGUGAGCUCAGGGCUCUAACUGCUAAGAAUGACUCUAAGUCAUAAAUAAGAAGAAUGACUCUGAAUCGUGAGCUCAAGGCUCUAAAUGCUAAGAAUGACUCUAGGUCAUAAAUAUGAAGAACAACUCUGGGUUAUGAGCUCAAGGCUCUAAAUGCAAAGAAUGACUCUGGAUCAUAAAUAAGAAGAACGAAUCUGGGUUGUGAGCUUAGGGCUCUAAAUGUUAAGAAUGACUUUGGGUCAUAAAUAAGAAGAAUGACUCUGGGUCGUGAGCUCAGGGCUCUAAGUUCUAAGAAUGACUCUGGGUCAUAAAUAAGAAGAACGAAUCUGGGUCGUGAGCUCAAGGCUCUAAAUGCUAAGAAUGACUCUGGGUCAUAAAUCAGAAGAACGACUCUAAGUCGUGAGCUUAGGGCUAUAAAUACAAAGAAUAACUUUGGGUCAUAAAUAAGAAGAACGACUCUAGGUCAUGAGCUCAGGUCCCUAAAUGCUAAGAAUGACUCUAGGUCAUAAAUGAGAACAACGACUCUAAGUCAUCAGCUCAAAGCUCUAAAUGGUAAAAAUGACUCUCGGUCACAAAUAAGAAGAAUGACUCUGAGUUGUGAGCUCGUGGCUCUAAAUGCUAAGAAUGACUCUAGGUCAUAAAUGAGAAGAACGACUUUAGGUCGUGAGCUCAAGACUCAAAAUGCUAAAAAUGAAUCUAGGUCAUAAAUAAGAAGAAUGACUCUAGGUUGUGAGCUUUGGGCUCUAAAUGCUAAGAAUAACUCUGGGUCAUAAAUAAGAAGAACGAAUUUGGGUUGUGAGCUCAGGGCUCUAAAUGCUAAGAAUGACUUUGGGUCAUAAAUAAGAAGAACGAAUAUGGGUCAUGAGCUCAAGGCUCUAAGUGCUAAGAAUGAGUCUAGGUCAUAAAUAAGAAGAACGACUAUGGGUCUUGAGCUCAAGACUCUAAAUGCUAAGAAUGACUCUGGGUCAUAAAUAAGAAAAACGACUCUAGGUCAUGAGCUUAACGCUAUAAAUGCUAAGAAUAACUCUAGGUCAUAAAUAAGAAGAACGACUCUAGGUCGUGAGCUCAAGGCUCUAAAUGCUAAGAAUGAAUCUGGGUCAUAAAUGAAAAGAACAACUAUAGGUCGUGAGCUCAGGGCUCUUAAUGCUAAGAAUGACUCUAGGUCAUAAAUAAAAAGAACGACUCUAGGUCGUGAGCUCAGGGCUCUAAAUGCUAAGAUUGACUCUAGGUCAUAAACAAGAAGAACGACUUUAGGUCAUGAGCUCAGGGCUCUAAAUGCUAAGAAUGACUCAGGGUCAUAAACAAGAAGAACGACUUUGGGUCGGGAGCUCAGGGCUCUAAAUGCUAUGAAUGACCCUGGGUAAUAAAUAAGAAGAACGACUUUAGACCGUGAGCUCAAGGCUCUAAAUGCUAAGAAUGACUCUGGGUCAUAAAUGACAAGAAUGACUCUAAGUCAUGAGCUCAGGGCUCUAAAUGCUAAGAAUGACUUUAGGUCAUAAAUGAGAAGAACGACUCGAGGUCGUGAGCUCAAGGCUCUAAAUGCUAAGAAUAACUCUAGGUCAUAAAUUAGAAGAACGACUCUAGGUUGUGAGCUCAGGGCUCUAAAUGCUAAGAAUGACUCUUGCUCACAAAUGAGAAGAACGACUUUAGGUUGUGACCUCCGGGCUCUAAAUGCUAAGAAUGAAUCUGGGUCAUAAAUGAGAAUAACGACUCUAGGUCGUGAGCUCAAGGCUCUAAAUGCUAAGAAUGACUCUAGGUCAUAAUUGAGAGGGACGACUCUGGGUCAUGAGAUUAGGGCUCUAAAAGCUAAGAAUGACUCUAGGUUAUAAAUGAGAAUAACAACUCUAGGUUGUGACCUCAGGGCUCUAAAUGCUAAGAAUGAUUCUGAGUCAUAAAUAAGAAGAAUGACUUUAAGUCAUGAGCUCGGGGCUUUAAAUGCUAAGAAUGACUCUGGGUCAUAAAUUAGAAGAACGAAUCUAGGUCAUGAGCUCAGGGCUCUAAAUGCUAGGAAUGACCCUAAGUCAUAAAUAAGAAAAACGACUUUGGGUCGUGAGCUAAGGGCUCUAAAUGCUAAGAAUGACUCUAGGUCAUAAAUAAGAAGAACGACUUUGGGUCGUGAGCUCAGGGCGCUAAGUGCUAAGAAUAAUUCUGGGUCAUAAAUAAGAAGAAUGACUCUAGGUCGUGAUCUCAAGGCUCUAAAUGCUAAGAAUGUCUCUAAGUCAUAAAUAAGAAUAACAAAUCUAAGUCGUGAGCUCAGGGCUCUAAAUGCUAAGAAUGAAUCUAGGUCAUAAAUAAGAAGAACGACUUUGGGUCGUGAGCUCAGGGCUCUAAAUGCUAAGUAACGACUCUAGGUCGUGAGCUCAGGGCUCUAAAUUCUAAGAAUGGCUCUAGGUCAAAAAUGAGAAGAACGACUUUGGGUCAUGAGCUCAGGGCUCUAAAUACUAAGAAUGACUCUGGAUCAUAAAUAAGAAGAACGACUCUGGGUCGUGAGCUUAGGGCUCUAAAUAUCUAAAGUGAAGAAGACGACUCUGAAUUAUAUACUAAAAGAAAAUGACAACUCUAAAUGUUAGCCAUGUAGCUUUGAACAUCGAACUAAAAGAAAAUAGUGGCUCUAAAUGCCAGGCAGAUUAGUGGCUCUAAAUGCUAAACUGAAGAAAUAUGAUGGCAUCUGAAUGCCAAGUUGACCAAUGGCUCUGAGUGCCAAACUGUGAAAGAUAGUUGAAGGGGAAUAUGCCCCAGUGUGGUGUGUUGUCACAACUUUCGAUCCACAAAUCAUAGAACCUUUAGCUCAAGAUACUCUGCUGGUUGUAGUCUCAAAUGAAUGACCCACUGGGGAGUCUCAGGAAAAAUAGUCCAUUGGGGAAGCUAUCACCACAUCAACAUAACAAUCUACUGAAGAGUGAUAUGUACUAGGACGGUCAAAACUCCCCCGAAGGCUCAUCUCGACAAAAUCAUCAAAACUAGAACCAACAAAGAAGACUAUAAAAGCUAAGUAAGAAAUCAAUCAUCUCGACAAUAGAAAAAAUGAGGAAUAUGCCCCAGUAUAGCAACUGAUGCAUCCCGCUAUGCAUGUAACCAAGGAAAAUAUGCCCCAAUAUAGCAACUAGUACAUCUAAUCCGUCCUGAUGACUUGAGAAUAACUCACUGAGGAUGUAUAAGAGAUUUGACAUGCACUCCACUGAAAUGAUGAUAGGCCUAGAAGCUAACUGAGUCAACAAACCACCCUCCAUGAGCUUCUGGAAAGCUCGGCUCAAAGGCAUACCUAGCUGGGAGAACUGUCAUGUCGACCUCUACACAAAAGGAUUAGUAGUUUGUGGGGCUCGGGGCCAAGGGUAUAAAGUGGGAGGUCUCUUUAAGACCUGUGUAGUAAAAACAGACUUUGAGGUCGAGUGUACGUAUGUAAGAGUCAAGGGCCUGGAGAGAGCGGGCGGCCUAUACUGAACAUAAUGCUGUGAGUAGUAAGCUCCUAAAGUCUGCCCAACUAUCUGAUAGCGUUUAGGAGGUCUCAGUCUUGUUGAAUUAAUAAUACUCACAUCUCCUGGUCUCUAUCCUCCUAAGUGCUUCUUCCCAUUUGAAUCAGAAGGAGAAGACUCGGGCCACAAUCCUUUAGCAAUGACCUCUUUUAUACCAUACAAUGCCUACACCAAAGAGCCAAAGUCCACGUGUGGGAAUCCCAUCAAAUGCCUAGCAAAUCGAGACAACAAACUCCUCAUAAUCAUGUUGAUCUGAUCCCUCUCAGAUGGCCUAUCAAUGAUUUGGGCAAUCUUCUCCCUCCAACGGGAAAUGAAUGAUGUGACUGUCUCAUCGGGCUUUUGCCUCAAGGCUUCCGACUUCCUCCGUGAGACAUCUAUGAUAGUGUUAAAUGCAAACUGUCGUAGGAACUCUUGGGCUAAAUCAUCCAAUGUACGAUGGCGUGACACAUCCAAAGAAGCAAACCAACGGUGGGCCGCCCCACUCAAGGACUUGGGGAAUAGCAUAAUCAUUUGAGCCUCAUCCAAAUCAUGGGCCCUCAUCACAGUACUAUAUAGUCUCACAUGAAUAGGGGGCAUCCAAUCCCCGUGUAUCGGUCAAUCUCUGGCAUCCCGAACUUGGCCGAUAAACUGGCCAGUGGUGUUCCAUCAAAAUCCUCCCGGGUAAUAGCUUCGUUUGAAGUCCUCAUCUGUUUCAUCCUCUGCUCAAGUCUAUCCAUACGAGCAUGUGGGUCCUCUAGGAUUAGGGUAGGCACUAUGACAGGAGGCAGGGCAACCUCGGUCUGACUCUGUAAAGUAAAUCGAGUAGGCUGUGGAACUAUCCAACCAAGUGGAGGAGGUGGCGGAAUAAUGAGACCAUACUGCACACCCUCUUGAAUUAGAACCCGUUGGGCCUGCUGCCCAUCCAUCCUCUAACCAAGACUAGUUAUGGCCUCUUAGAUCGAAGCCAUAACAGUAGUGAAUUGAUCAAUUGUAACCACCUGUGAAUCCAUAUUUUUCUGAUCUAACUGGUCUGACACUCUGAUCAAUCUACCUCCAACUUUGAUCUAAGAAGCUGAACCCAGAUCGAACGUAUCAAUACUUCUACAAUAGUGGAAAUACUAGAUAAGAUACAGUGUAAGGGAAACUUUAUGAGGAAUGUCUAUCAACUAUGCAGGAAGGUAACCUGGAAGUAUUCAAACUAAUAUCCAAUUUUGAGCAAAUAUAUAAGAGACUACUACGAAGGUAACUAAACCUAUCACUAUUGACCCGACUCUAAAGGCCCAUAGAUGCACCCACAUGUAAGAAGGGAAUCCUAAUAAGAGGAUUUAAGGCUCAACCUACAAGGCCAAAGGUGGCUCUAAAAGGAAAAUGGUGGACUUUAAAGGAUCCCCAACAUAAGUGAUCAUACCCUCCAACGGUACACACCUCUGAAAAGACAGGGCGUUUCCAUGCAAGGUGGUCAUCACUUCCACACAUGCACUACCUCGACAUCCUAGGGGGGUUUCCUAUAGUGAAAGUUUUUGCAACUCUCAACACUCAGUAUUCAACUAAAAUGCACAGUGAGUGGUGUGGGUGCAUCCGAAAAGCCUAUAAAGCUAAAGCAUAAAAAGAAACACAUUGGUCACACAAAUAUCCAUGAAACCUAGCUCUGGGCUAUACAGGUCUUCAAAGAUCGGACUCCCAUCAACAUCAAUGUGUCAGUCUCCUCCAGAAUGCUCUCAAACAUCGAUAUAGCCCGUCUUUAGACCCUACUCCUAACCUCUAGCUCGGUCAGAGACAAGCACACACAAGGCCUCACACUUGCAAAUGUAAGAACUGAAAGAAAAUGAAAUGACCAAAACCAUAGGGUUGGAGGUCAAGGGAUAGUUAUGCGAUCCACAUGGACAAGCAACAUGAAAACACACAUGAGAAGAGCAAUCAUGCACCAAGCAGCCAUGAAAAGAAUAGGUAUAUCACCUAUGUCCACACACAAGCUAAACGAGAAUAUGACAAUCAAAAUGAAUAGCAACAAAUAUAACAUGAUAAAAAAUUAAUCAAGAUAAUAUACAAGCAAGAGAAAUAACACUAAGACAAAUGAGAUAUACAACAAUAUGAGCAUACAUGUCAAAAUGAGCAGGAUAAUCAUGGCAAAAACAGAGUCAAUAUGUUAAGACAGGCAAGAGAAUCAAUGAAUAUCAUCACCAUGUCAAUGUAGCAAAUGGAUAUAACAAUCAAGCAUAGAAAAUCGCCACAUCAAAAUCCUCAAUGUGCUAUGAUCACUCAAGCAUAGAGAAGCAACAAGGGAAGGUAUCCAUCAAUUGAUUAAUCAAACGCCACAUUUGCCUCAUCUUAAGUUCAAGUUUGACCCUUUAAACAUCCCCAGCGGAGUCGCCAUUUUUUGGACCCCGUAUUUUCGCACAAUGCAUUCCUACUCGAUGGCGAAAUUCACUUUUUAUUUAUUUAUUUAUUUGGUGAAAAAAAAUAUGAUUUUUAGAAAAGACUUAGAGUCACCACUUAUUUUUGUUUCAUUUUUAAAGGGAAAACAAAAUAAGAAAGAAAACCCUAAGUGUGGCUCCUUAUUUGGAAAAUAUGGUAUGUGAAAAAUCAAAUCUGAGUUCGGGGGUCAAGUUACUUAUUAGGAAAGUAUGGUAAAAACUGUAGCACCCCUCUAAGCCCCUAAAAUAUGUCUCUACUAAAUAUGAUGAAGCAGACAUGGCAAUUAACAAGUAAAUCAAGAGAUACCCAAAAUGAUAUUACACUAUAAGCCAAACAUGCAUGGAUAAUGGUCAAAGUGAGAAUGUGUGCGUACCUUAGCAGCAAACGAUAAUGCGCUAUCAUGAAAUGGGGUUAGUGCACAAUAAUGAGCAUAAAAUAUGUCACAUGCAUAACUAAACAGGAUAAAAAAAAACUACCAGUGGCACACAUGGCACUUCACUCUAUUUUUUUUUUUUUAAGAAGACGUCACUGAUGUUAGCCCCCCACCAAAGCCCAAUUUAUUUUUGCAUGAAUCAAUUCCAUAAAUUCCAUCACUUUGGAAUUACAGAAUUUAAUUCAUACUUAUUUUAAAACAUUUAAAAAUCAAGGAAAAUGUGAAAUGAUGCUUGCCGAAAAGAAAAUGGCAGUAAAUUUUAUUGAAAAAUGGAUUUUUGGGGCCUAAAAAAUCUAAGGAUGAAAAAUUGAAGAGUUGAAAUUAAUUGGAAACCAGAAUUUUCUAAAAUCAUUUUUUAAGGACAUGGGCUUUGAUAAUGGGCCUAGGAAGGUGGCCGUGCAAAAAUGGGGUCAUGCACGUGGGUCCAAGGUGCAACUAAUACUACACUGGUGGUUGAAUGUGGGAUACUAACAAUAGAGAGAGUUGAGGUGGACUAUCCAAAAGCAGAAGUCGUCUGCCCAAGAGAAGGUGUUGAAGAUUGGAACAAUGGUGAUGAUUGAGUGUUACCAAAAUUUAAGUUAGAACCAAAUGUUGGAGCUAUUCCCUAAGUUGAAGUGGAACCAAAAAUUGAAAGUGAUGACCCAAAGCCUGAUGAGCUUGAUGCUCCAAAAAGAGACGAAGAAGAACUUGCUUCAAAUGGAGGAGUUGAUGAUGUUCCAAAUAUAGAAGGUGUUGUAGAUGAAGUCGAUCCAAGAACAAGGGUGCUUGGAGUGCUAAAUGCUCCACUAGAUGCAAAGACUACGGCACUUGAAGCACCAAAUGCACUGCCUGUGCUACCAAAUGUUGGACUUAGCGUUGAACCAAAGGCAGAAGUGUUUGUAGCACCAAACGUGGGCGUAGUACUAGCAGCACAAAAUGCUGGUGUGCUUGUGGCCGCAAAGGUUGGGGUGUUACUAGCACCGAAUGCAGCUUGACUUGCACUAAAAGACGUAGAGGAACCAAAUAGACUGCUUAUAAAUGUUGGUUGCACAUGUUGAAAAGCACUUCCAAAAGGACUUGUUUGAAUAGGAAUGGACCCAAAACCUCCAAAACCUGGUUUAUGCCCAAAUAUAGAAGAUAUGCCAAAUGAUGAUGACGCACUACCAAAAGUUGGAGUUGAAGAAGCUCCAAAAGCAGGCAUUGAACUUCCAAAAGACGGUGAUGAAGAAGCACCAAAUGUUGUUGUGGAAGGCAAUGGAGGAGAAGAUCGGGUUGCACCCAAACACACCAGUUAAAGUGCCACCAAAUAUUGAAGACACCAAGGUUGGGAACAAGCACGCACGGGCUGCACACGCAUGAAAAGGAAAUGGAAGAAAUUCAAGUGAAAGAAAUAGUGAGAAUAAUGGGUUUGGAGAUAGGACGAGUGGGAAAGGUGGUGAGAUAAGUGGGUUUAUAGGGUUGGGUGUUGAGUAGAACUGUAGACAAUGAAGGAAGUGAGUUCGAUGAUGGAACCAGUUGCUGGCAGUGGGCAUGAUAGAUGAUGAGUGAUUGGAGGGGCACGAUGAUGGGUGUGGUGGGUAUGAAGGGUAGUAAGUUUUAAAAAGGUUUUGUGGGGCCAUGCAUGCACGAUUCCCGUGCAUGUGGGUAGGAAACGAAUAGAUGGGCAAUAGGUUAGGCAAGUGUGAAUGAAGUUGAAGGUGGGAGUGUGGUGAUGGGUUCAGUGGAUUGGUAGAAGGUUGAUUAGUGGAAUGACCUAUCUCCUUUGCGAUUGACAACUGAUUACCUGUAAUCAUCUUAACACAAACUCCAAGGUUAAGUGCCCUGCGGAUGGUCUCAGCACUGUCAUGCCUUGGAGGAUCAAACAAGGGCAACAACCCACAAAAUGUCCAAGGACCUCCAGGACUUUCUUUAGUUUGUUCUGGAACCUCCUAAUAUGCAACCCCAAGAGAUCGUAAACCCCUUUCAGCGAACUUGUCAAUAAUGGCAUGGACUUUUCCAACAAUUUCUUCUUUCUCUUGGCAAAGAUUUAGAAUUUGUUUAGGAACUCCUUUGUUGGACCGAAUCCAGUUACCAUUAGAAUCAAUGUAAGUAAUUGUAGUACGCUUGUCCAUAAGAUUGAAAGACAGAAAAUGUAUUUCUGUGAUGUUUGCGCGUGCCUCCUUUUCGAGCUAGCAUCAAUAACUCUCCCUUGUAGCCAAGUUACAAGUUUGGCAUAUUAGAAUCAGUAAGCCCAGUAGAGAGAGUCAACUCCACAUUAGUCACUUUGAUCAAAAGUUCUGUCAUUGUUGCUACCCAAAUAUAGACUUUGCACAGUGGCUUAUAAUUCCCGACUUCAAAGUGUUGCUAUGGCGGUGCCCUCCAAAUCCCACUUUGAGUGUCAAGAUGGUUGUGUGAAGAUUGGCAUCUGAUUGUAGACUCAUUAGGCUUGAGCAUCCGAAGUUGAGAAGUUCUGGAAGAUAGCAAAUAUAAGGACCUUGAGAAUCAACCAAUCACUCACAUGAAAAUAUAGCAACGACACCCAUGCGGUCAUUGCCCAACUUAGAUCCUACACCCAGUAGCGAUGACUCAGAAUAUAUUUCCACUAAACCUAAUCUCAAAUUACAACAAUUGUCUACUCAAGCAAACCAACAAACUUAGAUCGAGCCCAUGUUUGACAGUGAUUAGAGACUUCCCAUAUGAAGAAAAUUGACAGCAUAUAACUUUACCAUUCUUGGUCCAUAUGCGACAAACUUUAGCAAGGGUUGAAUCAUCUGAAGAAAGUUGACAGCAUGUAGCUUUUCGGUUUGAUUUGGGACUCCUUUUAUGUUUAGUUGUGUCAUACAGAUCCUUACAACCACUGUUAUUGAUAUAGUGGUUAUGUUCCAAGUUUAGCAAACGGGGUGCAUCUAUUAGCAUAGUAGAGGCUCCGACCAAAGCAUUCACAACACCAACUUUCUCAUGAUGAUUGAACUCAAGUUUCUUUUCUAUAGACUUUCCAAUGCGGUCCAUAUAGUUUUUUAGGCAUUCGGAAAUCCCCAACCAUAUGGAAAAUGGCUCUCCCAAAAACACCCCCCCAACCAAGGUGGCCAACCCUAAAUGAGAUAUUUAACACCCCAAACACAACAAAAAAUAUAGGAAUAAAAGCAAAGACAGGAAUCAGAAGGAACACUGAGGGUAGAGUAAGUAUGAGAACAUGCAACACAUAGAUGUACAAGACCUCAUUUCAGGUGACGUCCAUAGGCUCAAAACAGGCGGGAUUAACAAAUCAAAGAAAACCCAAAAAUAGAGCCUGUAUACAGAAUACUACAUUCAACUAAAAAAAAUGAAUAACUCUUCCUACCCACACCAAAACAACAAAUUAAUGCUUAGAACCAGAGUUGGAAACAUCAGGAUGAGUUUAAACAGGAGUUAAAACAUGGCUCCUUGAACAUCAGUCGGCAAACAACAUUCAAGAGUCAACAGAAACACUAAACAUCGUUUAUCAUCCAAUAAUCAAAAGAUGGAAGAAUCUUGAAUCACAGAAAAUUUAAGUCCUUCCUUAAUUUAAAAGUUUCUUAUAGCUUCUCAUCAAAGAUAAGCUAUCAAUGAGACAACUCUUCAAAACCAUUUUAAUGUCCCUAUUGAUUACCCCCUUUCAUAAUUUAAACCAAGAAAUCAUAAUCAGGUAUAGUCUGUCUUACAUAAGCAUUUGUAUAAUGGUUAUGAAGAGCUUGCUUACACACCAUUGGACUUAUAGUUUAUAUAUUGAGUCCAAGUUGAAAUGAUGCAAUCCAAAUUAUCUUAGUGUAUUCCACUUUCAAUCCCUUAUAAUUGAAAAAUCAAGAAAACAAUGCAACACAUGGUUACUAAAGCAUUGCAUUACAUUACAAUGUACAUUAUACAAGGUUAGUCAGACAAAAGAACUACAAGCAGUAGAAUUUAUCUUUCUCUAUAUAAUAGGGUUUUUUUCAAAUUCAUUCUAUUUUUUCAUUGCUUGUAAUCUGAAUCUUUGUCUAUGAAAUUAUAGACUAAAGUAUAAAUGAAAAAUGUACAUAAAAGUAUAAAGCAACAACUAUCAUUCCCACAAAGCUUACAAAGAUGGGUUUUCUAGUAACCUCAAUCAGCAAAAACCAAGGAAUCCUUUUAAAGAAGGUGUCAGACAAAUGAUGAAUAUAUCAAAAAGUCUAUAAGAUAUUCUGGGUGCAAAUUAAAUGGCUCACCAACAACUAUGUGGAUUUUCAAAAACUAAAUCUAGUCACAAAUUUUGGCCCCCAUUUACUUUUUGCCUUUUUUUCUCAAAAAAUUCCAUUAUGAUUUUUUUUGUCUUUUUUUUCUCAAAAAAAUCGGUUAGAAAAUUGACAGCCCUUCAAUAUCAUAUCUCAUUAUCUUUGAAGAUAUGAGUAUUAAUCAAAGAAGAAAGUAGGUGGAUUUAAUCUACUUGCAGGUUUCUAAAAACAAAAGUAAAAUGUCUAAACCAAAAUUAAUUCAACAAAAAACCUCAAAGCCCUUUUUCUCUGGUUCCCAUAACAAAAAUCAUCUGUGGUCUCCUUUAUUUUUUGAGUUCUUAACAACAAUCAAUGUGGUCCCCUUCAUUUUUGGGAUCUUUAACAAAAAAAUCCAUGGUGGCCCCCUCCUUCCACAUCUGUUUUCUUUAAUGAAAACAAAACCCUUUUUGUUUAUACCAAGCUCAAGAUGAAAAUAAAAUAAAAUAACCAAACACAUCUACAAUAACAAACUAAAAUAAAAUUAAACCAAAUAGAACCAAACAUAUUUACAAGAAAAAAAAUUACUUAAACCAAAAAACUCAUAAAUCUUACCUACACUAGUAACGAAAGAAAUAAAAUGAAAAUUUGGAAAAAUAGAACCCGAACCAAGGAUGAAGCAAAAAAAGAAUGAAUGAGAGGCAAAACCCCUAAAAGGUAAGAAAUCUAAUUAAAAAUGGAAAGGAACUUAAACAGAUCAUAAAACCGUAGUUCACCAACUACGGUUUUGGUUGAUUUAAAAAAAAUAAAAAAAAAAUUCAAAAUCGUAGUUGGUGACUACGAUUUUAUAAUGUGGAAUCUUAUGUGGCUCAAACACACUAGAUUGGGCAUUAGUUUCAAUCCAGGUUUAAUUUAUGAUUUUUUUUUUAAUGUCCUAUUUUGGAUCAAAACUCCCUAAAAUGUCUCUUGCUAGUGGCCCCAAAAGGGUGCGAAAAAGGGAACCUCCCAAAAUGAGGGGUCUCCACUAAGAUUUAACUAAAUAAAUUUUUUAUAAUUAGGAUCAUCUACUCACAAGUGCAAAUUAAUCUGCUAAUCCCUAUUCCACCUGAGAUAAUUGUCCAAAAUUUCUGUAAUAAUCUUUAAAUCAAAAUAUUAUCAAGCUCAUUUACAAAAAUAAUAAAAUAGGGUUUAAGUCACAAUCAUCCAUAUUACCCAAAUUAAUACAAGCCCAAAAUUUAACUAUCAAGCUCAUUUACAAAAAUAAUAAAAUAGAGUUUAAGUCACAAUCAUCCAUAUUACCCAAAUUAAUACAAGCCUAAAAUUUAACAUAAGUUAUAACAAUUUUUUUAGGUGAUUCCUCCACUUCCUAAAACUCUCUUUGAUUUGCUUAUGGUUGCUUAGAAAUUAUAUUUUUGCAUUUAAAAAUUUAAAAAUAAAAUAUAAUAAGAUAAAAUGGAGUGAGUAUAUUACAAUGCUUCAGCCGUAAAAUCAUAUACAAAGAUAAAAUAAUUCUAUUUCAAAACCAUGCAACCAUAUACAAGAUAUAAUAAUUUAUUCACAUUAUAUAUAUAAAAUAAACUUCAGCCAUGCAAAAUUAAAUGAACCUAGAUUGUGAUUUGUCUAUCACAAUCAUAUAUCAUAUUAAUAUUUUUAAUUUUUUUACACAAAAUAAAUUAUUUAUUCCAUCCUCCAAUAUCAUAUUCAAACAUGUAUUUGAUAUUGUUAUUGUUGAAAUCCAAAAAAGAUUCAAAGAAAAAGAGAGAAAAGAAAAUUUAAGAUUUCUCAUUAUAAAUUCUCUUAAAAACAAGUACAACACCAUUAUAAUUUAAAUAGGCCUAACAAAAAGAAAAUAAAGACUAAUUUACCCUUACUUUUAAAAAGAAAGAAAAUAAUUCUAAUAUAGUAAGUAAAUAAUAAAUAUAUAGUAACUAAAUAUAUAAUUUUAAUAUAGUAACUAAAUAUAUUAAUAAGUUCUAACUUUCUCCCAAAAACUUAUGAUGAAGUUUCAAGAAACAUCAAGAGUUUGUCAACUGAAAAUAAAAAAUGUGAAAGUGAGUGUGACUAGGUAAACAACUUUACUACCAUAUUGUUGAGAAAAUCUCUUCACAACCAAUCGAGCCUUGUACCACUUAAUUAAAGUACCAAAUACCAAGUAUCAAUCUUAUGCAAAGCAAAAGGUUCUUCAUCCAUAACUUGCUGCAAAAAAAAAAAAAAAAAUCAAGAAGAACUUCUAGGAGCAAUUGUAGGAGGAAAGGAAGGAACAUACAAAUAAAAAACCAAAGUAUCAAUAUCUACGUGAAAAAAAUCUGUAUCAUCCAAGAAAUGAUCAAUGCGAAAUGUGAAUAAAUUUAGACUUAGAGACAAUAAGAGACUAAGUAGGAAUAGAAAAGGUACAUUCUCAAAGAAGUAGUAAAGAGAGAGAGAAGAAUAAAAAGAAGACAUAAAACUAAACCAUCAAGGAAAGUGAGAUAGAAGUUGUUACCCCAUGGGUUCUCCUAAUCACGUUUUGAUGAUAACAAACCAUAUUUAAGUUGUUAAUUGGUUUAAAUUAUAAAGAAUUUCAGGUGUUAGUUUGGAAAUUCAUCAAAGGACCCAAUGGAUGUAAGAUCAAGACAACUGGAAGACCUUUAAUCAUAGGAAUUAUAUGUUAGAUGAAUACAUGGGUGUACUUAAGAUUUUCAUAUCUUUUCAUAUAUCUUUAAAAAACUCGGUUUAUGCAUUUAAGUUACAUUUCCAUCAAAACUCGAGUUUUAUCAAAUGAACCUUAGGUAAAUCAUUUCAAAACUGACAUAUUAAUUUACCUAAAGCCCUUGCCUAAGUGUUAGAAGAGAAAAUAAUAGAAAAAGAUAGGUUUUUGAUUCAAAAUGUGAAUUUGUCGAGGCACUGGCCAAUCGGCUCAACUGGUUAGGGUACCGGUUGAUCGAUUACACCUUCCCAAUCGAGGUCCGGUUGAGAGAUACAAAAAAUCUUCUCUCUCUUCCAGUAGACUUGCAUUCCCGAUUUAGGGAUAUGCUUUCCCGAUCGAGGUCCAAUCGAGGUCUAAUGGUCCCUGCCAUGCAUUUAUUGUCCAAUGGAUAGUUAACCAGUUGGCCCCCAACUCAACCGAUCGAGGCUGCUUUUUGGCUUCCAAGGUUAGAAACUUAUAAAUUGAGAGUUCCACUUCAUUUAUAAGUAAGAGAACACCUGCAUUUAUUUGUCUACCUAUUUUUUCUUGCCUCAAAAACUCUCAUUAUUUCCUUGGUGUAUUAUAAAAUAAAUAGUAACUAAAUACAUAAGUUUAAUAUAGUAACUAAAUAUAUUAAUAACAUCUAAUAGUUAUUAUGUAAUUUCUUGCACACACAAUCAAGUAAAUCAAAUCAUGUGUUAUUGUUUUCUGUCUUUUACAUGUAUGCAUUUGUAUUCAAAUAUAUCCCUCUUUUGAAGUCUUUUCAAGGUAAACUUUUAUUUUAUUUUUAUUUUUUUACUCAAGAACCUCAUUCCUUUUCUAAACUACACUCUUUGGGGUCUUUCAUUCUCAGUUUAUACAACUAUUUUUUUUCAUUUUUAAAAAUCUUUUUCCAUAUAACCAUGGAUACAAAAUUAAUGCAAUAUGAUAUCAUUACCUAAUAUCAACUCAAAUCAGUAGUACCCACUAAUAUACAACAAAUAUUUUAAACACAUAAAAUGUAACACUGAACAUAUAAUGAAACUGAAAUUAUUGCAAUUUAAUUAUCACUAUUUCAUUUUUCCAUAAAUAAUUUAUAUUCUUUGCAAUAGUAAUGUAUCACUAAUAAAUCUUCCUAGAUUUAACUCCAUCUUCCAAACAUAAUCAAAUAAUCCCAACAUUUCAGGCCUUGAACUUAUUUUAAAUUCUUGUCCUUAUUAAUUCCAACCUUUCUAUGUGCAUAUCAAUAAUUUUAUAAUUCCUAAAAAUAAAUUCUAGUUUAUUUUAUCUAUUCAUUUAUUUAUAUCAAAACUUCUAUAUUUUCAAUUUCUUAUCUUUCAUUUAUCACUCAACCAAUUAAAUUAAAAUUUUAAAAAUACUGCACUUUAUGGCUUUAAUUUUACCAGGCUAAUUACAUUCUAUCAUUAUAAUAAAUAAUUUUUAAUUUUUCAACUCUUUACAACCACAUUAAUUUAAUCCACUCCAUUUAUUAGUUAUAUCUCAUUUAAUGUAUUAGAUGGAACGGAAUUGGUCAUCACAUUUAGUUUGUAACAUAAUUUGUAUUAAAAAUAUAAUUGUUAUGAGAGAUAAUUUUACAUGAAGCAAUCCAGAAUACAAUGGGCAUGAUGCACCUUCAUCUCCACCAUCCUCACUAGUAUUCACUCCUUCUUCGUCUACUGUAGGCUCAUCUCCAUACCAUCUUCAUCAACAGCAAGUUUAUCGCGGUCUUCAUCUUCAUCACCAUAAACUUCUUCAUCUCCACCCUCCAUCUCUCUCCACCCACGUCCUCAAAUCAACGCCAUCCUUUCUAUCAACUGCGCACACAUCCACCUCCACCACCUUCCAAAACCCAUCGCCCCCACUCCUCUCCACCACCUCCUCCGCAAAUGAGGUUAUUCUGGGUGUCACGUAUUUGAAGAAGGUGCUCCCAAGGUUCAAGCUAGCCAGAAUGUUAAAUACAUAGAGUUGGUGCAGUUGGGGCAGAUGAAACACAUGCACCAGCACUCCAAACACUCCGACGACUUCGGGACUCACAACAUCCUCUGCCAGCAUCUCCGCCCCUUCCGUCAUGUUUGUGCCUAUUACCAGCUGAUAUCAGUAUUUGACGCAGAUUUCCAUCACUCCAAUGGCUUCAGAUGUCGAAUGAAGACCGUAAAAGGACAAGUUGCAGAAGAGGGUGUUGGAUUUCGUCGUGGAUGAGAGACUGAAACUACGAUUUUGUAGGGUAAUUAAUUUUGUAUGAGAGAAGCGAGAAUUAGAAAGUGUUUGAAAUUUGAAGUUUCCCUUUUUCUGGUUCUGGGAGUUCCCUUAUUUGUUGAGAGUUUCCUUUUUGGUGAGAGAUAUAUAAGAUCUCUCUUGAAUAUCCUUCGCUUGGUUUUUGGAAAACAGGUAAAGUAACGUUUAAGAGAAGAGAAGAGAAGAGAAGAUAGGAUGUUUGCAGGUAGGUGACCGUUGGAGGAUAAAAGGAAAUUUUAUUCUCUGAUUCUAUACAAUUAGAUUGCCUUAGAUACCAUCAUCAUUUGGUUUCUAACAAAAUUACAGAAUAGGAUUGAUUGACAAGAAAUAAAAUUAUUUUCUAUAUUUUAGGGAAUGCUUUGGAUUGAUUGACAACAAAGAGAAUUAUUUCUUAUCUUUUAGGGAAUAUAUAAAUCGUAAAUCUGAUUGAAAAAAUUUAAUUAAAAAACUAUUUUAAAAGAUGUUUUUUUGAAUAAAUUGUUUUGAAAAUUGUUAAAGUUCUUUUUAAAAAAAAAAGAAAAGUUUUGGGUUGAUAGACUAGAAAUAGAAUUAUUUUCCUAUAUUUUAGGGAAUAUAUAGAAAGUAAAUCUUAUAGAAAGAAUCUAAUUAAAAAAAAUUAUUUUUAAAACUAUAUAUUUUUAAAAUAAAUUGUUUUGAAAAUUAUUAAAGUAUUGUUUAGAUAUAGGAUAUGGAGGAAUUCUCAAACAACAUUUUUUUAAUCAAAUUUUCAUUGUCCAUUUUCAUUCUAGUACAUGGAGUGGACCCCAAGAAAACUAUUCGGGUAUCAAAAAUGAAAUUCGGGCUAUUGUUCUUUGCAUUCAAAAAUUUUAAGAGGAUUUUUUUUAACAUCCUUUUGAGAAUAGAUUGCAAAAGCACUAAAGAAAUUCACCAAAAAGAUGUUCAAAAUAUUUUUUAUUUUGAAAUUGAAUUUAUCAAAGGUAAUUCCAACUCUCUUACUGGAUUUCCCUUUUAAAGAAUUCUUGCAAGAAAAAUGAGUAAUACAAAGCCCAAAAAUAAGCCCAAUUCAAAAGUCUAUUAUGCGAUGAUACCUAAGAGUUUAGUCAUGAAAGGCUCCUUGGUAAUAAUAAUAAUUAUUAUUAUUAUUAUUAUUAUUAUUAUUACUAUCAUCAUCAUCAUCAUCAUCAUCUUCUUCUUCAUUAAACCAUUUAAAAUAUUUUUUUAGACUAUCAUUUCACAAUUGUUUUUAUUUAUUUAUUUGUUAUCACUACAAGAAAAAAGCCUUUCGUUGACAGUUUUUCACCAUCAAGGUAGGGUAUAUCUGUCAAGGUAUGUUACUAUUUAUAUAUGUCAUCUAUGCCAGUGUCAAGAAAAGUUUAAAUCUACCUUGACAUUUACAUAUGUCAAGGUUGUUUCUAUUUCUACCAAUGAUCAAAUCUUUGUUACUAUGACAUAUGUCAAUGUUUCUUUCACUUUUGUCAAGGUUCUCGGACUGAAAUACCAUUUUUCCAAACUCCAAAUCCAAUCUCCACUGUUAGAAUGAAAAUCAAUGCGUCCUAAACGUGCUCCUAAAAUUGCAACUCAAUCGGACCACGAAUUGACCUCGAUAAAAGCUAAUGAUCAAAACAAUUCAGAGAGAAAAGCCCACCAAAACAAAGGUUCUAUUUUUGGCUGAAAGAUGACUUUCCAAAACUCUAAAUCCGAUCUUCACUGUUCAAUUUGAAGAUUAAUGAGUUGUGAACCUCUCCUCCAAAUUUCAGCUCGAUCAGACCAUGGCCAAAGUGGCAUCGUACCUUUGAUGAAAUCUGGGCAUGAUGUAAAAAACCUGAGUUUUUCUCUCUUCUCCUCUUUCUCUCUAAUGACUGUCCAAAACUCCAAAUCCAAUCUCCACCGUUCAUAUUGAAGAUACAUGAGCCACGAACCUCUCCUCCAAAUUUCAACUCGAUCCGACCACGGACGAAGCGGGAUCGGACAUUUGAUGAAAUCUGGGUAUGAUGAGAAAAACCUGCGUUUUUCUCUCUUCUCCUCUUUCUUUCUAAUGACUUUCCAAAACUCCAAAUCCGAUCCUCACCGUUCAUAUUAAAGAUGAAUGAGUCAUGAAACUUUCCUCCAAAUUUUAGCUCGAUCGGACCACGGACGAAGUGGGAUCAGACCUUUGAUGUAAUCUGGGCAAGAUGAAAAAAAACCUGCAUUAUUCUCUUCUCUUCUUUCUCUCUAAGAACGGUGGCUCUCCCCCUUCUUUCUCCCUUCUUUCUUGUCUUCCAAAAGUUAGGGUUUUCAAUGGAGAGUGAAAAUUUAGGGUUUUCAGUAAAGAAAAUGGUAAAGGCUUGUUGAAGUAUGAAAUAUGUCUUUCCGUCCCUUCCUUUCUCUUUUUAUAUUAUAACAAAUUCCAAAAUACCACGCAUGUCCUUUUUCAAUAAAUUAAAAAUAGUAUUCUUUAUUUCAUCUUCCAAUAAUAAUUUUUAUAUAUUAAACUCAUAAUGAAAAUUGAUAUUAACAUUACUAAAAAAAUUUAUUAAAUAUUAACUUCCUUAAUCAAAAUUGAUUGUUGUCACUUCAAUUUAUAAUACUUAGUAAGUAAAUUAGAUAUACACAUAUCAAACAAAUUAUUAUCAUUAUUGCUUUUAUUUAAGUACCUUGAAUACAUUGACUUAUAAAUUAUCUGUCAAGAUUCUAUUAUAUAAGUCAUGAAAGAAUUCAACAAAUUUUAUAUAUGUCAUUAUUGGUUUAAACAAAUUGUAUAUGUCAUAGUUGUUCAUUAAAAUAAGCAACAUUGACACAUAUCACCUUAAGUCAAGAUAAUAUAUGUCAACAAUGACCUUUUUUCUUGUAGUGUAUGUAAUGCAUUAGUUCUUGUUAGAAAUAUGGAAUAAUUGUAUUCUAUUUCUUAAUUAAAGAAUAUACAUCAGUGCCUUUAUAUAGGAGGCAUAUGUGUGCGGUACAAGUAAUAUGUGUGCGGUACAAGUAAAGUGUACUAUACAAGUAACCUAACUGGGCCUAAAGCCCAUAACAUAAUAUACUUUAACAACCCCCCUCAAAUUCAAGGUGGAUGUGAGACCAACUUGAGGUUGUCAACUAAAUCACGAGUGCGUCUCUUAGGAAGUGACUUGGUGAAAAUAUCUGCAAGUUGAUCUUUGGAGGAGACGGAGAAAAGCUUAAGAGCACCAUGGACAAGAUGAUAACAGAUAAAAUGACAAUCAAUCUCGAUGUGUUUAGUCCGUUCAUGAAAGACAUCAUUGUGAGCAAUAUGAAUGGCACUCUGGUUGUCACAAUAAAGAGGAGUAGCAGAGGAGGUAGACACACCCAAAUCCUUAAGAAGCCAUCUUAGCCAAAGGAGCUCAGAUGUGGUAUCGGCAAGGGCACGAUAUUCUGCUUUAGUACUGGAGCGGGCCACAAAAGUUUGUUUCUUACUUCUCCAAGAAAUCAAAGAAGAACCAAGGAGGAAGCAAUAACCUGUAGUGGACCUGCGAUCAGUAGGAUCUCCUGCCCAAUCAGCAUCAGAGAAUGCAUGGAGUACAAGAGGAGACUGAGCUGAGUAGAAAAGGCCAUGAAAAAGGGUACCCUUCAGGUAUCGAAGAAUGCGCAGAACAGCAGCAUAGUGAGUUAAUCGUGGAGCAAACAAAUACUGGCUCACCUGAUGAACAGCAUAGGAGAUGUCUUGACGAGUAACUGUGAGAUAAACUAAGCUGCCAACCAAUCGUCUGUAAAGAGAAGGAUAAGACAAUGGUUUCCCCCCCGAGGGUGUCAGAUGCGCAUUAAGUUCAACUGGAGUGUCAACAGUCUUGCUGUCAGUGAGUCCAGCUUGAGACAACAGGUCAGAAGCAUACUUGGCUUGAGUAAUAUAAAGACCAUCUGUGGAAUGAGUAAUUUCAAGACCCAAGAAAUAGCUGAGAUGUCCAAGAUCUUUCAUCUCAAACUACUGACUGAGAAAAUCCUUGAGUUCUUGAAUGCCACUAAGGUCAUCACCAGUUAUGAUCAUAUCAUCCACAUAUAGAAGAAGCAAAAUAGUGCCUUUAUCAGUACGACGAAGAAAUAAGGCAGAAUCAUAUGGAUUGGCAGUGUAACCUAAGUGAAAAAUAGUGGAGCUGAACUUGGCAAACCGAGCUCGUGGGGCUUGUUUAAGACCAUAAAGUGCACGUCGAAGAUGACAAACCUUGUUUGAUUCAACAAAGAGACCAGGAGGAGGUUGCAUAUAGACUUCUUCACUUAGAUCCCCAUUAAGGAAGGCAUUUUUAACAUCCAUCUGAAAAAGAUCCCUUUUACGAGUAGCAGCAACAACUAAGAGAGCACGAACAGAUGAGAUACGAGCAACUGGAGCAAAAGUCUCUUCAUAAUCAAUCCCAUACUCUUGUGUAAAACCUUUGGCAACAAGACAAGCCUUGUAGCGCUCAACGGAUCCAUCAGAGCGAGUCUUGAUCUUAUAGAUCCACUUACAACCAACCACAGACUGUCUAGGAGGGAGAGUAACCAGGUCCCAAGUAUGGUUUUUGGUUAAUGUAUCAAGUUCCUCUUUCAUUGCAAUCUGCCAUAAAGGGUCAGUAGAGGCCUCACAAUAGGUUUGAGGCUCGUGAAGUGUAGCAAGGGCAGUGUAACAAUGAUAGUCAAGGAGGUGUGGAGGAAUGGAUCUUACCCGGGUUGAGUGGCGAGGUGGAAGGUCUUGUGGAGGAUCUUCAGGCAGAGCAGGAGCAGGGGACCCAGGCUCAAAGUGGGGUAGCUUGUCAUCAAUUUGUGCAUCUGCAACCUGUCUAGGAGAAGCAUCAAAGAUAUUUGGAGAGAAGUCCAAAGGAGGAUCAAAAGUAUUUGUAGAAGGAACAAGAGACUCAUCUAGAAAGAUUUCUAAAACAGAGGAGUUAGUCAAGGAAGAAUGAAAGUGAGAGAGUUCAACAAACAAUCGGUGUUCCCAAAAGACAACAUUACGAGAAACACGAAGACGAUGAGAGACAGGAUCAUAACACCUAUACCCCUUUUGAGUUUCGCCAUAACCAAGAAAACAACAGAGUCUAGAUCGAGGCUCAAGUUUGUUGUGCUCAUGAGGCUGAAGAAGAACGAAACAAGUAGAUCCAAAUGAGCGAAGGUGAUGAUAGUCAGGGGGUGACCCAAAGAGACGCUCAUACGGAGUCUGAUUAUGGAUGACAACACUUGGAAUGUGGUUAAUUGCAUGAACAACAUGAAGACUAGCUUCACCCCAAAAUGGGGCAGGAACUUUGGCAGAAAGAAGUAGAGCACGAACAGUGUCAAGAAUAUGACGAAGUUUUCUUUCGGCUCGACCAUUUUGCUGAGAGGUACCUGGACAAGUUAGAUGAUGUAUAGUGUCAUAGGAAUGUAACAGAGCUUGAAACGCAUAUUGAGUAUAUUCAAGAGCAUUAUCAGAUCGAAAGGUUUUGAUACAUUUGGAGAAUUGAGUUUCAACCAUUUUUGCAAAAUUGCUAUAUAUUGGUAAAAUUUCGGAACGAGAUUUCAUCUGAAAAAUCCAACUAUAAUGAGAAUAAUCAUCAAUAAAAACAAAAAAAUAUUGAGAUCCACCAAUACUAGCAACAGGAGAAGGUCCCCAAACAUCAGAAUGAAUUAACUCAAAAAUACUAUUAGAAAUGGAUUCACUGUUAUUAAAAGGCAAAGCUGGCUGUUUUCCUAACUGACAUGAAGUGCAAUCAAAAUUGUCUUUAGACACAGAACCCAACAGACCCCUAGACACUAACUGUUGUACCCGAGAAGAUGGUGCAUGACCAAGACGAGAAUGCCAAAGUGCAAGAGAAGGUAAGGAAGAAACUGCAACCGCUGCAAUAGCAAUAGAAACAGGAGCAACAGGUGGAAAAUGAAGAUUGUUCACGGGAAACAUACGCCCAACUCUAGGACCGGUCCCAAGCUCCUGCCCCUUCCUCGGAUCCUGCACAAUACACCCAGAAUAGUAAAAAAUAAGGCGAUAACCUAGUUCAGCUAAUUGUCCCAUAGAGCACAAAUUAUAGGAUAGGGCAGGUACGUGGAAGACUCCAGGAACAGAAAGAUUAGAGGUUGAAACAAAACCUAGACUAUUUCCAUGCAUGGUGGAACCAUCAGCUAUAUGAAUAUUUAGAGGAUGUGGUGCAGGGUCAAGGUUGGAGAACAGGGAUGAGUGAGGUGUCAUGUGAUUGCAGCAGGCAGAAUCAAAAAGCCAAGUUUGAGACUUACCAAGUAGAACAGAUAAGGCAGUGGAAAGAGAUGCAUUACCAGCCAUACGAACAGCCUGAGCUAUGAUCUCCUGUAGUUCAGUGGAGGAGAGGUUGAUAGUAGAUCCAAAAGACUGGGACUCAGCUGAGGUGGAAGCCGUUGGCGGAGUAGGCUCAGUAUUAGCAACAACAGCAGUAAAUUUGUUACGACGGUAACAAGUCUCAAUGGUGUGGCCAGGACGCUUGCAAUAGUUGCAGAACUUUUUGUUGGUCUGCCUGCGACGAUUGCUAGAGCCAGAGAAAUCACCUAAUUGCUGAGGUUGCUCUAUGAGUGGAGUAAUAGCCAAAACAUUGAGCUUAUUCUGGGCUUGAAGGGUUGCAAGACGAGCUUCUUCUCUAACCAACUCAUUCACAACAGUAUCAAGAGAGGGAGCAGGACUGUGAUUUAGCAGCUGACCACGAAUGGGCUCAAAGUCCUUGUGAAGUGACAUCAAGAAUUCAUAGAGGCGAAAUUCAUCUUUGAUGGAAGCAUAUUGCUGAGCAUCUUUUGAGCAUGCCCAAGUUGGAUCAGAAAAGUCAAUUUGGUCCCAAAUGAAGCGAAGCUGAUCAUAAUAGUCAUUGAUGGAUUGCCCCAGUUCUUGCCUGAGUUGAUGCAAUUCAACCACUAACUGAUAUUUCAUGGAUCCAUGAGUAGUGGAGUACCUUUUGGUCAACAUAUCCCAUGUAGAUUUUGCAUCGUCAAAGUUACCCAAUAGAUUGGAAAUAGAGGGAAUGGAAGUGUUCUGGAUCCAUGUGAGGAUCAUGUGGUUAUGACUAUCCCAUUCAAUCAUGCGACUAAGAAAGGCAACAUCUUCUUCACUUGCUCCCUUGACAGGAAUAGUCAUUGCACCAGUACAAUAAUGCCAGAGCAUGCGACUCUUAAGAAAACUGCGCAUAGCUUGAGACCAGGAUAAGUAAUUUUUAUUCCCCUCCAAUACAGUAUUGAUGGGGCGAGGAAGAAAAACAUCCUUUUUAUCCAUUUAGAGACACAAUAUGCAAAACAGACUGCAAAAAUGAAAUCUACACGAAAAACUGGGUAAGGAGAACCUGGACAGAAAAGUCAACUAAAAAGUCAAUGGGUCAAAGUCAACGGUCAACUGUUGGUCACCGGUCAACGGUCAACGGCUGGUCAACGGAUGAAGCCACAGGAUGACGUGGAGAUGACGUCAGCAGAUCAGUGGAUGCUAACGCAGCUAGGGCUAACGUGGCAGAGAUGAUGACGUCAACAGACCUACAGCCGGCUCGUGAGAGCGCGUGGAGGCGCAUGAUCAGCGUCGCAUAAUCUUUGAGCUGCGCGUGGGGGCGCGUGCGAUCUCCGAUGGCGGCGAGGGUUCCACGAAUGUGUAGAUCGGCGCUGGACGAUCUCAGUGGUACCUUCAAAAAUGAAAUCGAAGCAAUAUUCGCAGCGGUGAUGCAAGGAGCAGUGGUCUGUGCAAUGUGAAACUCCUCAACGAUGGCGGCUGCAGGUCCGGAACCCAAGGACGACGACUGGAUGACGUCAGAGGUUCAACGGCAAAAGGCUACGGCUGCAGUUGUGAUGGCGGAAGCGUUUAGUGAAAGAAAGGAAGUCACACUAAUGAAGACAAGACUGCUAAGAAAAGGUCAGAGCAGUGGCUCUGAUACCAUGUUAGAAAUAUGGAAUAAUUGUAUUUUAUUUCUUAAUUAAAGAAUAUACAUCAGUGCCUUUAUAUAGGAGGCAUAUGUGUGCGGUACAAGUAAAGUGUACUAUACAAGUAACCUAACUAGGCCUAAAGCCCAUAACAUAAUAUACUUUAACAGUUCUGAUAUUUUUCAAAGCAUUUUUAUGAUUUAUAUUUAAUUAUUAAUUCUAAGAACUUUCUUAAAUUAUUUACCAAUUCGAAUAUACUUUCUCAAUAUUAUGAUGUAAUAAACUAAUAUAGUUCUUUUUAUCCUUUCAAAAUUAAUAUUGAGAACCACAGCCCAAUAAUGUAAAGUUUUUACUUUCCACCAAACGCACAUUCCCUGUAAACCAAGGGCCAUCUAAAAAAUUUCAUCAUCUUUUAUGGGUAUUUUUAAAAGAAUUAUUAAAAAAAAAUGGUUGUUUAAAGAACAAAUAUAUUGCUUUGAUAAAUAUAUUGUUACUCUUUGCAAAUUUUUACAAUAUAAAACAUUUAAAAAAUAUAAAUAUUUAUAUUUAUGCUUAUUUUUAUAAUAAUUAUUAACAAUAAAUAUGAAAAUAAUAUAAAUUAAUUAAUAUAGUGAUUUUUACAUUUUUUAAAAUAAAAUACAUAGAUAUAUAGAUAAAAUUAAAUAUUACAAUUUUCUUUUUAUAUUUAAAUAUUAUACAUAUUCUAUUUAAUAAAAUUUGAUAUAUUAAUACUUUUAUAUUUAUGUUUAUCAUUUAAUUGACAUAUCCAAUAAAAAAAAUGAAAUGUUAUUAAAAUUUUUAAUUAUAUAUUUAUGACAUCAUUAGUUCGACCGUUGUUCGGCUAUUGAUCUGAUCAAUGAAUCAUGAAUCGAUAAUUUUUAUGAUUUAAUGACCAAUCCAAUUUUGAAAACAUUACACAAAUUAUACUUAACUUAAAAGGGAUGAAAAAAAUAAUAAGUUGGGUCCAAUUCUCAAAACAUUACACGAAGCUAUCUUAACUUAAAGGAAUGGAAAAAUAAUAAGUUGGGGCAACUGUAUUCCAAAUUCUAUAAAUAUGGGCUUGACUUCAUUAACAAUUCCAUGAAUGAUUGGAAUUGGAUUUGGAGUUUCCUUAAAUCCCAUUUCCCAUUAUCCCAUGAAAAUAAAUCCAAUAUAUUAGAAUUCAUAUAUAAAGAAUAUUAAAACAUAAAGAAAUUCCUUUAAUGGAAGGUGCCGUGGGAUUGGCAUAAAAUACCGUAAUGUGAACUAGGUGGUAGUGCGCUUCCUGGACGAUCUAGUGGGGCGCAUGCAUGUAGCAGGACGAAAAAAAUGAGAGGAGUUUGGCAACAGUACUGACAAUAAUCUUGAUUUCCAAUGGUAUGGUGAAUUCCCCCCCUCCCCCACCAAAAAUAAAAAAUAAAAUAAAAUAAAUAAAUAAAUCCAUCCCUUUAAAUGCUGUAUGUACGCAUUCUAAAGAAGAGUGAGGGAUUAAUUAUUGAGGUAGGGGGGAUGACCUCAAGGUGUAGGAGAGAUGAAAUUUUUUUGGAAAAUGAGUGAAAAUUUUUAAACAAACAUUUUUAAUUCAAGAAGGGAUUGCUAAAAAUUGUGUUGAAAACAGGGAAACUUGAUGAAUUGGGCUAAAAUUAAAUUAAAAAGGCUUACAAGAUAGUUGAGGAUUGAGGGAUUUCUUGAGCUCCUUUCUUCUCAUAAAAUAAUCGUAAAUUUAACAUAACUACGAUUAUCUAUGAUACUCUCAACCGGAGACUUUGCUACAUAAACAUAUUUUAUUGAAACCUAGUGUCUUAUUCUUGUGAAUUAGAUCUUCAUGUGAAAUCUUUAAAACCCAAUCACUACCUAUUUACUUGCCAAAUCAUCGUAUUAAGAGGUCCGUGAUGAUUGUCUGAAAUCAAAAUAGAUUUUAACCAUUAAGCACUUGAAAUACACUCAAGGAGCCCCUAAACUCUAAUUUCUAAGCAUUAGGGUAAAAUAUUCUAAUUUAAAAAUAGAGAGAAUAAAUUUACACGUUUAAUUUAUUAACAAAUUAAACACCUUAGUCUUGAGGGUCAUUUUAUGGGCACAAGGGAGGCCCUAAGGAGCCCCUUCUCCAUAGCCAAAAAUACUACUCAAAAGACACGAGUCUAAAACAAACUACAUCUAAGUUUAAUAAAUGGAAAUGAGUUUGAAACAUUACGAAUCAAUUAAAAGGAGCAAAACAUUAAGAAAAUGAAGGUAUUAACAUCAAACCCUAGCUAGAUCAAUAAGGUCUCCUUCCUAAGCUCUUUCCAAAGAAGAAUAAGAAGAACAAGAAAAAAAAAAAAAAGAAGAAGAAAGAAUUAGAAGCCUCUAUGGAGUUCUAAAAUGGCUUUUUAUAAGUACUUCAAUAUUGCUUGUAGUGGUAUAUCAUAUGGAGGCAUAAAACAAUAAGAUGGAAGAUCUGAACUUGCACAUUUCGGGAGUUACAAUACAAAAUGAUGCCAAAGUAGGAGAAAAUGGCAUUAGGAUAUAAGGUGAUACCAUCUUGAUGCCAUUUUUCUAGUACGUGGACUUUUUCUCCUUCGACAUUGUGCUAAAAGUUGUGAUGGCCACAUUUUGGCUCUAUUUUUGGCAAAAAGCUCCUUAACUUUGUAGCUCCUUCAACACUCUUCUCUUUUUCAUCAAUUAUUUAUUGAUCAAUUUGUGUAAAUAAAUGAUGACCAAAUUUUUUAAAAAUUGGUGAGAUUGACUUGUAAAGAGUUUCAAUUAUUUGAACUCAUUGGGACACCUCUAACCCCCUUCAAAUAGCCUAAAACUUUUGAUUGGUUGAAACAAGAUUGUAUCAUCAAUUUUCAUGUAAGUUUGAUCCUUUGACUCUACUCAUACCUCAUUCUUACUUUUUAGAUGUCCAAAAAAGUUUCCAAUAACAUCAUUAUUCAUGAAAAUAGUUGGAAAUAAUUAACGAUCAAAUGGAAAAUAGAAGAAAGUGGAGUAUAUGUAAGCUAACAUAUAAUUGAUUAAUUAGGGAGUGCGUUUAAUGAUAACAUGGACCCUAAAAUAUGAUUUUUGCCCUUGUAAUUAGAGAUACUCUAAAUAGGUGGUGAAAAUUUUGUAAUUAGAGAUAGCACAACUAUACAGAUAAUGCAAUGGGUAGUCUUUUUUGUAAUUAGGUUCCUAAAUGUUUUUGUGAAUAUUAUUGUAAAAUUCCCCACAAGCUAAAAUGUUUAGAAUUAAAAUUUCAUAAUAGCUAAAAGUGGAUGAUAUAAAAAAGAUUGGAAAAAAAUUGAGAUAAAAGAAAGAUGGUAGUGAUUCUAAAAUAUUGCUCCAAGGCUUCUUUCUUCAAUGCUCACAAUAGAAAACCACCCCAAAUGGUUGGCAAUCUGAUAGAUAAAUCUUUGAAUUAUUUUCAUAGAUGAUUCUAUUAUUAGAAUUAAGAUUUUGAGGGUUUCUCCAAUUUCUUUUUGAGGCUCUCUAGAAGCAAUAUGGUUUUGUUAAGACCUGUAAAAUAGGUAUUGUAUUAUCAAUAUGAAAAUUAACAUAAGUUUCAUUAGGGUUAAAAUUUGGCCAAAUAAUCCAUCUAAUUUAACCUGGGAUAGUCUUAGACAAUCAAUUAAAUAUGCGGAUUGGAUUUGAAUUUUCUUCAACUCGAAUUCAAUUUGGAUUGAGUGUGGAUCAAGGUUCAGAUAACUGAAAACUAACUUUAACCUAAUUUAGUAUUUUUAUGAUUUAUAUAACCCUAUAUAAUAAUAUUAAUCAUUUUAUUUAUUUUAUUUUUAGAAUUUAAAUAAAAAAAUAAAAAACAUAGUUAUAUCAUAUAAUUUUCAUUUUUUAAACAUGAUAUAUCCAUUUAUUUUUAUUUUAUUUAUCAUCUUAAAAUUUUAUCACAUUUACUAUUUAAAUUUUUAUAUAAAUAUAUUAUUAUUAUUAUUACUUUUAAAUAGAGUGGAUGAAAUUUGAUUUAUUCAAUCCAAUCCAUCGAACCAAGUCUAGUCAAAUUUGAUCAACCUGAAUUCAAUUUGAAUUUAGAAAAAUAAGAUUAAAUUAGACUUUAGUUAAAUGCUUCAAUUAGAGAUUGAGUCAUGUUAGAUUUAGAUUAAUCAUUUCUUAAUUCAGAUUGGAUUCUAAUUAAGCUAUCAAUCCCACACAACCCAUCCAAAUUGCUCAAUGUAGCACCAAGUUUAAUUAUCAUGCCAGACAACUGUAAAGUUGGUGUCACCAAAAUAAUUGUUUGCAGGCACUAUCACCUUGGUCCCUUGUGAUGGUGAUGCAAGCCCAAUUAUCCAAAGCCCCAUGUAUUGCCCAUACUCCACAAGCCACCUCUUCACCGCCAAAAUCUCUACCAGUGACAACUGUACUCUCUCCCAAAGACACAUGUCCUAAAAACUAAGUGACACCCAGAUAUUUUCACCAUCUUUAUGGCAUCAUCAUUCACAUGAAAGUGCUCUUAUGAGGCCACGACCUCGCCUACAUGCAAACCCACGUAUUUGUAUAUCAUUUUCUCACAUCAAUGUGGCAUGGUCUCAUUGGAGAGGAAUAAAGUUUCAUGAAAUCCCUGAAAGUUGCCUUAAAAAAAUGGAAGAAUAACCAGUGGAACACUGCCCUCCACAGGCUAUGUAUAUGGCCACCACCUUCGCCUAAUAGUAACCAUCGGUCGAGCUGGUUUUUCAUCUGUUCACUGGAGUUUCCUAAAGUCCCCAUUUCCCUUUUCCCACUUCUUAUUUUCCAUUUUCUGAUUUCCUACUUUCUUUAGUACAAUGAAGUGGUCUCCUCAAGAUGCCAUGAAGGCUUACUUGCACACUCUUCAACUGGUAAUUCUCAUCUUUAUUUUCUUGGGAGUUUUCUAUAGUCUGUUUGGUAACUCUUAAGUUUUUCCGUUCGGUUAUUUAGGAAAAGAAACUAAAAUUUUCUGUUUGGCUGCUGACAAAAUUAUACCAUACAAUUGAUAGGAAUCAAAUGGGAUGUAGGCAUAAGUUUUUUUGUGUAAUUAGUUCAUUUUCUUUUCCAUUUUCCUGCACUUUCUAAGUGAAAACACUCCCUAGUGUUCUUACUAUCUUCUAUUUUUAUUUUUAUUUUUUCAGUGUAAAACCCACUUCAAUGAUCAAUAUUGCACUCUGGGAACCAGAAAUCUCAUUCAACCCCAUUGGAUGGAGUUCAUAUCAGCUUUGGCAGCAGGAAAUCAAGCUAAAUUAAUGGUGCAAAUCACCUCAGACCAAGGCAUCACCCCAUUAACAAUUGCACUUGCAGUGGCAGCAAAGCAUACGAAAGCUCGAUUCAUCUGCAUUCUUCAUCAACUUCAAGAUAUAGAGGAUUGCAAAGCUCAACUUUCUUGCUAUAAUCUCAAAGAUGUGGUUGAGCUUGUACAUGGAAAUCCUUGUGAGGUGAUCAUGGGGUUUAAGAACAUUGAUUUUGCUGUAAUUGACUGUAAAUUUGAAGAUUACAUGAGAUUGUUUAAGAUUAUUGAUAUGAAUCCAAGAGGGUCUAUAGUAGUAGUGAGCAAUCUUGAGAGAAGAAGAAAUGGAGCUAGUUUUGGUGAAGUUAUUAAAGGGAGGAAAGGAGUUGAAUGUGUGACUCGAUCUAUUGGAGAAGGAAUGGAGUUGACAAGAAUUGGAUUGAGUUGUAAGUCUCAGAAAAAGAGGUAUUAGAGAUUCCAUGUAACUUUUGAGAGUUGAAGCAUUUAUAGUAUCAAUCUUUUCUCAUAGAAGUAAUAAAAUGUUUUAGGCUCUUGCCUUCAUAUACAACUUGUUGGAUAGGCAAGUUUUUCAUGAUUAAAUAAUUAUUGAAAAAUUAAUUAUUUUGCAUAUGUAUCUAUUGUGUCAUAGUAAAAGCUAAACAAAAGAAGCGCUUUUGAGAUUGAAAAUUGUUCAAGAGAUGGCAAGAAAAGGAAUAUUGCAUAAUAAUGAUGUCAAAAUAUAAUUGAAUUUAUAUGAUGUCAAUGAGAUAGUAGGUCCAAAAGAGGAUUAUGGAGUGGUGUAAACUAAAUUGUAUUGAUGUUAAUUUCUUCAUAGAAGAAUAUUCUCAAUUAGAGGAGAUCAAUUAUGUAAAUGAAAAAUGUUCUUUAUUAGAGGUGGUCGUGUAAAUGAAGGAAGAUUCAAGUUAAUUUGAAUAAGAAAUGAGAGAGGGUUAGAAGAUUCAAAGGUAAUGUAGCGUUAGAAGGUUAUGUUGUUAUUCCUAAUAAAGAAAUUAGAGAAAACAAAGAAAAAUAAAACACACAGGUUUAACGUAGUUCAGCAGAAUGCCUACAUCCAUUGGAGAAGAGUUGAAGACUUUCACUACUACUAAAAUUAGGGUUACAAGAAAGGGUAUUAAUUUAUACUAACCCUCAAGUAUUGAAAAUUCCAAAAAUACCCCUGAACCGUCCCCCCAUACCUCCCAACAUAUCGUUUGUCCUUAACAAUAAAAAUACAAGCUUGAAUGGCAAAUGUCGUCGUUCCACUCAGUGUGUUACAUUCCCCUCGUUCCACUCCGACAUUUGCUCUUUCUUCUCCAUAUAUGUCUUUCACUCAAUAUGAGCCACAUACUACAAUAAGUUAUCAAAUGGAUAACCAAGAAGUGGGGUUUGGAAUGGGAGAGGUGAGAUUAAUGAAGAAAAACCUUAUCUCUUCAUAUAUAUUUUUUUUAUCUUUGGGCUUAUUUAUAGGAGUUAUUCUUUAGUUAGAUAUGUUCGAUUGUGAAACUUAAAUUAGUCUUGUUGCGUUUCAUAGGGGUGUUGGGGUCUAACUAGAUGUUUUAUUUAUUUAUUUAAUAAAUGAUAAGUUUGUCCCCAUUGAAUAUUAAACCCUUUUAGGACUAAGGGUUUUGUUUUUAGAGAGUGUAGUUGCAAUUGAGAGAAAAGUGAAAGUCUUCAUCAUUGUAACCCUUUCCUUUCAAAAAGUAAGAGCUUUCACCAUUGUAACUUUUUCGUUUAAUUGGUGGAUUCUUGAGUGUUGGUGCACUUCGUAGAUAUAAGGAUUACAUUGAAUGCCAAACCACGUUAAAAAUCUCUUUUUACUUUUUUAUUUUUUGCUUGUGUGAGUGUGUAGUUAGGUUAACAAGAUAAUAGCUGGACAAAUCAUGGACUAAUAAAAUAUGAAACUAGAUCUUUUGAUUUGAUACUGCAAAGAUAUGCAACCCCUAUAUAUAUAUAUAUAUAUAUAUAUAUAUAUAUAUAUAUAUAUAUAUACAUAUAUAUAUUUUUUAUCUUUGGCCUUAUUUAUAGGAGUUAUUCUUUAGUUAGAUAUGUUCGAUUGUGAAACUUAAAUUAGUCUUGUUGCGUUUCAUAGGGGUGUUGGGGUCUAACUAGAUGUUUUAUUUAUUUAUUUAAUAAAUGAUAAGUUUGUCCCCAUUGAAUAUUAAACCCUUUUAGGACUAAGGGUUUUGUUUUUAGAGAGUGUAGUUGCAAUUGAGAGAAAAGUGAAAGUCUUUAUCAUUGUAACCCUUUCCUUUCAAAAAGUAAGAGCUUUCACCAUUGUAACUUUUUGGUUUAAUUGGUGGAUUCUUGAGUGUUGAUGCACUUCGUAGAUAUAAGGAUUACAUUGAAUGCCAAACCACGUUAAAAAUCUCUUUUUACUUUUUUAUUUUUUGCUUGUGUGAGUGUGUAGUUAGGUUAACAAGAUAAUAGCUGGACAAAUCAUGGACUAAUAAAAUAUGAAACUAGAUCUUUUGAUUUGAUACUGCAAAGAUAUGCAACCCCUAUAUAUAUAUAUAUUAAUAAAAAAAUUAAGGGUUAUUUCACUUAUUUGGAUACAUGGGUCAAAAUAAUUAUCAAAUUAUAAAAAUAACCUCACCUUUUAAUUUUUGAGAAAUGACCAUUUUUGAACUCUUUUACCCCUUUUUUGUUUUUGUUUGCCUCCAAAAACAUCACAUUCUCAAUUCUUUCUUGUUCCAUUCAUUUCAUCAUUUCUUUAUAAUGCAUUUAUCUCUUAAGUUUACUUUUUUUUUUCCCACUAAGGUUAGCUUUCCAUUAAGGAUAUCACUUGAAUUACACUAGAGUUAACCUUAGUUUACAAAAAAAAAAAAACAUAUUUAAGGUUAGGUUCCCAAUUAUAAUGUUAAUAUGAACUACACUAUGGUUAGGUUUUCAUUUCAUCUACAAAGAAUUUAAUUAUAAACUAUACUAUGGUUAAAUUUCAUUUAAAAAGAGUUUAAGUUUCCAUUUUAUUUACAAAUCAUAAUUAGAAUGUUCAUCUAGACUUAAAUGUUGGACCCUAAGGCUGGCUAAAAACAAAAUUGGAUUUGAGAUAUAACUAGCAACAACUUUCCAUUUGAUCUCAUCUUCAAAAUUGGAAAAAAAAAAACAAAAAACAAAAAACACAAUUGCAUAAAACUCCAACAAAAAUAAUUUUAAAAAAUCCAAACAAAAAACAACCAUAAAAAACACUAACAAAAAGCAAUACCAAAAAACUUUAACAAAAAACAACUACAAACCCCAACAAAAAACAAUUACAAAAAAUCCUAACUAGAAAUAACUGUAAAACCCUAAAAAUUUGAAGAACCUCUAGCAAAAAAUAAAAAGAAAGAUGAAUGUGAAGGAUCUUGAAGAUGAAAGAAAUAUGAGAGAGUUGUGACUAAUCUUUAUUCACCGAUCUUUGUUAUGAGCUUGAAUUUCAUUAGAAAAGAGAGAGUCUAAACCUAAAAAAAAAAAAAAAAAAAAAGAGUUGGGUAUGAGCAAUGAAAGAGAAACAAAUUAGGAAUGAGAGAGGAAUGACAUUUUGAGGAAAUAAAGAAGGGUAAAAAGGUCUAAAAAUAGGUAUUUGUUUUUAUUUUUUUGAAAAAUAAGCAAGAGUGAUCAUUCUUCCAAUUUCAAAAGUAUUUUAGGUCUUAUAACCAAAUAUCAGUAAAAAUCAAUAAAUGAAUAUAAAGAAGGGUUAUUUGAUUAAAAGGGAUGGGAUAAUCCCAAAUUUGUAAAUCUAAUGUUGCACAUUUUUCAACCUACAAAAUGACUUAUUUUUGACAAAAAUACCAUCACUUCUUCUUGUAAAUGUAACUUUUUCUUUUAAAAAUAAUCAAAAGUUGGAGGACAUUUAUAUUAAAAAUGAGUUAUUUUUUGAAUUCAAUUAUGAGAGAGGUUAAAUUUAUAAAUUAGAAAUUAUUUUAUUCCUUUUAAUCAAAUAAUUUUAUGAAAAAAUGAUCAAACUAUCACUUCCCUUCGCAUACUAAGGGCAAUCUCUCUAUUUACAUUGUGAAGUGGGUACCUGAAUAGGCUACGUAGGAGAAUUGUCUUGAUAUGCAUCAACAAUAAUUGGACAUUUACCCUCACAAGUAUGUAUCAAAGACUACAACUUAGAGGUCAAGUACAUGCACUUAGUCACUUCGAAACCUCGAGUAAGUUAAAAAGAAACCACUUCUUUCUUUUUCUUUUCUUUUCUUUUCUCUUCUUUUUUUAUAUUUUCAUUUCUUAUUACUCAACACUUCUCUAUAUGCCAUUGUAUGAACAAUUUCCAAAUCUUGGCAUAGGCGGUGAAAAUGCAAUGCUGUAGAAGUUACUUGGAAUGACAUGUAGGUAUCUCUAUCAAUUAAUUGAUAUGACUUCUUGAAAAGUUAAAUUUGAUUUUAAAAGUUUCUAAAAGUUUUGAAUUAUAUUUACCCUUUAAAAGUCAAAGAAAUUAAAUAUUUUAUUUUGAGUUGUUGCUUUUAUUUCUAUAUUUGAGUAAUCAAGCCCCGGAAGGCUUCUAAUUUUGUUAUUAGGAAUUUCUAUUUAAUUAAUACGAGAUUAUCUAUUAGAAAAAGAGAGUGGUGUAAGACAAUAAAUUUUUAGUUCUCCCCAAUUUUUAUCUUCUUUUACAUAACUGUUUGUGUUCCUCUUUUAAUUCUAUUACUUCAAUAAAUUGGUAUAAAAACUUUUGCAUAUACAACAAGUGGUAACAAAGCAUCGAUUAAAGAUGUUUGGAAGAUCCUUAAGUGAAGAUGUCUAAACAAGAUUUGUUUGAAGAUUUUCAUAAGAGAAAAGAAGAACAUAGUAGAAAAGAGGAUUGUAAAAUGAAAAUUUUGUUAAGAUGAAGUUGAUUAUUCUCUCAUAAGAAUGUAAUACAAAAAAAAAAAAAAAAAAAAAGAGGAUCAUGGCACACGACAAGACAGUAAUGCACAAAGGAAACCAUUACGCACAAGGAGAGUGAGACGCAUAAGGAAAUUGUAUAUUAUGGCAAGAUGGAAGAUUGACUUAAUAAAAUUUGAUUCAAAGUGGAGACCAGUGGAGACUAUUAGGAAGUGUCUCAAAUUUGCAAUUAAAAUAUAUUUCUUUUGUAGAAGGAAUAUUAUAUAGAAUAUUUUUUUGAGUUUAUAAGUGAUUAUAAUUAGAUUUCUCAUAGGAUAAGGAAAACUAGAAAGAAUACCUCUAUAAAUAUUCUAGUGAUCAUAUGGAGAGAAAGUUAUGAGAGAGAUAUGAGCUUGCGAAGACUAUAUAUGGUGGAUAGAAAUGCAAAGAAGAGUGAGUGAUACUCGAUGGAGUAAGAGGACAUAGGGUUUACAUUAUAAUUGUGAGGAACAAUAAGAGACAUCAAGUAAAGUAAAAGGGUUUAAGGUUCAAACCGAAGAUACAAAGAGUAAGAGACAUCUAGUGUAGUAAAAAGGUUUUAAGGUUCAAACUAGAGAUACAAAGAGUUAGAACAUAUACGAUGUUUCGGAAACCAGUAAGUUAAUUUACCUAUUUUUAUCAUUUGUAAUAUUCUCUAUCGUAUAAUAAAAUAUUCCCUCUCAUCCGUAAAGGUAGAUAUAGUUGGUUGAACCGUAGAAAAAUUUCAUGUAUCAUUGUAUGUGAUUUGUUUUAUUUUUUAUAUUUUUGCAUUAAUAUGUGUAGAUUAAAGCUUGACAUAGUUUUUCAUUCACACAAUAAGUGGCAUAAGAGAUUUCACAUACACAACAUGAUAGUAAAACAUAUCUAAUCACAUCCCCAAAGACUGAUACCGUAACUACGACAAGAUAGUUAGCCAUACCUCCAUAAACAACCUAACCAAAGAAAUCAGGUUAGACCAUCUAACCUUUUCUGAGAAGGAAAAGUGUUUCCAUGAAUCAGAUAGGCCCGAUAGGUGAUGCUGACCUCGUUAAAAGCCAUCUCUUCUUCACGUGCCUCCCACCGGCUUCUCUACCAAACAACCAAUGAAACCUGCUACACACGUCCUAGAAACCGAGGGCCACUCAAAAUUUUUGGUGGCAUCAGUCACAUGAAAGUGUUCUCACGUGGUCUCCACUUGCACCAACAAGAAAAUCAGAUCAUUCUAGAUCUUCUCCUAAGCCAUUUUUCAUGAUAUCGUUGGGUGGAAAUGGGCUUUCUUGAAAUUCCUAAACUUAAAACCAAUCUUCCAAAUGCUAUAAAUAUGGCUUCAACUACGUCCCAAAACCAUAAGUUGACUUGGUUUCUCAUCUAUUUUGUAGCGUUUCUUUUAUACCCAUCUCCUUUUGUACAAUGAAGUGGUCUCCUCAACAUGCCAUGAAAGCUUACCUGCAUACACUUCAACUGGUAAAUUCUCAAAUCCCCUUUUUUUUUUCUUCUUUAAAUAUUCCUCUUUCUUUAAAAGCCCCUUAUAUAUAUAACAACUCAAUUAAUUUCCUUGUAUAACAAAUAUUGCAAACAAAAAAAGUGAUAUAUAUAUAUUAUGUAAAUUUUAAUAUGCUUUGUAUUAUGUUUUUUGGAUUCUAAAAGAAAUGCAAAAAGGGGAAAAAAAAUUUAUGGAGAACAACUCCAAAAGAAAUCCAUUUAUAACAUUUUUCUUUCCCAUCUUCUUUUUGAUAGAAAAUUCAGAUGUUUCUUAUUAUGAUUUCUUUGGCAGUCUAAGAUCCAAUAUGGUCAAGAUUGCACUCUUGGCACAACAAAACUUAUUCAACCUCAAUGCAUGGAGUUCUUAUCAGCUUUGGCAGCAGGAAAUCAAGCUAAAGUAAUGGUACAAGUUCUCUCAAAUGAAGGAGUGAACCCAUUAACAAUUGCACUAGCUGUGGCUACAAAGUAUUGCGAAGGUUGGUUCAUUUGUUUUCUUGAUCAACAAGAAGACAUAGAAAACUGCAAAGCUCAGCUUUCUUGCUAUGAUCUAGAAGAUGUGGUUGAGUUUAUGCAUGGAAAUCCUUGUGAGGUUAUCAUAAAGUUAAAGAAAAUUGAUUUUGCUGUUAUUGACUGUAAAUUUAAAGAUCACUUGAGAUUGUUUCAAAUUAUUGAUGUGAAUCCAAGAGGGUCUGUUGUAGUGGUGACUAAUCUUGUGAGGAAAGGAAAUGGAGCUGGUUUUGGUGAAGUUGCUAGAGAGAAGAGAGGUGUUGAAUGUGUGACUCUAUCAAUAGGAGAAGGAAUGGAACUGACAAGGAUUGGAGUGACUUGUAACCAUGAGAAUAAGAGAUUUCAUGUAACUUCUGAAAAUUGAAAUUAACUUUUAUAGAUCUUUGCAUUCAUUACUUGUUAGAUAAUUAAGGAAGUAUUUGAGUUAUAUUAAGGUUCCCCAGCAUAAAAGCUCAAACAAAUGAAAUUCUUUCAUAUGAAAAUUAUUUAUGGCUUGAUACAAAGAUGAAGAACAAUGGGGAAGAGAAUAAAGAAUUGCACAACACUACAGAAAAUGGUAUACAAUAGUAGGUGAUGGGAGAACUGAUAAUCAAGUGAUAUCAACUAAACCCACUUCCUGUUGACAGUAUGUAUGCCUCUAAUUAUUAGAUUCAGAUUUAUUCAAAAUGAAUUUUUUUUAGAGUAGGCUAGAUUUAUAUAUGAGGGUAAGAUGUGCUAAUAAGAGUGGAGGGUUAGAUAAAAUGAGAGACAAGAGAGGUUGAGAAUAAUGGCAAUUGCCAUUUUAGAAUCUCAGGUGGAUAGUUCAUAAAAGGGAUUUUUCAGCGAAGUGAAUUGGUGAAAAAUUGUUCUUGCUUUUCCUUCAAAAUCUAUCCACACAUUCUAUGUACACAUGUCCUCUAAACUAAGAACCACCAAAAAUUGAUCUUGCUUUUUAGCGCCAUCAGUCACAUGAAAGUGCUCUCAUGGAGCCACAACUCUCGACAACAUGCAAAUCAGAUCCUCCUAAGAGCUUUUCCAUUAAAAGCCAUUUGUUAUGAUCUUAUUGUAUCAAAGUCAGGUGUCAUGAAUUCCUAAAAACUGAUACCUUAAAAAUCAGAAAGAUAAAGACGGGAGCCAUCUACUAAGUGGUAUAAAUUUUAUCGUUUCUUUCGGGACAUAGAUAGAAUUCCACCUGUUUGUGUAAUUUCAUUUGGAGGUCAAAAACUCUUAUACCACUUGUUGUAUCAGCCAAAGUUUCAAUAUCAUGAGAUAGUGUAAAACAAAAAAAUUAUACAAAGACAGAUAAGGUUUUAACUUAACCUUGUUUGGCCAAUUGUGUUAAUAUUUACGGAUGAGAGAAAAUCAUUUUAUUAUAGCAAAAAGAAUAUUAUAGAGGAGAAAAAAAAUUGGUAUAAGUAUUGACCCCUCAUCCCAUGUUUCCUUGCUCCUUAUAUCUACACUCUAAAGUGGAGCCUUAGUUCUACCAUAUGUCACCUAUUGUUCCUCAAGUUUUUAUCUAUCAUGCAUAGUCAUCAACAACAUGAUAUAUGUUCCUUAAAUCUUUAUCUAUCAUUCAUGGUCAUCAACAACCCACCUUCAUAAGUUUUUCCUUGACAAAUUUUCUGUUAGAAGCAUGAUUAAACAAUAAUAGAAUAAACUAAGAAGGAUUAUUGGCUUGAUUUAUUUAAGUUAUGGCAAUAAUAUAUACAAAUGCAUCAAAUAGCCAUUGGAGUUAGUCAACAUUAGUUGGGUGUCUAAGGAAGGACGUUGCUUAGGAAGGGAUUCUAUACAAUACUGUGAUUGGAAAAAUAUGGGAAGAAUGGCUAAUCAAAAGGAAAAGAAUUCUGGGAAUGCUAGUGGUGAUCAAAAGCAAAGAAAUUCAUGCAAUUCUGGGAGUGAUCUUAUAGGAAGUAAUCAAAGGGAAGAUUUUAGCAGUGAUAUUGUUGGCGGUAAUUUGUUUCAACUUUUUGCUUUGGUUUCUUAUCAUUCCUUUCCAAGUUGGGAAAGGGAAUACAAUAAACUCCUAGCUUGAACCAAACAAUAGUGUUUGAGUUGCACAGAAGAGGCUUGGUGAGUAUGUCGAAGCUAAAGAUCUAUAUUUAGCUUUAGGUUUAGAAGAAGCAACAGUUAUUUGUUUCUUUUAAAGCUCUGAUAUUGAUGAGAAGGUUGUAUUUUUCAGUUAUAGUCGAUGCUUGAACACCAGGAUAUGACUCUGCUUGAAUAUGAGGAUGUGAUUCUGCACUGUUUCUCUAUACUUCUUCAAAGAAACCACUUGCCCUUCGAGAGAACCUUUAUACCACGUGAAAUCCAACCCAUCACGACCAAAUGUUAGAUUCUCCUUAUAAUUCUCUAUAGCUUUUUGAAGCUCCUCCAAUAACAACCCUCCAUGAACAUCCAUAAUUCUCUCUCCUUCUUGCUCAUUUCAAUAUCUGUUCUCUCUCUUCUUUUUCACAUACCAAAAUAAACCCAAGAAUAUCAAUGAAUUAGCACCCUUGACUUUUGCUUUUCCCUUCCUUCACAUCAAGGAUGUCAAAUAUGAAAAAAAUCUUGGCAUUCUUCCUCAAACUGUGCAUGAUGGGUAGCUACUAAUCUGCGAGGAGGAAAAAUAGAAAGAGUCAUAAUAUUCGAUAUUAAUCUUGGUUGUACUCUAGAGUUUUUUCCAUGCAUGCAUGUAGACAAACAGAAACAGAAGUAUAAGAAUCCAAGGGAAGAACUGCAAUAUCAUCUAGAGUUAGAAUUAAUCUCAAUGGAAAAGUAGGUACCUGUUGGACAAGAUACUCCCUGACCUUGAGAAUGGCUUCAAGUCUUUUGGUAUACCACGAGGAAUACACUGGCAUAGAUGGUGAGCUGAAUCUGAAAUAGGGGGAAUAAUCAACCAUUCCCUUAAGUUGUUGCAAGACAGAAUCGACUUUAAGAUGUCACGGUGUACUCCACAUGUUUAUUUGAAAUAUAUAUAUAAAAAAGAGGGUCCAUAAGUAGAGUUGUACUAUAACAGUGUUAUAUGUUCCCUGUUAUUAUAUUUAUGGAAGUGUCUUCUUUAAAAAUAUAUAUAUUUUUUAAAUUACUUAUUAAGUGUUUCUGCGUAAAGCACUACAAUGGAUUUUUAUCAAUUUUUUUAAAUAUUUCAAAAUGAUUGAUUUUUUUUUAUUUAAAAAAAACGUUUUUAAUACUAGUUCUAAAGACAAUAUUAGAAUGACUUUUAAAAUGCAUUUAAUAAUAUUUUUAUUAGAAAUGUUUUUAGGGAAAGUGUUUCCUCUAAUAAUAUUUUUGAAACAAUAAUUUAUUAAGAUUACGUUUAAAGUGAUUUUAGAAAAUAUUUCUAACAAUUCUAAAAUGAUAAAAAUUUUCAAGUACUAGAAAUAUUAAAGGUGAUUUGUAAAAUCACUACCAAACAAUUUCUAAGUGUUUUUCUAAAAAAAUAAUAUAAUUGAUUUUUCAACUUUCUAAAAGUGUUUUUUAAAUUUUUAUUAAAUAUAUAAUUUUUCUUCAAAUCUAUUUUUUUAUAUGAAAAUAUUUUCUAAAAUAAAGGUAUAACAAAAAAUAAAAGAAUAAAAGUAAAAUAAAGUUUAAAAAUAAGAUUAGAGGGCAUGGUACUAGGAGCUCGGCUGAGGAGAAAUUUGGGUUAUAUACUUUCCUUUUUCAUAAAUUUUAUAUUUAAAUACUUAAAAUAUUUGUAAGAGCCAAAUCAUAUGGUCUUUCCUCUUCUUCUUCUUCUUUUUUUUUUUUUUUUCUGUUGAGAAAUCGUGUGGACACCUCUUAAAUAACAAAAAUUACUCAACCCUAUGCCGUUGACCCAUAAAUAUUAAGCAGGUCAAGCAAUUCCAUAAAUUCUCACUUUGUUUAGAAACUAUAAAGUUCACGAAUAUUUCAUAAUAUUAUUGAAUUUUUGGCAUGAUCGUAUUCUUUAUAAGUUGAUCUCAUUUCUUACUUGAUGAAUAGUAAUUUUAUUUCAAACUUGUGCCAAAUCAUGUUAAAAGCGAGAAUUUGCAAUAAGGAAUAGUAUUUUUUUCAUAUUAAAAAUAUUGGACUACUUAAAAAACAUGUUCUUAUGAAAGAAAUCUUAACAAAAAAAAAAAAAGAUUUUAGUGUACUUUAAAUAGAUAAAUGAAUUAUUCUAUCAUUUUAUGUAAAUAUGUGAACCUGAUUCAUCUUAUUUAAAAUGGGAAGACCCCUACCCUAAACAAAACACAGAAAACAAAUUUUAACCUUCCUAUAAAAUAUGAAAAACAAAUUUUAUUGAAUUCAAAAUUUUUAUUUUUAUUUAAUUAAAAUUUUUAGAACACUCCCUUGAGCUCUUUCUCGUCACCAAGCUUGUUCUUGAUCGUCUAGGUCUACUCUCACAAAAACGUGUAGACUCCACCGUUACAUCUUGAAUUAAAUUCUCUCUUUCAGCUUCAGGUCACCAUCUAUCUCAGUAUUUUUUGUGGUAUGGCAAAUGACUUGAAGCCAUUGUCAAGGUAUGGGAGGAUCUUCUCCAAGAGGUAACUCUACUUUCCCAUUGAGAUUACUGAGUACCAACUCUAGAUGAUGUCCUCAAUUAAUUCUAUUUCAUAUCUAUAUGCAAAAAAAAUAAUUCCAGGGUACAACCAAGAAUAGUAUUGGAUAUUGUUUUGGCCCUUUCUUUCUUUCUUUCUUUUUUUUCCUACUGGCACACUUGUAGCAACCCAUCAUUACAGCUUGAGGUAUAUAUUUGAAACCAAAUAUUAUAAUAUGGUAUAAGCAUUUUGUUUAUUAUUAGGCUACAAAUUAUUAUAAAUAGAUAUAUUUAAAAAAAAAUAGUUGAUUAAUUAUGAAUAUAAUAGAAACAUUUAUCAAAGAAUUUCAAAAUAAAAAUAUAGUAAAAAUAGAAAAAUAAUGAACAGAUAUAAUAUAAUAAUAAUAUUAUAUACAAUAUAUAAAAUAUAAUGUAUAAUAAUAUAUAAAAAUAUUUUUUAUAACAAUAAUAAUAAUAUUACUACUAUACUAUACCAAAUUAAUUAUAUACAUUACACAAAAAUAGUAAUAUUAUACUUUAUAAUAAUAUAUUAUAUUGCAUAACAUAUUUUAUGUAAAUUUAUUUUCAAUAUUUUCUUAUAUUACUGAAAACUUAAAAUGAAAUAAGAUUUUAUAAAUUUUCUUUUAAACACAAUCUUUACUUUAUUAAUCCAACAUAUUUUUUAAGAAAAUGAAAAAUAAGAAAUGAAAAUUAUUUUUCAGAAAAUGAAGACUAGAAAUGCUUUUGAAACCAAAAGCAACCUAAAUGUUUGCAUCCAAAUCAAAUGGACUUUGUCCAUUUUCAGAAAACCGUGUGGGCUCUAGAGACCCUAUGUUCUUGACCCAUAAAUAUUGGUUAGGCCAACCAAUCCAUAAAUUCUCACUUGUUUUGAAACUAAAUAAAUGUUCGUGAAUAUACCAUAAAUAUUAGUGAUUUUUUACCAUGUUCCUAUUCUUUGCAAGUUGAUCUCAUUGUAUGAAAGAAAGCUUGUAAACUUGGAUUUUAUUGUAUUUAAAAAAAGUUUUAAAAAAUAUAAAUGAACUGUCAAAAUUAUGGUAUUAUAAAAUAUUUUAUAAAAAUAAGGAUGCCAAUAUUUUGUAAAAGUUAGAAGGCGAUCAUUUGAAAAUUGUUAUCUAAGAGUGCAUUUGAUAGUGAUUUUAUGAAGUGUUUUUAGAUUUUCUUAUACUUGAAAAUUUUUAUCUUUCAAGUAUUAAAAAAGCUAAAAAUACUUCCUAUAAUUGCCUACCAAACGCACACUAAAUAAUAAAAUUAUUCAAUUGUGUGUAAUCUGAAUAGUACUUUUGUUAUCACAACAUAUAGGAGUAGGAAAGAAAGAAAGACACUCAUAUUAGCAAGGAAUCAAUGUAACCAAACUAUCACAUUGGUAGUAAAUGUCACAGUAUGAUAUAUAGCUUUUGUGGAAAAUUGAGAAACGGUAGUCUAUUUUUUGCUCUUCUAAGAAAUAAGAGCAUCUCCAAAAAAUAAACAAAAUCCAAUAGAAGAAUUGUGAUUUUCGAGGUCACUAACUCAGUCAACAUUAGAAUAUGUACACAGUUCUAAGGAGAAAGUAGACAAAAGUAAAAGACACUGAAAUAGAGUGCCUCAAAGACACUUUAGAAUACAAAGAACAACAACCCAAUGAACUAUAAUAGACGAAAUAAUAAAUUGACUAAUAAGGUGAAUAACAUAAGCAAUGUUUGGAUGUGAAAUGGUGAGAUAGACCAAAAUUCCAACAAUAGUACGAUAUAAAGUUAGAUCUAACAAAUGGAUUACCAUCAAAAGAAGAAUUAUGAAUAUUAACCUCGAAAGGAGUACCAACAGUCUUAUUAUCACUAAGGUAAGCAUGAUCAAGAAUAUCAAUUGUAUACUUAGACUACAGAAGAAGAUAACCUUUUAGAGAAUAAACUACCUUAAUACCCAAAGAGUAUCAUAGAGCACCCAAAUCCUUUAUUUAAAAACGGGGAAGCCAAAUCUAAUUCAACAUUACAAUCUCAUCAACAUCAUCACCUAUAAUAAUCAUGUCAUAAACAUAUAUAGAAAGUAAAAUGUGACUAGCACUGUUACACUUUAGAAAGAGUGCAAGAUCAUGAUGAUUGGGAUGAAAGCAAAGAGAAGUAGGCUUAUUAGAAAACUUUGUAAACCAAGCACAAGUUGCUUGUUUGAGGUUGUAUAAAGCCUAUUUGAGCCUACAUACUUCUCUAGGCUUAUGAGGAACGCUAGGAAGGGGGACCAUGUAGAGUUCUUCUUGAAGAUUAUCACCAUUCAAGAAGGCAUUUUUAACAUUCAUUUGAGAUAUAUGCCACUGAUGAAUAGAGAGAACUGCAAUAAGAGUAUGAAUAGUAGUUAUGUUUAUAACAAGAGCAAAAGUCUCCUCAUAAUUCAUACCAUACUAUUGAGAGAACCUCUUAGCAACCAAUCGAACUCUGUAUCGCUCAAUUGAACGAGUAGACUGGGUUUUGAUUUUAUAAACCUAACGAAAACCAACUGUCCUUUUACUAGGUGAUAAAAGUACCACAUCCCAAGUGUUAGUAUUAUGUAAAGCAUAAAGUUUCUCAAUCAUAGUCUAUUGCCAAAGAGGAUAAAAAACGAGUUCUCUAUAAGAUAGAGGCUCAGAACACUUAUACAUAGAAGCUACAAAUGAUGUAAAAAAAAUAUGAAUAAUAGAAAUAAAUUGUUAGGAUAAAGCCCUUAAAAGUAUGACAUGAUGUAACAAAUUCGGAAUUUAUUAUUUAUUUAAUAUGAUUCUAUUUCAUUUUUAUCUUUCCUUAUUUCAUGCAUUAUAUCUUAUGAGCAUUUUGGUUUGGCAUCUCUUGCAUUGAAAAUGACUUAGAUGUAUUAGAAGUUGUACAAAAUAUCCAAGUUAUGGGUUUCUUGAAAAUAAAUGAUUUGUUCAAAGCCGAUUCAUGGACUUAGGCAAUCUAUUUAAGGUUAUAGUACACUACCUUCUAAUUAGAGGGAUGACUAGUCUUGACCAUCUUAAUAGGGUUCCCAUGAUAAGUACACUAGUGUAUACAACUACAAUAAGUCAUGACAUAGGCUAUUAAAUAGUCAUGACUCCACCAUGCUACUAAGUUGUAUUAUCCCUCAAUCUUGAAAUAAUAUUGAACUUGUGCCAAAAUUUGUUGUGACUUUGACCUAUGGGUGAGAUUCUAAAGUGAUCAUAUAUUCCUUAUGGAUUAGAUCACUAUUAAUGAAAUUUAGGAAUAAUAGGUAUUCUCAAUAGAGGCACCAUGAUAUCUCAUGAACUUUGAGACAAUAUGUCUUCUUAGGUGAUUACAAGGAGAUGUGAUAAUGAAACCUAUGGUGGUAGUAAUUCCUUAAGUAGAAUUUGACAUUUGCUCUUAUGAGCUAGGAUAUGUUAGUUGAUCACAUAAUAAAAAGAUCUGUAACUCAAAAAUGGUAGAAGUAAUCUUGAGAGACUGAUAACUUUCACCUUAUUAGAUUAUGAACACCACUUCAUAGGGAGGCUAUACAUAAUGACUAGUAGGUCAUAGAUCCGAGUUCUGUCUCAUUCUAAUAUACAUAAACUACUCAAGUGCAAUUGACUCUCUAUCAUAAGGCAUUGAGUUGAUUUUAAAAUUAGAUUUUGAGGGAGUUAGUAAUGUUUUAUGGGUCCCAAUAGUCCUCGCUUGAGCUCAUAUACUUUGAUGACAUAAUUUAUGAGGGUUAGAUUGAUUCUUGGUUCACUUAUGUCCAUAAGGGUAUUUUGGUAAAUAUGUAAGGUUGCAUAGGGAUUAGUGAACGGUAUCUAUGGACUAGGUUAAUUAAUUAAUUGGAACCCUAUUAAGUUAAUUAAUCAAUUAAGACCCUUUUUGAGCUAAAUUAAGUGGUCUUAAGUCCAAAGUGGGCUCAAGUCGCUUAAGCCUAAUAGGAAGUCUAUAAAUACUCCUUUGGGGGAAGAAGGAAGUGGAGCUAGGUUAGGGCCUCAGCUUCUUAGACUUCUGUUUCUUUCAUUCUCUCUUAUAUGUCAUGAGAGAGAACUAUAAGGAAAUGUGAUAAUGAAACCUAUGGUCGUAGUUAUUCCUUAAGUAGAAUUUGACAUUUGCUCUUAUGAGCUAGGAUAUGUUAGUUGAUCACAGAAUAAGAAGAUCUGUAACUCAAAAAUGGUAGAGGUAAUCUCGAGAGAUUGAUAACUUUCACCUUAUUAGAUUAUGAACACCACUUCAUAGGGAGACUAUACACAAUGACUAGCAGGUCACAGAUCCAAGUUAUGUCUCAUUCUAAUAUACGUAAACUACUCAAGUGCAAUUAACUCUCUAUCAUAAGGCAUUGAGUCGACUUUAAAAUUAGAUUUUGAGGAAGUUAGUAAUGUUUUAUGGGUCCUAAUAGUCCUCGCUUGAGCUCAUAUACUUUGAUGACAUAAUUUAUGAGGGUUAGAUUGAUUCUUGGUUCACUUAUGUGCAUAAGGGAAUUUUGGUAAAUAUGUAAGGUUGCAUAAGGAUUAGUGAACGGUAUCUAUGGAUUAGGUUAAUUAAUUAAUUGGAACCCUAUUAAGUUAAUUAAUCAAUCAAGACCCUUUUUGAGCUAAAUUAAGUGGUCUUAAGUCCAAAGUGGGCUCAAGUCGCUUAAGCCUAAUAGGAGGUAUAUAAAUACCCCUUAAGGGAAGGAGGGGGUGGAGCUAGGUUAGGGCCUCAGCUUCUUAGACUUCUGUUUCUUUUAUUCUCUCUUAUAUGUCAUGAGAGAGAACUAUAACCUCUAACCUUUAGAGAUUUCCACCAUCUCAAUGCCUAGACUCAAAGGACAAGUCAUCAAGUGGAGGAUUAGUGGCUUCGUGAGAUCUCCAAUGACUAUUGCCACAUUCGACAAUGUUCUUCACCAUAAGGAGUCGAUUUGGGAAUAUCUAGAUCUUAGUUAGUACUUUUAAUCUAAUAUCUAGAUCUUAAUAUUGUUUUAAAUGUUAUUUUGAUUAUGUUUCUAAGAUCUAGAUAGCCCUAGGAAGUUUUGCAUAUACUUAACAAGAUCCAAGGUCAGAUAACAAACUGAUCCGAGCUUCCCUACAUAAACAAAAUUUGGUAAUUUAGUAAACUUACAAGGGUGCUAAGAAGUACGUGGGAGAGAAAGAUCCACAGUCUUAGAAGGUGUUAGAGUAGCCAUAAGAGGAGAUGAAAGAUCAUAACAAUUGAGAAUUAAAGUACCAAUAGCUAUAGGAGAGCUAUUUGUAUUAUCCAAGAAAGGAUCAAUGCAAACAAGUUUAGACUUAGAUACAUUACAAGACUUAGCAGGAAUAGAAAAAAAAGUAUAUGCUCAAAAAAGAAAAGAUGACAAGAUAUCUAUAAUUAAUGCCUAAUCAGAUUAAAGCAAAGAUAUUCCUUUUGACCUUCACUCUACCUAAGACAAAUGCAAAUGACGAAAAGCGAAAAUAACUACUAUGCUCUACAUGAGAACAAUGACAAAAUAAGUACAACCAAAAACUCUUAAGGAAGUAUAAUCAGUAGUAUAACCAUACAACUUUUCAAAUGGUGACAAACCAAAGGUGUAGGAUGAAGGGAUUUUAUUAAUUAAGUGAACUGUAAGAAGAACUGGUUCCCCUAAGAAUUCAAUAGGACCACAUGCAAACAAUAAAAGAAAAUAAGCAUUUUCAACAACGUGCCUAUGUUUCCUCUUAGUAACACCAUUUUCUUCUAAAGUGUUAACACAAGAAGUGUGGUGACUAAUUCCAUGUGAAACAAGUAAUUCACAUAAUACAUUAAUUGAAAGUAUAUUUCCUACCAAAAUUACACCUAAAAAACUUAAUAACAAUAGAAUGUUGAGUUUUGAUAAGGGCUUAAAAGGUAUUAUAAAUACUCAAAAAAUCAAAACAAAGUGUCAUAAGAUAAACCCAAUAAUAACAAGUAUUCUCAUCAAUGAAAGAAACAUAAUAUUGAGAUCCUCCUUUUGUAAAAAUUAGGGAAGUUUCCCACAUAUCAUAAUGAACUAAAUCAAAUGGUGUGGAAGAAGAGAAAACACUUAUAUUAAAAGGUAAAGCAAAAUUUUAUGUUAGUUUACAACCACUACAAUCAGAAAUAUCUUAUGUUUGUAAAUUUCCUAAUGUUUUUGUAGAAACUAAAUACUUUAAAUGAGAAUUCAAAACUUGUCCUAAACGAGAAUGCCAUAAAUAAAAACUAAAUGAAGAAUGACUUAAAUGAAAGGAAAAAAAAAAUCAACACUUUGGGGUUGCAACUGUUGGUACUUUUAGUUCACCCAAAAUAUAUAAUUACCCCUUACCAAUGAAUUGACUCAAUCAUGCACAAAACAAGAAGUAAAGGAAAAGGAAAAUGAGUAAUCAAAGUCACAUAAUUGACCAACAUAAAGGAUUGAAUGUAGGAUUUGGAAUAUGAUAAACAUUAGAAAAAGACAAAUAAGGUGUAAUAAUAAACCAAUAUCAGCUAAAGGCAUAGGAGUGUCAUCAAUAGUCAUGACAAACACAAAAGAUGUAGGAGAUAAAGAAGCAAAAUACCCAUCUCUUCUUUAUUAUUUUCAUAUGGGAUGUUGAAUCAAGUGACAUAUGGUGAGAAGCUCUAGAGUUUAAGAUCCAUAUGGAGGAAGACAUACUUGAAGAACUAAGGGCUUACAAACCUGAAAAGGAAGACAUAACACAUGUUUGUGUGGCUAGGAACUUCUAAAACUAUUUAGGAAAGGCAACUUCCAUGGGAUUAGAGAGGAUAGUAUGGGUUUAAAUCCAAACGAGUUAGAUGAAGGAACAACUGUUGGGGUAUUAGACUAUGGAGGCUUAUAAAAAUGUUGUUGGCCAAUAUUAAACUGACUCUAUUUAGACUAUUGAGAAAGUGUUGCUGCAUUAUUCUAUGUAAGAUCUAAGGACAUUGAGCCUUAUAGUGACUCUUUGCUUAUAGUACCUACAAUAUUCAUCUAUGACAACCUUUGAAUAAGGCUUGUUCAGAUUGUUGGAAGGUGGCCUAAAAGGUACUGCUAAAUAGAUGUUUGAAGAUUGAAGAUAAUUUCUUUUCCUACCUAAGACUUAAAAUGUAUCUCCUUAGCUAACAAUUCAAUUACCAUUGAAUCAACAAAGGAAAAUGGGUUGUAAUACAAAAUGGUCUCAUGUAGUGCCUCAAAAUCACUAUAAAGGGCCAUAAAAAUUUGAACCAGUCAUUAUUCCUUUCUACAGCAAAAAAAAAAAAAAAAAAAGGCUUAAAAGACUGGAGCUCUAUUGAUUCCAUGAAAGCCAAUCGGUCCUAGAGAUCAUUCAUAGGUGAAUAGAACUCUUGAAUACUUAUGUUCUUCUACUUAAGGGCUCAAAUAUCAAUCUCUAACUAGGAAUGGCAACGAGGCAAGUUUGGGAUGGGGCACCCCUAUCCCAUUCUCGUCCCAAAAUAUAAAACUAUUUUCCAUCCCCAUCCCAAACUCGAGUUGGGGCAAGGUAAGCAUUCACAUUCCCGUUUUCAAACAAAAACUAUAAUCCCAUCCCCAUUCUUGUCCCGCCCCAUUUGGAAAAUGCAAAUCUCAAAUCCAUAAUGAAAUCUAGCUCCUGAAAAGAAAUUAUCACCUAAGAUGCAACAAAUUGCAAUCAAUUUGAAGGAAAAAAAAAACCCAUUUUUUUUUAAUCACAAUGAACCCACAAGAUUCAACUAAAUAAUUGAAACAUUUAGAUCAAAUAAAAACAACCCACGUUAAUACAAACACCAAAAACCAAUUUUUGAUGAUACCCAUAAACAUCUUUACAAAAAAAAACUCAAAUUACAAAUCAUAUAAUGAUUCAUUUGGAAAUCGAGAAAAAAACCCAUAAAAGAAAUAAAACCAACAAGAAAAACACAUUUGGAAUUAUAAUAAUGGGUAUAAUAGGAUUUCAAAUCAAUGAGAAACGAAUGGGGAAAAAACUCACAUAGAGGUGGAGUGAAGAGUGGAGGCCAUGAAAACUCUAUGAGAUCUAGUAUAAUGAGAUUGAAGAGGAGGAUUGUGGAAUAGGGAGAUAAAGGUGGUAAGAAGCUUGAGGGCCAUUGCAGUGGGUGUGAUUUUGGUUGAGUUCUGCCUUUUAUGAGAAAAAUCGCCUCCCCAAAGGCCUAGAGUGAGAAAGAGAAGCGGAGAGAAGAAUAUCUCUGUGUUUGAGAAAAAGAGAGGUUAUUUAGCAAGGAACCCUAAAAAUGAAGAGAAAUAUUUAUAGGAGUUUUUUUAUUUUUUUGGUAUAUUAAAAAUUCUACAUUCAGGGCGGGGCAUGGUGGGUUAUUAUAGAACCCAACCUCAGCCUAAACCCGAUUAACCCAUCUAAUCCCCGAUUACUAUACUCUCAUACCCAUCCUAAUAAGGUCAAGACGGAGUGGGUAACCCGUGAAGUUGCCAUCCCUAUCUCUAAUUGAUAUGUUUUGAAAAAUUAAAAUACAUAUAUAAUCUUUCUAAAUGUUCCCAAAUCUCCUUGGCAAUUUUAUAUUUCAUCAAUUGUGUACCUAUUGAAUCCUUAGUAGAGUUAUUGAUCCAAGUGAUACUUUCCAAAUUGUACGUUUACUUCGGAAUCGUCUAACUAUUCUGCAAAUUUUUAACUCUUUUCAUUCUUAGGUUUGUGUAAAGUGCCAAUAAUAUAACCUCACAUUUUUUCGCUCUUCAAAAAAAUUUUCGUCAUAUAAUUCCAACAUGAAUAAUUUUUACCAUCCAAUCUCAUACUAAUAGAUUGAAGAGAAUCAUCUCUUUUACUAGGUAUUACAAAUAAUCAGCAAAUAAGCAUAAAACAAAAGAAAACAUAUAUGAACCAAAGAAAAUGAAUGUGAAAUCAAAUACUAGGAUCAUACAAGAAAAACAAUGUGAUCACCCAUGGCAUGGCUCUACGAUCAAUACUAUUAGCAUCUUAGAUCUAAGCAACGAAAGUAAUACCAUUUUUUAAAAAUUUGAUCUUUUAGGGUUAAAAGUACUAACCUUUAGGUUUGGAUGUUCCCAAACCUUAAAUUUCAAGUGUUGAAGACGAUCUUAAAGUUGUUUGAAGUCUCGUAAACCCACGAUCUUCCACCUGAUGACUCAACCUUAUUCUUGGCACACUUUCAAUAUGGAAGAAAGGAGAGUGGAGACUAUUGAUUUUUUUCUUUCUUGAUGGUGGAAGACAAAAGUUAUGGAAAUCCUAACCCUUAGGGAGUAUUUAUAGGGAUCCUAAAUAGGUUUAAGUAACUUGAGCCCAUAUGGGCUUGGGUCACUUAAUCUAACCUAAAAUAGGUCAUAAUUGAUUAAUUAACCCAAUAGGGCUUACUAAUUAAUGAAUUACCUCAAUCUAGAGACUUUGUUCACUUACUCCUAUGCAACUUUGCAAAAUUACUAAAAUACUAUUAUGCACAAAAGUGAAUCUAGAGCCAAUUUGAUUUUCAUAAUCCGUACCAACAAAGUAUAUGAGCUUAGAGCGGGGACCAUUAGGACCAAUAGGAGCACAGGCUCUCUCAUAAUCCAAUUCUGAAGUUGAUUCAACACCCCAUUAUAGUUGAUUUUGGCACAGGUUAAAUAUAAUAACUUGGUAAAUCAUGACAAUUGAAAGCCUUGUGUCAUGAUUCACCAUAGGUCUUGUCCAGUGUGCAUCAUAUACACUAGUACACUCGCUAUGGGAAACUCAUCAACCAUCCCUCCAAUUAGGAGGUGGUGCACUACAGUCUAUACUGGAUUACCCAAAUUCAUGAACCAAUUGUGGACAACUUAUCUACUUACAAAGAACCCAUGACUUGUAUAUUUUGUGUAACUCCUAAUGCACCCAAGUCAUGUACCAUGUGACAUGGACAAAAUGCUCAAAUCAAUGUUAAUACACCAAAAGGAUACCAAGGGGAUGGUUAACUCUAACUUUGUUACAUCAUGUCCUACUUUUAAGGGCUCAAUCCCAACAAAUAUGCCAUAAAAAAUAAAAUAAAAAACAAUUGUCAUAAAUAAAGAAUUCCAUUAAAACCAAUUGCACUUUGAUAUCAUAUGUGAUUUAAAAAACCAUAUAGAGAAAGGGAAAAGAAAAUCAUGUUUCUUAUUCUAUUUACUUAAAAAAAUAUAUAUAUAGGUAUAACACAAAUGGAGUUCAAACAAGUUAAAUAAAAAAAGAAAAAGACUAAUUUACUCUUACUCCUAAAAAGAAAGAUAAUAAAUAUAAUAUAGAAAAUAAAUAACUAUAAUAUUAUUAUAAUUUAUUAUUGCUUAAUUACAAAUAGGGGUAGAAUAAUUUGUUGUUUCACCAUUGUUGGAGAUUAUUUGAGUAAAAAUAAAUUUGGGAUUAUAACAAAAGAAUACUAAAAUAUUACCAAUAUUAUUCAUAUAAUACAAAAUAUUAUUCAUAGAAAGGCCAAAGACAGAGAAAAAGAAAUGUACAGUAAAAGCAACACAAAUAAUUUUGGAAUCAUGCUCCUAAGCAUAAUAUAACUAUAAAUGUAUAUAAAAGUCUCACCUAAAAAUAUGAGAAAUUAAAAUGAAAUGUGCAAUCUUUAACACAUAGAUUAAAAACACAUAUUACUCGAGAGCCUUUCGAUGGCACAAGAGAUGUGUUGGUCCAAUAUUAUACAAAGAAAAUGUAUCAUUGUGAAUUGCUCUAUCAUAAAUGAAAUUUCCUCCACAACAUUUAUGUCAUGUUAUAAAAAAUAAAUAAAAAAUAAAAAAUAAAAACAUGAAAAUAGAAAAAAAAAUGAUAAAAAAAUGAAUAGAGAUAAAACGUAUAAGACGUAGAUUAAGAAAAUUAUAUUUUACGAAGGAAUAACUUAUUAGAGAAAAUGCAUUCUUUUUUGUCAAGGAAAGACAGUCACCUUGGUUAGAUCACAAUAUGGUUAAUUCAAGUACAAUGUACAUUUAAAUGUGUUGAAACUUGAUAUUUGAUCUCUAAUAUAAUGUGGUCGACUUAAUUCAUCUCAACUUCAAUCCAAUAUUUUUAUUUUUUUCAAACUUAAGUUGAGUUUGUGCUAGGCUAGGUAGUUAGAUAGAUUAAAUUCAAAUAAGUUUUGACUUGGUACAAUUUUAUCCCCAAAUAUUUCUUGUUAAGUAUUUGUAGACCCUCCAUUUUGUCCUCCUAGCACAUGUCCUAUUAGGUAUUUGUUUGAUACUUUAUAGCAAUUCCCUGAUGGCCCAUUACAACUCGUGUAGCCUAUCUUUUCUGUGCCACCUUGGGGACUUUGGUUGAGGGAUUAUCUAACUUCAUUGUGACUCUUGGCAGCCCUAAUUUAGACCUUAGGCCCACUUAGGCACCCUAGGUCCAUUUAGGUACACUUGGCCCAUUUAGGUACACUAGGCCCAUUUAGGUACACUUGGCCCAUUAGGGCACCACCAUAGGUCCCCUUAGGCACCCUAGGCCAUUUAGAUACACUUGGCCCAUUAGGCACCACCUUAGGUCCACUUAGGAACCCUGGACCCAUUUUGAUACACUUGGCCCGUUAUGCACCACCUUAGGACGACUUAGGCACACUAGACCCAUUUAGAUGCACUUAGCCCACUUAGGCUCACCUAUUCUUGCUUAGGUCACCUUUUUGGCACAUCCUACAUAUCUCACAUGGCUUGCAUGGCUCGUUUUUUUAAAAUCACAUGACUUGACUUUUUUAUUAUAUUUUUGUUUAUUUUAUUUAUUAUCUUGUCUAUUUCUUCCUUGAAUUUAUUUUCCUAUUAUUUUGUCACUUUUCCAUAAUACUUGUCCUUACUUAUUUAUUUUAAUUUAAUAAUUUUGUGUAAAUGUUUAUUUUAUUUUAUUUUUAUUUUAGUACUAUUAUUAUUAUUAUUAUUAUUAUUAUUAUUAUUAUUUUAUUACUUGUCCUUACUUAUUUAUUUGAAAUUUUGUAGGAAAUGUAUGGAAGGUGUGCACGAUAUUGAUAUUUGGAAUGUGGGAUUUUCUUGGAUGCAUGAUCAUUGGAGAUGGAAUGGAUACCAUAUUAAGAUUAGAAGAUACGUUUUGGGAGAGUUUUAGGAAAGGUGGCUCUCUGAGAUAAGGAAACAAUUGAAAACUAACACGGCUUGGAGAAGGAGAUUGGAGUUUGAGGUUUUUCUUUAGAAAGGGAGACAAUUAAAAAUGAAAAAAAAUAAAAAUAAAACUACCAAAUUGGUUUUGGAGGAAUUAUAAGUUUGUGCGUUUAAUGAAGAAAGUGAGAGGGUUCUUUAGAGGAAAGUGAGAUUCCUUCUUGAGAAGCAAAUAAAAGUCACCACGCAUGGAAGCUAGAAAAGGGGAAGUUCUGAGCGUGAUGAAGCAGGAGGUUUUGUUGUUUUAUGAGGAAGGAAAAGAAAUUCAGGACGUUAAGGUAGGCAGCAGAUUAAGGUUCAAGGGGACUCCAUGAAAGACGACAAAACUUCUACAUGAGGCCAAUGGAAGGUCUAACAAUGCGGAAGGGAUUUGGACUGCAAGCAAGUGAUCAUCAAAGGGGAAGACAUCGAGGAGAAAAGAGGGGUUUAGAUUAUAGGGGAAGGUCGAGGGUUCCUUCAUAUUUUCUGUGAUUUCGAUAUGGACGGGAACAAAGAUGAGGCCUUGAAAUGCUUGAAAAUUGGGAAAGAUACGUUGGAGGCAGGGGAUCGAGCCUGUGCCUUGAAAUUCAUUACGAAAGCGCGUCGUCUUGAUUUGAAUCUUCCUGUUGAUGAUCUCUUAUCGGUGAUUGAACGAGAAACAGGUCAAUUGGAGACGCCAGCCGGUGGGGCUAAUGAUAAGGCUUUGAAGGCCUCCAAUCUUCCUUUGGUUCGGCAUAGGGUUUCAUCUAGUGGGUCUUCAGCGUCGUCGUCUUCAUCAUCGGUGGUGUACACAGAGGAACGGAUCUCAAUUGUGAGGCAGUUUAAGAAGAAGAAAGAUUACUAUGAGGCUCUAGGGUUGGAGAAGAGUUGUAUUGUUUAGGAUGUUCGCAAGGCUUAUCGGAAACUAUCUUUGAAGGUUCACCCUGAUAAGAACAAGGCUCCGGGUGUAGAGGAGGCUUUUAAGGCAGUGUCUGAAGCAUUUCAGUGUCUAAGCAAUGAAGAGAGCUAGAAAAAGUACGAUUUUGUUCGGUCGUAUGAACCAAUUUAUGAGCGGCAUUCAGUGACUCGCAGGGCAAACGGUUUUAAUAGGUUCUAUGAUGGCGGUGUUGAUGCAGAAGAGAUCUUUAGGAACUUCUUUUUCAGUGGAAUGCCUCAAGAAACCACCCAGUUUCGGGGGUUCGCAUUCGAGAUGGAAUGGGAAUAAGAAUGGAGCCAAUGUAUGCAUUCGCUAGAUCUUACCCAUAUGAAUACCGGUUUGUCACACAAAAGGGAGUGAAUUAUUAUGUGAAGUCAACCAAAUUUGAGCAAUAUUACCCUCCAAAUAGCCAUGAAUGAGUGGCUUUUGAGGCACGGGUUGAGAGAGAAUACUUUGCACUUCUGUCACAGAAUUGUCGGCAUGAGUUGCAGCGUCUCCAGUGGGGUUUAAUGCGGAAAACACCACAUUGUGACAUGUUAAAAUAGUUUGAGCUUGUGGCAUUAAUGACCUCAAUCAAGGUUUGUGCUCAUUGCCACUAUUUCAAAUUUUCUAUUUUGAAGAAAAUGCAUUUGAAUUUUGGAAUUUUGCAUUGAAGAUAUGAAUGAUGGGUGUAGGAUGCAAUCUUGGGGUUAUUGCUUGUUUUAAAUGAUUCUUAUUCCUAAUUAUGCUAAUUUUCAAUUUUUUUAAUUUUUUUCAAACUUUAGUGUUGAAAUAUUAGGUUAUUGCUUGUUUCAAAAACUUCUUAAUUUUGAUGGUAUUAAUUCUUAAUGUUGCAUUUAUAUUGAUUUGGCAAGUUAGAUAAUAAAGUUGUUGUACCUUUUAUGGGUUUUUUUUUUAGUGUUAAAAUUAUAUUGUUUUGGUCGGUUAAAUGAUUAGGUUAAAUUUUUUUCUUUUGGUCGGUUAAAAUAUUAGAAUUUUUUUUAUUUAUUAAAUUGGCAUUUUGAGUUGAAUCAAAUUUUAUUAUUUAAAAAAAAAUGAAUUUUGUCAUCAUAAGUUUGGCUCCUUGAUCCCAAAUGAAAGGUAGCUAAAAAGGAGGGUCCAAUUUAGCUUUUCUCUUGUUUUCAAAACCCUCUUAAGUUAUAAAUCAAAAAAAUUUAUUUUGUGCCUAGUGAUUGGGAUUUAAAAAAUCAUUGGGUCCCUCUUUUGUUUCUUCCCUUAAAGUCAUUUUCAAAAGCAUUCAAAUCACCAAUAAAAGGUUUUAGAAAACACUCAUUCUAGCUUUAGGCAAAGAACACACUUUCUAUUAAAAUUAUGCAACUCAUUUCAUUUACAUUGCGUUUCUCCUUUGUUGUUUUUUUUUAAAAAAAAAAAUUGGUUUUUUUAUUCACAUAGGUUUGGACUUGUGCUCCCAAACUAAUGGGGAUACACAUGUAAAAACUUACAAAAAUUGAAUGCGACUUGAUGGAACCCCUACAUAAGAAAAUUUUUCAAAACUCUUCCUUGCUACCAGUUUAUACUUAGCCACUGACCCUUUAGAUUUAAAAUUUGUUUUAGCAACUUUAGAAUGUUUUUUUAAAAAAAUUCCAAAACUUGUAUGACUUUCCUCACUUCUUGAACGUGAAUUUAAAGUUUCGUUUGAGUUAGAAAGCAAUUAUGGAAUAGAAGAUAUGAAUGAGUUUUUAGGGGGGUUCUGUUUUCACCUAGUUCUAUACACCUGAAACCUUUUUGUAAAAAUAAAAUAAUAAAUGACCUUUGACUCGAUAUUUUUUCUUGAUUCUAAACUUCUUGAAAUUGAUCUUAGACACAUAAAAUAUUAAAAAUAUAUGCUUUUUUGAGAGAGAUACGAUUUUUCAAAGUCGUGCAUAUUGUGCACGCCGGAUUCUGGACAUCUGAUUAGCUUGAGUGUUUUAAAAAUAUUUUUGAGUAAUAUCUGACCUUGGAUUCUAUUUUUAUGUGAUAUAGACACUUUGAAAUAUGUGUGUGAUUUUUUUUUUAAUGAUUUUAUGUGAUCAUUUAUUAUUUUGUUUAAAAAAUUGUUUAUGCAUGUCAAUUUUUCUUAUCUAAUCUGGACUUUGUAGAACCUUUAGGUAUCUUUGCUGCAAUCUGUCAUUUGAAUGGGGUUUGGAUUUUGGUAUGUUGAUCUAGAUGUGUAGGAGUUGUUUCCUAAAAAUUUUCAUAAUUAAAUUCCAUUCUAAGCCAUUUUUUUAGAAAUUGUUUUGUGAUGCUUCCUUUUCUAAUUGCAUGCUGAUGGUUUUAUACUUUACUCGAAAUUGUUAUUAUUUUUAGAGUCAUUUGAUUUUAUCUUAGCUUGAUUACUACUCAAAAAGUGCUAUUUUAUAGUUUUUAAUUAACUCUUUUAAACACUUUUGGGUAGUAGUUAUUACCUUUUAACUCAAUUGACAUGUUAAGGACCCUUGCAAUCAUUUCUAAUCAAAUUGUGUUAAGUUUUAGUGUUUUUGAUAGCUUUUUGAUCACAAAAGCAAUCUAAGAUGAGGGAGAGCUUUGUAUAAUCCAUGGCAAAGCAAAUGGAAGCUCAUUUACAGUAAGAAUCCAAGCUUUGGAGCUUUGUAGUCCUUUGCCAAAGCCAAAUCAAGAAUGCAAGGAGGAAAAACAGAGAGAGGAAUCUAAUAUGAAGAAAUUCAAGAGGAGAGCAGCUGCAGGGCACAUUCCAAGCACUUCCUGGAGUCCAUUUUUUACAUGCUAUAUAUUUUUUUGAAGAUCGAGAAGUCAGAAAUCCAAUGCUUUAAACAGUGUGCAAAUCGGAGCUAAAAUGAAGAAGUUAUGGCCAUUGGAAGACAACCGCAUCAAGCUGAAAGACAAUUUCACAAGCUGCGAAAUCACAAAAGUCAACUUGCGAAAUCAAGGUCCAACUUGCGAAAUUUUCGCAAGUCAUGUUUCAACUUACAAAAUCCACCUGUGUACUCCCAGAUAUUUGUGACUGACUCUUUUAGAUUUUUUUCUUCAGAUAUUUGUUGUUUAAAUCCCUAUUUUCUCAUUGUAAUCCACCAAUCAUAGGAUUCCUUAGUUAGAAAGUAAGAAGGAAGGGUGAAUAACCUUCUAUAUAAUCUAUUGUAAUUUUUCUUUUAAAGAGAGCUCGGAGAGUUUUUUCUCAGAGACAACACUUUUAUAUAGUUUUGAAUAAAGUAAUACACAGAGCUUUGCUUUGCCUUACCUACUCAUUUUGAUUGUAUUUUUCUCACUAGCCAAACAAACUCUGAGGAUGUUUUCUCAGAGGAUGAGUGGCUAGGUUUUUUGUUUCUUGGAGUGAAGGAAGCUAGGUAAGGUUCCGAAUACAAUAAUUAGAAGUUUUGUUGUUUCAGUUUUUAAUGAAGAGAAAGUGUGACCCGUUAAUGGUUUUUAUCUUUAUAGUUAACUUAAAAUGCCUUAAAAUCACCUGGGCCAACACUUGGUAAGGCAAGUGGACUCCGUCCAUUGAGUUACACUAUUUUAUCUCUUGCGAGCCUUUGGGAGGUGCUUUAAAGGUAGGAUUUUCUAGAAUAGCCAACACUUGGUAAGCUUUUAGACUCCAAGGAGACAUCCAUUAGUUAUCUCUUGCGAGCUUUUGACAGGUAAUCCAAGGUUAAGGAUCACCUUGAAUGUCCAAUACUAGGUGAGAGGUAUGAACCAUUGCAAGAUGAUUCAGUGACAGGGAAUUAGUGUUUGAAUCUAUAAAAGGGAAGCAUCUGUACCAUACCGGUUCGGGAAAUAACUAUAUGUUAAAUCCCCAAUGCGAGGAAAAGAUUCAAGUGACCGAAACUCUCUUUUUGCAUAGGAACUUGAGCCCAAUGAUCUAAAAACUCCAAGAAACACUUUUCUUUGUAAGUAAUUUUCGUUACCUUAUUAUUGGUUUCACUUAAAAACCAACCUUUUCAAACAUCUUUAUGUUUUCUUUUAAAGCUAACCUUGAAAUGAAAAAGCACCAAUUCAGCUUCGAAUUAAUAUCAGUUGUAAUUUGAAAACCUAUCCCAGUGAACGAUCCUAGAGCCACUAUGCUAUGCUAGCUAAGGCUAUCCUAGUACAUGGUGAAAUAGGUUUAUAAAUUUUGUUGAUUACUCCCGUCUAAGGACCAAAAUCAAGGGACACCAGUUGACUGAGCACCAAUCAAUAGGACAUACACCAGUUGGGCAUGAAUCAAAUGGCGUCGUUGCCGGGGAUGGUGCCAACUUUAUAGUGAUAUUACCCUUUCAGAGUACUUGUGAUCUUCAUCACAAGUUUGGUGAUUUUUCUUUCAUUUUACUAACUCUUUUUAAUUGUUUCUUUUACUUGUUCAUAUUUUAACCCAUAUUUUAAUUCAGUUUUAAUUAAUCUUAGUCUUUUUGUAGAUUUGUUUUCUUUUGUUUCUUUGUUUUUGUUACAUUUGUUACUUGUUGUGUAUGUCAUAUUGGAUACGAGACAGUAGAGGAAGACUGGUGAAAUUUGAAACACCUCAUAAAACAGAGUUGGAAUUGUGCUUGAACAUCAUGGUCACCAGGACAAUCCUAAUGCAUUCAGAUCAAUGAGGGACCACAUGCAUCCACCUUAUAUGAGUGCACCAUCAUGCAUAGUGCCUCCUACAGAGCAGCUAGUAAUCAGACCGCAUAUUGUGCUGCUUCUACCUACUUUCCAUGGGAUGGAAAGUGAGAAUCCCUACGCGCAUAUCAAGGAAUUUGAAGAUGUUUGUAAUACAUUCCAAGAGGGGGGAGCUUAAAUCGACUUGAUGAGGCUAAAGCUAUUUCCUUUUACUUUGAAGGAUAAGGCCAAGAUUUGGCUUAAUUCUUUAAGGCCAAGGAGUAUCCGAACUUGGACUGAUUUGCAAGCUGAAUUUCUCAAGAAAUUUUUCCCUACUCAUAGGAUAAAUGGCUUGAAAAGGCAAAUUUAAAACUUCUCAGCUAAAGAGAAUGAGAAAUUCUAUGAGUGUUGGGAGAGAUACAUGGAAGCUAUCAAUGCUUGUCUUCACCAUGGUUUUGAUACAUGGCUAUUAGUGAGUUACUUUUAUGACGGUAUGUCUUCCUCAAUGAAGCAACUCCUCGAGACUAUGUGUGGAGGAGAUUUCAUGAGUAAGAAUCCGGAGGAAGCCAUGGAUUUCUUGAAUUAUGUUGCUGAAGUCUUAAGAGGAUGAGAUGAACCGAACAAAGGAGAAGUGGGAAAGACGAAGUCUCAACCAAAUGCCUUUAAUGCUAAGGUUGGGAUGUAUACCUUGAAUGAAGAUAUUGACAUGAAAGCAAACGUUGCAGCUAUGACAAGAAGAUUGGAGGAGCUAGAACUGAAAAAGAUACGUUAAAUGCAAGCCGUUACUGAAACACCAGUGCAAGUCAUGCCUUGUUCUAUUUGUCAAUCUUAUGAGCAUUUGGUAGAAGAGUGUCCUACAAUUCCAGCUGUUAGAGAAAUGUUUGGAGAUCAAGCGAAUGUCAUUGGACAAUUCAAGCCCAACAACAAUGCUUCAUAUGGAAAUACCUACAAUUCAAAUUGGAAGAACCAUCCAAAUUGUUCCUGGAAGCCAAGAACACUUCAGUACACACAACCAGGCCAAGCAUCUCAACAAGCUUCAAAUCUUGAGCAAGCAAUAGUGAAUCUAAGCAAGGUCGUGGGAGAUUUUGUUGGAGAUAAAAAAAUCCAUCAAUGCUCAACUCAGUCAAAGAAUUGACAGUGUAGAGAAUACAUUGAAUAAAAGGAUGGAUGGAAUGCAAAAUGAUUUACCUCAGAAGAUAGAUAAUCUCCAAUAAUCAAUCUUAAGGCUCAUUAACCUUAACAUAGUGCAAGAAAAGAGGAGAUUUCCUUCUCAACCUCACCAAAACCCCAAGAGUAUCCAUGAAGUGGAAGCUCAUGAGGGAGAGUCUUCACAGGUGAGAGACGUCAAAGCCUUGAUCACUCUAAGGAGUGGUAAAGAGGUUGAGAUGCCUACAACCAAGCCACUUUUUGAAAAAGAGGAGGCAGAAGAAGAGACAGAGAAGAGGGAGGAAAUCAAAGGAAAUAAGAAAGAUAACAGUGAAAGGAAAGAGGACCAUGAUUCAACAAUGAGUGAAAAUCCAGAGAAAAUAGUUAUCAAGGGAGAUGUGAUAAAGAAACACAUACCUCCACCUUUUCCUCAAGCUUUGCAUGGAAAAAAGGGAAUAAAAAAUGCAUCAGAAAUUCUUGAAGUAUUGAGACAGGUGAAAGUCAACAUCCCAUUGCUAGAUAUGAUUAAACAAGUGCCGACUUAUGCUAAAUUCGUGAAGGACUUGUGUACUAUCAAAAGAGGGUUGAAUGUGAAUAAGAAAGCCUUCUUGACUGAGCAAGUAAGUGCCAUCAUACAGUGCAAGUCUCCAUUGAAGUACAAAGAUCCAGGUUGCCCUACCAUCUCAAUGAUGAUUGGAGGAACUGUAGUGGAGAAAGCUUUGUUAGACUUAGGGGCAAGUGUGAAUUUGCUACCAUACUUUGUCUACAAGCAAUUGGGACUUGGUGAAUUAAAGCCAACAUCAAUCACUCUAUCUCUAACAGAUAGAUCAGUGAAAAUUCUAAGAGAGAUAAUUGAAGAUGUCUUCGUUCAAGUUGACAAUUUCUACUAUCCAAUGGAUUUUGUUGUUCUUGACACAGACCCAAUUGUCAAGGAAACUAAUUAUGUUCCUAUCAUACUUGGAAGACCAUUCCUAGCUACAUCAAACGCACUCAUAAAUUGUAGGAAUGGACUCAUGCAACUCACAUUUGGCAACAUGACAUUGGAGCUCAAUAUCUUCUAUAUGUCUAAAAAGUCAAUCACUCCGGAAGAAGAGGAAGGUCCAGAAGAGGUAUGCAUCAUUGACACUUUAGUGGAGGAGCAUUGUAAUAAGAAAAUGCAAGAGAAGUUGAAUGAAAGUCUUAGGAAUCUUGAUGAAGGGUUGUCUAAACCCUCAGAUUUGCUUGCUACUCUACAAGAUUGGAAGAGGAUAGAAGAAAUUCUACCUUUGUUCAAUAAAGAGGAGGCACAAGAAGCUGUUAAAGAGGAGCCCCCAAAGCUUAAUCUGAAGCCCCUGCCCACAAAGUUGAAGUAUACAUACCUAGAAGAGAAUAAGAAGUGCCAUGUUAUUAUAUCUUCAUCUCUUACUACUCCUCAGGAAACAUGUUUACUUGAAGUUCUCAAGAGAUGUAAGAAAGCAAUGGGAUGGCAAAUAUCUGACUUGAAAGGCAUCAGUCAUUUAGUCUGUACACAUCAUAUAUACCUGGAAGAAUAAGCUAAGCCAAUUCAUCAACCUCAAAGAAGAUUGAAUCCUCAUAUACAAAAGGUGGUGCGAGCUGAGGUUCUUAAGCUACUUCAAGCCGGUAUUAUCUACCCUAUAUCAGAUAGCCCAUGGGUGAGUCCUACUCAAGUAGUAUCAAAGAAAUCAAGGAUCAUAGUGGUGCAAAAUGAAAAGGGAGAAGAAGUUGCUACACGCCUCACUUCAGGUUAGAGGGUGUAUAUUGAUUGUAGAAAAUUGAAUGUUGUGACAAGGAAUGAUCAUUUUCCAUUGCCAUUUAUUGAUCAAGUGUUGGAGAGAGUCUCAGGCCAUCCUUUCUAUUGUUUCUUAGACGGCUACUCCGGGUAUUUUCAAAUAGAAAUUGAUGUUGAAAACCAGGAGAAGACCACCUUCACAUGUCCAUUUGGAACAUAUGCUCACAGAAGAAUGCCUUUUGGUUUAUGCAAUGCACCUGCAACAUUCCAAUGAUGUAUGUUAAGCAUUUUCAGUGAUAUGGUGGAGCGUAUUAUGGAGGUUUUUAUGGAUGACAUCACCAUAUAUGGAAGUACAUUUGAAGAAUGCUUAGUUAACUUGGAAGCGGUUCUGAACCGAAGCCUUGAAAAGGACUUAGUGCUUAACUAGGAGAAAUGCCAUUUUAUGGUACAACAAGGAAUUUUCCUUGGCCACAUCAUUUCCAAGAAAGGCAUUGAAGUUGAUAAAGCAAAUGUGGAACUUAUUAUCAAAUUGCCAUCCCUAACAAUUGUAAAAGGAGUAAGGCAAAUCCUUGGCCAUGUUGGGUUUUACAGGAGGUUUAUAAAAGAUUUCUCUAAACUUUCAAAGCCUCUUUGCGAACUAUUGGGUAAGGAUGCUAAAUUUGUAUGGGAUGAGAGAUGCCAAAAGAGUUUUGAGCAACUGAAGCAGUUCUUGACAACCGCUCCAAUAGUGAGGGCUUCUAGCUGGCAACUACCUUUUGAAGUGAUGUGUGAUGCCAGUGACUUUGCUAUAGGAGUUGUUCUUGGUCAAAGAGAGGAUGGAAAGCCCUAUGUGAUCUACUAUGCAAGCAAAACAUUGAAUGAAGCGCAAAGAAACUACACAACCACAGAGAAAGAAUUGUUAGCUGUAGUUUUUGCCUUAAACAAAUUUCGUGCUUAUCUAGUAGGGUCUUUCAUUGUUGUUUUUACUGACCAUUCAGCCUUGAAGUACUUAUUAACAAAGCAAGAUGCAAAAGCAAGGUUGAUUAGAUGGAUUCUCUUACUACAAAAGUUCAAUCUCCAAAUCAAAGAUAAGAAAGGAAUGGAGAAUGUGGUAGUUGACCACCUUUCAAGGUUGGCUAUAGCACAUAAUUCCCAUGUUUUACCUAUUAAUGAUGAUUUUCCGGAGGAGUCACUUAUGUUGCUAGAAGAUGCUCAUUGGUAUGCUCAUAUUUCUAACUAUCUAGUUACUGGUGAAGUUCCAAGUGAGUGGAAAGCACAAGAUAAGAAGUACUUAUUUGAAAAGAUUCAUGCCUACUAUUGGGAAGAACAUUUUCUUUUCAAGUAUUGUGCAGAUCAAAUAAUAAAGAAGUGUGUCCCUGAACAAGAGCAACAGGGAAUCCUCAGUCAUUGCCAUGAAAGUGCAUGUGGAGGCCACUUUGCCUCUCAGAAAACAACCAUGAAGGUGUUGCAAUCAGGUUUUAGUUGGCCAUCACUUUUCAAAGAUGCUCACACCAUGUGUAGGAGCUGUGAUAGAUGCCAAAGGCUUGGGAAGCUGACACAAAGAAAUCAAAUGCCUAUGAACCCCAUUUUAAUAGUCGAUCUCUACGAUGUUUGGGGCAUUGACUUCAUGAGACCUUUCCCUAUGUCUUUUAGUAACUCUUACAUUUUGGUGGGGGUAGACUAUGUUUCUAAAUGGGUUGAGGCAAUCCCGUGUAAACACAAUGAUCACAGAGUUGUUCUCAAGUUUCUCAAAGAGAACAUCUUCUCAAGAUUUGGGGUGCCAAAGGCCAUAAUCAGUGAUGGGGGUACUCAUUUUUGCAACAAGCCUUUUGAAACUCUUUUAGCCAAGUAUGGGGUGAAGCAUAAGGUAGCUACACCUUACCACCCUCAGAUUUUCGGGCAAGUAGAGUUAGCAAAUAGGGAAAUCAAGAAUAUAUUGAUGAAGGUGGUGAACACGAGUAGAAGAGAUUGGUCUGUUAAGCUCCAUGAUUCACUAUGGGCAUAUAGAACAGCUUACAAGACUAUUCUUGGCAUGUCUCCUUAUCGCCUAGUCUAUGGAAAAGCAUGUCAUCUCCCUGUGGAAGUUGAAUACAAGGCUUGGUGGGCAAUUAAAAAGGUAAACAUGGACUUGAACAAAGCCGGGAUGAAGAGGUGCUUAGACCUUAAUGAGAUAGAGGAAUUAAGAAAUGAUGCCUACAUCAAUUCCAAAGUUGCAAAAUAGAGGAUGAAGAGGUGGCAUGAUCAGUUAAUCUCCAACAAAGAAUUUCGAAAAUGACAAAGAGUCUUACUCUAUGACUCUAGGCUCCAUAUCUUUCCAGGAAAGCUAAAGUCAAGGUGGAUAAGACUUUACAUUAUUCACCAAGUGCAUCUCAAUGGAGUAGUGGAACUACUAAAUUCCAACAGCACGGACACUUUCAAAGUCAAUGGCCACCGUCUCAAACCAUUCAUGGAGCCAUUCAAUCAAAACAAGGAGGAAGUCAGUCUUCUUGAGCCACAGAAAUCCUAACUAAAAAGGGGUUAGAUGGACUUAGUCUUUUUGAAGACUAAUCAAGGUCCACAUGUUUUUGUUGAUUUAAAAGCUUUAUUAAUUGUUUUUAUUUUGAUUUUUUGCUUUGAUUUAUUUUAUUUUGAUAUAACUUAGACUUUUUGAAUGAUCAAAAUCAGGAGGAAUUUCAAAGGAAGUGGAGGGAAGCCAUAAAGAACCAAAGAAGGAGAAAAACAGAGGAAUUUUUUUAACUUGCGAAAAUUUCGCAAGUUGAAAAAUCAAGUUGCGAAAAUGAGGGUCAACUUGCGAAAAAAUUUGCAAGUUGAAAAGCCAAGUUGCAAAAAUUUUCGCAGCUACGAAACACCCUCUAGGCACACGUGUGCCAUUUCUCAUCUUCAAAAGCCCAUUUUGCAGCUGCGAACCAAGUUGCAAAAUCCUCAAAGCAAAAUUUUGCAAGUUCAGUCUUCAAGUUGUGAAAAUUUUCGCAACUGCAAAACACCCUCUAGGCACACGUGUGCCAUUUUGCAUUCUCAAAACCCAAUUUUGCUGCUGCGAAAUAAGUUGUGAAUUAGGUUGCGAAAUCACCUUCAAGUUGAGAAAUGGCCUUAAGCUGCGAAAAUGCCAAUCGUCAUUUAAAGGUCUAUUUAAACCUCUAUUUUUCUCAAUUUUUGUUUCACACAGCCAUUUCAACUUGCGAAAAAGCUCUUCAAGUUGCGAAAUCCAAGAAUUAGAGAGGACCCUCUCCAAAAGAAGCCUAGAGCAUGUGCGUCUGAAGAAGACCACCCCGCGCACCUCCGCAUACCCUUUGGAACACGAACCUCUCCACUUCAGCCAUGGCCAAGACGAGAGGAGCCCAAACCCUGUCUCCAUCAGCUCACAACAUCAGACCGAGAACUUCACCUGCACGAGACUCCAUGUCUGAGGCUCCACAGGCCCACGCCAUUCCACCUUCCGAGGGUGGAGUACCGCCUAGUCCUCCUCACCGAAGGUACGAGACUAGGAGACCACCCACUACACUAAGGGCAAGCUCUUCACGCCCCAAGAAAUCAGUUAGUCGCCCUCCUGCAAAGAGAGCCAAAGUUUCAGGCCCAAUAGAGUCAUCAGAACCUCCACAGCCUCAGCCGCCUACUACUGAGUCUCAGAUUCCUUCUAGGAUGACUUCGGAAGUGAUUAUUAGGCAACCUAUGGUUACUCAGCCACCUAUAGAAGGAAAUUUGGAUUGCCGAGCUAGGUCAUUCCACUCCGAGCUAUGCUUUGGUAGAGAGGCUUUCAAACACCAGCCGGAGCUCAAAGAUUCAUUCCACCUAUUGCAAAGAUACCAUUUGGAGCACCUAAUGACUCCAAGGGAUUUCUUCUAUCCCCGAGUAGCAUUAGAAUUUUAUCAUUCUAUGACUACGCAUCGCGUCCGGGAUCUUGCUGUUAUCCACUUCACUAUUGAUGGAUGCCAUGGUAUCUUAAGAGCAAGACACAUUGCAGAGGCCCUGCACAUUUCAUAUGAGCCUAUGAGUCCAGCAGAUUACAGAGAGUGGGCUCAUUUUUCUUAGAGCGACAUGGUCCGUAUUUGUCCAGGGGGACAUCCACACGCUCAUUUCUUUUUAGGAAGGAGCUUCCACCUAGCAUGUUUCUUCUAGAUGUGUUCCUGUGCUCCAACAUGUUUCCACUUCAGCAUAUGGUGCAGAGGAGAUGAGCUAUACUAGAGGCUUUGUUUAGGAUAUCAAAGGGUUUUUACUUUGGCCCUCAUCAUUUGAUUAUGACCUCUCUUCUUUACUUUGAAGAGAAGGUCCAUAGGAAGAAACUACAGAGAGCAGAUGUCAUUCCACUACUUUUCCCUAGGCUGCUUUGUCAGAUAUUAGAGCAUUUGAGCUAUCCUUAUGAGCCUCAGCUCGAGCGUCGACGCAUUUGAUGAGAGAUAUUCACUCUCGACAAAUGGACUCAUAUGACGGCUUAUGUUGCACAUCCAGGAGCCCCAACUAGGCCAGCAUAUCCGGAGAUACCACAAGACGAGUAGCCACAGCAGGCUGAGAUACCUACGGAGAUCAUACCACCUGCCCUUGCAGCACCUUCUACAGUGCUCACGCCUGAGGCUACAUCUUCUGCUCCUCCUACCACUCCUGGGACUCCACCAGUCGUACCAGCUACAUCAGCGCCUUCUCCACUUGAGUCUACUAUCACCAUAUCCGCUUCAGAGUUCAGAGGCCUAUGUCAUACAUUGCAAACAUUGACCACUACUCAGAGCGUUCUUGCCUAGCAGAUGGCAGUCAUACGUGCACAUCAGGAUCAACUUAUUGCCACCCAGACCCAGCAUACUGCCAUCCUUAGGCAAAUACAGCAACAUUUGGGUAUUUUGUCUUCACCUGAGCAUGAUAUGCCUGGUCCAUCAGAGCCUAUGGAUCCAUCUCAGGAGGCUCCUCCAGCAGAGUAGACUGUGUCCCAUGAGAAGACUACUACAGUAGAGAUCGAGACUCCGAUCCAGAACACUCAGACUACCACAGCCGAGCCAUCAUCUCCACACGAUCCUCCCACCACUACCUGAUCAUCUUUCUACUUUUGUUUUUUGUAUUUACUUAUUAUAGUAGAACUCAUAAUCCCAUGUUUUUUUUUUAUGUUUUAUAUACUGGGAUUGGAUGUAUUACUUGUCUAUAGUUCAUAUUGUAUUUUCCUAGUCAAGUAAUACAUAUCCAUCAUUUUUUAGUAUACUUGGCAUACUAUCAUUUUAUUUCCUCUACUCAUAAUUUUUUGUUGUUUUUGAAUCAUGUUGUUUCUCCUAGACGACUUAGACUUCAUGUCACUUUGGAGGCACCACUUCCUCCCUGUAUUUUCAAUCGCUCUUGCCACAUUGAGGGCAAUGUUCAGCUUGGUUGGGGGGAAGAGAGUUAAGGAAGGAAGUUUUGCUUUUAAUGCUAAGUUAUUUUGGUAAUUUAGUUGUUUUUGCUUAAUUUAAAAAAAAAAUUUAAGUUUUUAUUCUACUCUCCAUGGUUAUUAAGGAAAAAUUCUCAAAAUGAAAAGGGAGAAAUUGAAUUUUUGUCUUUUUACUUGACUUAGAACUUGUAUUAUGCUUGUUAAAGUUGAUGAAUUGUUGAAACUUCUAUUGAAUUCAACCUUAUUUCUUCCACUUUAAGCCAUUCACACAUUGUGCACACUAGGUUUUGAUUAUAAGAUGACAAACUAUUUCACCCCCUUGACUUAGAAAAAAUUAGACUUGGUACUUUUGACCUCAUUUAAUAGUGUUGGGACACCUUAUAAGAGGCCAAUGAGCCUUUGAAAAAAAAAACAAAAAGAUAAACAAAGAAAAAAAAGUUUUACUUGCCUUGAAACCCGAGCAAGGUCUAAGGGGUAUAUGGUGAAAAUCUUUAAAACCUGGUGCCCUAAGCCUUCAUUGGUUGGGAGUCACUGACCUCAAUGCUUGUUACAAGGGUGAAUAGGUGAAGUUUAACAUACUGUAGGUGCUUGGGUAUUAAAAUUCAUUCUCAAAAGUCCGGGGUAAAAUCUGAGGAGUUAGUGGUUGAAAGAUCCUUAAAGCUUGAUGCCCUAAACCUUAAUUGGUUGGGAGUCAUCGAUGGACCUUCGUUACAUGGACAAUUUAGAAAACAAUACCUUUAGGUUUGUACUCCUACAAUGAAAAAAAUUGUGAACCAAGAGGUGCGUUCAUAGCCUAUUGAAGGUUGUCAGUUUGCUAAGAGUUGGAAAAGGACUAGGUUGAGGGAAGAGAUUAGUUCAGCAUACUAUAUUCAAAAAAUAAUAAGUAACACAUAGAUUUUUGUGGAAGAGUUAGGAUUGACCCUUUGGGAGUGGAAAGUAUUUUGAAACUUAAAUUUGCAUAAUGUCUUCUCUUCAUGAAUUGUGAUUAGACAAGUUAUUUGAUAACUCUUGUUGAAGUUUGAGUUUUAUAUCUUUAAUGUUCCAUGUGAGAGUUUGAUCAUCAUGCCACUUGAAUUUUUUUGAUGUAAUCAGCAUGAUGUUGUAAAUUAUAGUAUUGUUUAUUUUUAUUUUUCUCUCCUUCAUUGCUAAGGAACUAGCAAUAUGUCGGUUGGGAGGAGUGAUUACUACUAAAAAAAAUGUUAUUUUAUAGUUUGUAAUUAACUCUUUUAAACAAUUUUGGGUAGUAUUUAUUACCUUUUAACUCAAUUGACAUGUUAAGGACCCUUACAAUCGUUUCUAAUCAAAUUGUGUUAAGUUUUGGUGUUUUUGAUAGCUUUUUGAUCACCAAAGAAAUCUAAGAUGAGGGAGAGCUAUGUAUAAUCUAUGGCAAAGCAAAUGGAAGCUCAUUUACAAGAAAAAUCCAAGCUUUGGAGAUUUUUAGUCCUUUGCCAAAGCCAAAUCAAGAAUGCAAGUAGUAAAAACAGAGGGAGGAAUCUUACAUGAAGAAAUUCAAGAGAAGAGCAGAUGCAGGGCACAUUCCAAGCACUUUCUGGAGUCCAUUUUUUACAUACUAUAUAUCGUUUCGAAGCUUGGGAAGUCAGAAAUUUAACGCUUCAAACGGUGUGCAAAUCGGAGCUGAAAUAAAGAAUUUAUGGCCAUUGGAAGACAACUGUGCCAAGCUAAAAGAUAAUUUCGCAAGCUGCGAAAUCACAAAAGUCAACUUGCGAAAUCAAGGUCCAACUUGCGAAAUGGACAAUUCAACUUGCGAAAUUUUCACAAGUCAUGUUUCAAAUUGUGAAAUCCACCUGUGUACUCCCAGAUAUUUGCAACCGACUCUUUUAGAUUUUUUUUCUUCAGAUAUUUGUUGUUUAAAUCCCUAUUUUCUCCUUGUAAUCCACCAAUCAUAGGAUUCCUUAGUUAGAAAGUAAGAAAGAAGGGUGAAUAACCUUCUAUAUAAUCUAUUGUAAUUUUUCUUUUAAAGAGAGCUUGGAGAGUUUUUUCUCAGAGACAACACUUUUGUAUAGUUUUGAAGAAAGUAAUACACAGAGCUUUGCUCUACCUUACCUACUCAUUUUGAUUGUAUUUUUCUCACUAGCCAAACAAACUCUGAGGAUGUUUUCUUAGAGGAUGAGUGGCUAGGUUUUUUGUUUCUUAGAGUGAAGGAAGCUGGGUAAGGUUCCAAAUACAAUAAUUGGAAGUUUUGUUGUUUUAGUUUUUAAUGAAGAGAAAGUGUGACCCGUUAAUGGUUUUUAUCUUUUUAGUUAACUUAAAAUGCCUUAAAAUCACCUGGGCCAACACUUGGUAAGGCAAGUGGACUCCGUCCAUUGAGUUACACUAGUUUAUCUCUUGUGAGCCUUUAGGAGGUGGUUUAAAGGUAGGAUUUUCUAGAAUAGCCAACACCUGGUAAGCUUUUGGACUCCAAGGAGACAUCCAUUAGUUAUCUCUUGCGAGCUUUUGAUGGGUAAUCCAAGGUUAAGGAUCACCUUGAAUGGCCAAUACUAGGUGAGAGGUAUGAACCAUUGCAAGAUGAUUCAUUGAUAGGGAAUUAGUGUUUGAAUCCAUAAAAGGGAAGCAUCUAUACCAUACUGGUUCGGGAAAUAACUAUAUGUUAAAUCCCCAAUGCGAGGAAAAGAUUCAAGUGACCGAAACUCUCUUUUUGAAAUAGGAACUUGAGCCCAGUGAUCUAAAAACUCCAAGAAACACUUUUCUUUGUAAGUAAUUUUUGUCACCUUAUUAUUGGUUUCACUUAAAAACCAAUCUUUUCAAACAUCUUUAUGUUUUCUUUUAAAGCUAACCUUGAAAUGAAAAAGCACUAAUUCAGCUUUGAAUUAAUAUCAGUUGUAAUUUGAAAACCCAUCCCAGUGAACGAUCCUAGAGCCACUAUGCUAUGCUAGCCUAAGGCUAUCUUAGUACAUGGUGAAAUAGGUUUAUAAAUUUUGCUGAUUACUCCCGUCUGAGGACCGAAAUCAAGGGACACUAGUUGAUUGAGCACCAAUCAACAAGACAUACACCAGCUAGGCACGAAUCAUAGCUCAAUUUUGGCUUUGGUACUGUACAUUAGACAUAAUAAAGAUAUUAUAUAAUAUGUACUUGUCCUAACCACUCUAGCCUUUUUUGAGGAAUCUUAUAAAUUAUGCAUGCUACCCAGGUACGCCCUCUAUCACCCACUUUCUAAAUUUUGUGAAUAUGUUUGUCACUGUGAACUAUGUCUAUAUUUGAUAGUACUUGGGUGUCUUGAUAUUUUUUUCAUUGUUCGAUUAUUUCUGAUAAAGCGCAUGUUGGGUGAUAUGCUAUUUGAACUAACCAUUUAUGUCUUGUUAUAGCGCUUAAGAUGCAACUCAGGUACUCACCCUUUGACUCUCUUUUAUCAUCAUGAUUUGACUUUCUGGCUUAAUAUGCUAAUUCUGAAAUCACCUUAGUCUACUUAGGUACCCUCAAUCAAUUAAUUAAUUGCCACAUUUCCCUCAACUUAGUUAGUAGAGACCUUUGUAGGGCUUAGAGGGGUCCUACCUUUUAGAGGUACCUUCCCAAUAGGUAACCUGAUCCCCGGACCUAGACUCGGGUUUUUCAAAGACAUGUUUUUCCAAAAACUAUGGAGUCAUUUCUUUAGGGUUUUUUUUCUUGUGUUAUUUUCCUUUUAAAAUAAAAAUAAAAUAAGUGGCAACUCCAACUUUUACAAAAAUAAUUUUUUCACUACAAUAAAAGUGAGUCUCGCCGAUCGAGUGAGGGCACACAUGAGAAAUGCGGGUCCAUAAAUUGGCGACUCUACUAGGGAAUUUGAGGAUCAAGCUUGAACACUAGUUGAGGAAAAUGUGUCGUUUAAUUGGUCGAUUAGAGGGUACGUCCUUUUUUUUAGGCGAGGUGAUUUAGUCUGAUCAAUUUUUUAGUUUGCUAUCUUAACAUGUUUGUUUGCCUUUAAUGAUCACUUGAUUGCUUGCUCACUUCAGCAUGAUUCACUCUCGCAUAUGCUAGAUAGGACUUUAUUUGUAUGAUACCUAUCUACUUGGUAUGACUACUUGUUGCAUGACAGCCCUUGCUCCUGCAUGAUGUAUGAUUGCUUGCCUAUGUUUACCUUCUCACUUUAGAAAUUAGGUUUUUCGGAUGCACCCACAUCCUUCAUUGUGCACUUUAGAUUAUCCCUUAGUGUUGAGAGAUGGAAGAGCCUUCACUAUUAAGAAACCCCCUAGGAACGUGAGGAAGUGCAUGUGUAGAGGUGAGGACCACCUUGCAUGGAAGCACCUCGUCUCCUAGGAGGCGUGCAGAGGAUUACGUACCACCGGAAGGUAUGAUUGCUUCUGCUAGGGAUCCUUUAACCCACCCAUUUUAUCUUAUAGAGCCACAUCAACCUUGUAGGUUAACUUAAACCCAAUUAGGAUCUCAUUCCUACAUGUGGGUGCAUCUGUGGACCUUUAGGGUUUCCUUGGUCACAAUUGGGUCCAGUUAUCCUUCUCAUGGUCUCCUUUUGGUGUGCUUAGAGAUUGGUACAUGUUUGAGUUUCAAUUAGGCCACUUUUCUGCAUUGUGAUUAGUGCGUUUCCACCUUUUCUGAGCUGUUUUCAUGUCAUUUAUCUUUCCGAGUCUUUGUACCUUAUAGGAUGUGUUAUUCGCUUCAGUUUAGAUUCAACUUCUUAGACCAAAGUUGGAGAUAGAUUGAUCAAGAUUUCAAAGCAGUCAGGUAUGGAUCCUCAGCAUGAUACAAUUGAUCGAUUUACAGUCACCAUGACUCUAUUCAGGAGGCAUUAGUAGGUUUCAGCCAAAUGAUUGAUGGACAGUGAGAAAGAUAACAUCUAGUUUAGGAUGAGAUUUCGUGUGAUUCAUUGCUUCCCACCCCCACCACCCAGUUAGCCAAAGACAUUGAUGAGGGUGACAUCAUACAUAUGAUGAGUUUAGUGGAUUAUGAGUCGAAGUUUAUCAUAUGAGAGUUCUUAUAGAGGAUGUUAGUUCUUUCUUUAAGAUGAGGGAUUUGAUUAACAUAGUUUUCUUCAUGAUGAGCCUAAGGUGGGGGUGUUGGAUGAUAGUCGGAUGGUUACCACAAAUUAGCCAGAGAUAGUUCACUCUCUUGAUAUGCUUGAGAUCUCCAUUGUUGAGAGUUAAGGAGAGAUUCAAUUUAUUUAUGUUGGGGCAUCCCGCUUAUGAUGAUGAUGUGUUUGAGGACGAUGUUAGCCCAGUUAUGGUCAUGGAGAUUCAUUUAUUCCAGGAGACCCUAAGGACUUACUUGGAAUACACCGCAUGUCAUUAGAGAGUUGACCCUAGAGAGGAAAUAUGAUUGACAUAUCUGGAUAGAGACCAAUUCUCAGACCUACCAAUGUGGAUCAGUUGAAGAAGUAUUACAUUUGAGACCAUGGUCGCAGGAUAGGUGGCCAUUAUUUCGAUUAGCCUUAAACUUUAUCACCCUUAUCUAUAUAUUAGACCAUUGCUAGCCCAUUGAGCUUCACAUGGUAUGUUAAAGCCUUUUUUUUCUUUCUUAUAGCAUUGAUUACCAUUUCUACACUAGGGUUUGGGGCCCUUUGAUGUAUAUGCAUGCUUUGCUAGGAAAGUCUCAUGAGCUUUAGACUUAUAGGCCUAUCUUCUCAUUCUUGUUACCAUCUCCUUAUCACCCCAUUUGUUCUAUUUUUACUAUCAGCACAUUUUCAUUCUCUUUCUUGCUCUUAUCAUUAUUUGCUUCAUCUUAUCUUUUCUCUUCCUUGGGUUGAUGAUUCUUCACAUCUUAGUGCAAAGAGGGCAGUCGCAUCACUCCAUUCAUCCCAUCAUUUGGCAUUGAUUCAAAGAUUUUGGUUUGAGAGGUUGUCUCAUGAUAUGGGGUUCAUGUAUUCAUCAGUUAUUUGAGAGAGUUUAUUCAAGGGUAUCUUUCUCUUUGGAGUUCGAUUUAUCGAUGAUUAGAGCAUGCACAUUUUAAAAAAAAAAAAGCAAAAAAAAAAAACACACAAUAAUAUGUUUGUGUAUGGUAUCUUGCUCCAUUGGGCACUUAUGCCACCUUUUGAGGUCUAUUUAUUGGGUAUAUUUGUCAUUAUGGGUUCUUGUGAGAUUUUUAUGAGUUUCCACUCCUUGAGCCACUCUUGUUAUGCAUUAGGAGUGUCAAGGGUUCAUGUGAGAGUUCUAUGAGAUCCUAUGCUUCUUGGAUCAUGGUUGAUAUGUAUUAGGUAUGAGAGAUGAGUAACCUUUUACUAGGGUCUCCGAAUCAUUGUCUUAUCCACCAUUCCAUCAUUGGUGAUAUGACUUUCCUUUAUUGUACUGAUAUGGGUUGAUCAUCAUUCAUUCCACUUUCUCAUUGCCUUAUUUUGUAUCCCAUCACCUCUUUCCAGAUCUUCAUUCCACCUUUUAUCCAUUUCCUACAUAUUGAUACACAUUUAAGGUUCGAUACCUUCUACACAUCAUUCACAUGUUUCGUUGAUGGUUUGACUACUUAUCCUUUCUUUUGUUCCACCAUCAACAUUUCCUUUGGUUACCUUUAGGUCCAUGGAUCAUGAUAUUUUUCUAUGCAUUACAUCUUGUACACGAGGAUAUGGGUUUGAUCAUCGGGUAUUUGAGCCUAGUUUCCCUUCGUUUCUUUCACCUUAUCACCUUGGCCUACGUUAUGUCCCAUGUCUUAAGACCACCCUGAGGCCACGAAUCAGAAGUUAUCUUUGAUAGUUUUCACUUGGACAGGCUUAUGUAGAUUAGUUGAAGUAUAGUCGUUACCAUGUUUUCUUUUAUGGGAAAUAAUUUUGGAAGCAUUUGGUUUCUCCCUCCUGCUUGAUCUAUCAAUGUUUACUGGAUUUUUUAGUUGCAGACAGUCCAUUGAUGAUGUUAGAUUCAUCCUUUUAUUGUGCAUCAGAUAUCCACACUAGGGCAUAUUUCCUCUUUUCUCUAAGAUCCUUAGUCGUGGUUGGGUUGUGUGGCUAUCCUUGAUCUUGAUCAUUGAGAUGUUUGAUUGAUGUUAUCAGGUAAUCGAUUAAUGUUGACAGAUGUUGGGUUGACGAUGUCAUGUUCUUUAUUGUGCACCAGAUGUCCAUACUGGGGCAUAUUCCCCUCUCCUUGAUGAGAUUGUGCAUAGAUGGAUGAUUAUUGUUGGUUGUUUACCUCAUGAUUCCGACAUCAAAUACUAUACUGGGACAUACUGCUCCCCUUGAUGAGAUUUUGUUUGUGCAAUAGUAUGAGGAUGGAUGAUAGGUAUUGGUUAUUUACCUCAUGACUUUGACAUCAGAUCUUAUACUAAGGCAUAUUUCCCCAUUUUUGUUAGUUAUCCUUCAGAUUGGGACAACGGUCAUCUUGGCUUUAGAUCGAGUACUAGUAUGGGACUUCCAACGUUUGACUGUAUCAGGACCCCAUUACAUGGAUUUGUUGAGAUAAAGAUGACUCGCAUCAGGUUUCAUCCUAGGAGCAUAGGUGGAUCCUUUAGCUAGAUGCUCAUGAGAUAGAUUGCUUUCGUCAUUAUUUACCUUGCAGAUUGGGUUAUCUAGAUGAGCAGUAUUUUGUGCACUUCGAGAUAUGCUUUUAGAUGAGUUUCGAUACACAUUCUAAGGUUUACCUUUUGAGGUUUGUCACCAGUACAACUUGUGAGACAUAGAGAGUUCAUUCAGUUCAGAUUUUUCAGAGGUUCGCCAUGAUGCAUCGAUUUCGGACUCAUGGAUUUCAGCAGAUGAUUGGUUUAUUCAUUGUUUUAGCAGUGUGAGUACCUUAGAUACUAGGGCAUAUUUCUUUUCCUAAGCCUAGUAGUCCCACACUUGGAAUUUCGAGUAUACGGCUUUGACCCUAUUUGCUUCCUAUCCACUUUCGAGUUGGUCUUCAUUUCUUUUCCAUUUAGAGCCCAGAGCUCUCAACCUAGAGUCGAUUUUCAUUUAUGACCCAGAGUCAUUUCUUUUUCAUUUAAAGCCCAGAGCUCUUGACCCAGAGUCGUUUUUUUUCAUUAAUGACCUAGAGUAAUUUCUUUUCCAUUUAGAGCUCAAAGCUCUCAACCCAGAAUUGAUUUUCAUUUAUGACCCAGAGUCAUUUCUUUUCCAUUUAGAGUCCGGAGCUCUCGACCCAGAGUCGAAUUUUCAUUUAUGACCUAGAGUCAUUUCUUUUCCAUGUAAAGCCAAGAGCUCUCAACCUAGAGUAAAUUUUCAUUUAUGACCCAGAGUCAUUUCUUUUCCAUUUAGAGCUCGGAGCUCUUGACCCAAAGUCGAUUUUUCAUUUAUGACCCGGAGACAUUUCUUUUCCAUUUAGAGCCUAGAGCUCUUGACCUAGAGUCGAUUUUCAUCUAUGACCUAGAGUCAUUUCUUUUUCAUUUAGAACCCAGAGCUCUCGACUUAGAGUUUUUUUUUUUUCAUUUAUGACCCAGAGUCAUUUCUUUUCCAUUUAGAGCCCAGAGCUCUCAACCUAUAGUCGAUUUUCAUUUAUGACCCAGAGUCAUUUCUUUUUCAUUUAGAGCCUAGAGCUCUCGACCUAGAUUCGAUUUUCAUUUAUGACCUAAAUUCAUUUCAUUUCUAUUUAGAGCCCAGAGCUCUCGACCCAAAGUCUUUUUUCAUUUAUGACCAAGAGUCAUUUCUUUUCCAUUUAGAGCCUAGAGCUCUUGACCCAGAGUCCAUUUUCAUUUAUGACCCAGAGUCAUUUCUUUUUCAUUUAGAGCCUAGAGCUCUCGACCUAGAGUUGAUUUUCAUUUAUGACCUAGAAUCAUUUCUUUUCCAUUUAAAGCCCAGAGCUCUCGACCUAGAGUCCAUUUUCAUUAUGACCUAAAGUCAUUUCUUUUUCAUUUAGAGCCUGGAGCUUUCGAACAGAAGUCGAUUUUCAUUUAUGGCCCAGAGUAAUUUCUUUUCCAUUUAGACCCCAAGGCUGUCGACCUAGAGUUUUUUUUUUUUCAUUUAUGACCCAGAGUCAUUUCUUUUCCAUUUAAAGCCUAGAGCUCUCGACGUAUAAUCAUUUUUCAUUUAUAAGCUAGAGUCAUUUCUUUUCCAUUUAGUGCCUAGAGCUCUCGACCCAGAGUCAUUUUUCAUUUAUGACCGAGAGUCAUUUCUUUUCCAUUUAAAACUCAAAGCUCUCGACCCAGAGUCGUUUUUCUCAUUUAUGACUCAAAGUCAUUUGUUUUCCAUUUAGAGCCAGAGCUUUUGACCUAGAGUCGUUUUUUCAUUUAUGACACAAAGUCAUUUUUCUUUUCCAUUUAAAGCCUAGAGCUCACGACAAAGAGUCGUUUUUCAUUUAUGACCCAGAGUCAUUUAUUUUCCAUUUAGAGCCCAAAGCUCUCGACCUAGAGUCGUUUUUCAUUCAUGACCCAAAGUCAUUUCUUUUUCAUUUAGAGCCCGGAGCUCUCGACCCAGAGUUGUUUUUUUCAUUUAUGACGUAGAGUCAUUUCUUUUCCAUUUAGAUCCCUGAGCUCAUGACCCAGAGUCGUUUUCUCAUCUAUAGCCCAGAGUCAUUCUUUCCACGUAGAGCUUUGAGCUCAUGACGUAGAGUUGUUUCAUUUUUGUGAUGGGGGACCCUUGUUCCGAGCUUACUCUUGUCUUGUGCUAAGACAAAAUCUCUGGUCUUUUUCUUUUAGUUCUUCAGUAUAAUUCACUUCGUUCCUCUCAUUAUUCGUAUUUUUAUUCACAUUCCCUACACUCGUGAUCUCUACCGAAGAGGGACAUAUUUGUAGACCCUCCAUUUUGUGCUCCUAGCACAUGUCGUAUUAGGUAUUUGUUCAAUACUUUACAGCAAUUUCCUGGUGGCCCUUACCACUCGUGCAACCUAUCUUUUCUAUGCCACCUUGGGCACUUUGGUUGAGGAAUUUAUCUAACUCCAUUGUGACUCUCGGCAGCCCUAAUUUAGACCGUAGGCCAACUUAGGCACCCUAGGCCCAUUUAGGUACAGUUAGCCUAUUAUGCACCACCUUAGGCCACUAAGGCACCUUGGGCCCAUUAGGUACCACCUUAGGCCCACUUAGGCACCCUAGACCCAUUUGAUACAUUGACCCGUUAGGCACCACCUUAGGCACAUUAGACCCAUUUAGAUGCACUUGGCCCACUUAGGCUCACCUAGUCUUGCUUAGGUCACCUUUUUGGCACAUCCUGCAUGUCUCAUGUGCCUUGCAUGACUUGCAUGGCUCGUUUUUAUAAAAUCACAUUACUUGACUUUUUUAUUAUAUUUUUGUUUAUUUUAUUUAUUAUCUUGUCUAUUUCCUCCCUCAUUUUAUUUUCCUAUUAUUUUGUUACUUUUCCGUAAUACUUGUCCUUACUUAUUUAUUUUAAUUUAAUAAUUUUGUGUAAAUGUUUUAUUUAUUUUAUUUUAUUUUUAUUAUAGUACUAUUAUUAUUAUUAUUAUUAUUAUUAUUAUUAUUAUUAUUUUAUUACUUGUCCUUAUUUAUUUGAAAUUUUGUAGGAAAUGUAUGGAAGGUGUGCACGGUAUUGAUAUUUGGAAUAUGAGAUUUCCUUGGAUGCAUGAUCAUUGGAGAUGGAAUGGAUACCAUAUUGAGAUUGGAAGAUACGUUUUGGGAGAGUUUAAGGAAAGGUGGCUCUACAAGAUAAGGAAACAAUUGAAGACUGACAUGGCUUGAAGUUUGAGGUUUUUAUUUAGAAAGGGAGACAAUUAAAAAGGAAAAAAAAACUACCAAUUUGGUUUUGGAGGAAUUAUAAGUUUGUGCGUUUAAUGAAGAAAGUGAGAGAGUUCUUUAGAGGAAAGUGAGAUUCCUUCUUGAGAAGAAAAUAAAAGUCAACAUGCAUGGAAACUGGAAAAGGGGAAAUUAUGAGCGUGAUGAAGCAGGAGGUUUAUUUUUUUAGGAGGAAGGAAAAGAAAUUCAGGACGUUAAGGUAGGCGGUAGAUUAAGGAUCAAGGGGACUCCAUGAAAGACGACAAAACUGCUACAUGAGGCCAAUAGAAGGUCUAACAGUGCGGGGGGGAUUUGGAUUGCAAGCAAGUGAUCAUCAAAGGGGAAGGCAUCGAGGAGAAAAAAGGGGUUUAGAUUAUAGGGGAGGGUCGAGGGUUCCUUCAUAUUUUUUGUGAUUUUGAUAUGGAUGGGAACAAAUAUGAGGCCUUGAAAUGCCUGAAAAUUGGGAAAGAUACGUUGCAGGUAGGGGAUCGAGCCUGUGCCUUGAAAUUCAUUACGAAAGUGCGUCGUCUUGAUCUGAAUCUUCCUGCUGACGAUCUCUUAUUGACGUUUGAACGAGAAACGGGUCAAUCGGAGAUGCCAGGCGGUGAGGCUAAUGAUGAGGCUUCGAAGGCCUCCGAUCAUCCUUCAGUUCGGCAUAGGGUUCCAUCGAGCGGGUCUUCAGUGUCGUCGUCUUCAUCAUCGAUGGCAUACACGAAGGAACAAAUCUCAAUUGUGAGGCAGGAUAAGAAGAAGAAAGAUUACUAUGAGGCUCUAGAGUUGGAGAAGAGUUGUACUGUUGAGGAUGUUCGGAAGGCUUAUUGGAAACUAUCUUUGAAGGUUCACACUAAUAAGAACAAGGCUCCAGGUGUAGAGGAGGCUUUUAAGGCAGUGUCUGAAGCAUUUUAGUGUUUAAGCAACGAAGAGAGCCAAAACAAGUACGAUCUUGUUCGGUCAGAUGAACCAGUUUACGAGUGGCAUCCAACGACUUGUAGGGUAAAUGGUUUUAAUGGGUUCUAUGAUGGCGGUGUUGAUGCAGAAGAGAUCUUUAGGAACUUCUUCUUCAGUGGAAUGCUUCAAGCAACCACCUAGUUUCGGGGGUUCGCAUAUGGGCAUGGAAUGGAAACAACAAUGGAGCCAAUGUAUGCAUUCGCUAGAUCUUACCCAUAUGAAUACCAGUUUGUCACACAAAAGGGAAUGAAUUAUUAUGUGAAGUCAACCAAAUUUGAGCAAGAUUACCCUUCAAAUAGCCAUGAACGAGUGGCUUUUGAGGCAUAGGUUGAGAGAGAAUACUUUGCACUUCUGUCACAGAAUUGUCGGCAUGAGUUGCAGCAUCUCCAAUGGGGUUUUAUGUGGGAAACACCACAUUGUGACAUGUUAAAAUAGUUUGAGGUUGUGGCAUUAAUGACCUCAAUCAAGGUUUAUGCUCAUUGCCACUAUUUCAAAAUUUCUAUUUUGAAGAAAAUGCAUCCGAAAUUUGGAAUUUUGCAUUGAAGAUAUGAAUGAUGGGUGUAGGAUGGUUAUUGCUUGUUUUAAACGGUUCUUAUUCCUAAUGAUGCUAAUUUUCAGUUUUUUUUUUUAUUUUUUGAAACUUUAGUGUUGAAAUAUUAGGUUAUUGUUUGUUUCAAAAACUUCUUAAUUCUGAUGGUAUUAAUUCUUAAUGUUGCAUUUAUAUUGAUUUGGCAAGUUAGAUAAUAAAGUUGUUGUUCCUUUAAUGUUUCUUUUAUGUGGUUUUUUUUUUUUUAGUGUUAAAAUUAUAUUGUUUUGGUGAGUUAAAUGAUUAGGUUAAAUUUUUUUCUUUUGGUCGGUUAAAAUAUUAGAAAGUUUUAUUUUAUUUUUUUUUUUAUUAAAUUGACAUUUUGAGUUGAAUCAAAUUUUCUUUUUUAAAAAAAUGAAUUUUGCAAUCAUAAGUUUGGCUCCUUGAUCCCAAAUGAAAGGUAGCCAAAAAGGGGGGUCCAAUAUAACUUUUCUCUUGUUUUCAAAACCCUCUUAAAUUAGAAAUCAAAAAAUUUUAUUUUGUGCCUAGUGAUUGGAAUUUAACAAAUCAUUGGUUCCCUCUUUUGUUGUUUCCCUUAAAUUCAUUUUCAAAAGCAUUCAAAUCACCAAUAAAAGGUUUUAGAAAACAUUCAUUCUAGCUUUAGGCGAAGAACACACUUUCUAUUAAAAUUAUGCAGCUCAUUUCAUUUAAGUUGUGUUUCUCCUUUGUUAUUAUUAUUAUUUUUUUUAAAAUGGUUUUUUUAUUCACACGGGUUUGGACUUGUGCCCCCAAACUAAUGGGGAUACACAAGUAAAAACUUAUGGAAAUUGAAUGGGGACUUGAUGGAACCCCUACAUAAGAAAAAUUUUCAAAACUAUUCCUUGCUACCAGUUUUCACUUAGCCACCGACCCUUUAGAUUUCAAAUUCGUUUUAGCAACUUUAGAAUAUUUUUCAAAAAUUUUCCAAAACUUGUAUGGCUUUUCUCACUUCUUGAACGUAAAUUUAAAGUUUCGUUUGAGUUAGAAAACAAUUCUAGAAUAGAAGAUAUGAAUGAGUAUUUAGGAGGGUUCUGUUUUCACCCAAUUCUGUACACCUGAAACCUUUUUAUAAAAAUAAAAUAAUAGAUGACGUUUUAAAUUUGACUUGAUAUUUUCCUUUGAUUCUAGACUUCUUGAAAUUGAUCUUAGACACAUAAAAUAUUAAAAAAUAUGCCUUUUUGAGAUAUGUAUAUAUGAUUUUUCAAAGUCAUGCCUACUGUGCACGUUGGAUUCUGGAUAUCUGAUAAGCUUGAGUGUUUUAAAAAUAUUUUUGAGUAAUGUCUGACAUUGAAUUCAGUUUUUAUGUGAUAUAGACACUUUGAACUAUGUGUGUGAUUUUUGGUAUGAUUUUAUGUGAUCAUUUAUUAUUUUUUUUAAAUUCGUUUAUGAUUGUCAGAUUUUCUUAUCUAAUCUGAACUUUGUAAAACCUUUAGGUAUUUUUGCUGCAAUUUGUCCUUUGAAUGAGUGUUUGGCUUUCAGUAUGUUGAUCUAAAUGUGUAGGAGUUGUUUCUUGAAAUUUUUCAUAAUUAAAUUUCAUUCUAAGCCAUUUUUUAGAACUUAUUUUGCGAUGCUUCCUUUUCUAACUGCAUGCUGAUAGUUUUAUACUUUACUCGAAAUUGUUAUUAUUUUUUGAGUCAUUUGAUUUAUCUUAGCUCAAUUUUGGCUUUGGUACUGUAUAUUAGACAUAAUAAAUAUGUUAUAUAAUAUAUAUACUUGUCCUAAACACUCUAGCCUUUUUUGAGGAAUCUUAUAAAUUAUGCAUGCUACCCAGGUACGCCCUCUAUCACCCACUUUCUAAAUUCUGUGAAUAUGCUUGUCACUGUGAACUAUGUCUAUGUUUGAUAGUACUUGGGUGUCUUAAUAUUUGUUUCAUUGUUCGAUUAUUUCUAAUAAAGCACAUGCUGGGUGAUAUGCUAUUUGAACUAAUCAUUGAUGUCUUGUGCUAACGCUUAAGAUGCAACUCAGGUACUCACUCUUUGACUCUCUUUUAUCAUCAUGAUUUGACUUUCUGGCCUAAUAUGUUAAUUCUGAAAUCACCUUAGUCUACUUAGGUAUCCUCAAUCAAUUAAUUAAUUGUCACAUUCCCCUCAACUUAGUUAGUAGAGACCUUUGUAGGGCUUAGAGGGAUGCUACAUUUUAGAGGUACCUUCCCAAUAGGUAACCUGAUCCCCAGACCUAGACUCGGGUUUUUCAAAGACAUGUUUUUCCAAAAACUAUGGAGUCAUUUCUUUAGGGUUUUCUUUCUUAUUUUAUUUUCCCUUUAAAACAAAAAUAAAAUAAGUGGCGACUCCGACUUUUCCAAAAAUAAUUUUUUCACCACAAUAAAAGCGAGUCUCGCUGAUCGAGUGGGGGAGCACGUGAGAAAUGUGAGUCCACAUUCGCCGAUCGAGUGGGGGAGCACGUGAGAAAUGCGAGUCCAUAUUAUAUAAAAAUUAAAUCAUUUAUAAAAAUAUUAAAUCAGAUGGGCUAAGUUACAUGGUCAUUAGAAAUAAAGUUGAGUAGAUAGUAAAAAUACUAAUUAAUUUAUGAAUCGUUUUUAUAAAGAAAUAUAAAAUAAAAUAAGAAAGAAGUAAAAGAAACAUACCUUUGAAUUCAUCGGAGUUGUUUUGCUACAUCUUACAUAAUUGGCCUCUCCUCUGGAUUCGUUCUACAACACUCGUAAAUUAGUCGGAAUACUACUUGGAAUUGAUGAUGGUUGGGGACUCCUCCCUCUGCUAGAGUAGUAGGGUCUACAAUCCCAUUAUUUCCAUGAUUUCUGCAUAGGAUUGUAUGCAAUCGAUCUCAGAAUCAUCCUUUAGAUCGUCAUCGAAAUCAUUGGAAAUUGACAAUAAUAAUUCACAAUAGCCUUUCCUGUUAGAAGGUUGCAUAAAAGCUAGCCAAAGUAAAAACCAUCACUCUUCUUUGGAUGCACUCCAUGGAAUACUUCAGGUGCUAGAUAUCCUUUAGUCCCGCAAACACCUUCAUUCUCUAGUUGGGUUUUGCCCUCAGGGAUUGGCAUAGAAAAUAUAAAAUCAGAGAGCUUAUGUGACAUCCCACAUCAAAUAGUGGGGAAAGUUUCUAGCAUUAUAUAAGUAUGGACUUGUCUUAACCCGAUAGAUGCGUUUUAAAGUCAUGAGGGCCCCUUUGGGUCCAAAGCAAACAAUAUUUACACGGUUUGGAGCGGGCCAUUACAAAUGGUAUCAGAGCCGAUCUCCGACCUCGAUGUAGGGGUUUGUUUGGCCCCAUAGGGGCAUUCGUCUGUUUGACCUCGCAAUCCCAUGGGACACAGUGAGGACGUUGUGUCUACAUGGGGGUGUUUGUGACAUCCCACAUCGGAUAGGAGGGAAAGUUCCUGGCAUUAUAUAAAUAUGGACUUCUCUUAACCCAGUAGAUGAGUUUUAAAGCUGUGAGGGCCCCUUUGAGUCCAAAGCGGACAAUAUCUACAUGAUUGGGAGCGAUUCGUUACAGCUUAGCACACAGGUCUUGGUCCAAGUAGAAAUGUCCAGGCUGUAUGUCUCUAUGAACGCAUGAUUGGCCUGGGAAACGCAGUAUGGAGAUAUGUAAUUACUGAAGCAAUCUCAAUUGCAACUUUUAAUCUACUUUUCCAUGAUAAAUUGGUUGGAUUGAAUGUUAAUCGAUGCUUAAGAUUUCCAUUCAUUGGAAAUUCGAACACUAAAGUGGGGAUUUGUCUAAGCAACAUCCCAAAAUCUUUAAAGUAUUCUUGUGCCCCCUCAGUUGUGCUGCAACUGAUAUUUCAUUAGUAACCAUUUCAGGAUGACAAAAUCUAAGAGGAUGUGUUGCAAUGGAAUAAUCCAUAUACUUUUUAAGAUCACAAUCAUAACACCGGUACUUAUGAAUAUACUUCUUCACAAAAGCCACUCUACCUUCCAAACAACCUUUAUACCAAUUGAAAUAGACCUCAUAACUAGAUUCUCAUGGUUGUAAUUGUCACUAGCUUUUUGAAGCUCAUUGGCUAAAAAGGUACGCAUGGGAUUGGAGUACUUGCCAUCAAAAUAAGAAAUUCACUUCUCCAAUAACAACCCUCCAUUCCUCAACAUGCACUCCUUUAUCUCAUUUUUCUCCAUCUCAAUAUCGCUUUUCUCUCUUCUUUUCCACCCACCAAACUAAACCCAAGACUUUUCCCUUCAAUUUAAGGAUGUAAAAUAUGAAAAAUUCUCAGUCUCCUUCCUCAAACUGUGAUGAUAUUGGUAGCUACUAGUUUGCUAGCAGAAAAAAGAAAAUAAAAUAAAAUAGCCAUAAUAUUCAAUAUUAACUUGAUUGUACCGUAGCUAGAAUUUUUUCCAUGUAGAUAUAAAACAGAAUUAAUUGAGGAAUAAGAAUCCAAGAAAAGAAUUACAAUAUCAUCUAGCUAGAGUUCUAGUAAUUAAUCUAAAUGGAAAAGUAGUUAGGUAACUCUUGGAGAAGAUCAUCCUCCCAGACCUUGAGAAGGGCUUCAAGUCUUUAGGUAAGGUGAAGUUGAAAGAGAGAGAAUAGCCAUUCCCUUGAAGUCAUUGCAAGAUAGAAAUAGAUUUUAAAGAUGGUCCAGUGGAGUCCUCAUAGUUUUGUGAGAGUAGAGUUUGACCAUAAAAAAGGAGGUUGUUGAUGAAAAAGAGCUUAAGGGGUGUUUGGUGCUGGAUUUUAAAAAAAAAACAAUAGUGCAGUUUUGAAAAAUAUUUAUUAAAAUAUAACACUUUUCAAAUUAUUUCCAAAUUUAAAGCACUUUUUAUAACAUCAAUCAAUAAGACGUGUCACUGUAAAAAACAACUUCAACUCAAAUAUGAAAAUUACCUUUUAAAAAAACAACUUUAAUUAUUUCUGAAGGUUAUUUGAGCCAAAAAGCUUAUCUUAAAGUUAAGUUAUGAUCUCUUCCUUCAGCAUAUUCUGUUUUGGUGAUACUAUACAUUUGGGAGUAUUUUAUAGAAUUAAAUUACCCUUGACUUUUUCAAUUUAAAUGAAUACUUUUUCUGAAUUUGUAACCUUUUGAAAUUGAAUUUUGACACAUAAAAUAUUGAAAUAUAUAUUUUCUAAGUGGAGAUGAUUUUUCAAACUUACACCUACUAUACAUGACCAAUUCUAGAUAGAUAACAUGUUUGUGUGAUUUAAAAAUUGUUUUGCAUGCCUUUUGCUUCUUUUUUUUUUUAUGUAAACUAGACACUUGAUUGAUAUUUUUUACUUUUUGUACGAUUUUAGGAGACCUUUGGUUAUUUUUUAAAAAUUGGUUAAUACAUGUCAUUCCUCUUUGAUUAGUUCUAGACCUUUCAGAAUUUUUGUAAUUUUGGAAUUAAUCUAGACCUUAAAUGAUUAUUCAACCACCUGGAUGAUGAACUAGACAUAUAGAGGAUAUUUCCUAGAAAUUUUUGUAGUUAAAUUCACAUUCUAGUCCUUUUUUUAGGAUUUGUUUUAUGAGGGCUCCUCUUUUGACUGCUUGUUGAUGAUCUUGUAUUGUACUUAACAUGUUAUUUGUUUUGGAGUUAUUUGACAUAACUUGAUUUGACUUUUGGCUUGUGUUCUAUAAUAUAGAUAUGAUGAGGUUGUUGUAUGAAUUUUUUUUUCCAUGAUGAAGUAUUGGCUCCAGAUAUUUAUUUAGGAUUUUUCUUAUGAAUGUCUCUAUUUUGAGUUUGCUUAGUGUUUGAAAUGAGUUAUCCAUUUUCACAUCUUUAGUUCACUUGUAAAAUAAUCUAACUUUAGUUUGUGUUAUGAGCAUGUCAUUCAAGAUAGACAAGAUUUUAUUUAAGUCUUUGGAGAACUUUUGGUACUUUAUGUGGUUUCAUUUUGUAAUUGUAUGUUUGUUGGAAGUAUGAACCUUAGUGUUGUAAAUUAUUCGAAUUUCCUAACUCCUGAUUUAAGUUGUAUAUCCAUCAUGUAGAAUAUGAGAUUUUGAUCAUGUUAAUUAUUACUGCUUGUAAACUAACCCUCUUCUAGCUAUAUGCAAGCGCAUUAUGAAUUAUGUAUGAUAUUCAAGUACAUCCCUUGCACUUUCUACUUUAAUUUUGUAAAUAUACUAACCUUGUUUGUGAGCUAUAUGCAAGCGCAUUAUGAUAUUGUUUUGAUUAGUUUAAUUAUUGCUUAAUUAUUUGAAUCGAUCAAUCGAAUACAUGUUAUAUGCUAUAUUUGUUAAACUAGUUUUUAUGUUUUCAUGAAAACACUUUGGAAUGCAGCUCACGUAUGCCAAUCUCAUUUUCCUGUAUGAAUGUUUCUUUUAGUAUGAUUGUUUUGUUAUACUUAAUGUGUUGUUAGAAUCACCUUCAACCUUUCUUGGUACCCAAAGUCAAUCUAUUAAUUGUCACACUUCCCUCAACCUAGCCAAUAGAGACAUUUUUAAGGCUUAGAGGGGUGUUAUUAUUUUAAGAUACCUUCCUAAUAGGUAGCCUGAUCCCCAAACCUAGACACGGGUUUUUCGAAGACACAUUUUUUCAAAAGUUGAAGGAGUAAUUUUUUUUUAAGGUUUUAGUUUCUUAUUUAUUUUCCCUAUAGAAAAAUAAAAAUAAGUGACGACUCUAAUUUUUUUUUUUGUAUGUAAAAUACAAUUUUUCACUUAAAAAAGGUGAGUUUCGUCAUCGAGUGAGGACGCACAUGAAAAAUGCAAGUCCACUCAAUAUGACAUAAAAAUAAAAAUAAAUUAAAAAAACCACAAUUUUCAUAAAUAAAGAAUUUCAUUAAAGUCAAUUGCGCUCUGAAACCAUAUGUGAUUCAAAGAGUCAUAGAGCAAGAGAAAAGAGGAUCUAUGUUUUCUUAUUCUAACUAGGGAAGAAAAUAUCGUCGAAAUAUUGGUGUGUCGGCGGGUGUCGAUACGAUAUUUCAUGGAGAAAUGUCAAUUCUACGAAAUUUCGGGAGAAAUCCCCGAAAAUCGAUGAUAUCUAGCGAUAUAUUAACGAUUUUGGCGAUAAAUCACUUAUUUUCCCUGAUAUAUUACCUGGUCAAUGGGUCAAACGCGCUAUAGUGAAGUCAAAGCAGCUAUAGUGCCACUACAGUAACAGUUGAUGAUUUCGUGUAUUCAGGCCUAAGUGUGCCUGGAAACACCUCAACCAUCUUCAAUGCCGCCAUCAACACAGCAUUUGUUGACAAGUUCCCAGGCUUGAAUGGCCUUGGCGUCUCCAUGGCACGAGCAGACAUAGCCCCUGGCGGUGUGAUUCCAAUGCACACUCACCCCGGCGCUUCAGAGAUGAUUCUUAUAGCCAAGGGCUCUAUCACUGCUGGUUUAAUUUCUUCGGAUAAUACCGUCUACUUGAAGACACUCAAAGAGGGGGAUAUCAUGGUUUUCCCUCAAGGGUUGCUGCAUUUUCAGGUGAAUACUGGUUGGACACAGGCACUUCUUUGGGUUAGCUUCGGUAGCUCGAGCCUUGGCCUCCAAAUCCUUAGCAAUGCGUUGUUUAGCAAUAACUUGCCUUCUGAAUUGAUAGAGAAGACCACUUUUCUUUAUGAUGAUGAAGUGAAAAGACUCAAGGCUCUUCUUGGUGGUUCUAGGUAAUUCAGCUCGGUAAGAACUUGUUAAUUUCUUGUCACCCUCCCACUAAGUAUGUAAUUCACUAUAAUUAGUCUUUCAAGCUAUUGAUUCUUUGGAUCAAUGGCAUGUGUGGAGUUCUAUAUUUGGUUUUCCAGUGUGAGAUUAAUUACCUUGUAAUAAUGUUCAUAUAUUGCUUUGCAACAUCAAAUGUAGACCAUAAGUGUUACCUAUUUUUCUUCUUUUAUAUAUGAUAAUGGGGUGUCACCGUGCUGAAAACCCCACGCGUGGAAAGAUUGCUUUUGUAAAAUCUAGACGAAGUUAUUUUUUUUAGAGAAUCAUCGUACAACAUAAAUUGAAUUUUUUAUGGUAAUUUUAGAUAUAUAAAAUACCAAUAUUUUAAUGUUUAAAAAUUAAUUUUAAUUAUUAGGUAGUUGUGGACCCCGCAUUUCGCUCGAUCUAAUCCCACUCGAUGGUGAAACUUGUUUUUUAUUUAAUUGGUGAAAAGUAUGAUUUUUAGAAAAGACUUGAAGUCACCAAUUAUUUUUGUUUUAUUUUUAAGGGAAAACAAAAUAAGAAAGAAAACCCUAAGUGUGACUCCUUAUUUGGAAAAGACAGUCUGUGAAAAACCAAAGUUGGGUCCGGGGGUCGGGUUACCUAUUGGGAAGGUAUGGUGGUGAGCCGUAGAACCCCUCUAAGCCCUAUAAUAAGGUCUAUAUUAAAUAAGGUGAAGCAAGCAUGACAAUUGAUAAGACAAUCAAUGGAUACCAAUGAAAUGAUCAAAUAAUAAAAUGAAUCAUGCAUAGGAAUAAGCAAAGUGGGAGUGAGAUUGUACCUUAGCAACAAGUAAUAGUGCGCUAUCAUGGAAACAAGAUUAGCUCAAGUAUAGAAUUAUCACAUGCAUAUCAAAGAGCAAGACAAAGAUCAAGCAAUAUUCAUGAAACAUAACAAUUGACAAUCAGAAGAGAAAAUUCAUUUGUAGGGCCCCCACCAAAGCCCAAUUAAAUUUGCAUGAAUGAAUCUCACAAAAUCCAUUGCUUUGGAAUUAUGAAAAUCAUAUUCAUGUUUAUUUAAAAUCAGGAGAAACAAAAAAUUAUUUGAAGAUGUGAAAGUGCUUACCUUAAAGAAAAAGUAGCAAGUUUAUUUAAAAAUAGGAUUUUUAGUGACUUAAAACCCUAAUGAAUGAUGAAAAGUGGUAGAAUUAAAAAAUAUUUGAAAACUAGAGUGAAAUUGAAAUUAUUUGAAAGGAAACUAGAGUUUUAAAAUUUAUUUGAAAAUUGAAAACUUAAAUUGGAGUUUUGAAAAUUAAAUUUAAGAAUUGAAAUUUUGGAAAUUAAAUUUGAAAGAAAUUGGAAUUUUGAAAAUUAUUUGAGAAUUGGAGUUUUGGAAAUAAAAUUUGAAUGAAAUUGAAGUUUAAAAAAUUAUUUGAAAAUUGGAGUUUCAAAAAUUAAAUUUAAGAAUUGGAGUUUUGAAAAUUAAAUUUAAGAAUUAGAAUUUUGGAAAUUAAAUUUGAAAGAAAUUGGAAUUUUAGAAAUUAUAUUUGAAGAUGGUAUUUUUUAAAAAAUAAAUUUGGAAUUUGGAAUUUGGGAAAUUUUAUUUUGAGAAUGGAAUUUUGAAAAUUAAAUUUGGAAAUUGGAAUUUUGGGAAAUUUAUUUGAAGAUGGAAUUUUAAAAAUUAAAUUUGGAAUUUGGAAUUUGGAAUUUUGAAAAAAAUAUUUGAAGAUUUAAAAAUUAAAUUUCAAAUUUCGAAUUUUUGGAAAAUUUUUUUGAAGAUGGCAUUUUAAAAAAUUAAAUUUGGAAUUUUGGAAUUUUGGAAUUUUUGGAAAAUUAAAUUUUAAAUUUUGAAUCUUGGAAAAUUAAAUUUAAAAAUUGGAAUCUUAGAAAUUAUUACGAGAAUGGAACUUUGGAGAGUUAAAUUUAAAAAUUGGAGUUUUGGAAAAUUGAAUUUCGAGAAUUAAAGUUUUGUAAACUAAAUUUAAAAUUAAAUUUUAGAAAAUUAUUUUGAAAAUGGUAUUUUAAAUUAAAUUUGGAACUUUGGAAUUUUAGGAAAUUUUAAAGAGUUAUUGGAGAAUAGAAAAAAAGAAGAGAAUAAAUAAAGAAAUAAAACUUUUAACAUUAAAAGCUUAAAAAAAACAAAAAGAUGGCGUGUGGCUACUGCAUGGUCGGAUUGCCAUGCGGAACCUAUCAUAGAGCAUAGGUCUCACAUCGUUCUGCUGAGAAAGAUGCUUCAGUAAUGGAAGGAGGACCUCCAAAAGCUGUCCAUCGUUUGGUUGUCCUACAGAAAAUGGAAUGCAUGGAACUCUAUUUAGAGGUUGUAGUAAGAAACUGAAUGGGUUGUUAUCAAUGAUAACUGUUCGACAGAGAUCCUUUGAUAGGCAAGAAAGAUCUUUCACAUGCUCCUGGUAUUUUCAUACCACAAGAUUCACAUUUGCCAAAUUCCAAUGGCACACCUAGAAAUGGAAUUGAUAUUGGUGGGUGCGAUAUGGGUAAUAAGCCGAAGAUAGAAGACAUGGAAAUGAAUUUGAUGAGCAUGGAGGAUGGGAAAAUGGGUAUGGUGACAGAUUCGGUAGGUAUAAAGAUCAGAAAGAUGGUCAGAUGAAAAGUAUGGGUUAUCAGUGAUGGAAUGGGUGGUGGAGGUGGUAGAUUGGUAAGUGUGAAGGGAGCUGAAGGUGGUGUUAAUGAGGAAAAGAGGUAUGGUAGGCAUGAUGACAGGGAUCUUGCAAAAAUAUAAUUAUUGAAUAGUUCCGAAGCAAUUCAUGCUGAAAUAUUUGAAGAAACUUCAUAUCCUCAUUGCUUCCGAAAAGAGUCCAAUUUGAGCUACAACAAAAAGAAGUUUCUUACACAUAUUUGCAGUAGUAGAUGGGACCACUCGCUGGACCCCGUGGAGAAGAAACCCGGAUAUGAAAGUGUUGCCAUGAGCGCUCUGGCUCGCAAGCAGGCAAUUAGGUAUUCCUGAGAUGUCUUCUUAAGAGCGUGAUGCACUAUUGCUACGCAUGAAGAAAGCAGCGCACCACAUAAAUGGGUCGAUGUAUGGGCGUAAGAAGCAUAAUAUCGGGAUUGUUUUCAUGAUCGAGCAAACCCACGAACAUCGGCAUGAAGGAAUCCACUGAAAAUAUUCUGAGUGACUUCAUGUCGAACUUCCUUCUCGGUUGCUUUAUCAUCAUAAGAAUCGACUUCUCACUUUCUGGAGCUUGUGGAAGUUCCUCUCCUUCCACACUUUCUAUUUUCUCAUCUUGGACAUUCCAAAACACAUUGCAAGCGCACAAUAGAGAACAUGGAAAAUAUCCAACAUUGUGAUGAAGAUACCGAAUUGCUUAAUCCCUUCUUUCGACACCAAAAAAGACUUUUCCAUAUGUCUCACAAUAAGAAUCCUUAUAUGUGGUUUCCUGAGUGGAAGAGCAGUUGUGACACUUGCUUGAAUAGUUGAGUAGCUCAACUAUGAUAGCCAUUCUCAAGCAGUUCAGCAUUAUGGUCCUUAGUUCCAAAUCAUUUUUCCAAAAUAUCCAGCUACGUCAAUACCCUCCUAACCUUGAAAGUGAACAAACAAUCCUUCAUUCGAACCAUGAGUUGAAUAGAUACAUGAUAAAGACCUCAGGAGACAUUUGUUGAUAUUCAAACCAAGAACAAAGUCGUGCACCAUCUAAUAUUCUCAAGAGAAGCAGGUACCCAAAAACAGAGAGUGAACAACAAAAAUAGAGCAAGGAUAAAGGAGAUAAAUUAAAGCUAAAAGUCAUUGAACAAAACCCUGUUUCAUGCUUUGAUCAACAGGCUUUGUUGAACAGCAAAACUAGUUAUACCAAUUUCUAUUAUUAGUUGGUUAUUAAGCUGAUUAGUUUGGUUGUUAGUUAUAUUGUUAUCAUUUGUAUAUUAUAUAUACCAUUCAUAAUUAAUAGAAAGACACCUCUUCAGCUCAAAUAUACAAAGUUGUUAUUCUGUUAAGUUGGUAUCAAAUCGCAAAACGGUUCUUGCUUCCAUGAAUGCUUCUUUUUCUGCUCCGUUCAAUACUGGGGUUAAUUUUCAAAUCCCGACAAUGCUUCCUGCAUUGCAUAUUUUACUCACUCGUACCAAUUAUUCAUUUUGGAAAUCAAAGAUUCUUCCUAGAGUCCGAGCGUAUGGUCUUGAAGGAUUUUUAACUGGUGAUCGUGUUCGUCCACCUGCCAUGCUAGCUGAUGCAGAGGAUCUUCAAGUGUUUGUUGAAAAUCCUGAUUUCCUCUACUGGAUUAGUAUGGAUCAAUUUCUUGUUAGCUAGUUAAUUGGAUCCAUUUCUGAGGCAAUGCUUGGACAUGUUAUACGGUGCACUUUCACAGCAAAGAUUUGGAGCACACUUCAUGAGGUAUUUGAAAUUCAAUAUAAAGCAAGAAUUCUUCAAUUGCGUCAACAAUUACAACUUAAGAAAGGUGCUACACCUGUUGAUGAAUAUGUCUUAAAAAAACGUACAUUAGCAGAUUGUUUAAUUGCUGCUAGUCAACCAAUAUCUACUGAUGAGGUUAUUCUUUACAUUUUAUCUAGUCUUGGUCUAGAAUAUGAGUCUGUUGUGGUGAAUAUAACCUCUAAAGAUCAUAUAACACUUCAACGUGUUAUGUUCAUGUUGCAAAAUCAUGAACAAAGAAUUGAAAGUUGUGAAUCUACUACACAAGUGGAUGUUAAUGGCACUAGUGCUCACUAUGCUGCCAAGGAGAACUCCUUCAACUCUAGUUAUAACAGAGGCAAUGACAAUUACCGUGGACGACCUCGUGGUUCAUGGGGUGGAGGAGGAGGACAGAAUCAGUCCAAGAACAAACCGAUCUAUCAGGUUUGCAAGAAACCUUGACACAUAGCAUUAAAAUGUUGUCACUGGUUUGACCUUAGUUAUCAAGGUCAAGAAGCUAUUGCCAAUGCUAAUUCAACUAAUACUUCAUCUACCACAUAUACCAAUCCUUAAGCUUACAUGGCCGCACCAAGUUCUGGUGAUCCAAACAACAAUUCUUGGUUUCUAGACAGUGGAGCUACGCAUCAUAUUACAGCUGACAACUCUAAUUUGGCCAGCAAGAAUGAUUACAACGGCAAAGAGAAAUUGGUUAUUGGUAAUGGUUCUAAACUUCAUAUUAGUCAUAUUGGCAAUUCCAAAUUUCUUUCUAAUCAUUCUAAAAAAUCUUUACGUCUUAAUAACAUUUUACAUAUUCCUCAUAUUACCAAAAACCUUGUUAGUAUUUCCAAGUUUACCACUGACAACUCUGUUUCUAUUGAAUUUACACCUUCUUGUUGUUAUGUUAAGGAUUUGAUCACAGGGGCCACUUUACUGAAGGGAGUAUAUGAUUGUGGACUUUAUCAUCUUGAGUUGUCUCCUACUCAUACUACACAUGCGUUCCUUGCUCAUUCUAGUCAACCUGAAUCUUGUUCUUCAUGUUUUUAUAAUAAAACUGCUUCUUGUCACUCUUCUAUGGCUUGUAAUGUUUUCUUUCCAAAUAAAUCACAUGACGGUUGUAAUACUUCUGUUGUUCAAGAUUCUCCUGUAAAAUCUCUAUGGCAUAAUAGAUUGGGGCAUCCAUCUAUUUUUGUUCUCAAUAAAAUCUUACAUUCUAUGUCAAUCUCUCCAUCUUCUCAUCAGAUGUUUUGUGAUGCUUAUAAACUAAGCAAACUUCAUCAAGAAUUUUUUUUCCUUCUAUUGCUGUCAAAACUAAUAAAUAUCUUCAAUUGAUACACUCGGAUGUGUGGGCUCCUUCUCCUAAUAGUUCCAUUGAAGAUUAUCGAUUUUACUUACUGUUUAUAGAUGAUUUUAGUCAUUUUUGUUGGAUAUAUCCUAUGCAACACAAGUUUGAGGUACCUUCUAUAUUUCUUAAAUUCCAAGUUUUUGUUGAAAAACAACUUUCUUCUAAAAUUUUAGUCUUGCAAACAGAUUGGGGAGGGGAAUUUCAACCCUUAUUACCUAUUCUUGAAAAAUCUGGUAUUCUUUUUUGACACCCUUGUCCCUACACCCAUCAACAACAAGGAAAAGUUGAGCGAAAACAUCGUCAUAUCAUUGAUUUUAGCCUCACACUUUUUGCCCAAGCUGCUAUGCCCUUGAAAUUCUGGUGGAAUGCCUGUGUGUCUUUUGUUUUCAUCAUCAACCGGUUACCUACAAAAGUUCUAGCAAGUUUCCAGUCUCCUUUUCAAACUCUUUUUGGUUCUAAACCUGAUUACUCAUUUUUCAAAGUUUUUGGUCGUUCUUGUUAUCCUUACUUACGUCCUUACAAUUCUCACAAGUUUUCUUUCAAGUCCACCAAGUGUCUUUUUUUUGUUAUAGCCCUGCUCAUAAAGGGUAUAGAUGUCUUAGUCCUUCUAGUCGAAUUUAUGUUGUUAAGUCAGUCACAUUCAAUGAAAAUGACUUUCCUUACUCUACACUGUUUACUCAACCCAAUACUCCACAUCAGUCUUUUAUCCACAAGUUUAGUUGUCCAUCAUAUGUGUUGUCUUAUUAUCCUCUGGUUUCUCCACCUUAUACUCAUUUACCUACUUCAUCUUCUCAACGUCAUAUUUCUUUUUUUGCCAAUAUGUCUAAUACUUUUACUGCAGUUGUUACCGAUACUGCAAUGGCUCUUACCCUGCCUGUCUCUAAUGCUUUAUCUGACAAUGCGUGCUCUAGUUUUUCUAAUUCUACAACAGGUUCUGCUUCACUGCCCUCUUGUCCUGCUACUGGCACUACAGUUCCUAUUGUUGACAACAUAGUUUCCACACCUUGCACGCAUGAUGUCCAGCCUAUUACUGCUACUAUGUCUCAGCCUCUCCUCCACACUUCUACCAAUAUUCAUUCUAUGCAGACAAGGUCUAAAAGUGACAUCUACAAACCUAAGGUUUACACAACUGUUGUUGCUUUGCCAGAUCACUUCCAAAAGCCCUCUAAUGUUCGACGAGCUUUACAAUUACCUUACUGGAAAACAACAAUGGAGGCUGAAUAUUCUGCCCUUGUUGGCGGCUGGUUCCUAAAACUGAAGGAAUGCAUAUUGUCCAUAACAAAUGGAUCUUUAAAACCAAGUUGAAGGCUGAUGGUUCUUUGGAUAAAUUCAAAGCCAGAUUGGUUGCUAAGGGGUUUCAACAACAUGCUGGUGUAGAUUUCUCAGACACAUUUAGUCUAGUUGUCAAAGCCUCUACUAUUCGGAUAAUUUGUAUUCUUGUUGUCGCUUACAAUUGGGGCAUACAGUAGUGAUGCGACUCAUGGUAGCUUAGCUUUAAAGGCGUAUCAACAAAAUUUAUACCUUGAAUACUAUUACUAAAGUAGCCAAGCUACUAUAGCAUAGUGGUUCUAGGAUCGUUCACUGGGAAGGGUUUUCGCAAACACUAGUGAUAUUCAAAUUAGGAAAAUAGGUGCUUUUCUUAUGGAUGUUAGCUUUAAAAGAAGAUGUAAAUGUUUUAGAAAGAUUUAAACUAAUCUAAGCUAACAUUAAAGACUAAAAUGAAAGGGUGUAAAAACAAGUUUCUCAAAGAUAGGAUAGCUAUGCUCUGGCUCUUAUGCAAAUUGGAAAUCUCAGGAUAGGCUCCUCGCGUUGGGGUUGCAACUAUGGUGAUGCUUGCUUCCCGAACCGGUAUGGAUUUAGCAAAUCAAGUUUUAAUCCUUUAAAAUGGCAAAACAGAUGGUAGUGAAUUUCAUCAAUGGUUAUUCACCUUAGACUUCCUUUGAAUGGCUCGUAAGAGAUAACUAAUGGUCUAAAGCCAAAAGCUUACCAAAUAUUGGCAACUCAAAGUCAUUCCAAGUGAUAAACUCACCUUUCAAUGGCCAUUGAAAUUGGUUCUAACGGAUUAAUGAAAAACUUGGAAUUGAAAACCUCACCUUCCAAUAGCUCGUAGGAGAUAACUAAUGGAUAGAAAUCCAAAAGCUUAUCAAGUAUUGGCCGUUGGAAGUUGUCCAAAGGAAAUAAAAACCAAACUUUGCAUUAAUGAACCUUUAAUGAAAAACGGCUACCUUACCUUCCGGGUGCGAGAGAUUUUCGUGGGAUUGCAUCCAAGUCAUCACAUAACAUCCAUACUUUGAGAAACUAAAAGUUUUAGCCACUCAUCCUCUGAGGAAAAGCCCUCAGAGGCUGUUUGGCUUCCAAGAAAAUAAAAUAGCAAAGAGAAAAGAGAGACGAGAGAGCUCUGUAUAUCUUCUAAGUGUAAAACGUAACCUAUGUUCUAUAUUCCAAGAGGUGAUUUCCACCCCUUAUAUAGUCUUUACAAAAGCAAAAGCUUGUGAUUGGUUAGUUACAAGGAUAAGAAAGGAAAUUACAUCACAAAAUACAAAGGAAAAUAUCUAAAGUAGAGUCGGCAAAAGCAGAGGAAAAUUCGCAACAUCGCAUGGGUUAUGCGAAUUUUGAAGGUGUUAUGCGAAAUUUUCGCAUAACACCUUGUGUUAUGCGAAAUUUUCGCAUAACCUGGAGCAGUUGGCUUCCGAAGGCCAUAUCUUCCUCAUUUCAGCUCCAAAUCGUACACGGUUUGAAGUGUUGGAUUCUUGACUUCCAGAGCUUUGAAAUGGUAUAUAGCAUGUAAAAAAUAAACUUCGGGAAGUGCUCCAAAAGUGCAAAAGAAGACUGCAGCUGCUGUCCUCUUUGCUUCUCUUUGCUUUGUUUUCCUCUUCUCCAUUGUUCUUUCCUUGCAUACUUUGAACGACUUUGGCAAAGGGAUAUGGAGCUCCAAAGCUUGGUUCUUCAUGAAUUUGAGCUUCCAAAAGCUUUGCCAUAACUUGUCCAAGUAGCUCCUCCAUCAUUUGGCAUGCUUGAAUUGAUUCAUAAGCUGAUAAAAACAUGUAAAGUUGCCACAAAAUGGUUAAAACCAAUUACUAAGGACCUUAAUGAAUUAAUUGGGUUAAAUGAAUAUGAUUACUACUCAAAGGUGCUUAAAACCAUUAUAAUUAGGUCUACAAAAUAGCACUUUUUGGUAGUAAUCAAGUAGAUCGAUAUCAAUAAUGUCUUUCUAAAUGGCAUUCUUCAUGAAGAUGUCAAUAUGUGUCAACCUGAAGGGUUUGUUAGUUCUACUCAUCCUACUCAUGUCUGCAAGCUAAUUAAGUCACACUAUGGGCUUAAACAAGCUCCUCGAGCUUGGUUUGUUCAACUUCGUAGUGCUUUAGUCUCAUGGGGAUUUCAGCCUUCUAUUUCUCAUAAUUCCUUAUUUCACUCUCGGAAGAAUGGUCAUUUGGUUUUGGUAUUAGUAUAUGUUGAUGAUAUCCUAAUAAUUGGCGACAGUUCUGCACUCAUUCAUUCUAUGAUUCAAGCUCUCACUUCUCGGUUUGCUUUGAAGACUCUUGGUUCUAUUAGUUACUUUCUUGGAUUUAAAGCAUUUAGAGAUAGUUCCGGUCUCUAUCUCAAUCAGGCCAAAUAUAUUUCUGAUUUACUUGUCAAGACAAACAUGGUUCAUGCUAAAACAUCCUCUACACCAAUGGCUCUUGAUCAGAAACUUGCUCUUGAAGACAGUGCUCCUUUUCCUGAUGUCACCUUGUAUCGCAGCACCAUCGGUGCUCUCCAAUACUUAACUUUAACUCGGCCUGACAUAUCUUUCUCGGUUAAUAAGUUGAGCCAAUUUCUUAAGGCUCCUACACAACAUCAUUAGACUGCUUGUAAACGUCUGUUGUGCUAUGUUAGUGGUACCCGCACUCUUGGUUUAUCUUUUCGACCUACUGUUCGAUUUACACUUGAAGGCUUCUCAGAUGCGGAUUGAGCAUGUAAUGUUGAUGACAAAAGAUCUACGACCGGUUAUUGUGUUUUUCUUGGUGGCAAUUUAGUAACUUGGAGUUCUUGCAAACAACAGCUCGUUGUAAGGUCCAGUACCGAAUCCGAGUAUCAGGCUCUGGCUAGUGUUACUAUGGAAUUAAUUUGGAUAAAAUCUUUACUGGAUGAACUUCAACUUCCAUUACAGCAUCAUCCCAUAGCUUGGUGUGAUAACCUGGGUGCACAUGCUCUUGCCCACGAUCUUGUUUAUCAUUCACGCACUAAACAUAUUGAGGUGGAUGUCCAAUUCAUCUGAGAAAAGAUUUUCCAUCGUGCUCUUGAAGUUCACUAUAUACCCUCUCAGGAACAACCAGCAGGCUUGUUUACUAAGUCUUUGUCUCUUUCUCAGUUUCAGUUUCUGUGUUCCAAGCUUUCACUUUCCUAUCCGUCGUUUAGCUUACGGGGGGAUGUUGAACAGCAAAACUAGUUGUACUAGUUUUGGACUAGAUUAGUUGAUAAUUUAUAUGGUUGUGCUCAUUUGAAUUAUUUAAUUUGGACAUAAUAUAUAAUGGUAAUAUAUUUUGGAUGUUAUUUUGGGUUUGCAUAUUAAAUUGGGUUGAUUUUGGUUAUAAAUUUGGGUUUGUAUAUUAAAUUAAACUUGAAUUUGGGGAUAUUGAAUUUAGGCCUAGUGGAAUUUAUUUUAAUUUAUCAUAUUUUGGGCUCAUUAGAUUGUGCUUGUAUUUUGGUUAUUAAUUCAAAAAUUUUGGACUAGGGCUCAUUAGAUUGGCCCAUUUUUAAUUAAUGAAAUUUAUUGGACUAAUUUGAAGUUUGAAUUUGGGAUUGAAUAUUUAUUUUGAACUUAGUACAUUUCUAAAAAUUUACCUUUGGGCUAUUUUUGUUUUGCAUGGGCCCAUUCCACUGAGUAAGGAUCAAUGACACGUGGAAAAUUAAAUUUCAUGGAGGAAAUGGAGGCACAUGAAAACAUUGAGCUUAUUGUAGGUUUUUUGGGGUACACAUUUUAUUUCCCACUUUUAUUUGGUUUUAUUACGAUUGGUUCCUGUAAAUAUUCAUUUGUAUAUAUUCAUUGAGUGUGUAUAAAAUUGAAUAUUGAACAAACCAGAAAUUUUGUUUAAAUAAGAGUGAAAAAUCGGUAAAUAUGUUUUAAUAAAAUAAUAGUUCUAAAAUAUUCUCCUUAAUAAAAAAAAAAGUUUUUUUAUGAAUAAAAAUUAAGAAAAUUGUUUUUAGGAAAAUAAAAAAAGAAUUGUUUUUAACAAAAUUAAAAAAAAAAAAUUGUUUUUAAUAAUAGUUGUCUGAAAAUUUCUUUGUUUAAUAACAAUUGUUCAAAAAUUUGUUUUGUAAAUAAAGUUGUCCCAAAAAUUAAUUUUUAAUAAAAUUGUUCAAAUAAUGUUUUUUAAAAUAAUUUUUAGAAACAAAGUAUUUAAAUCAUUUUUCUUAUUGAAAAUAGGAUGAGAGUUAUUUUUGCAAAUUAAAGUUGUAAAAAUCAUUCUCUUAAUAAUAUUGGAUAGAAUUUUAACAUUUUUGUAAAUAAAGCUAUAAAAGACUUUUUUUAAUUAAAAAUUAUUUUUCAAAUAAAGUUAUAUUUUUUUAAAUAAUUGGUAUAAAUCACUUUUCUUAAAUAAAAAUAAAUCGAAAUACUUUUGUAAAUAAAGUUGUAAAAAUUCAUUCAUUUCUAGUAAAAGCAAGAAAAAUUAUUUUUUUUGUCAAAUUGAAAUUUUGUAAUAAAUUCUUUUGAUAUAAUAAGUAUAAAUAACUUUUUUGAAAAUUGAAUACAAAUGAAAUUGAAUCAAAUCGCUUGAAGAAAAUAAAUUGACUCUUUUUUUGUAAAUAAAUAAAUUGAAAUUAUUAAUUCAAAAUUGUUUUUAAUAAAAUCCUUUGAAGUUUCUUGAGAACUAAUUUUUGAAAUAUUUUUUCUUUAAAAUUGGUUUAAUAAAUAAAUUUAUAUAAUUUUCAUGUCAUUUAUCAUAUGCAUUCUUGUAAUUUGAUUUCAUCAUUAUUUUUGUAUAUAUUUAUGCACCACAACUUGUACAUAUUUAUUUGUAUGAUUCUUUUAGUAGAGAUCGUAUGUAUACGGGCUUAGAAGGGUGCUAUGACUCACUACCGUAUCUUCCUAAUAAGUAACCUGAUCCCCAAAUUUGGACUCGAUUUUUGCAGACAUGUCUUUUCCAAAUAAGGAGUCACAAAGGGUUUUCAUUCUUAUUUUGUUUUCCCUUUAAAAAAAAAACUAAAAUAAGUGGCAACCUCAAAUCUUUUUCUAAAAAUCAAAUUUUCGCCAAAUAAAAGUGAGUCUCAUCGUUCAAGUGGGGACGCACAUGAAAAUGUGAGUCCACAAAAUGACGACUCCACUAAGGAUUAAAGAGGUUCAAACUUGAACUUGAGUUGAUGAAAAUGUGGCGUUUGAUUAAUUGAUCAAUGGAUACCUUCUCAUGGUGCCUUUGUUAUAUAUUUGCAUCUUUUAGGGCAUGUGAGCAUUGACAUAAUGAUUAUUUUGUAUGUAUUGCAUGUGCCUUACUAGAUGUUGAUUUUUGUUAUCUUGUGUGUUUGUAUAUAUUGACUUAUGGUUUGUAUAUAUCUAUUUUGGCAUGAUUGUGGACUGUAGGAUUACUCUUUUUCUGCAUGAUGAUUGUCUAUGUUUGAUUUCCAUGUUCAAUUGUGAUAUAGACAUGUUGAUUAUACCCAUUGAUUCUCUUGCCAUGAUUAUCCUGCUCGCUUUGACAUGUAUAUUCACAUUAUUGUAUAUAUUAUUCAUCUUGAUCUCAAUUGUGCAUUAUUUUGAUCAGCUUUGAGUAUGCUAUUAUUUAUUCUUGUUGUAUAUUCAUCUCGCUUAUCUUGUUUCAUGCUUAGCCUCUGUGUAGAUAUGAGUGAUAUACAUGUUCUUUGCAUGACUACUCUUUUUCUGUGUUAUGCAUGUGUUGCUUGUCUAUGUGGGUCACACAUAUAUUCCCCUACCUCCAAUUCCUUAGUCUCAAUCAACCUUGUUUCCCUUGAUCUUGUAUUUGAUAUGAGACUUGUUGCUUCGUUUGUUCUUCGACUGAGCUAGUGAUUCAAAGUAGGGUUUAGUGAUGGGCUAUAUCUAUGUUUGGGAACAUUCUAGAGGAGGUCAACACAUUGAUGCUGAUUGGAGUCCAAUAUUUGCAGACUUGUAUAGCCCAAAGCUAGAUUUUAAGAUAUUUGUGUGACUAGUGUGUUUUCUCUCUACUUUAGCUUCAUAGGUUUUUCAGAUGCACCCACGUCGUUCACUGUGCACCUUAGAUUACCACUAAGUAUUGAGAGAUGUGAGAGCCUUCACCAUUAGGAAACCCCCUACAAUGCGAAGUAGUGCAUGUGUGGAGGUGAUGACCAGCUUGCAUGGAAGCACCCUGUCUCUUCAAAGGUGUGCAGGAAGUUGCAUACCAUCAGAGAGUACGAUCGCUUCUGCUAGGGAUCCUUUAAAGUCCACUCCAUUUUCUUUUUAGAGUUGUCUUGACCUCGUAGGUUAAGCCUUAAAUCUUUCAAUUAGGAUUCAUUUCCUACACGUGGGUUCAUCUGAGAGCCUUCGGGGCUACUUUAGUAACAACUUAAAUCCAAUACUCCAUCUUUUGGUCUCCAGUUGAGAGUGCUCAAAUAUUAGUGUGAGUUUGAUAUCAAUUGGACCACCAUUUGUCAUGUAGUGUUAACUCAUUCUGGUCUUUUGUUCUGUCUAACAUGCUUUUUCCUUAGGGUUUUAGAUAGUCUUCCUUUCUUGAGUUAGCAUUAUUCAGUUGGACUAGAGACUUGACUUAGGGAGUUCAAGAAUGUGACCCACCUUCUUAUGAUCAGAUUAAUACUAUACCUAUUCCCACACCUUGGCUUUGUCGACAUACAUCCAUCUACCUAUUCUGAGCUUUGCACAGUAUCACCCUUAACAUCAUUACAUGACCUUUCCAUUCCCAGCUAUUCUGGCUUUGCACAUCCCCUCCUUGAUCCAACCAAGUAGAGUGUGAGGAUUGUGAGCCCAAGGUUGAUCUUAUAUGGCGAGGGAUGACUUAUGAUCUUUGGAUGGCUUACGAUGUGAGGAUUAGUUGAUUAUCUGAUGAGACUAUCACUUAUUCUACUAUGAGUAUAGAGAUUGAUCUUGUAUGAUGAGAGUUGGUUUGUGAUGAACAGUUGUGCUUGAUGAGAUCUUCAUUUACUCUAUUUUGAGAGGAUCAUCUUUGAGAUUAUUACGGAGCAAUUGGAGUAGGGUUUGGUGCACAAUCCCAAAAGGUUGACGUGGUUAUAUCAGAUGGACAUCGAUCUUUAGUAUCAAUCAUGUGAGAGUUUGAGAGUAUGAUAUUUGAGACCAUGGUCGCAUGAUGGGUGGCCUUCAUUUCAAUUAGCUUACACCCUAUCACCUUUAUUGACAUCCAAACCAUUUCUAGCCCUUUGAGCCUCGCAUGAACAUCAUAGUCUUUUAUUCUUAUAGCCUUGCUCACCUUUUACAUUAGAUAGAGGUCCUCUAGUGUAUACAUGUUUUAUUUGAGAUUUUCAUGAGCCAUGGGCUUAUUGACUCACAUUUUUCAUUAUUUUGUUGUCGUUCUAACAUCAUUUUUCAUCAUACCUUACUGUUUAUAUCCUGUGUUCCAUUUUUUGUCUUUGUUAUCACAUUUCUUCCCAUGCCUUGAAUGUUGUUUUUUCGCACUUCAAUGCAUGGAGAACGGUCACAUCCCAUUCCACUCCUAUCUCAUGGACAUUGGUUCAAAUAUCCUUAGUUAAAAAGGUCAUAUUGUCAGAGAGAGUUCAUGUAUAUCAGUGUUUAAGAGUAUAUCCAUUUUGUUGUAUAUUCUCAAUGGAGCUCAUUUUUUUAUAUUUAGAGUAUGCACAGGUAAAAAUAAAAAAGAAAAAAAAUAAUAAAAUAAUAAAAUAAAUAAGCACAUGUAUGUAUGUAUGUAUGUAUGUAUGUAUGUAUGUAUGUAUGUAUGUACAGUGUCCUCUAGUGAGUGUAUAUAUUGGUCAUUGAGGGUUGUUUUAUUGAUUCAAUUGCUUAUGAGAGUUUGUAUGUGGGCUUUCAAAGGUUGUUAUCUCCUUGUGUUUAUCUUAUUAUGUAUUAUGUGUGUAAGAUACAGGUGACCUUUUCCUAGAGACUUUGGAUUUUGGUCUCCUUCAUCAUUACAUACAUCAUUGAUUUGACUAUUUUCGAUGACUUGAUUUAAGUAUAUCAUUGCUCAUUCAUUUUAUUUAUUAUUUUUUUUCUUUGAUCUAUUUGUUCUUCUCAUGGUAUCUCAUUUGUCUUGCAUGCAUUGUGCUUUGUUCAUAUCGAUUUACAUUUUGUGUUCGAUAUUUUUCAUACAUCAUUCUUAUACAUCCUAUCGAUAAUUUGAUAUUCACCAUUUCUUCUAUUUCAUCACCAAUAUAUUUAUCUUAUAUUUUUUUCUUCUUCAUUGAUAUAUUCAUAUUGGAUGUCCUCAGAUCCAUGGUUCAUGAGAUUCUCUAUACAUAUUGCAUUUUAUACAUGAGGGUAUAGGGUUUUAUCAUUGGGAUUAUUGAGCUUAGUUUCCUUUCAUAUCUUCACCCUAUUAUCUUAGCCUACAUUAAGUCCCGGGUCUUAAAACCACCGUGAGGCCAUGAUAUUAUACAUUGUGUUUGAUGACACUCAUGUGGGCAAUACUUGAGGUUGGUAGGAGAGUAUUCUAAUUGUGAUGGACCACUGGGACAUAACCACCUCAGAGAGUUUUUAUCGGGUAUGUAGCCAUUUUUCUCAAUACAUUGUAUUGGGGCACAACUUUCUCGGUCAAGUGUUGAUUUUUUAGAUGACCAUUAAACAGGGUCAUUCCUUGGAGGGGAUCAAACGUUCUUUUUCACAUUAGAGCAUGAGAUGUGGGAAAAAGAUUUCAUUUAAUAUGCUUGCAUUAGGGCAUACCUUUCUCAAACGAUGACGAAUUUUGAGUCAUAGUCGUUCCUUAGAGGUGAUUAGAUUCUUUUUACAUUAGAGUAUGAGGCAUGGAUGGGAGAUUUCAUUUGAUGUUCUUACACAGGGGCAUACCCCUCUUAGACAAUGAUAGGUUUUUUGGAGGAGUAUAGUCUUCUCCUUGGUAUUGACGGAUUUUUUAGGUGAUUGGAUUGUGGUGUAAACCCUUGUGAGAGCCUAUAUAAGAUUUUAGUCAUUUCAAAGAUUUGCCCUACAUUGGAGCAUAGCCCUCUCGUUGGCGAGUGACCUUGGACUUACCAGCUUACAUUGUGGUAUGACCAUGUCAGAGUGCAUUUUCAUUGUGACAUAUCACUUUGUUUGACUUUUCACACUGGGAUUUGUUCAUUUCUUAGAGGAUAUUAGAUACGCUCAUCAUGUUAUAGUAUGAGGAGAAUUUAGAGAGUAGAAAUGUACUUUGACUCGAUGAUGUAUGAUGGAUUGUACUCCUCCCAUGGUGCUUGAUUUAGAGAUGCUUAUACUAGGGCAUACCCUACUCAUCGGUGAUUUAUUUUGGAGGUGUUUGUUCUAUUCGAGGCUUGCUUAUUUUGAGAGGAUGUAUUCAUAUUGAGGCAUAGCUACCUUACUAAGUUUUUACAUUGAGACUCAACUUUUUGUUUAUUAUUGCCAUUUCCAAUGGGUUAUAAAGUUAUUAACACUUCGAGUUCAGUCUUCUCAGAAUACCUAGUUCAACUUUGAUACCCAUUUUCCUUUGUUGGACAUCCAGACAUCCUACCUUUGACACCAUUAUACUUGCAUCCAUCUUGUCAAAGCCUGAUCGAUAUUUAGCCUACCUAUUUCGUCAUCCUGCAUGACAUUAUCCCAUUCUCUUGAUCAGGGGAGAAUAUAAACCAAUCUUGAGCUUUUUGACUGAGUUUUCACAUGCCUUUGUACAUUAGGUUCAACAUCUUCCAUGAUGGUAGUGCCUAUUAGAUUGUUGAUGUAUUUGUGAUGAUGUUUUCAUAGUGAUAGUUGAUAUAUCAUAUCUUAACUUGCUUGCAUUAUUAGACUUAAGAGUUUUGGUCUACAUUUGUUUUGUCCAUCAUUUUAGUUUGGUUUAUCAACAUAGUUUCUAUGAGGUGUGGUUUUGUUUGAGCAUUUGUGCAUUGAGGCUAUAUAUUUUCAUUGCAUUAUCGUCAAGCAUAUCCUAGAGUGUCUUGUGUGUUAACAUUUUGUGUCUUAUGUUGGUCGUUAUCUUAUACUAGGGCAUAUCCGCUCUUUGAGUUUAUCAUAUAUUUUACAUAUUUCCUUACUGCUUAAUCUAUUUCUUGAUUCUUGUGAGUCGUCAUAUCCCAUCCCUCCCUUUAGCGUUCUUCUACUAGGGCAUACCCUUCCCUGGGUUUAGCAUAUCUCCUGUUGAUUUCAUGGUUGUUUGACCCAUUUUUCAAUCCUUAUGAGUUAUCACCAGGGUCAUUCUCCCUUUUUGAGUCAUUACAUUGAGGCAUACCCCAUUUCUCAUUGAGUUCAUUAUCCCAGUCAUUUCUUUUUUAGGGUUCUUUUCAAUGUUUUUGGUUGCAGACCACAUUCCUUGUUUUCUAUUUUUGCCUUAGGUGUUUCAAUUGUAGAUCAUAUGCUUCGUUUUUUUUCCCGAAGUUUGUUUAAGGCAUUCCCCUUCCAUUAGUUUGUUAGGGCAUCCCCCCUUUCAUCAAUUUAUUUAGGGCAUCCCAUUCUGUCAGUUUGUUUAGAGCACCCUCUUUUAACGUUCUUCUACCGGGACAUAGUCCCUUUUUGGGUUCAUCAUAUCUCCUGUUGAUUUCAUGGUCUUUCGACUCAUUUGUCGAUCUUUACUAGUUAUCACCUAGGGCAUUCCUCCUUUCAAGGCUCUUAUACUAGGGCAUACCCUCUUUCUCAUUGAGUUCACUAUCCUAGUCACACCUUCUUUCAGGGUUCUUUUGAGUGUUUUUGGUUGCAAACCACAUUCCUUAUUUCCUAUUUUGCUUUAGGUGUUCUUCAUUAUAGAUUGCAUUUCAUUCCCCAUUAUCGUCAGUUUGUUUAGGGCAUCUCCCUCUUUCUUCAGCCUGUUUAAGGCAUUCCCCUUUCAUAAUUUUGUUUAGGGCAUCCUCCUACCAUCAGUUUAUUUAGGGUCUUCCCUUUCUAUCAGUUUAUUUAGGGCACCCCCUUUCUUCAUUCUAUUUCAAGCACCGGGCACCCCAUUUUCUUCAAUUUGUUUAGGGCAUCCACCUACCGUUAGUUUGUUUUGGGCAUUCUCCCUUUCUUUAGUUUUUUUAGGGCAUGUACCAUCAUUUUGUUUAGGGCAUCUCCCUACCAUCAAUUUAUUUAGGGCCUCCCAUUUCUAUCAGUUUGUUUAGGGCACCCCUUUCUUUAGUUUUUUUAAGGCACCCCAUUUUUCUUCAAUUUGUUUAGGGCAUCCUCCUACCAUCGGUUUUUUUAGGGCACCCCAUUCUUUUAGCUUGUUUAGUGCAUCCCCCUAUUUUCAAUUUGUUUAGGGCAUCCCCCUUCUUUCAACUUGUUUAGGGUAUCCCCCCUACAGUCAGUUUGUUUAGGAUAUCCCCCUUCCUUUAGUUUUUUUAGGGCAUCCCCAUUUCAUCAAUUUGUUUAGGACAUCCUCCUACUAUCAAUUUGUUGAGGACAUUCCCCUUCAUUCAUUUUUUUAAGGCAUCCCCCUUUCAUCAUUUUGUUUAGGACAUCCUCUUACCAUCAAUUUGUUUAAGACAUCCCCCUUCCUUCAGCUUAUUUAGGGCAUCCCCCUAUCGUCAAUUUCUUUAGGGCAUCCUCCUACAGUCAGUUUGUUAAAGACAUCUCUUUUCCUUUAGUUUUUUUAAGGCAUCCCCCUUUCAUCAGUUUGUUUAGGACGUCCUCUUAUUGUCAGUUUGUUUAGGGCAUUCCCUUUCCUUCAGUUUUUUUAAGGCAUCCCCCUUCAUCAGUUUGUCUAUGACAUCCUUCUACCGUCAAUUUGUUUAGGGCAUCCCCCUAUCUUCAAUUUGUUUAGGGCAUUCCCCUUCCUUCAGCUUGUUUAGGGCAUCUCCCUACCUUUAGUUUGUUUAGGGCAUCCCUCUUUCCUUCAGCUUAUUUAGGGCAUCCCCCUUCUUUCAGUUAUCUCACCACCAUAGAUUUUCAUCAAUGGGCAUUUGAUUAAGUCUUCACCACCAUAGAUUUUCAUCUAUGGACAUUUAUUUCAGAUUCAUCACCAUAGAUUUUCAUCUAUGGGAAUUUCAGUUUCACCAUCGCAGAUUUUCAACUAUGGGCGUUGAUCAGUUUUCACCACCAUGGAUAAGACAUCAAUGGGCACUUCAGUCAUAUCACCAUCAUAGAUCAUACAUCUAUGGGCAUUUUAGUCUUCACCACCAUAGAUUUUCAUCUAUGGGUAUUUCAAAUUCACCACCAUAGAUUAACAUCUAUGAGCCUUGAUCAAUUUUCACCACCAUAGAUUUUCAUCUAUGGGCAUUUCUAAUUCACCACUAUAUAUUUUCAUUUAUGGCCUUGAUCAAUUUCACUACCAUAGAUCAAACAGUUAUGGGCAUUUCAGAUUCACCACCAUAGAUUUACAUCUAUAAGCAUUUCAGUUUUCACCACCAUAGACUUUUAUCUAUGGGCAUUUCAAAUUCACCACCAUAGAUUUUCAUCUAUGGGCAUUUCAAAUUUACCACCAUAGAUUUUCAUCUAUAGGCCUUAAACAGUUUUCACCACCAUAAAUCAGACAUCUAUAGGCAUUUUAGAUUCACCACCAUAGAUUUUCAUCUAUGGGCCUUGAUUAGUUUUUACCACCAUAGAUCAGACAUCUAUGGGAAUUUAAGAUUCACCAUCAUAGAUUUUCAUCUAUGAGCCUUGAUCAGUUUUCACCACCAUAGAUUUUCAUCUAUGGGCAUUUCAUAUUCACCACACCAUAGAUUAGACAUCUAUGGGCAUUUAAGAUUCACCAUCAUAGAUUUUCAUUUAUAAGCCUCGAUUAGUUUUCACCACCAUAGAUUUUCAUCUAUGGGCCUUGAUCAGUUUUCACCACCAUAAAUCAAACAUCAAUGGGCAUUUCAAAUUCACCACCAUAAAUUUACAUCUAUGGGCAUUUCAGUUUUCACCACCAUAGAUUUUCAUCUAUGGACAUUUAUUUCAAAUUCACCACCACAGAUUUUCAUCUAUAGGCCUUGAUCAGUUUUCACCAUCAUAGAUUUUCAUCUAUGGGCCUUGAUCAAUUUUCACCACCAUAGAUGAAAUCUCUGGGCAUUUCAAAUUCACCACUAUAGAUUUUCAUCUAUGGGCCUUGAUUAGUUUUCACCACCAUAGAUCAGACAUUUAUGGGCAUUUUAGUCUUCACCAUCAUAUAUUUUCAUAUACGGGCAUUUCAGUUUCACCACCGUAGAUUUUCAUCUGUAGGCGUUGAUCAACUUUCACCACCAUGGAUUGGACAUCCAUGGUCACUUCUGUUAUCACCACCAUAGAUCAUAAUGGACAUUUCAGUUGAUUCACCAUCACAGAUUUUUAUCCCUAGGCCUUUGAGAUUUUCACCACCACUGAUUUUUAUCUGUAGGCAUUUGAGAGUUUCACCACCACAGAUUAGCAUCUAUAAGCAUUUAAGUUGUAUUACCACCAUAAGACUUCACCUAUGGGCCUUCUAGUUUAACAUUUAAAGUUAGCUUUUCGAUUUGGCUUCUAGAGCCAUUCUUUUCUUAGUUUAACAUUUAGAGUCAGUCUUGUCAUUCAGAGCCAUAGCUCUCGAUAUUCAUAAUCACUAGCAUUGCACGCCAUGUUCUAACAACUAGACAUUCCACCAUACUUCUCACUUCAUAGCAUGUGUUUCUCACUUCUUCAUCAUAAUUUUUUAGGGUUUCUCCUUUUCCAUUGUGCUUGAUAUAGUCCUUGAGCUUGUAACACAUGUUUCGGUCAUAUUGUUGGAUACCUUAUGCCUUGUGUCCUCGUAUGGUACACGUAUGUUUUUUCCAUUUAUACGCAUUUGUUCAUGUGCUCUUUGGUGGUUCAACUACUAUUCAACUUUGACAUCGAUUUUCGAGUCACUUUUGGAGAAUUUUUUAGGGAAGUCUGGAUCCAUAGUGUAACUUUAGAGGCACCUUAGGAGUUUCAUUUUUCUUGCUUGAUUCGUUUUUGCCCUUUUUCUUAGGGCUCUAGAGUUUCUUUAUUCUUGUUUUAGUUUAAGAGAGUUUGUGUCAUACUACAAAUUUGGUCGUCUUUUUUGUUCUUCGAUAGAGCCCACUUCGUUUCACUUGUGUAUACACUUACUUUACUCGUGAACUCUAUUGAAGAGAAACAUAUUUGUAGACCCUAAAAUUUGUCCCAAAUUUAUUUUUACAUUAAUUUUGAGCUCAAUUUUAUUCUUAAAUUUAAAUCUUGAUUACAUCUGAAAUUUUUUUGUCCACUCACCCUUUAAUUUUGAGUUUUUAUAUUUAUUAUUCUGUUUUAUUUUUAUUUUUUAUAUUAUUUUAUUUUUUACUAUUAAUAAAUAAUUUUAUUUUUUUCUAUUUUAUUUUUAUUUAUUUAUUUUUACUUUUUCUUUUUUUUUUUUCUUUUUUUCUUUUUCCUCUCUCCUCUCUCUUCCCACUUAUCCCUAACUACCCUCAGCCUACCCCCAUUCCCCCACGUCAGGAGACCCCCCUCUCCUCUCUUCCUUCUUCUCUUUCUUCUCAUUUUCCUUUUCUUUUCAUUUUUCUUCAUUUUUUUUUGGGUCGACCUUAUUUUUUUUUUCUCUUCUUCCUUCCUCCACAUUACCACUUCCAGAUUCCCAUUGCUUCAUGCCCCUUUCAUUCCCCAUUUCCUUCCUUCCAUAUCUUCUUCUUUCUUUUCCAUUUUCUUUUUCUAUUUUUUUUAUUUCCCAUGAAACCCAUAUCCAUACCCACAGUCGGCCAAUCAUCGCCAGCAAGUUGACGUCAGCGACACCAUCUCCAACAACCGACAACCACCCCCUCCACCUAUUCCUCACCUCACUCAUUUUCCCUUAUUAUUAUUAUUAUUUCUUUUUUUCUUUCUUUCUUCUUUCUCAUCUCAAUUCCACUAUCAAUUUUUUUUCUCUACCAAUUUCCAUGGUCUCCAAACAUAAAUGUGUAAGUUUAUUUUGCUUUAUUUUAUUUUAUUUUUUCUUGCUUUGAUUUUAAUACUAGUUGUUUGUGAGAUUUGGAUUGUUAAACUAAUAUAAAAUUUGGACUUUGGUGAAUUAAUAUGAAAUUUGGCAGGCUAAUUUAUUGUUAGUGAAUUAAUUUGGAAUUUUCUAAUUUGGGCUAGAUUAGCUGAUAAUUUAUAUGGUUUUGCUCAUUUGAAUUAUUUAAUUUGCACAUGAUAUACAAUUGUAGUAUAUUUUGUAUGUUAUUUUGGGUUUGCUUAUUAAAUUGGGUUGAUUUUUGUUGUAAAUUUGGGUUUGUAUAUUAAAUUGAACUUGAAUUUGGGGAUAUUGAAUUUAAACCUAGUGGAAUUUAUUUUAAUUGUUCAUGUUUUGGGCUUAUUAGAUUGUGUUUGUAUUUUGGUUAUUAAUUCGAAAAUUUUAAACUAGGGCUUAUGGUAUGUGAGAUAUUUCUAUUGGGUUAAAUUUGCUAAUUUAGGCCCAUUUUUAAUUAAUGAAAUUUAUUGGACUAAUUUGAAGUUUGAAUUUGGACUUGAAUAUUUAUUUUGAACUUUGUAUAUUUCUAUAUAUUUACCUUUGGACUAUUUUUGUUUUGCAUGAGCCCAUUCCACUAAGUAUGGAUCAAUGACACGUGGAAAAUUGAAUUUCACAUAGAAAAAGGAGGCACAUGAAGACAUUGAGCUUGUUGUAGACUUGUUGGGGUACACAUUUUAUUUCUCACUUUUAUUUGGUUUUAUUUCUAUUAGUUCUAUAAAUAUUCAUUUGUAUAUAGUCAUUGAGUGUGUAUAGAAUUGAAUAUCGAACAAACCAGAAAUUUUGUUUAAAUAAAAGGAAAAAAUAAGUAAAUAUGUUUUAAUAAAAUAAUAGUUCUAAAAUAUUCUCCUUAAUAAAAGAAAGUUUUUUUAUUAAUAAAAAUUCAAAAAAAUGUUUUUAAGAAAAUCAAAAAAGAAUUGUUUUUAACAAAAUUCAAAAAAAAUGUUUUUAAUAAUAAUUGUUCAAAAAUUUGUUUUGUAAAUAAAGUUGUCCCAAAAAUUAAUUUUUAAUUUAACUGUCCAAAAAAGGUAUUUUAAAAUAAAUUCUUUUUACUUAAUUAAAAUGAGAUUAAAAGUAAUUUUUAGAAAUAGAGGAUUUAAAUAAUUUUUUUUUAAAUGAGAAUAGGAUGAGAGUUAUUUUUGCAAAUUAAAGUUGUAGAAAUCAUUUUCUUAAUAAAAUUGGAUUGAAUUUUAACAUUUUUGUAAAUAAAGCUAUAAAAGUCUUUUUUUAAUUAAAAAUUCUUUUGCAGAUAAAGUUAUAUUUUUUUAAAAAUAAUUUACAUAAAUCCCUUUUCUUAAAUAAAAAUAAAUCAAAAUAUUUUUGUAAAUAAAGUUGUAAAAAUUCAUUCAUUUAUACUAAAAACAAGUAAAAAUAAUUUUUAGUACCAAAUUGAAAUUUUAUAAUAAAUUCUUUUGAUACAAUAAGUGUAAAUUACUUUUUUGAAAAUUGAAUACAUUGAAAUUGAAUCAAAUCACUUGAAGAAAAUAAAUUGACUCUUUUUUUUGUAAAUAAAUAAAUUGAAAUUAUUAAUUCAAAAUUGUUUUUAAUCAAAUCCUUUGAAAUUUCUUGAAAUCUAAGUUUUGAAAUAUCUUUUUUUUUUAAAUUAGAUUAAUAAAUCAAUUUGUAUAAUUUUUAUGUCAUUUAAUUUGAUUUCAUCAUUAUUUUUGUGUGUAUUGAUUUUCACCAUAACUUAUACAUAUUUAUUUUUAUGAUUCUUUUUCUUGGUAUCCAUGAUCAAUCAAUUAGUGGUCAUAGUUUCCUUCAUUCGCUUAGUAGAGACCGUAUGUAUACGGGCUUAGAGGGAUGCUACGGCUCACUACCGUACCUUCUUAAUAGGUAACCCGAUCCCCGGAUUUGGACUUGAUUUUUGCAAACAUGUCGUUUCCAAAUAAGGAGUCACAUAAAGUUUUCUUUCUUAUUUUAAUUUCCCUUAAAAAAAACUAAAAUAAGUAGCGAUUCCAAAUCUUUUUCUAAAAAUCAAUUUUUCAUCAAAUAAAAAGUAAGUCUCGCCGUUCGAGUGGGAAUACAAGUGAAAAAUGCGGGUCCAUAGUAUUAUAUAAGGAAAUUGAAUUCUUCAUUACAUUAUUUUUGAGUAAAUUGUUAACAUAUCUUAAAUUGGACAAUUGAAUGGAAAUUAUAGUUUUCAUGAUAUGGUAUAAUAUUUUUCUUGUUAACUUUAAAUAAAUUUGCACACCAUUCUUAUUGGAUCCCCACGGUCAAUUUAUUGUCCUUCAUAUCCAUGGAAAUUCAAGUAACUCCUACAAAAUUACAAUUUAAUACUAAUUUAGAUUUUGUAAUAUUUAAGCAUUUAAGAACUGAGUUUUCUCCUAUGAGUUCAAUAAACCAUUUGGUUGAUGAGAAAGAAUAGAAAAAGAAUGAAAAGCCAAAACUUUGAUUAAAAUAAAACAUGGAACUUGAUUCAAAUAUUUGUAUUUUACUUUUCUUUCUCUUAAAUUCCUCGAUUUUCACAUAAGCCAAAAAGGGAUUAGAGUAAAUUUUGCAAAAACAACAAAUUUAAUAUCUAGAAAGCUAAACGCAUUCUUCAUGUUCUUCUACUUGGCUUUGUCAUCGAAUAACUCAAACUUCAAGAUUAUUUUUUGUUACAACAAAACAAAAAACUUGUAAUAUAAUGUAAUCAAAUCAAAGCUUAUGGUUUAGAGAAAAAGUAAAAAACCCAUCAAUAAUAAUAAUAAUAAUAAUAUAUGAGAAGGCCUAAAAAAAAUCAUCUUUAUAAACCCAACUAAAGUGAGAAUAUGAGCUCCAAUGAAGCAAAACCCAUAAAACUUCUUCAAAUUCUUGUAAUGGUAGAAGAUAAAAGUUAGCUUUUCAAAAAACAAAAUCCAAAAUCAAAAGCUAUAUAAGAGAAACAACAAACCUUUAUCUCCAUCCCGUUGUAAAACCGGGCCUUGAAAAAAGAAGAAUUUUGGAGAAACUUUACCAUAAAAUAAAAUUGAGGGUUUUUUAUUAAUAGAAGGAUAAACUGUUAUAUAAUAAAUUAUAAAAUGUAAAACGAAUAUAAAUCAUAUUAAAUUAAUAUUAAUUAAUUACUUUUGUUUGGUGAUUAACGAUAAUUUUGGAAAGAAAAAGUUGACAAACACCUUGUACUUUUAUAGGUAGUAUACAUUAGACCUUGAUAUUUUAUCCCUACAACUUAAUUUAUCUCAACUUUAAUCCAAUAUUAAUUUUUUCCGAACUUAAGUUUAAUUUGUGCUAGGCUAGGUAGUUAGAUAGUUAGAUUAGAUUCCAAUAAGUUUGAGUUUGUACAAUUUUAUCCCCAAAUAUUUUUUAAAAUUAUUAUUAUUAUUAUUAUUAUUAUUAUUAUUAUUAUAUAUCAAAAUUUAAAUAGAAAAUAAAAUAAAAACAAACAAACUUGUAAAUAGUUUUAAAAAAAUGGAAAAUAAAAUUAUAUAUAUAUAUAUAUAUAUAUAUAUAUAUAUAUAUUAUUUAAAUGAUAUUAAAAUGAAAUAAUUUAUAAAAAUAUUUAAUCAGAUAGGCUAAAUUACAUGGUCAUUAGAAAUGAAAUUGAGUAGAUAGUAAAAAUUCUAAUUAAUUUAUGAAUCAUUUUUAAAAAAAAAAAUUAAGAAGUGAACAAACAAACCUUUGAAUUCUUCUAAGUUGUUUUGCUACUUCCAACAUAAUUGGCCUUUUAUUUGGAUUUGUUCUACAACAAUUGAGACUAAAUUGGAAUACUACUUUGAAUUGAUGAUGGUGGUGGACUCCUCCCUCGGCUAGAAUUGUAGGAUCAACAAUCCCAUUAAUUCCAUGAUUUUUGAUAUAGGAUUGUAUGCAAUCCAUUGGAUAAUCCACCUCUAGAGCGUCCAUGAAACCUUUGGACACAACUAAUUCACGAUAGUGCUUUCCCAUUAGAAGGUAGAAUAAAAGCAAGCUAAAGCCAAAAACAUCAUUCUUCUCUAAAUACACUCUCAACUACCAUACUUCAGAUGCUAAAUAUCCUAUAGUCCCACAAACAUGUAAAAUUUGUACUUGUGUUUUGCCCUCAAGAGUGUUGUAGAUAACAUAAAAUCAAAGAGCUUAGCACACAAAUCUUGGUCCAUGUAAAAAUGUCGAGGAUGUAUAUCUCUAAGAAUGAUUAGCCUGGGAAACGCAGUGUGAAGAUUUGUAAUUACUGAAGCAAUCUAUUUUCUUAAUAUGCUACGUAUUCCUUCCUACCACGUUGAAUAUCUUUUUUCUUAAAAUGUUAUCCCCUCUUUCUCCUAUCUCCAUACUUUCAUAAUGCAGUCCUCAAUCUUCUCUUCUCUUGCUAAGUUUUACCCUCUCUUGCUUUGUCUUUCUUUUUCAUUUUGGUGAUUCUUGUUUUCCACUUCCGUUGACUCUCUCUUUAAUCAAAUUCCCAAAAUGUGUUCUCUACACUUUCAUAAUGUAACUCUCAGUCCCCUCUUCUCUUGGUUGGUUUUACUCUUUCUUGCCUUUGUCUUCCUUUUUCAUUUUGGUAACUCUUGUUUUCCACAUCUUUCUUGGGUAAACUUCCCUACAAAAAUAUAAAAAUUAAAUUAAAUUGAACAAAUGAUGAAUAAUAAUAAAAAAUAGAAAAUGAUAAAAUAAUAAUAAAUAAAUAAGUAAAUAAUAAAUAAAUAAAUAACAAUAUAAUAAAUAAAAAUAAAUAAGUAAUUGAUAAUAACAAAAAGAAAAUGUGUCAUGCAAAGAAGUUUGAGUCAUUAAAUCACACAAGCUAUACAAAAAAAAAAAAAAAAAUGAGUCAACAGGUAACCUAAGUGGGUCAGGAUGUUCCUAAAUGGGUCAAGGUGAACUAAAUAGGCUAGAUGGCCCUAAAUGGGCCAAGGUGAUCCUAAAUGGGUCAUAUGUGCUUAAAUGGGAUAGGGUGAUCCUAACUGGGUCAUAUGUGUCUAGAUGGGCCAGGAGGAUCCUAAAUGGGUCACAUAUGCCUAAACAGGUUAGGGUAAUCCUAAAUGGACCAAAUGUGCCUAAAUGGUCCAAGGUGGUCCUAAAUGGGCCUAAUGUGCCUAAAUAGACCUAAUGUGCCUAAAUGGGCCGAAUAUGCCUAAAUGAGCCAGAUGUGCCUAAAGGGGCCAAGAUGUUCCUAAAUGGCCCUAAGUGACCAAAAUGAGCUAAGGCUUGCAUAAGUAGGCCUAAGUGAACCUAAGUAGGUCAUAGUGAUCAUAAAUGGGCCAAAUAUGUAUAAAUGGGUUAGUGUAUAUCUAACUAGGCUAGGUGUGCCUAAAUGGGUCAAUGUGAUCCUAAAUGGGCCAAAUGUGCUUAAAUGGGCCAAAUGUGCUUAAAUGGGCCAAAUGUGCUUAAAUGAGCCAAGGUGAUCAUAAAUGGACCAAAUGUGCCUAAAUGGGUCAAAGUGAUCAUAAAUGGGGCCAAGUAUGUCUAAAUGAGUUAGGGUAUGUCUAAAUGGGACAAGUGCACCUAAAUGGUUCAGAUGUGCCUGAAUGGGCCUAAGUAAAUCUAAGUAGGCCUAUAUGUGCCUAGAUGGGUCCAAGUGAAGCUAAGUAGGAAUGGGUGAUCAGAAAAGUGUCUAAGUGACCUAAGGUGAUCAUGAAAAGUGCUUAAGUGACCUAGGGUGAUCAGAAAAGUCCUUAGGUGUCUUAGGAUGUCUCUAAGUGUCCUAAAAAUAUACCUAAAUGAACUAUCCUAAAAAAAAAAAGGGAAAAUCCUAGAUCUAACUCAAAGUUUCCAAGGAUCACAAUGAGGGGUUAGAUAAAUCCCUCGAUCAGAGUCUCUAAGGUGACUUAAAAAGAUAACUCGUAUGAGUAGCAAUGGGCCACUAAAGAACUCUUGUGGAGUAUUGAAAGAACACCUAAUACGACAUUUGUUAAAAUGACAAAAUUGAGGGUCUAUGUAUGUAUUUUAGAUUUUGGAGGUAAUUGGGACGACCAUCCACCAUUAUUGGAGUUUGCUUACAACAAUAGUUUUCAAAGUAGUAUUGGUAUGGCACCUUUUGAAGCUAUGUAUGAUCAAAAGUGUAGGUCAUUUGUUUGCUGGGAUAAAGUGGGUGAGCAAAAAAUUUUGGGACCAAAAUUAAAACAAGCAACUUUAAAAAAAAAAUGCUUUAAUAAGAGAGAUUGAAAACAACUUAGAGUAAACAAAAGGGUAAUGCUAAUAUUAGAAGGCAAAUUUUGGAGUUCUAGAUUGGUGAUCAUGUGUUUCUCAAAGUAUUACCUAUGAAGUCAAUUAUAAGGUUUGGUUUGAAAGGAAAACUUAGUCCUAGGUUUGUGGGACCAUUUGAAAUUUUGGAGAAAGUUGGCACUUUUGCAUAUAGGGUGGCUUUACUUCCAAGUUUGGAAAAGGUUCAUAAUGCGUUUCACAUAUCAGCUUUAAGAAAGUAUGUUCAUGAUCCCUCACAUGUUGUGGAAUUUGAAUUGAUUUAGUUAGCAAAAAAUCUUUCAUACAAGGAAGUUCCAAUUCGAAUUGUUAACAUGAUGGAUAAGGUGUUACAUCAUGCAACAGUCAAAUUAGUUAAAGCUCAAUGGAGUAAUCAAUCUAAACGAGAGGCAACUUGGGAACUUGAAGAUGAGAUGAGAGAAAAGUUUCCAUAUCUUUUUCUGAUUUCAGGUAUGCUAAGUUUAGAGGACUAAAUUUUUUUAGGAGAGGAAAUUUAAUAUCCUUAAUUUAGUUUUCAUGGAAUAAUCAUAACCACAAGGAUAAGAAUAAAGAAAAUGAUACUUUAUUUUAUUUUUUAUUUUUAAAAAGUUACAAUUUUAAAACAUGAUGGGGAAGUUACAAAUUUUUAAACCAUUUUCGGGAAGUUUUAAGUUAAAAUAAUAAUAAAUAAAGAAAUAAUAUUUAACAAAUCUAAAGAAUUUGGAGAAGAGAAAAAAAAUACCCUCUAAAGAGAUAGACAAAGAGAUAAAAAAGAAAAAAGAAAAGAACAAAGAGAUAAAGUUGAAAUUGAUUUCACCAUCGGUUAUUUUUUAUUAUCUAUAGAGUAAAAUCUAAGGUAAGUUUUUCAUGGAAUCUAUUCUUGUUCUUCUUUUGAAUUUUUUUCUUAAGAUAUAUGUUAAUGAUAAGAUAUUUUCUAGAUAUAUAUAUAUAUAUAUAUAUAUAUAUAUAUAUAUAUAUAUAUAUAUAUAUAUAUAUAUAUAUAUAUAUAUCAUUCAUCUAAUAAGUAAAGGGUUAGGAAGUCAAAAAAAUAAAAAAUUAAUGAUAGUACGAUGAAUGCAAUCUUUGAUUUAACCUUAGACAAAAACAAAGUUUUAUGAGUAUGAGAGUUUUUACUAUUAUUUGGAAGAAAUCUAUAUACAAUGCAAUUUUGAAAUAAAGAUAGUAUGAAGUUUGAACGAGUUCUACAAAUUUAAGAAGUAAGGUUUUGAAGAAAAAUAUAAUGAUAAAUAAAUCAUUUUAGUUGUUUAGUAAAAAAAAAUGCAAUACAAAAGGGAAAUUCAAUGUCAAUAAAAUAUGAAUAUGAAUAAUAAAGAAAUAUAGGAAAAAAUAAAAUAUGCAGUGUAUAGUUGAGAAAUUAUUAAUUAAGAUAAUUGAAAAAAAAUAUAUAUGUUGAUUUAGUACUCACGAUAAUGUAUGAAGAAGAAGAGAAUAAAUUCUUAAAUUUAAAUUUAAUUAUUGCAGGAAUAAGUUUGUAGCAUGUGAUAUAAAAUUUCAGUUGGGUUAAAAUAGAUUUAUAUUAAUAAGAUUCAUUUUAUUUUAUUAGAUGAAUCCUAAGUUUAAUCAAUUUUCUUGCUCGGUUGAACUUUUACCAAGUAAGAAAAUAUCACCUUUAAAUAUUUUCUGAAAUGUUAUUUUUCUGAAAAUCUAGGAAAGUAUUUUACCAUGUGAAGAAUAUUUAUAUUGUGAAAAAUAUCACUUCAACUAUAUAUUAUGAUAUUUUCCCAUAGUCAAUAGGGGUUAUGUUGUUAGCCCUCAUUGUUUGAUCAUAUGAAAAUUGGAAAACUAGUUAAUAGGGUAGUCAUUGACGCUCAUUGCCUAAUUAUAUAAGGAUUGGAAAUACCUAAUCAAUGGGGUAGUUACUAACUUGAUGGUACUAUAUGAUUGGCUAGUUUCUUCCUAAUUGAAGGUCAUCUAUUUCUGAAGUCCUACUAGUUUGGAAAAAGAAAAUGUGUUUAUGCUCUAUAUGUUUAAAGAUUAUAUUAUUUCUUAUGUCACUUUCUUUUUUAUAUAUAUAAAAGAAUUUGUUAGUAUAUUCCUUAUUGAGUUAAAGCUUACUACCUUUGCUUUUGAAAACCCCUUCCAAGUACACCCAAGAUGUAGAAGGAAAUAAGUGACAUCAAGGAUAAGAAGGGUUCUUGUUAGUUUAGUUUACGUUUGGCCUUAAAGUUUCUAUUUAGACAUGUUAAUUUAGAUCAUGUGUUAUGUUUUUAAUUAUGAGGUUAAUUUGAACAAAAUUAGUGUUUCAUUAUUAUGUGAAUCAUGAAAAUUUUAUCUUGGAAAGAUAGUUUUAGCUCUAUGAAUUCACUCUUAAGGAGAUUUCAUGAAUUUUGUUCUUUUUUAUUAUUUAGUCAUUUUUGCAUGUUUUACCUUUAUAUUAGAUAUAUCAAAUUGACAAGGUUAACCCUAGCAUCUAGGCAUUAUGGUGUUAUAGUUUGGUAUCAAAGCAAUAGGAUAUGGUCCUAUAAACUUCCUAGUUAAGUUUAAGUUUAGGUUAGAUGUUGUGAAGCAGUCUUUCCUAUUUUAUGAAGUUUUAGUUUCCUUCCAUAAUGAGUUACUACUAAUCUUUGUAAAUCAUCCAAUUAAUAAGUUAUUACGGCCCUAAGACGAACUACUUCUUCCCGUAACAAUCAAGCAUCAAGGGAGAAUGUACCCUCUAAGACUAUUGAAAAUAAGGAUUUCCCCUAGAGUAAAAGGAGUAGAGGUACCUUCUUUGGUUGUUGAGGGGGUAACUCAAGCUUUGGGUACUUAUGCUUGAUUGGUUGAGCACCAAACUCGUGUUGUUGAGAUUAAAGCUCGGGCUACUUAGACAUAGGCUCAAGCUGUUGAGAUGCAUAUAGAGGGUAUGUCAUUUGCUUCCUUUGAGGGUUCAUUUAAGCAAUUCAAGAAAAUGGGUCCUCCUUCCUUUGAGAAGCAUUUUGAUGUUCUAGGUUCCUCAAAAACUCAUAAGGUGGCCUUUGCCACUUCAUGCUAGCAGGUGAGGUAGAACAUUGAUGGAAAAUGGAGAAAAGACUCAUAAAGGGGUCAAAAAUCAAUUGUGUGGCCAAUUAUUUUUAUUAUUACUCCUUCCACCAUAGUUUGUGUAGCUAUCAAAGUGUGUAUCUCUUCUUCCCGGUGUUGAACCAUGUAUCUAGGUUGUGUGUAUCACUUCUUUCUGGUGUUGAACCAUGUAUCUAGGAUGAAACCACGCAGUAAAAGAAUCCAACAUAUGAUUUUCUAUUUGACCUAAUGUUAGCCAAUUGGAGAUAAUUGUAUUAACGACUAUUCAUUUAACUAUGAUUGAAUGGACCUAAUUCAUUUAUUUCCUCGGCAAUAUGAGACCUUAUUGAAGGAACAAAUGUUGCAUGAGAUGCCUGCAUGCAGUUGUCGUCUAUGCCAAAUAGGAAGACAUAGGUAUGCAUGUCAGUUUCGGUAUUUGUUUAGGUACCAAACCGGUAUAAUUCCUAACUCUUAGAACCUAGGGGCACUAGUGUGUUAACGAACUCUAGGCCAACACUAAAUCAACAUGUAAAACAACUAUUCACAUGGGUACUUCAUUAACUCUGCACAUAUCAGCUAGAUUUGACUAAACAUAUAAUUUAGCUAGAAAAUGUUAUUAUCAUCUUUUAGACACUUGUGUUAGGUGCAUAUAUGAUAUUAGGUGUUUGGAUGCAUAUCCCAUAUCCAUACUAAUCAUGCUAUCUCUUGUAUGAAAUGGGAAUUUAUCUGUGUAACACAAGUUGUUCUCUUCAACAUUUCAUGGAAAAGAAAUCACUACAUAGUUACUUAUUUAAGAUUGGAUUGGUUUAAGUAUGAUAUUGGACCCAUCACCUAUUGCCAGUUUGACAAUCAGAAGACCUUCUAAUGUAAGAAAAUGAAUGAAAUGGUUAAAGAAGAGUAUAUUAAGUGAAAGAGAUAUGUAAUGGCACGCAAAAGCCUAAUUCAUCCUUUUCUGGUUGCCUUUUUAUCUUGUUAGUUGCCAGAAAAUCUAAUUGCAAGCAAGGAAGAAAAUAAAAAACAAAGAAAACAAAGAGAAUAGAAACAAGAAAUAUUCUAGAAUUCCAGCACUCACACAAAAUGAGCCUAGGACUGAAAUUUAUAUAGUAUAGGAAAUGAGAUUACAAUAAAGCAAAUCUAAAACAAACCAUACACGUGGCAAGGCUUUAUACAAAACAAUACUUCCUACGGUUAAGCAUAAGCAUAAAAUAAAACUAAUUACAAUACUUAACAUCCCCCAGUAAGUUGAGAGGGUUGUGAAGCACAAUCAGCUUGUUUCGUAGACUUUGAAAGUGAGGUGCAGGCAGUAGCUUGGUCAAGAUAUCUACGAGUUGCUCUUCAAAAGGUGUAAAUUUUACCAAUAAGGAUUUAUGGAGCACACAAUCUCGAAUGAAAUGAUAAUCGACUUCAAUAUGUUUCAUACAAUGUUUUCAGAAUCGGAUCGGAUAUUGAACCAAAAAAGUUACCGGUUCACGGUUCACGAUUCACUGGUCGGACCGGUGGUCGAAUCGAUAACGUCAUAAAUAUAUAUUUUAUAUUUUAUUAAAAUUAAAAAUAAUUAUAAAAUAUUUAAAAUAUAUAAUUAAAAAUUAAAUAAUAUUUAUAAUAUUAUUCAUUCAUUUUUAUAUAAAUGUAUUAAUGGUUUAAAUUUAUUAAACAAAAUAUAUACAAUAUUUAAAUAUGAAAAUAUAUUCAAAAUGGUUAAAAACAAAAAAAAAAAGUUGUAUUUAGAUAUUAAAACAAAUAUAUAUAUUAUUUUUUGAAAUAGCCUAUGUAGUUAUUUUCUAUUAAAUAUUAACACAAACAAAGACACAGCACAAUGGAGUGGUUAUGUUGUUAUGAGCUUGUGGUCUGUGGUUCAAACCCUCUUGUUGCUGUAGGAACAAAGUUGAUUUUUGCUUUUAAAUCCCUUUACCUUAUCCCACAUCGGAAGUAAGAGGAAAAAUAAAGUGCUUUAUAAACCUCUUCCCCAACUAACUAAAGCCAAGUGGGUGGUGGGCCUUAUGGCCUAGUACUUGGGUAGAAGGCCCAUUUUGCAAGAUGGGGAUGGGCAUUUAAUGUUGGCUCAUGAGGGAGUAGCCUACUUAGCCAAAAAAAAGUUGGGGGUGUUGAACUAUUCAGUUCUCCCAGAACCGUCCGGCUCAAGUGAUUCAAUGGUUCAACCGUCAGCUCAAGCAGUUCAGUACCGGUCCAAUUGAUAGCCGACCUAAAAGGGGGAACUAGACCGAAAAGGUCACCGAUCAGUUCGGUCCGAUUUUUAAAACAUUGGUUUCAUACUAGCAUGCAAAAUUAGAUGAGCAGCAACAUGGGUGGUGCUAAGAUUGUCACAAAAGAGGAUUGGGAGAGUGAAGAACGGAAUGUGCAGUUCGAUGAGGAAUGUUUCAAUCUAAAUAAGUUUUGAAGCUGCAUUGGCGAGACCUCUGUAUUCGGAUUCGAUAGUACUUGAUCGAGAAACAACCUUUUGUUUAGUACAGGUCCAGGAAAUCAAAUUAGGGCCAAGGAAACAACAAUGGCCACUUGUACUUUUCCGAUCAUCCGGGCAGCCAGCUUAAUUAGCAUUAGUAUAACAAGUGAGCGAGAGAUUAGUGGAUGAUUGAAGAGAAAUGCCAUGGGAAAUGGUACUCUUAUGAUAGCGAAGAAUCCUCUUAACAGCUUGCCAAUGAGUUAUGGUCGGAGAGUGCAUGAAUUGGAAGACCUUGUUGAUAGAAAAACUAAUCUCAAGUCGGGUGAUGGUACAAUACUGUAGAGCCCCCACAAUGUUGCAGUACAAAGAUGGAUCCGAAAAAGGCUCACCAUCAUACAAAGACAAAGAAAAUGAGGUGCUAAUAGGAGAAGCAUGCUUAUAGUCAACAUUUGAGCUCAAUGAAGGAGAGCAAUAAUGUACUUGUGCUGACAUAGAUGAAGGGAUGAUUGAGUACGAGUAACUUAAAUACCCAAAAAAUAAGAGAGAGACCCCAAAUCCUUGAGAGCAAAUUGAUUAUGGAGUCGAUCAAUCAAGGAGUUCACCAAGACAGAGUGACUACCUAUGAUAGUUGGUCAAUCAAGGAGUUCACCAAGAUAGAGUGGCUACCUGUGAUAAUAAUAUCAUCCACAUAAAUCAAAAAAAUAAUAAUGGAGGAGCCCUUGUUGGAGAAUAACACUGAAGUAUCAAAUUUGGAGCCUUCGAAACCACAAUGUAGCAUAUAAGUACUAAGCUUUGCAUACCACGCACGAGGAUUUUGUUUGAGGCCAUAUAAAGCCUUACUCAACUUGCACACAUAGGUCGGAUUAGUAGCACUGAAAAAACCAGGGAUUGUUCCAUGAAAAUAGUUUCUAAUAGGUCACCAUUUAAGAAUGCAUUAUGGACAUCCAACUGUUUGAUGGGAUACUAAAAAAAAAUAGCUAAACUUAAAACAAUUUGUAUAGUAGUGGGCUUAACAAUUGGGUUAAAGGUUUCAUCAAUAUCACCAUUGUGCGUGGCCUUACUAUACAUCGCAGCACCUCCAUUGCAAAUGGCCAGAUUGCCGAAGCCAACACUCCCAUUUCUGAUGAGCGGACUGUAGGUUUCAGAACUGCCAUUAACAAAGGCUUGACUGUAGGAGCUAGUGCCACUAUUGGUCAAACCCUGAUUAUAGAUGGUGUUCCUACUGGUCAAAGCCUGACUGUAAGUGCCGGUACCACCAUUAGUCAAGGCCUGACUGUAGGAGACUCUGUCGCCACCAUUUUUACCAAAUUUAUUAAGCUCAAUGGCAUUGAAAUGCCUCUCUGAUUCAAUUAGUUGAUUUGUCAUAUUCUGGUUUAUUUUUAAUAUAUUCCGUCGCUUCUGUUCUAAUUCAGAAGUCAACUUCUACCGAUUCUAGAGGUCCCAAUAUUCUGCUAUUAAUGGCUUGCCUUACAAUGCCUUGCAUGUAUACUUUUCUUGCCAAAACUUGCACUGUCCUAUCAAACAGAUGAUGAAUCUCCCCAUGCUAUUGAUCAAUUAUGCUCCGCCACAUUCAGCAGUUUCAGAAAUGGUGCCUAUGCCUUACUCUAAUUCCAUAACUGAACUUUUCUAGAAUAUGGUGCAAGCAUCCCUGAAACCACCUGGCCCUUCUAUACAUUGUCGAAGUGUAUCCAGUUCUUUAGCCAUCUCUUUCACAUUGCCAAAUUGUUUGAUAAGUUUGGUUCAGAGUUCAGUUAUCCUUGUAAGGGAAGAGUUCUGUAAUUCUCCUUGGGAUGAUAAGACUUAUAAUUAGGAGACUUGGCUAGAAAAUUUUCCUGCAUUGACAAUUAUGUACCUAGAUUCGAAAAUAUUGGUUCGACAUUCCCUACCACCAUUGAACCCCUCUGUCCUCUACUUUGACUGAUGGAACUCCUCUUGGACAGGUUGAUUCAUGCGACAAGUUGCCUAAUAUGUAGGCCUGCCUUGUGAUUGAGGGUGCCAUUGACCCGCUGCAUUGAUUCUGAUUGUUCUCCAAUAAAUAGGCAGUUAAAAUCAUUUUUAGACUCCAUAAUCAGUUGCUAUGGAUGUGACAACUGUUGAAUAUCUGCAACUGCCUUUGGCCAGCUUAUAGAGGUGUUCUCUGAUGCCUUGACUGCUGUCUAUUAGGUACAAUAUUCCAAUUCCCGUGAGUUGAACGAGCGGUACAACUGUAUUUUUUGUUGUAAUAUCCUGCUGAAAAUGUUCCUGUGAAAGAAGAUGAGAUAGUAAUUUUGUGCCUAGCUGCUGGAUUUCUUGAGAUAUGGACUCUGAAAAUGAAAUAUGUGAUUCAAUAACUUGGCUAUGAAGCAAAUAAUGAUAAACGCAAGAAAAAUAAUGAAAAUGUGAUGAUAGUAAAAUAUAACAAAUGAGGGUGAUAAGGAGAUAGUAACAAGAAUGAGAAGAUAGGCCUAUAAGUCUAAAGCUCAUGAGACUUUCCUAGCAAAACAGGCAUAUACAUCAAAGGGCCCCAACCUGGGUGUAGAAAUGGUAAUCAAGGCUAUAAGAAAGAAAUAAGGGUAUAACAUACCACGUGAGGCUCAAUGGGCUAGCAACGGUUUAAUAUAUUAAUAAAGGUGAUAAGGUGUAAGGCUAACCGAAAUGAUGGCCACCCAUCCUGCGACCACAAUCGCAAACAUAAUACUUCUUCAGUUGAUCCACAUUGGUAGGCUCUAAAAACUGGUUUUCAUCUAAGUCAGUCAACCAUGCAACCCCUUCUGGAGUCAACUCUUGAAUAACAUAAGGCCCACUCCAACUAGGUCUGAACUUUCCUCCAGGGUCUCCAAUCAAACCUCUGAGAAUUCUCAAAACUAAAUCCCCUUUUUGUAAUGGUCUAGGCUUAACCUGUUUCCUAAAGGCACGAGCCAUCCUCCUCUGAUAGGCCUGAAUAUGAUCGGUUGCUCUCAAUCUCUUCUCAUCUAAAAGGUUAAGCUGGUCAAACCGAGCUUGAGCCCACUUUGUCUCAGAAAUCUGCUGCUCAAGGGCUACUCUCAAAGAACUCAUCUUUGUCUCAACCAGCAAAACAGCCUCCAUACCAUACACUAGAAAGUAAAGUGUAGCUCCUAUAGAGGUGCGAAAAGAGGUACGGUACGCCCACAAUGCAAAAGGGAUUUUCUUUUAUCAAUCUCGAGAAGUUUCAACCAUCUUCCUCAAAAUCCUCUUAAUAUUCUUAUUUGCAGCCUCUACUACCCCAUUGGUAUGUGGCCUAUAUGCUGAAGAUCUAUGAUGUCGGAUGCCAUACUUCUACAACAAAGUAUCUACCUCAACUCGGAAGUGCACCCCUCUAUCUGAAAUCAACUCAUGGGGAACCCCAUAACGGCAAAUGAUGUGUGACCCGAUGAAACUGGCAACCCUAGCAGAUGUCAGCCUCGCAUAUGAUACGACUUCCACCCACUUGGUGAUCUAUGGCAACUAGGAUGAACUCAUGACCACUGGAAGAUGCUGGUGAAACCUUUCUAAUAAUAUCAAUACCCCAUAUUGAAAAUGGUCAUGGCGAGGUCAAAGCGUGUAACUCUGAUGGCAGUGCAUGAAUGAGAUCACCAUGAAUCUGACACUCUGGGCAUUUCUGAACGAACUAACAACAAUCUAUCUCUAUAGUCAACCAGAAAUAACCUAUCCUCAUAAUCUUACGGGUCAGCAUGUGUCCUCCCAUAUGCAGACCACAAACUCCUGCAUGAACACCUCUAUUCACUCGAUCUGCAGAGGCUCGAUCUAAACAUAAUAGAAGCAUACCAUCAGUUGAUCGCCUGUAUAAGGUAUCUCCUCAAAUCACAAAUCUAGUGGCCAAAUGCCUCAGUGCUCUCUGAUCCUUAGUAGUGGCUACCUCAGGGUAUGUGCCAGAUCUAAGAAACUGAUAAAUGUCAUGAUACCAAGGUAAAUCAUCCUGGACCUCUGUUUCUCCAAUCAAACUAUAGUAGGCGGGUGCAAACUUCAACUCAAUCAACAAUGGACAUACAACUACAUCAAUCGAAAUGUCUACAGAAGAAGCUAGGGUAACUAAGGCAUCAGCAAACCGGUUUUGCGCUCUAGGUAGAUGAACAUAUUGUGAGUGUUUAGCUAGGUUGGCAAUUCCGGACAAAAUUCCUAAGUGUCCCCUAACUCGGCUUUCCUAUUCCUAUUCGGACUACUUGACUUUGAAGACUAAGACUUUGCUAAGAGGCCGAGGUAUGUAGUCGAGUGUGGAGUGAUUGAGUGUGAAUCAACCCGGUUUUUAAUCUUUAAAUGUGUUAGAAAGUUGGGAAAAAAUGGUUUUUGGUGCAAGGAUUUCAUUCCUCUGUUUUUGGAUCGAUCCAAGUGUAGGGGUGGAUCUAUCCAACUAAUGUUUUUUUGAUCAAAUCUCAGCCAUUAGAUUAAGGGUUUCUUUUUACACUUUAAAAACCAAUCUUCUCUCAUUUUUCUAAGUAGAGAGACUGCAGAAAAUGGGUGAGAGCAGCCACACUCCAAGGGUUCUUCAUUUUCUCAUUUUUGCUUUCCUAAGUUGGGGUUUUUGAUUGCAAAGAAAAUCCACUUCUCUUAAUGUUUUCAAAACUGUUUUCAAUGGAUUUUCUUGAGCAAUAAAUGGGUUGAUUCAUUCCUUCAUUCACAUCUAAAUCUCUCAUUCUAUUUGGGUUGUGCAAAAACCCAUUUUCUUCUUGUGUGGAUUCAAGAAGAGGCCGAGAUUGAGCUUGGUGCGGACUCCAAGUGUGCUCCAAAAGGAGAAGCUGAAAAUGAAGGUACUAGUCAAGUAUUCCGGGAAGGAUUGGUUGGCUUGAGCUAGGUAAAACCUUUUACUCAGUUUUUAUUCUUCAUAGUGGAGUUUUCAAUCGGUGAUAGGCCCGUGGUUUUUGAUCUCUUCGGAGGUUUUCCACGUUAAAAAUCCUGUGUUCAUUGUCUCUUUCUCUCACUCUAUAUUUUGUUUUAUUUUUGAGGAGUGUUGAAGCAUUUGCAUGUGUUUUGCAUUUAUAAAUUGUUGGGGGAGUGUUGAUGCAUACAUUGUUGCUUAUGGAAGUUUUACUAAGGUUAGGUAAUCUUUGUUGGGAGAAUUUUUAAAUUGUUCUACAACACCUAUUCACCCCCCUCUAGGUGUAGUUCAUCAUUGAGAUUCACAUUUUCAAUUGGUAUCAAAGCAGGUUUUUAAAAGAAAAAUCAUUUUCGGUCCUUGAAUCUCAAUCAUGGAACCUCAUCAAGAGGGAGCUUCUAUUGGGAGACCACCAUUUUUAACCGGCGAAAAUUAUUCUCAUUGGAAAGUGAGAAUGCAAUAUUUUCUCAAAAUGCAAAGUGAAAAAGUUUGGAAUGCUGUUGAAUUUGGUUGGUCUCCACCUAAGGUGUUGGAUAGAGAAGGAAGACCAACUAAUGUUAUCAAGCCUAAGUUGGAAUGGGAUAGAGGUGACAAUGAAGCUAGUGAGAACAAUGCUAGAGCCAUGUAUUCUAUCUUUAAUGCCAUUAGCACGGAUGAAUUUCGUAGGAUAGCCACAUGUACUUCGGCUAAGGAGGCUUGGGAUAUCCUCCAAGUGACUCAUGAAGGUACUAAUGCUAUGAAAGUGUCCAAACUUCAAAUGUUAACCUCUAGGUUUGAGACAAUUAGGAUGGAGGAUCAUGAGAACUUUGGAGAGUUCUAUGCAAAACUGAUGGACAUUGUGAAUUCUAGUUUUAAUCUAGGUGAGCCCAUCCCUAAUUCCAAAGUGGUUAGAAAAAUUCUAAGAUCUCUUCCGGAGAGAUUUAGAGCAAAAGUCACUGCCAUUGAAGAGUCCAAGGAUGUGGAUUCUUUGAAAGUGGAUGAACUUGUGGGUUCACUCCAAACCUUUGAAAUGACUCUUGGAUCACCUAGGAAAUCAAAGGGCAUUGCCUUGAAUGCCAUUAAAGAGGAGUCCUUAGGUUCCGAAGGUGAGGGUAAUGAGAAAAUGUCGGAUGGAGAGGUUGCUAGAUUUGCUAGAAAAUUCAAAAAAUACAUGAAGUUCAGGAAAUAUAAGAAGAAGUCCAAUGAAGAUGCUAGAAAAUGGAAUAAUUCAAUGGGAAAAUCAAAUGUAAAAGACAAAAAGAAAGACAAAAGUGUCAAAAAGGACCUUGAGGUUGAAUGCUUCAAGUGUGGAGGAAAGGGACACUAUGCCACAGAAUGUCCCUCAAAGAAAAAAGGAAAGAAAGCCAUGCAAGUCACUUGGAGUGACUCAGAAUCAUGUCAAUCUAGUGAAAAAGAAUCCAAUGCUAGUGAGGAAUGCACUAAUUUCACAGCUUUUAUGGCAAGUGUCAUUGAUGAACCACUCAAAAAAGAGGUACUUAGUGAGUCUUGUGAGUCAAGUGACUCAAAUGGUGAUGAGAUGAGUUUCGACUCUGCAUAUGAGACUUUGUACAAGGAGUGCUUAAGUCUCAAACAGGAACAAGUUGAGUGGAAGACUUCUAAAAGGAGUUUAAUCAAUGAGAUUAAAACUCUAAAGGGAGAGAAAAAAUCUUUGCUAGAUAAGAUUGCCUUUCUUGAGGGCGAACACUUUGACAUGAAGAAAAUGUGUGAUGAAUUGAAGAGUGAAAAUCAAGUGUUUAAGAAUGAGUUGAGUCUUAGGAAAGAAGAGUCACAUCCUAGCUCUAAAAGACUUAGUGAUUUGAUCAAUUUAGGGAGGAAAUCAUUUGAUAAAAGAGGCUUAGGUUUUGUUGAUGAAGCUACCACUCCAAGUAGUAGUAAAACAAUUUUUGUCAAGUCUUGUGAAGAAGUGGCCCCUAAGAAAAUUCCUCCAAAACUGAAACUUCAUUGCACUCAUUGCACUAAAAUGGGACACACCAUUGAUAGAUGUUAUGCUAGGAUGUUUGAGAGUUUCCAAAGAAAGUUGACCAACCUAAUGAAUGAAUCAUUCACUUUGAGAAAUAGGUUGUUACAAGGAGGCAAGAGAAUGUUCAUGAGAGAUUCAAAUGUCCCUCAUUAUAGUGGCUUCCAAGGAAGCACUUCAAAUGGAAUGACCAAAGUCACAAAUGUAAAACAAAUAUGGGUGAAAAAGAGUGAGCUUAAUUGCUUUGUUGUUCACACUGCACUUAGAGCUAGUGAGUUACACUCAUGGUAUUUUGAUAGUGGUUGUUCACGUCAUAUGACAGGUAAUAGAUCAUUCUUCACUAAUUUCACUGAAUUUGAUGGAGGAAAUGUGACUUUUGGUGAUGGCAAUGUUGCUAGUGUGAAAGGGAAAGGCACAAUUUGUGCUGCCGGGAUCCCUAACCUUGAAGAGGUUUUGUAUGUGGAAGGAUUGAAAGCUAACUUGAUUAGCAUUAGUCAAAUAUGUGACAAGAAGUUCAAUGUUCAAUUUUCACAAAAUUUAUGUAAAGUGUUUGAUUUGAAUGGAAAUUGUGUGAUGAUUGGUUUGAGAACUUCUGAUAAUUGUUAUGCUGUUUGUCAAAAUCCUUUUACCUCUUUUUCUUCUUCUCUUGUGUGUGGUAGUUCAAAAAUUGAAUCAAUCGAUUUGUGGCACCGUAGGUUGGGUCAUUUAAACUACCGUGACUUGAUGAAGGUUGCAAAUAAUGAAGUCAUCAAAGGGAUUCCUAAGCUUGGAAAACCCUCUAAUCCUAUUUGUGGUCCUUGUCAAAAGGGAAAACAAACAAGGAGUACACAUAAGAGAGUUGAUGAAAUUUUGACCUCUAAACCUUUAGAACUCUUACAUAUGGACCUCAUGGGACCAAUGAGAACUGAGAGUUUAGGGGGCAAGAAAUACAUUUUGGUGAUGGUUGAUGACUAUUCUAGGUAUGCAUGGGUUGCAUUCCUAAGAGAUAAGAGUGAGGCAUUCAUAAAUUUCAAGGACAUUGGUUUGAAAAUUCAAAAUGAAAAAGGGCAUCCCAUUGAAAGAAUUAGGAGUGAUAGGAGGAGAGAAUUUGACAAUUCAAUUUUUUUUGAAUUUUGUCAUUCUCUAGGAAUCAAACAUGAGUUUUCCGCUCCUAGAACACCUCAACAAAAUGGGGUAGUUGAGAGAAAAAAUCGUGUCCUUCAAGAAAUGGCCCGAACAAUGCUAAAUCAGCAUGAACUCCCUACACAUUUUUGGGCUGAAGCCAUCAACACCGCUUGCUAUACUUCAAAUAGAACUCACAUGCGUCCUCAUACUAGGAAGACUUGUUAUGAGUUGUGGAAAGGUAAGAAACCCAGUGUGAAGUACUUUAGGGUGUUUGGAAGUAGAUGCUAUGUCUUGAAAGAUCAUGAAAAUCUUGGAAAGUUUGAAUCCAAGAGUGAAGAAGGGAUAUUCUUAGGAUAUUCCUCCAAAAGUCGGGCAUAUAGAGUAUACAUUUUGAGUUCAAAAUGUAUGGUGGAAUCAAUCAAUGUGAUUGUGGAUGAUAUAGGAUCAAGGUCAAGAGAGUGUGAUGAUGAUAGAAUUGAUGUGUCAAAAGAUAUUGAAGUGAUUGAAGAAAAAUCUAAAGAUGAAAAGUUAAGUGAAGAUGAAGAAAAGAAAGAUGAGCAAGGAAAGAAAGGAGAUAGGGGGAGAAUUGAGCCAUCAAAGAAAAAUAAGUCAAGGGUACCUAAGAACCAUCCUUUGAGCAAUGUGAUUGGGAACUAUGAGGAUAGCAUGGUAACAAGGAGACAAUCCAAGCUAAAUGAGGUAAGCUAUGUUUGCUAUACCUCCCAAAUUGAACCAAAAAAUGUUGAAGAAGCCUUGAAUGAUGAAGCUUGGGUAGAUGCUCUUCAUGAAGAGCUAAAUCAAUUUUCUAGAAAUGAUGUUUGGUUCUUAGUGCCUAGACCAAAAGAUGUGAAUGUCAUUGGAACAAAAUGGAUUUUCAAAAAUAAGAUGGAUGAAAAUGGUGUGAUUGUGAGAAAUAAAGCUAAGUUAGUUGCUCAAGGGUUCAAGCAAAUUGAGGGAAUUGAUUUUGAUGAAACCUUUGCUCCAGUUGCAAGACUUGAAUCCAUUCGAAUACUCUUAGCUGUAGCUUGUGUAUGAAAAUUUAAAUUGUUUCAAAUGGAUGUCAAGAGUGCCUUUCUAAAUGGGAUCCUUAAUGAAGAAGUGUAUGUGGAGCAACCCAAAGGGUUUCAAGACCCUAGGUAUCCAAAUCAUGUCUAUAGACUUAGAAAAGCUCUCUAUGGUUUAAAGCAAGCUCCUAGAGCUUGGCAUGAAAGACUCACAUCCUAUCUUCUUAAGAAAUGAUUCAUGAGAGGGGGAGCUGAUCAAACAUUGUUCAUUAGAAGAAAUGAUGAAGUGUUCUUGGUAGCACAAAUCUAUGUGGAUGACAUUGUGUUUGGCUCUACCUCCAGUGAGUGCGCUUUAGAUUUUGCCAAAGAGAUGAAAAGUGAGUUUGAGAUGAGCAUGGUAGGAGAAUUGACCUAUUUUCUUGGUUUCCAAGUGAAACAACUCAAGGAUGGGAUUUUCCUAUCCCAAUCCAAGUCCGCAAGGGAACUUGUCAAAAAGUUUGGGCUUGAGUCAACUAAACAUUUUAGGACACCAAUGCCAACCAACCUAAAGCUAAGUAAGGAUGAAUCCAGGAAAGGGGUAGAGGAAACAUUGUAUAGGAGCAUGAUUGGUAGUCUCUUAUACCUCACUGCUAGUAGACUGGACAUAGCUUUUAGUGUUGGAGUGUGUGCUAGGUAUCAGGCAUGUCCUAAGGAAUCUCAUCUCAUAGCUCUUAAGCGUAUCAUUAGGUACAUUGCUGGUACUUUAGAGUUGGGUCUUUGGUAUCCAUUUGACACUCAUUCUGAUGUAGCUUGCUACACUGAUGCCGAUUGGGCUGGAAAUGUGGAUGAUAGGAAAAGCACUUUAGGUGGUUGUUUCUACAUUGGAAAUUGUUUGGUUGCUUGGAUGAGUAAGAAGCAAAACUCUGUUUCGCUUUCCACAGCUAAAGCAGAAUACAUUGCUGCCGGUAGUUGUUGUUCCCAGCUUUUGUGGAUCAAGCAAAUGUUGAGAGACUAUGGGAUUGAUCAAGGAACCAUGGUAGUGUUUUGUGACAAUACUAGUGCAAUCAACAUCUCCAAGAACCCAUCAAUCUAGCAUCUUGCAUUUUAGAUGAGAUGAUUUUUCGAGGUGAUCCUAUAGUGUCUAAGAAGGAGGUUCUUCCCUUUGGCAUUUUGAUCACACAAAUCUGCCAAAGGGCUGGAGUUGUAUUUCCUGUCAAUUCUCCUUUUCUUAUGCCAAUGGGUCCCAUUGAUACCUCCUCUUGGAAUCGACGUCAAGGACAGAUUAAGGGUGCUCUUGGUUCUAAGANAANGUGUGCCAUAGUAGAGCCAGAGAAAUUUGGUGAAAGUGACGCUGAUUCNGAUGUAGAUUCCACUGUCUAGCUGACUUUGUGCUNNNNNNNNNNNNNNNNNNNNNNNNNNNNNNNNNNNNNNNNNNNNNNNNNNNNNNNNNNNNNNNNNNNNNNNNNNNNNNNNNNNNNNNNNNNNNNNNNNNNCAUGCCAAAUGAUGAGAGCUACUUGGACAAGUUAUGGCAAAGCUUUUGGAAGCUCAAAUUCAUGAAGAACCAAGCUUUGGAGCUCCAUAGCCCUUUGCCAAAGUCGUUCAAAGUAUGCAAAGAAAGAACAAUGGAGAAGAGGAAAGCAAAGUGAAAAAAUCAGAGGACAGCAGCUGCAGUCUUCUUUCGUACUUUUGGAGCACUUCCCGAAGUCCAUUUUUUACAUACUAUAUACCAUUUCAAAUCUCUGGAAGUCAAGAAUCCAACGCUUCAAACCGUGCAUGAUUUGGAGUUGAAAUGAGGAAGAUAUGGCCUUCGGAAGCCAACUGCUCCAGGUUAUGCGAAAAUUUCGCAUAACACCUUCAAAAUUCGCAUAACCCAUGCAUGUUGCGAAUUUUCCUCUGCUUUUGCCGACUCCACUUUAGAUAUUUUCCUUUGUAUUUUGUGAUGUAAUUUCCUUUCUUAUCCUUGUAACUAACCAAUCACAAGCUUUUGCUUUUGUAAAGACUAUAUAAGGGGUGGAAAUCACCUCUUGGAAUAUAGAAUAUAGAAUAUAUAUUACGUUUGACACUUAGAAUAUUUACAGAGCUCUCCCGUUUCUAUUUUCUUAGUAGCCAAACAGCCUCUAAGGGCUUUUCCUCAGAGGAUGAUUGGCUAAAACUUUUAGUUUCUCAAAGUAUGGAUGUUAUGUGAUGGCUUGGAUGCAAUCCCAUGGAAAUCUCUCACACCGGGAAGGUAAGGUAGCCGUUUUUCAUUAAAGGUUCAUUAAUGCAAAGUUUGGUUUUUAUUUCCUUUGGACAACUUCCAACGGCCAAUACUUGAUAAGCUUUUGGAUUUCUAUCCAUUAGUUAUCUCCUACGAGCUAUUGGAAGGUGAGGUUUUCAAUUCCAAGUUUUGCAUUAAUCCGUUAGAACCAAUUUCAAUGGCCAUUGAAAGGUGAGUUUAUCACCUAGAAUGACUUUGAGUUGCCAAUAUUUGGUAAGCUUUUGGAUUUAGACCAUUAGUUAUCUCUUACNNNNNNNNNNNNNNNNNNNNNNNNNNNNNNNNNNNNNNNNNNNNNNNNNNNNNNNNNNNNNNNNNNNNNNNNNNNNNNNNNNNNNNNNNNNNNNNNNNNNCCAAUGGGUCCCAUUGAUACCUCCUCUUGGAAUCGACGUCAAGGACAGAUUAAGGGUGCUCUUGGUUCUAAGAAGAAGGUGUGCCAUAGUAGAGCCAAGAGAAAAUUUGGUGAAAGUGACGCUGAUUCAGAUGUAGAUUCCACUGUCCUAGCUGAACUUUGUGCUAGGUUUGAUGCUUUGGAUGAAAAGAUUUCCGCUCAAUCCACCUUAUUGUCUGAGCAGAUUUCUCAACUUCAAUCUUAUGUGGAGAGAGGUUUCUCUCUAAUUGAUGGACAAAUGCUUUGCAACAUGGAUCAGCUGCACGCUCUUGAAGAUUUUGUCCAUAAGCAUCUCUCUUAGCCAAGUAGCAGCUAGUUAUUAUUUUUUGAACAGCUCCUUGUCUUGUGUAAUUUGCUUAUCAUGUUCAUUUUGAUCGACUUAUGUACAUGGCUUAUUUUGGACAACUCUUUGUCUCAUUCUAGGACAAAAAGGGGGAGACAUUUUACACUUGACAUGUAGUUGAUCAUGACAUUGUGUUUUGUGCUUUGGAUAUUUGAUAUGUUGAUCAUGAUCAUAUUGUUUUGUAUUUGUGGAUAUUGGACAUGGUUAUUUUGACUCAUGAAUGCAUAUUGACUAUCUUCAGGCAAAUGAUAUUUGUGGAUAUCUAUGUGUUAAUUUAUUCAAAUCUUGUGGAAGUGCCUUGGAAUAUGUACAGGUGCUACUAAUGCCUUUCUUGAGAUUUAUUUGCAGGUAUUGUAGUACUUAGGUUGUGGCUUUGAGUGAGUGAGGAGUCUUGUAUGAGAGUUGGGUGGGGCUUACUUACUUGUACUCAUUCGUGUUGUAAAGGGUUUUGUCCCAGAAUUGCCAAAGGGGGAGAUUGUGAGUGUUUAGCUAGGUUGGCAAUUCCGGACAAAAUUCCUAAGUGUCCCCUAACUCGGCUUUCCUAUUCCUAUUCGGACUACUUGACUUUGAAGACUAAGACUUUGCUAAGAGGCCGAGGUAUGUAGUCGAGUGUGGAGUGAUUGAGUGUGAAUCAACCCGGUUUUUAAUCUUUAAAUGUGUUAGAAAGUUGGGAAAAAAUGGUUUUUGGUGCAAGGAUUUCAUUCCUCUGUUUUUGGAUCGAUCCAAGUGUAGGGGUGGAUCUAUCCAACUAAUGUUUUUUUGAUCAAAUUUCAGCCAUUAGAUUAAGGGUUUCUUUUUACACUUUAAAAACCAAUCUUCUCUCAUUUUUCUAAGUAGAGAGACUGCAGAAAAUGGGUGAGAGCAGCCACACUCCAAGGGUUCUUCAUUUUCUCAUUUUUGCUUUCCUAAGUUGGGGUUUUUGAUUGCAAAGAAAAUCCACUUCUCUUAAUGUUUUCAAAACUGUUUUCAAUGGAUUUUCUUGAGCAAUAAAUGGGUUGAUUCAUUCCUUCAUUCACAUCUAAAUCUCUCAUUCUAUUUGGGUUGUGCAAAAACCCAUUUUCUUCUUGUGUGGAUUCAAGAAGAGGCCGAGAUUGAGCUUGGUGCGGACUCCAAGUGUGCUCCAAAAGGAGAAGUUGAAAAUGAAGGUACUAGUUAAGUAUUCCGGGAAGGAUUGGUUGGCUUGAGCUAGGUAAAACCUUGUACUCAGUUUUUAUUCUUCAUAAUGGAGUUUUCAAUCGGUGAUAGGCCCGUGGUUUUUGAUCUCUUCGGAGGUUUUCCACGUUAAAAAUCCUGUGUUCAUUGUCUCUUUCUCUCACUCUAUAUUUUGUUUUAUUUUUGAGGAGUGUUGAAGCAUUUGCAUGUGUUUUGCAUUUAUAAAUUGUUGGGAGAGUGUUGAUGCAUACAUUGUUGCUUGUGGAAGUUUUACUAAGGUUAGGUAAUCUUUGUUGGGAGAAUUUUUAAAUUGUUCUACAACACCUAUUCACCCCCCUCUAGGUGUAGUUCAUCAUUGAGAUUCACAUUUUCACAUAUCUCAAGUCAUCAAAUCUCGCAACCAGCAACUCCAAAUAGGCAUGAUACGGCCUAAGCUUCACAUCCCUAGUCUUCCAAUCCCCCUGAAUCUGUCUGAGUACCAGAUUGGAGUCACCAAAUACCUCCAUCUGUCUAAUGUCAAGCUCCAAUGCAGUCUCUAAACCAAGGAUACAAGCCUCAUACUCAACUAUAUUAUUCGUGAUAGGAUGUCGAUCAGAGAAUGUCAAACGAACAAACCUCAAAAUGUGAUCACUCUGAGGGGAUACCAAUAGAACACCUAUCCCAUACCCUGACUGAUUGGUUGCACCAUCGAAGUACAUGCACCAUCCUGAUAAGCUAGUCAUAGCAACAAACUCCUCAUCUAGAAAAUCAUCAUCAACUGGUCUAUCCUUAGAUGUCGGUAGUGAGGCUAGGUAAUCGGCGACAAUGCUUCCCUUAAUAGACUUCUGAGAAACGUACUGGAUAUCGAACUCUAUCAAAAGUAAGAGUCAUCUCAUCAGUCUACCAGUCAAUGCAAGUCUAUCAAAUAAGUAUCUCAAUGGAUCUAGGCGGGAUAUCAAAUGCACUGCGUACUCUGUCAUGUAAUGCCUCAAUCUCCUGGUAGCCCAAACUAGUGCCAAGCAUAGGCGCUCAAUCAUAACAUAUUUCAUCUCAUACUCCAACAUCCUCUUACUCAGAUAGUAAAUAGCCCGUUCCUUCGCUAAGUCGUCAAUUUGAGCUAACAUACAUCCCAAGGCCAUGUCUGAAACUAACAAAUUUAGAAAAAGUGGACGUCCUGGCGUAAGAGGCACUAAAACAGGAGGAGAAAGCAAAUACUCCUUAAUCUUCUCAAAUGCAAGCUAACAAUUAUCAUUCCAAAUUGUUGGCUGGUUCUUCCUUAAAAUACGAAAGAUGGGCUCACAUAUGUUUGUCAAUCUGGUUAUGAAACGACUAAUGUACUGUAAUCUGCCCAGAAAACCUCUAAUCUCUUUCUCAGUCCUCGGCACAGGCAUGUCAAGUAUGGCUUUGAUUUUAUCUGGGUCGACCUCUAUGCCUCGCUCACUAACCAUAUGUCUUAAUAAUUUCCCAGAAGUCACUCCAAAUGUGCACUUCUUGGGAUUUAACCUCAAUCUAAACUUUCGGAUCCUCUCAAAAGAAUUUCUCUAGAGCCUCUAGGUGAUCUGCUCUGCCUCGGGAUUUCACAAUCAUAUCAUCCACAUAAACUUCAACAUCCCUAUGCAUCAUGUCAUGAAACAAAGUAGUAGCGGCCCUCUGAUAAGUGGCUCCUGCGUUCUUCAACCCAAAUGGCAUAACCUUGUAAUAGUAGGUACCCCACUCAGUAAUAAAGGUUGUCUUCUCCAUAUCCUCUGGAGCCAUCAAAAUCUGAUUAUACCUUGAAAACCCAUCCAUGAAAGAUUACAUCGAAUGGCCUACAGUGCUAUCGACCAACAAAUCAAUGUGUGGGAGAGGAAAGUCAUCUUUAGUAUUAAGAUCUCUGAAGUCAACACAAACUCUAACUUUGCCAUCCUUUUUGGAAAUAAUGACGACAUUAGCCAACCACUCUAGAUACUCAACCACUGAUAUGAAUCCAACACUGAGUUGUUUCCAAAUCUCCUCUUUCACCUGCAGACUCCAACGUGAAUGCAACCGUCUCAAUUUCUGCUUAACUGGUCUGACAUGUGGUAGGAUAGGUAAGCGGUGCUGAACUAUAGAGCGAUUGAGACCAGGCAUGUCCUCAUAAGACCAUGCAAAGACAUCCAAAUAUGAUUUGAGUAAAUGAAUAAGUCUAUCUCUCUCAUCUGUAGAUAGGGGUGAACCAAUCUUCAGCUCUCUAGGCUGAUCCUCUAUGCCAAAAUCAACAGUCUCAACAUCCCCUGUAGUAGGUGAAACUCUCUCAUCUAGGAGAUUGGAGUCAUGAUCAAAAGAGUCCCUAUCUGAAUCAGGUCGUGCAACCCCAUCAUCUAUAUCAAAUAUCUAUGAAGUGGGUGAGUGGGGUGCAGAUAUAGAGGUACUAUCACAAAAGGCGGGGGAAUACUAAAAAAUACUUAAAUCCAUAAAUGAAGCAACAAAAACAUUGUCAGAGCGGGAGAUAAAUCCCGAUAAAACAUCAAAAGAAAGAGGUGAUCCACAAGGUUGGACGCUCCCUCAACUGGGCUAAGAGUGCCCUCAAACAAACUAGCAUCAUCCUCUAGAAGCUCUGGAACAGGAAUAAUCUGAGUCCCCUCAAGAACCUCAAUGGUAGACAUCCCAAACAUAUCAAAUGGUGAAACAGGAUGAAGCUGAACAAUGCUGGUAAUCUGGCUCACGGUCAUCAUGUCCAUCUCAUCUCGGUACUCAUCAUGAGAAACAACUCCAUCAAUCAUCUUAGUAGGAUCAACAAUCACUCCAUCAUCAGUGAUCUCCUCUGGAAAGCAUAGAGACAACAUGCUAGCUCGAUCUGGAGAUGUAGGAGUUAUUACCAUAGAAACAGACGUGCCAAGAACCCCAUCACUCAACUGUAACUGGUGAAAUAAAUGCUGAAGCUCAAUCUCUCUAUUUGUAUGAACCGCAUUAUGAAUCUCCUCUAUACGGUGUCGAAUCUCUGAUCCUCUGACAAAGUAGUCGGUUAAACUCAUCUUAUAGGGUCGAAUAGGAUAAUCAAAUGGUGUGUGGGAUAAACGGGCCAUCACCCUCUCCUUGCACAGUCGCGCCAUGUAACGAUAAUCGGCCUCGAUAGGAAUGAACCCAAGUCCAAAUGUCAUAUCAUGGUCCAUGGCAGCUAUAAACUCGUUGGGUCCCUAUUGACGUCGUCCUAACCCCAUGCCAGGUAGAAAAGUCAUACCCCUCAUUAUAUCAAGAACCACUAUGCUGCUGUGCUAAUCAAAAGACAUAGCUACAAAAUCUCUGCAAAAAUCCUCGAUCUCAAGAGUCUGUAUCUCAUCAAAAGUAAACCCAGUAAGAAAUAGGUCAUCCUUACUAUGACUGAUCUGAAGUACUGGCUCAAAAGAGGCAAGCAUAUCUCUGGUAGACUAUACCGUGAUGACCUGCCCAUCAUGAAUGAACUUCACCUUCUAAUGAAGAGAAUAAGGAAUAGCUUCAGCUCUAUGAAUCCAUGGCCGACCUAGUAGCAGGUUAAAGGAUGUAGGAAUCCUCAAAACCUGGAACAAAGUAGAGAAUGUGGCUGGACCAAUCUGCAAAUCAAUCACCAAGGUACCCAUAACCUCCCUCUUAGUGCUAUCAUAUGCUCUGACUGUCUGAGUAGAAGGACCAAAAUCUGAAGGUCCAAAACCAAGGGCUACUAUAGUGGCUAAAGGGCAGACGUUCAGGGCUGAGCCAUUGUCCAACAAGACAGAUGAGACUCUAUGGCCUGAAGAAUCAACCGUGAUAUAUAAAGGGCAUAUGUGGUCUAAACCCUCAAGUGGCAAGUCAUCAUCCGAAAACACAAUGCUCUCGGUUGUCAUCAUAUGAAUCAAUCCCUCAGGAGUGGUGGUAGUCUCUACCCUGAUCUGACUCAAGGCUCGAAUCAAAGCAUCUCUAUGAGUAAUGGAUGAUGCUAAUAAACUCCAAAUAGAAAUAUGGGCCUGAGUGCUCUGUAGCUAUCUCAAAACUUCAUCAUCCUCUCUCCUAACCUCCUCGUGAGAGGCUGCACCCUCAAAUGGUUUGACUGCUGGUGGUGGUGGCUGAGCUAUCCUCCCACUACGAGUCACAAUCUGUAUCUCCCUCCCCUUCGAAUCAUCAUCCUCUGGCCAUAAAGUGAACAGGACAAAAGUAUCCUGACAUCCGAUAACCAAGGGUGUAGAAUGAGUCAACUGGAAGGGUGCCUCGUCUGGGAUCAAACUGAAUGAUGUAGGAGCCUGAGGACCCAAUGAAACCCCAUCAAUCUCAUAAUUGUCAUGUAAAACAAUCGGCUCAGGUAAUCCAUCAUCCCAACUCAACAUAUGUAUAUUGUCAUCCUCUAUAAGGUCUAUGUGAUGAAUAUCUCCUGGAGGUGGAGACACUGCGUGUGUAGAAUGGGCAAGAAGAGGGUUAGUGGUCACACUUGGUUGCCCCAAGUUAACCAAACCCUGGUCUAUCAAAUCCUGAAAAGCAUGUCUCAAAGCGUUGCAAUGAUCUGUGUCAUGUCUUGGUCCCUGAUGAUAAGAAUAGUGUAGGUCUAAUCUAAAGCGAGGCGGUACUGGCUGAGGUACUGGCUUAGGUGCCAAUGGAGUCAAUAAUCCACCCUUUAUGAGCUUCUGAAAAGCUCGACUCAAAGGCAUACCCAACUGAGCAAACUGAUGUGGUGGCCUUUGCACAUAAGUAGUGGUUUGCGGAGCUCAGGGCUAGGUGUAUGGGGCAGGAGGUCUCUCUGUGACAUGUGCAGCAAAAACGGGCUAUGAGACUAGAUGUAGAUAAGUAGGAGUCAUGGGUCUGGAGGAAGCAGGUGGUCUAUACUGCACAUGGGCCAAUGGUGGAUAGUAGAAUCCAGAAGUCUGCCCAACUGUCUGGUAGUGUCUAGGAGGUCUUUUCCCUACUGAACUGAUAACACCAACAUCUUCUGAUCUCUGUCUUCCUGAAGGCUUCUUUCCCUUAGAAUCAGUAGGGGAAAACUUGUGCCACAAUCCUCUAGCAAUGCCCUCCUCUAUACCAUACAAAGCCUGUACCAAAGAUCUAAAAUUCGUAUGGGGAAAUCCCAUCAAGUGUCUAGCAAAUCUAGGCUGCAAGCUCCUCAAAAUCAUGCUAAUCUGAUCCUUCUCUAAAGGACGAUCAAUGAUCUGUGAAAUCUUCUCCCUCCAACGGGAGAUGAAUGAAGUGACUGACUCCUCUGUCCUCUGUCUCAAAGCCUCUAUGUCACGGACUUAGUCAUUCACUAAGCUCGUGCAGCACUUAGGCAAGUCAAGACGCUUGAUCUUGUUAAGUCAGUCUUGCUCCCCAAUGCUUAGUUUGCUAGGCUAAGACACUCGCGAUUCAAAAGUUUAAGAACCUUAGUAGGCAACUCUUUAAAGAAUGGAAGUUUUAACUAACUCAAGGAAACCUUUACAAGUGCUUGGAAGCUCACUUGCUUGGUGCCUUGGCCAAAUGAGGCUCUCACCUAUUUAUAGGCACCAAUGGAACUCUCUGGAACCUUGGAGGGUUCCUUACAACUCAAGUAUAUUCUAGAAUGUCCUACAUCAUUCUAUGUACAAGCCUAUGUACAAGAGUCCUCUAGAAAGCCCUGGACUCCUCUCAUGCCUUUCACCAUAGUGUAAAGUUGUGUGGAUUUCUCCAGGCAUCUCUAGAACCUUCCACACUCUUCCCACUCUAGGAGUCUCCAAAAGCUUCCUGGCUCUAUAUAAGCCCAUGGGAAGGCUCAUUUCAAUCAGCUUGUGACACUCUCCCCCACCAAAGCCGUAAACGUCCUCAUCGUGCCUUCUGCUCGGAACCGCUCAAUUUGCUCCUGGAACUGCCAUAGGGCAUUUGCUGGCUCCCAGCUACCCUCGCUCUCUGGUAGUUCCUUCCAUUUCACUAAGUAUUCCAUAGCAAGAGGUACACCUCGUCUCCUGAUGACCCGGUCUGCAAUGAUGUGGUCCACCUCCUUGUCAUAGGAGGUCACGACCGCUAUAGGUGUCCUCUUAGACAACCCUCGGCUCGGAUCAUCCUUGCCUUCGUGAUAGGGUUUUAAGUAACUUACGUGGAAGACGGGAUAAAUCUUUAACCUCAGUGGUAGCUCAACUCUAUAAGACACCUUGCCGACCUUCCCAAGUAUGGGGAAUGGUCCUUCAUACCUCCUCACCAGGCCCUUAUGCACCGACCUUAGGGAUUUCAAUUGUUGAGGAAGGAGCUUGACAAGCACCAUGUCUUCGACCUUGUACUCCGUGUGACGUCGCUUCUUGUCAGCCCACUUCUUCAUUUUCUUAGCGGCCUUGUCCAAGUAUGAGCGUGCUAUGUCAGCUUGCUUGUGCCACACUUUCACGAGCUUGAAAGCCGUUGGACUUCUCCUCGUAUAGCCAAUCGUUAGAGUGUGAGGAGUUAACGGUUGCUGCCCCAUGGCUAGCUCGAACGGGCUCUUAUUGGUAGCCUCACUCCUUUGCAGGUUAUACGAGAACUGGGCUAUGUCUAGCAGCUUAGCCCAAUCCUUCUGGUUGGCACUCACGAAGUGCCUGAGGUAGAGCUCCAGUAACGCUUUCACCCUCUCUGUUUGCCCAUCCGUCUGUGGGUGAAAGCUUGUGCAGAAGUGGAGCUCCGAACCCAUAAGCUUGAAGAGCUCCAUCCAAAACUUCCCAGUGAAACGCAGAUCGCGAUCACUGAUGAUGAACUUAGGCAACCCCCAAUACUUGACUACGUGCUUUAGGAAUAGCCUUGUCGUCUCUUCCGCAGUGCAGUUAGUCAGGGCUGCUAUGAAAGUUGCAUACUUGGAGAACCUAUCCACUACCACUAUGAUAGAGUCGUUGUCCUCCAACUUGGGUAGCCCAAUGAUGAAGUCCAUGGUGACGUUGUCCCAUAGGCGCUCUGCUAUAUGUAGUGGGUCCAACAGGCCACUAGGUUGUCGUUGCUCCACCUUGUCUUGUUGGCACACAAGACAAGUCCUCACAUAGGCCUCAACCUCAUCCCGUAUUUGAGGCCAGUAAUAAGCCGACUCGAGUAGUGCCCUCAUGCGUCGUUGUCCAGGGUGCCCAGCCCACUUGGUGUCAUGGCACUCCUUUAUCAGAUUCCACCUUAUGUUCCCCCACUUAGGCACGUAGAGUCGUCUCCCCUUAGUGUAGAGUAGGUCGUCCUCCACCCAAAACCGCUUAGUCUUCCCUUCAUGAGCCAGGGCGAUGAGGUUCUUAGCCACUGGAUCAUAUUGUAGUCCCUCCCUUAGAAGAUCCAUUAUAUCUCCUUAGGGCUGACUAGUCAUCCAUGCUAGCUCCGCUUUGCGGCUUAAGGCGUCGGCCACAUGAUUAGCACUUCCUAGCUUAUACUCCAGCGUAUAGUCGAACUCGGCCAGGAAGUCUUGCCACCUAGCUUGCUUAGGACUUCGCUUCUUCUGUGUCUGGAAGUAGCAAAUGGCAACAUUGUCGGUCUUCACUAUGAAGUGAGACCCUAGAAGAUAAUACUUCCAGGUGCGCAAGCAGUGGACGAUGGCGGUCAUCUCCUUUUCUUACACCAUGUAAUGCCUCUCUAUGUCGUUUAGCUUGCGACUCUCAAAUGCGAUCGGGUGCCUUUCUUGUAUAAGGACUCCUCCAAUAGCGAAGUCUGAGGCAUUUGUGUGUACUUCAAAGACCUUGGUGUGGUCGGGUAGUGCCAACACUGGCUCCUCAGUCACGGCCUUCUUCAGAUCCUCAAAGGCAUGUUGGCACCUUUCAUCCCAUCCCCAUGCCUUAUUCUUCUUAAGAAGAUCAGUGAGUGGAGCUGCCCUUGCCGAAUAACCUUUUAUGAACCGCCAGUAGUAAUUAACUAAACCAAGAAAAGAUCUAAGUUGAGGUACCUUGGUUGGUGGAUCCCAUUCUUGGAUGGCUUUCACCUUGCUGUCAUCCAUCAUCAGCUUGCCAUCCUUGAUGCGAUGCCCUAGGAAGCUCACUUCUUCCUUAGCAAAUGAGCACUUCUCCUUCUUCACAUAUAGCUCGUUCUGCCUCAAGACCUUAAAGACCUUCCUCAAGUGCUCUACAUGCUCCUUUAGGGUGUUCCAAGUAUACCACCACGAACUUGUCUAAGUAUAGGUGGAAUAUCUUGUUCAUGAGGGUGCAGAACGUUGCUGGGGCGUUGGUGAGUCCGAAAGGCAUCACUAAGAAUUCGUAUGAGUCGUACCUGGUCACACAAGUGGUCUUCGGCUCGUCCCUCUCCGCAAUCCUGACUUGGUAGUAGCCUGACCUUAAGUCUAACUUUGUGAAGUAUCUUGCCCUUCCAAGUUGAUCGAAUAAGUCAACAAUGCGCGGGAUAAGAUACUUGUUCUUUAUAGUCGCCUUGUUGAGUGCCCGAUAGUCGAUACACAUCCGUAGGGAUCCAUCAUGCUUCUUUUAAAACAAGACCGGCGCGCCCCAUAGGGAGCCUUAGAUGGUUGGAUGAACCCUGCAUCUAGCAACUCCUUUAGUUGUCUCCUUAGCUCCUCCAGCUCGGGCGAUGCCAUCCUAUAUGGCCCCAUAGCAGGGGGCUUGGCUCCCUGCUCCAAUUCAAUCUUGUGAUCAUCCUCCCUCCUAGGAGGAAGUCUCUUAGGAAGCUCAGGCGACAUCACGUCCUUGAAAUCAUCAAGGACCCUCUCGAUUUCCAUAGGCAUAGGUUCUCCCGACCCAUCAUCCCUGUCUUCCUUCAGAGUGGCGAGGUAGGUCACCUCUUUCCUCUUUAACCCCUUCUUAACUUGCAUAGCUAAUAGCAUAAGGUCUUGAGCGUGCCUUCAGUGACCGUAAGGACCAUGCAUGGCUUCUCCUCCUCUAGGAUAGCCAUUAAGCGUAGGAAAGGUAGUGGCACAGCCUUGACCUUCUGCAGCAAGUCCAUCCCUAGCACCAUUUUGAAGUCAUCCAUGGGUGCCACUGUGAGGUCGACCCUUCCUUCCCAUGAGCCGAUGUGCAUAGUCACCCCACGAGCUACUCCAUGUGAUGCCUUGGCAGCUGAGUUAACUGCCUUGAGCCAUCCUCCUUCCUUGGAUGCUUGGAGCUCUAGUCUCUUUGCCUCAUCCUCCGAGACAAAGUUAUGAGUGGCACCAGUGUCCACCAGGGCCUUGGUGGCCUUUUCAUUCACAAGGGCCUCUACGUACAUUAACCCUUUGCUUUGAGUUGUCAUAGGCAUCGGUUUGGCCUUAAGGGCAUUUAGGAGCUACAACGAUCUCACUUUAACAUCGCCUUCCUGCUCCUUUUCCUCGAUCAUAGCAUUUAGAGCUUUUCUCUUAGGGCAGUCUCGUGCCCAGUGUGGACCAUCACACAGGAAGCAAUUGGUCCUGGGCGUGAACUCCUUCCACUUAUCCUUGCCUUUGCCAUCCUUGCCACUAGGCCCUUUACUUGAUCCUUCCUUAAAAGUGUGGCCUCGUGAUCCCUUGUCUCCCCCACCUUUGGCCUGGUUACCCUUAGAUGGUGGCUUUGGCUUGGAGGAGUCUCCCCUUCUAUAAUCUACCAGGGACUCGGCUACCGCCAUGGCCGUGGCUAGGUCUUGGACACCACGUCUCCUCAACUCUUGCUUAGCCCAGCUUUGUAAGUUGUCCAUGAAGUUAAAUAGUAGCUCCUCCUCGGCCAUGUUGGGUAUCUCAAGCAUAAGCGUAGAGAACUCCUUGACAUACUCACGGAUCGAGCCCGUGUGCUUGAGACACUUCAUACUCUUCCUUGCUAGGUAAGCCACAUCUUCGGGAUAGAAUUGCCUUUUGAUUUCUCUCUUAAAGGCAUCUCAUGUGUCUAUGGUGCACGUCCCUUUCUCUAUGUCGGCAAACCAUCGACGCCACCAUAGAGUAGCAUUAUCGGUGAGGUAAAGGGUCGCAGUACGUACCUUAGUGGCUUCAUCCAUCAAUGCAAUGGCCUCAAAGUAACGCUCCAUGUGCCACAAGAAGUUAUCCAGCUCCUUAGCAUCCCUCUUGCCACUGAACGUGUGUGGCUUGGGCACCUCCACCCUUGGUGCCUCAUGAGUGGCCAUGACUUGUGCUGACACCACGGUCUUGUAGAUGGCCAGCUCUUGACAAAUCUCUUGGUCUCGGGCAUCCAUGCGCGCAGCCAAGGCCUCCAUCCUUGACUCCACACUAGCGAACAUGGUCAUGACCUUGUCUUAGAAGGACAUGAACUCCUCGUGUGACACUGGCUGAACUUGUGAGCCUAGCACCCCCUCGCGAAGGUCUUGGAUAUUUUCCCUUAGAUCCUCUAAGCCCUUCUCCAUGCCUUGCUCAAUCAAGUCCACCCCUUCCCGGGUGUCCGCCAUUGCUAGCUCAACCUUGGCCAGCCUUGCCUCCAUGUUGGCUAAGGCAUCACGAGACUCAUCCUUUCUGCCUCGGCCCCGUGUAGUAUGCUCCAUCUCCCUUCCACAGGUUUGCUCACUAGUCUCCUCCACGUUAGAGCCCGACAUGCUUCCUUUGCUAUGCCCACCUCGUAACCGCGCUCUGAUACCACUUGUCACAGACUUAGUCAUUCACUAAGCUCGUGCGGCACUUAGACGUUUGAUCUUGCUAAGUCAGCCUUACUCCCCAAUGCUUAGCUUGCUAGGCUAAGACACUCGCGACUCACAAGCUUAAGAAGCUUAGUAGGCAACUCUUUAAAGAAUGAAAGUUUUUACUAACUCAAGGAAACCUUUACAAGUGCUUGAAAGCUCACUUGCUUGGUGCCUUAGCCAAAUGAGGCCCUCACCUAUUUAUAGGCACCAAUGGAACUCUUUGGAACCUUGGAGGGUUCCUUACAACUCAAGUAUAUUCUAGAAUGUCCUACAUCAUUCUAGGUACAAGCCUAUGUACAAGGAUAUACAAGAGACUUCUGAAAUUCUCUAGAAAGCCCUGGACUCCUCUCAUGUCUUCCACCAUAGUGUAGAACUAUGUGGAUUCCUCCAGGCUUCUCCAGAACCUUCCACACUCUUCCCACUCUAGGAGUCUCCAGAAGCUUCCUGGCUCUAUAUAAGCCCAUGGGGAGGCUCAUUUGAAUCAAAUUGUAACAUCUAGCUCUCUCCUCGAGACAUCAAUGACAGUGUUAAAUGCAAACUGUCUCAGAAACUCCUGGGCCAAGUCGUUCCAAGUCCUACGGCGUGAUACAUCCAAUGAAGCGAACCAACGCUGUGCCGCACCACUCAAAGACAUAGGUAAAAGCAUAACCAUCUGGACCUCAUCCAGUUCAUGUGCCCUCAUAACUGUACUAUAAAGCCUCAAAUGGAUGUGAGGACAGCUUAUGCCCGUGUAUCUCUCAAUCUCGGGCAUCCUGAACUUGGCCAGCAAACUGGCCAUUGGUGCUCCAUCAAAAUCCUCCCAAGUAAUAACUCCGUCUGAAGCCCUCAUCUGUCUUAACCUCUGCUUAAGUCUAUCCAUACAUGUAUGUGGGUCCUCUGAGGUCGGGAUAGGAAAUGUGACAGGAGGUGGGGCAACCUCGGUCUGACUAUGCAGAGUGAAAGGUAUAGCCUGUGGUACUGACUGACUGGACGAAGGAGGUGGCGGUACUAUAGUAUCAAACUGGGCACUCUCCUAAACUGGGACCUAUUGGGCCUGUUGCCCAUCUAUCCUCUGACCAAGGUUAGCUAUAGCCUCCUCGAUAGAAGUCGUGGCUACGACAAACUGGUCAACGGUAACUAUCUGUGAAUCCAUAUCUCUCUGAUCAGAUCUCUAAUAUGACUGGUCUAAUACUCUAGUCAAUCAACCUCCAACUCUAAUCCACAAAGGCAAAUCCAAAUCGGUCACGGUAAACCCUCCUACAAAUAUGGAAACACUGGAUAAGGUGCGAUACGAAUGUGACUUUGUAGAAAUCAAGUGCAUAGAAGUAUAGCCCAAAUAUACUCAAUCUGAUACCCAUCUCUGAUCACACCAAAAGGAGACUACGAAAAGGAUAAUCGAACCCAACUAUGACCAAGGCAGCUCUGAAGGUUCAUAGAGGCACCCACGUGUGGGAGUGAAAUCUUAAUUGGGUCUAGUGUCACAAGAUGCUUCAAAUGACUCUCCCCAUGGGCUUAUAUAGGAAGAGGGAAGCUUCUGGAGACUCCUAGAGCCAUCUACACUAAGCUAUUGGUGGGAAGAGUGUGGAAGGUUCUAGAGAUGCCUAGAGAUGUCCACACAUCUCUACGCUAUAGUGGAAGGCAUGAGAGGAGUCCAAGGCUUUCUAGAGACUUCUAGGAAUCUCUUAUAUAUUCUUGUACAUAGGGUUGUACAUAGAAUAGGGUAGGAUGUUCUAGAAUAUUCUUGAUUUGUAAGGAACCCUCCAAGGUUCCAGAGAGUUCCUUUGAUGCUUAUAAAUAGGUGAGGGCCUCAUUUAGCCAAGGCACCACCCAAAUCACUUCCUAACCAAGUAAGUGAGCUUCCAAGCACUUGUAAAGGCUUCUUUGAGUAAUAAAGAGCCUACUAAGCUUCUUAAGCUUUCUAGUCGCGAGUGUCUUAGUCGAGCAAGCUAAGCAUUGGGGGAGCAAGGCUGACUUAGCAAGAUCAAGCGUCUUGACUUGCCUAAGUGCCGCACGAGCUUAGUGAAUGACUAAGUCCGUGACACUAGGCUAACCUACAAAGUUGGAGUGGCUCUAUAAGAUAGGAUAGGUGGGUUAAAGGAUCCCUAGCAGAAGCGAUCGUACCCUCCAACAGUACGCAACCCUCUGCAUGCCUCCAAGGACACGGGGUGCUUCCAUGCAAGGUGGUCAUCACCUCCACACAUGCACUUCCUCGCGUUCCCAGGGGGUUUCUUAAUGGUGAAGGCUCUCCCAUCUCUCAACACUCAGGGAUAAUCUGAAGUGCAUGAUGAAGGAUGUGGGUGCAUCCGAAAAACCUAAGAUCUAAAGUGUGAUAGUGAACAAAGACAAGCAAUCACACAAUCAUGCAAGAGAAAGGAUCGUCACGCGACAAACAGUCAUGCGAAGCAAAUAACUAUCAAACAAACAAAGUCCUAUCUAGCAUAUGUGAGAGUGAAUCAUGCUGAAGUGAGCAAGCAAUCAAGUGAUCAUUCAAGGCAAUCAAACAUGUUAACAUAACAAACAAAACAAGCAAGCAAAUCGAAUCACCUUGCCAAAAAAGAGGGUACCCUCUAAUCGACCAAUUAAACGCCACAUUUUUCUCAACUGGUGUUCAAGUUUGAUCCUCAAAAUUCCCCAAUGGAGUCGCCAAUUUGUGGACCCGCAUUUUUCACGUGCGCCCCCACUCGAUCGGCGAGACUCGUUUUUAUUUGUGAAGAAUUAAUUUUUGGAAAAGUCGGAGUCAUCACUUAUUUUAUUUUUAUUUUAAAGGGAAAAUAAAACAAGAAAGAAAAACCCUAAAAAAAAGUGACUCCAUAAUUCUUGGAAAAGCAUGUCUUUGAAAAACCCGAGUCUAGGUCCGAGGAUCAAGUUAUUUAUUAGGAAGGUACCUCAAAGAGGUAGCACUCCUCUAAGCCCUACAAAGGUCUCUACUGACUAAGUUGAAGGAGAUGUGGCAAUUAAUUGAUUAACUAAGGAUACCUAGGUUGACUAAGGUGAUUACAAAAAAUAACAUGCCAAACAAGAUCAAAUCACAAUAAAGGAGAGUUAGGGUGCGUACCUCAACCACUUCUUAAGCGCUAUCAUAAAACAUCAAUGGUUAGUUAUAGAAAUAUAUCACGCAACAUGUGUUUUAUCCAAGCAAAUCAAGUGUGCACCUAAGCACCCAAGAAUCACAUCAAGUAUGGAUAUAGUUAUCAGUAGCAUACGUGUCCAUAGAAUUCUCAAGGGUAGGUGUGGAGGAGUGUACCUGGAUAGCAAGCUAGUACUCCUCUAUGGGAAACAAAGUUAGCCAAAUAACAGAAUCAAAAUAAUCUCAUAUAUACCACAAAGAGGAAACACAAUCAAUUAUCAAACAAACAUUCCCAUUUGAAUUAAUAUUAGAGAUGGUGUCUAGAAUGUUGGAUCCCUCACCAAGAUCCAAAUUGCUUUUGCACGAAUUGAUGCAAUCAGUCUCAUUAUUUGGAACCAUUAAGUCUAUUCGUGCUUGUUGGAAAAAAAAAAAUGAGAAAACCAUGAAAAUUAGUUGAAAAUAAAAUAAAAUAGUGAAAAUGCAUGCCUGGAGGAAAGUGGUAGCAUAUUCAUUAAAAUCUGGAUUUUAGUGACUAUAAGGGCUCUAAAGAUGGAUUUUUCAAAGCUGGAAAUGUUUAGUUGAAAAAUGAUUUAAAAAUUCAAUUUAAAACAAUAAAUUCCCAAUCAAAGAAGCAAAAUGAGGAGGAGGUGUGUGUAGCAAGGUAGAUAUGAUGGAGUGAAGUCUGGGAGGUUUAACUGUAGCUGGAUUGUUGAUGGUUGUGUGAAGAGACCUUUGUACAUUGUUGGCAUGUUUGGAGAAGAACUGGCCACAUUCAUUUUAGAGCACAUUGUCACGGACUUAGUUGUUCACUAAGCUCGUGCGACACUUAGGCAAGUCAAGACGCUUGAUCUUGCUAAGUCAGCCUUGCUCCCAAUGCUUAGCUAGCUAGGCUAAGAUGCUCACGACUUGAAAGCUUAAGAAGCUUAGUAGGCAACUCUUUAAAGAAUGGAAGCUUUUACUAACUCAAGGAAACCUUAACAAGUGCUUGGAAGCUCACUUGCUUGGUGCCUUGGCCAAAUGAGGCCCUCACCUAUUUAUAGGCACCAAUGGAACUCUCUGGAACCUUGGAGGGUUCCUUACAAUUCAAGACUAUUCUAGAAUGUCCUACAUCAUUCUAUGUACAAGCCUAUGUACAAGAGUCCUCUAGAAUUCUCUAGAAAGCCCUAGACUCCUCUCAUGCCUUCCACCAUAGUGUAAAGUUGUGUGGAUUUCUCCAAGCAUCUCUAGAACCUUCCACACUCUUCCCACUCUAGGAGUCUCUAGAAGCUUCCUGACUCUAUAUAAGCCCAUGGGGAGGCUCAUUUGAAUCAGCUUGUGACACUUUGCCCCACCAAAGCCGCAGACGUCCUCGUCGCGCCUUCUGCCCGAAACCGAUCAAUCUGCUCCUGGAACUACCAUAGUGCAUCUGCUGGCUCCCAGCUAGCCUCGCUCUCUGGUAGUCCCUUCCAUUUCACUAAGUAUUCCAUAGCAAGAGGUACACCUCGUCUCCUGAUGACUCAGUCUGUAAUGAUGUGUUCCACCUCCUUAUCAUAGGAGGUCACGACCGCUGUAGGUGCCCUCUUAGACAACCCUCGGCUCGGAUCAUCCUUGUCUUCGUGAUAGGGUUUCAAGUAGCUUACGUGGAAGACAGGAUGAAUCUUCAACGUUGGUGGUAGCUCAACUCUAUAGGACACCUUGCCGACCUUCCCAAGUAUGGGGAAGGGUCCUUCAUACCUCCUCACAAGGCCCUUAUGCACCGGCCUUAGGGAUUUGAAUUGUUGAGGAAGGAGCUUGACAAGCACCAUGUCUCCGACCUUGUACUCCAUGUGACGUCGCUUCUUGUCAGCCCACUUCUUCAUUUUCUUAGCGGCCUUGUCCAGGUAUGAGCGCGCUAUGUUAGCUUGCUCGUGCCACCCUUUCGCGAACUUGAAAGCCGCUGGACUUCUCCCCGUAUAGCCAACGUUAGAGUGUGAAGGGUUAACGGUUGCUGCCUUGUGGCUAGCUCGAACGGGCUCUUAUUGGUUGCCUCACUCCUUUGCAGGUUGUACGAGAACUGGGUUAUGUCUAGCAACUUAGCCCAAUCCUUCUGGUUGGCACUCACGAAGUGCCUCAAGUAUAGCUCCAGUAAAGCGUUCACCCUCUCAGUCUGCCCAUCCGUCUGUGGGUGGAAGCUUGUGGAGAAGUGAAGCUCCGAACCCAUAAGCUUGAAGAGCUUCGUCCAAAACUUCCCAGUGAAAUGUGGAUCGCGAUCACUGAUGAUGAACUUAGGCAACCCCUAAUUCUUGACCACGUGCUUUAGGAAUAGCCUCACCGUCUUUUCCGCAGUGCAGUCACUCGGGGCUGCUAUGAAGGUCGCGUACUUAGAAAACCUAUCCACUACUACUAUGAUAGAGCCGCUGUCUUCCGACUUGGGUAGCCCAAUGAUGAAGUCCAUGGUGACGCUGUCCCAUGGGCGCUCUGCCAUAGGUAGUGGCUCCAAUAGGCCUCUAGGUUGUCGUUGCUCCACCUUAUCUUGUUGGCACACAAGACAAGUCCUCACAUAGGCCUCAACCUCAUCUCGUAUUUGAGGCCAGUAAUAAGCCGACUCAAGUAGUGCCCUCGUGCGUCAUUGUCCAGGUUGCCCAGCCCACUUGGUGUCAUGGCACUCCUUCAUCAAAUUUCGCCUUAUGUUCCCCCACUUAGGCACGUAGAGUCGUCUCCCCUUAGUGUAGAGUAGGCCAUCCUCCACCCAGAACCGCUUAGUCUUCCCUUCAUGAGCCAGGGUAAUGAGGCUCUUAGCCACUGGAUCAUCUUGCAGUCCCUCCCUUAGAAGAUCCAUUAUGUCUCCUUGGGGCUAACUUAUCAUGGACGCUAGCUCCACUUUGCGGCUUAGGGCGUCGGCCACAUGAUUAGCACUUCCUGGCUUAUACUCCAGCGUAUAAUCGAACUCGACCAGGAAGUCUUGCCACUUAGCUUGUUUAGGACUUAGCUUCUUCUGUGUUUGGAAGUAGCUAGUGGCAACAUUGUCGGUCUUCACUAUAAAGUGAGACCCCAGAAGAUAAUGCCUCCAGGUGCGUAAGCAGUGGACGAUGGCGGUCAUCUCCUUUUCUUGCACCGUGUAACGCCUCUCCGUGUCGUUUAGCUUGCGACUCUCAAACGCGAUCGGGUGCCUUUCUUGCAUAAGGACUCCCCCAAUAGCGAAGUUUAAGGCAUCUGUGUGUACCUCGAAAACCUUGGUGUGGUCGGGUAGUGUUAACACUAGCUCCUCAGUCACAGCCCUCUUAAGAUCUUCAAAGGCUUGUUGGCACCUUUCGUCCCACUCCCAUGCCUUAUUCUUCUUAAGAAGAUCAGUGAGUGGAGCUGCCCUUGCCGAAUAACCCUUUAUGAACUGCCGAUAGUAAUUAACUAAACCAAGGAAAGAUCUAAGUUGAGGUACCUUGGUUGGUGGAUCCCAUUCCUGGAUGGCUUUCACCUUGCUAUCAUCCAUCAUCAACUUGCCAUCCUUGAUGUGAUGCCCUAAGAAGCUCACUUCUUCCUUAGCAAAGGAGCAUUUUUCCUUCUUCACGUAUAGCUCGUUCUACCUCAAGAUCUUAAAGACCUUCCUCAAGUGCUCUACAUGCUCCUUUAGGGUGUUACUAUAGAUGACUAUGUCAUCUAAGUACACCACCACAAACUUGUCUAACUAUGGGUGGAAGAUCUUGUUCAUAAGGGUGCAGAACGUCGCAAAGGCAUUGGUGAGUCCGAAAGGCAUCACUAGGAAUUCGUAUGAGCCGUACCUGGUCACACAUGUGGUCUUUGGCUCGUCCCCCUCCGCAAUCCUGACUUGGUAGUAGCCUGACCUUAAGUCUAGCUUUGUGAAGCAUCUUGCCCUUCCAAGUUAAUCGAAUAAGUCAGCAAUGAGCAGGAUAGGGUACUUAUUCUUUACCGUCACCUUGUUGAGCGCCAUAGGGAGCCUUGGAUGGUUGGAUGAACCCCGCAUCUAGCAACUCCUUAAGUUGUCUCCUUAGCUCCUCCAGCUCGGGUGGUGCCAUCCUAUAUGGCCCCAUAGCAGGGGGCUUGGCUCCCGGCUCCAACUCAAUCUUGUGAUCUUCCUCUCUCCUAGGAGGAAGUCUCUUAGGCAACUCGGGCGGCAUCACGUCCUUAAACUCAUCAAGGACCCCCUCGAUUUCCUUAGGCAUGGGUUCUCCCGACCCAUCAUCCCUGUCUUCCUUCAGGGUGGCGAGGUAGGUCACCUCUUUCCUCUUUAACCCCUUCUUAACUUGCAUAGCUAAUAGCAUAGGGUCUUGAGCGUACCUUCGAUGACCGUAAGGACCAUGCAUGGCUUCUCCUCCUCUAAGAUAGCCAUUGAGCGUAGGAAAGGUAGUGGCACAACCUUGACCUUCUGCAGCAAGUCCAUCCCUAGCACCAUUUUGAAGUCAUCCAUGGGUGCCACUGUGAGGUCGACCCUUCCUUCCCAUGAGCCGAUGUGCAUAGUCACCCCGCGAGCUACUCCAUGUGAUGCCUUGGCAGCUGAGUUAACUGCCUUGAGCCAUCCUCCUUCCUUGGAUGCUUGGAGCUCUAGUCUCUUUGCCUCAUCCUCCGAGACAAAGUUAUGAGUGGCACCAGUGUCCACCAGGGCCUUGGUGGCCUUCCCAUUCACAAGGGCCUCUACGUACAUUAACCCUUUGCUUUGAGUUGUCUUAGGCAUUGGUUUGGCCUUAAGGGCAUUUAGGAGCUGCAACGAUCCCACUUUAGCAUCGCCUUCUUGCUCCUUUUCCUCGAUCAUAGCAUUUAGAGCUUUUCUCUUAGGGCAGUCUCGUGCCCAGUGUGGACCAUCACACAGGAAGCAAUUGGUCCUGGGCGUGAACUCCUUCCACUUAUCCUUGUCUUUGCCAUCCUUGCCACUAGGCCCUUUGCUUGAUCCUUCCUUAGAAGUGUGGCCUCGUGAUCCCUUGUCUCCCCCACCUUUGGCCUAGUUACCCUUGGAUGAUGGCUUUAGCUUGGAGGAAUCUCCCCUUCUAUAAUCUACCAAGGACUCUGCUACUGCCCUGGCCGUGGCUAGGUCUUGGACACCACGUCUCCUCAACUCUUGCUCAACCCAGCUUUGCAAGUUGUCCAUGAAGUUAAAUAGUAGCUCCUCCUCGGCCAUAUUGGGUAUCUCAAGCAUAAGCGUAGAGAACUCCUUGACAUACUCACGGAUCGAGCCCGUGUGCUUGAGACGCUUCAUACUCUUCCUUGCUAGGUAAGCUACAUCUUCGGGAUAGAAUUGUCUUUUGAUUUCUCUCCUAAAAGCAUCCCAUGUGUCUAUGGUGCACGUCCCUUUCUCUAUGUCGGCAAACCGUCGAUGCCACCAUAGAGUAGCAUUAUCCGUGAGGUAGAGGGUCGCGGUGCGUACCUUAGUGGCUUCAUCCAUCAAUGCAAUGGCCUCAAAGUAACUCUCCAUGUGCCACAAGAAGUUAUCCAGCUCCUUAGCAUCCCUCUUGCCACUGAACGUGUGUGGUUUGGGCACCUCCACCCUUGGUGCCUCAUGAGUGGCCAUGACUCGUGCUGAUACCAUAGUCUUGUAGAUGGCCAGCUCUUGACGAAUCUCUUGGUCUCGGGUCUCCAUGCGCGCAGCCAAGGCCUCUAUCCUUGACUUCACAUUAGCGAACAUGCUCAUGACCUUGUCUUGGAAGGACAUGAACUCCUCGUGUGACACCGGUUGAACUUGUGAGUAGCAUCCCCUCGCAAAGGUCUUGGAUCUGCUCCCUUAAAUCCUCUAAGCCCUUCUCCAUGCCUUGCUCAAUCAAGUCCAACCCUUCCCGGGUGUCCGUUAUGGCUAGCCUUGCCUCCAUGUUGGCUAAGGCGUCACGAGACUUAUUCUUCCUACCUCUGCCCCGUGCAGUAUGUUCCAUCUCCCUUCCACGGGUUUGCUCGCUAGUCUCCUCCACGUUAGAGCCCGACAUGCUUCCUUUGCUAUGCCCACUUCGUAACCGUGCUCUGAUACCACUUGUCACGGACUUAGUUGUUCACUAAGCUCGUGCGGCACUUAGGCAAGUCAAGACGCUUGAUCUUGCUAAGUCAGUCUUGCUCCCAAUGCUUAGCUAGUUAGGCUAAGACGCUCACGACUCGAAAGCUUAAGAAGCUUAGUAGGCAACUCUUUAAAGAAUGGAAGCUUUUACUAACUCAAGGAAACCUUAACAAGUGCUUGGAAGCUCACUUGUUUGGUGCCUUGGCCAAAUGAGGCCCUCACCUAUUUAUAGGCACCAAUGGAACUCUCUGGAACCUUGGAGGGUUCUUUACAAUUCAAGACUAUUCUAAAAUGUCCUACAUCAUUCUAUGUAUAAGCCUAUGUACAAGAGUCCUCUAGAAUUCUCUAGAAAGCCCUGGACUUCUCUCAUGCCUUCCACCAUAGUGUAGAGUUGUGUGGAUUUCUCCAAGCAUCUCUAGAACCUUCCACACUCUUCCCACUCUAGGAGUCUCCAGAAGCUUCCUGGCUCUAUAUAAGCCCAUGGGGAGGCUCAUUUGAAUCAGCUUGUGACAACAUGCUCACUUGCUGGCACUCAUUCUCAAGUUUCAAAUCUUCACUUAGAAGUUCAUUUGAUUCGUCAAUUUUCUCGUAGUUCAUUUCUGGAUUUUUCUGUAGCUCAGAAUCUGUGAUUUCCAGCUCAUCAUGAACUUCAUCUUUUGCUUUUUCAGUAGUACUAAUUGAUCAUCUUCAGCUUGCAUGAGAAGCUUCGCUGAUUAUUAUUUACAUGACCCAUUUCCAUUAGCAGUUCACCAGAUCUAGCUCUAGUAAUUUCCCAUAGACCCAUUUUCGUUUGAAAGUGAAAGCUUAUCAAAAUCUUUAUCUACAACUUCAGAAUGUGGCGUGGUAUGUGUUACAUAUUUAUCAACUAAGUUGUGAAGAGCAUUCUCAGCAGCUUCUUGUUGAGCAUCCUUUUUCUCUUACUACCCUCUUCCAUAUUUCCCCUUUUAUCUUGUCCAAAAUCUUCAAGGGAAACCGUAUUAGACUCAGAUCUGGAUUUGGCAUAUGCUAUGGGACCUAACUGAGACCAUUCCAUGCCCGUUGCUGAUUCCUCUGGUGCAUUCAAGUAAACAGCGCCUUUGUACAUCCAUUCCUCAGUCUCAUCACUAUAAAAAUCAUCAAAAGGCUCCUUACUCAAUGCACAAACAUUCUGAUCCUCAUCGGCAGGAACAACCAGUUCUUCAUCAUCCGUUCUUUUCCACAAUUGUCUUAGUGGGCAAAGAAAACUCAGGAGCUGCAUCAGUGCCCAAUGCCUCUGCACUACUAAGCCACAUACCGGCAUUCACAAACCAUUUGCAAGAAGGCUUCUGUUUGCAGUUUUUAAAUAUCUAGUUCUUGGUCACGUGCCAAUCCAUAUGACUAAUAUGCUCUUCUUGGCACUUGAAUUGAAAGCCACAUGUUAUGCACUGUCUUGACAUAUCAUCAUAUAAAGUACUUAUUGUAGACUCAUGGCGCACCUUAAAGAGGUCAACAUUAAACUCAAUUCCAACAGAAUCCUGAAACGCGGGUUGUUUUGCCAAUGAGAUCAAACCUUGGGCCAUGGGAGGACUAAUCAGACCCGAAAAUACACUUCCAGGUGAUGUGGUAGGAGGAUGACCUGGAGGUAGAGAUGGCCAGGUUCCCCCCUGAAAAUGCAGAGGGUUGUUUGAGAUAUUAUGGAUUGGAAUAGACGAAUAGUCACCAGGUACUGGAUUCAGCAAAAUGGUACUUGUAGCAGCAGCAUGCCCUUAUGGGGUAUAUCCAGGGUUCAAGGGAGGUGCCACUGAAUAUGAUGACACAGGAGCUGUGGUAGAUGGAAUAAAAUUUCCAUGAGUCUCCUGUGGCAAAAACUGUGGUUGUAAACGAGUGACUUGUGUCUGGUUUUGCCCAUUUAAAGGAAUUGAUUCAGCCUAUCGAUUAGUCAUUUGAGGCAGCUUACUAUUUAACUCAGAUACAAACAAAGACUUAUUUGGAUUUUGAUUCAUAACAGCAAUAGUAGCAUUCAUUGAAUUGAAUUGAUUCCUAAUUUGUUUUGCUUGUGGAAAAUUGGACAGUAAAGGAGAGAGGUGAAUUUUGUGCACGUUUACUGGAGGCCACAUUCCAGUUGAUGCAGGUGCAACAGCCGAUUGAACCUCCACAUUCAUAGAAUUGAGACUUUAACAAUCCAUUCUUAAGGCAACAAUAGGGAGUCUACGAAGUUGUGCAUCGGCAUCUGGAAUAUUACUAAUAAGAGGAGAAAUUAUCUCGACAGCUGAAGACGAUAUUCCAUUUCCCAAAAGGUCCCUUAAAGAACAUUCAUUCUUAUCAAUAUCACCAUUGUGCAUGGCCUUACUAUACAUCGCAGCACCUCCAUUGCAAAUGGCCAGAUUGCCGGAGCCAACACUCCCAUUUCUGAUGAGCGGACUGUAGGUUUCAGAACUGCCAUUAACAAAGGCUUGACUGUAAGAGCUAGUGCCACUAUUGGUCAAACCCUGAUUAUAGAUGGUGUUCCUGUCAAAGGACAGCUUUGCUGUCCACACUUCCUUCCUUAUUUUAGCCCACACUUGUUGUCCACACUUCUUUCCUUAAUUUAGCCCACCCUUCUUUCCUUAUUUUAGCCCACAAUUGUUUCCUUAUUUCUCCAUUUAUUAUUCUGUACAGUUAGCAUAUAUUAUUUGACAAAUUAUAGUUUACAUGUAUAGGGCUAGAAUCAUGCUAGAAUUUAUUUGCUUUCCAUGUAAAGCAUCCUUGUAAAGUCUAUAUAUAAUAUACAAAACUCAAGGCCAAUAUAUUCGGUCAUUCACACAAUAUUUUGACAUGGUAUUAAAGCAAGGUUGCUAAUUUUUCUUCCCUCAAAUUAUUUUUUAUCUUUUCGGUUUCGGAAGUGCCUCUCGUGUCUUUCGGUCAAGUCUGUGUUGAUCCGUGCUGCACCCAACCACAACUAUUUUUCUCAGUAUUUCUGUGGUUGUCGUGGGUCAGUUUUCUUCUGGGAUUUCUUUUUGGUCCAUCCUUUUGUCUAGGGUUCUAUUUAUUUUCUAUGGAUUCCGCACCUCUGUGUGUUAAGUUUACAGGCACAAAUUAUUCUACCUGGGCAUUUCAGUUUGAACUUUUUCUCAAGGGAAAAGACCUUUGGGGUCAUAUUGAUGGCACGGAUGUUGAAAAACCAUCCACUUUUGACAAAUCUCAGGAUGUUGGGUCUUCUCCUUCAUGGGUUGUGCUUGAUGCACGCAUCAUGUCUUGGCUUCUUGGUUCAGUGGAGCCUCAUAUUGUCACCCACUUGCGGCCCCAUCGCUCCACUCAAUCUAUGUGGGCUUAUUUGAAGAAAGUUUAUCAUCAAGAUAACGAUGCUCGUCGCUUUCAAUUAGAACAUGCGAUUGCCAUGUUUCAACAUGGUAGUCUUUCCAUCCAGGACUACUACUCGGCAUUUCUGACUCUUUGGCAUGAAUAUGCUGAUUUGGUUACAACGGAUGUUCCUAUUGCCGCUCUCUCAACUAUUCAGACUAUUCACGCGACUACCCGGCGUGAUCAGUUUCUUAUGAAACUACGUCCGGAAUAUGAAUCUGUCCGCUCCUCUUUACUGAAUAGAUCUCCUGUUCCCUCUCUUGAUAUUUGUUUUGGUGAGUUACUUCGCGAAGAGCAACGCCUUAGUACUCAAGCUAUUUUGGAGAAAUCUCAUGGCAGUUUCGGGACGACAACUGUAGCUUAUGCUGCCCAAGGACGCGGACCACCUAUGCAUUCUAAAAACUUGCAGUGUUUUUGCUGCAAGGAAUAUGGGCAUAUUGCUGCCACUUGCCCUAAGAAGUUUUGUUCUUAUUGCAAGAAGAAGGGUCACAUUAUCAAAGAAUGUCGUAUUCGCCCCCAAAAUCAUUAGGCCCAAGCAUUUCAGACUUCAGUUACUGUCCCUCCUGUAGCAACACAUGACUCUCCUUCAGCUGCGUGCUCUGUUCCUACACCUCCUGCACCAGAUUACUGCACCCCAGAAAUGGUGCAACGGAUGUUAAUUUCAGCAUUAUCAGCAAUGGGGUUUCAAGGUAACAAUUCUACUAAACUCUGGUACGUGGACUCGGGGGCCUCUAAUCACAUGACUAAUAAUCCCACCGCUUUGUGUCAUGUUCGACCCUACGCUGGUCAAUCUUCCAUUCAGAUUGCCAAUGGCAGCUUUUUGCCCAUAGCUGCUAUCGACGAAGCCUCUUCUAAGUUCACUGAUGUAUUUCUUGCUCCUCAGCUUUCCACGAAUCUUAUUUCUGUUGGCCAAUUAGUUGAUAACAAUUGUGUUGUUAAUUUUUCUGGUAAUGGUUGUGUUGUGCAGGACCAGGUAACGGGGAAGCCGAUCGCGAAGGGACCUAAAGUGGGGCGCUUAUUUCCACUAUUUUUACCUGUUCCAGAUUUUUCUCCACGUUCUUCUAUUAAGUCUUUUGCUUGUAAUAAUGUUUCAGAUCUUAGUAUGGUGUGGCAUCGUCGUUUAGGCCAUCCCAAUACUUAGAUCUUAUCUCAUGUAUUGAACUCUGGUUUACCUGGUAAUAAGGAUCGUUAUUCUUUAUCUCUUGAGUGUGAUUCUUGCAAACUUGGUAAAAGUAAAACUCUUCCCUUCCCUUUGCAUGCAAGUAGAGCAUCUCACUGCUUUGAUCUUAUCCAUAGUGAUGUUUGGGGACCUUCCCCGGUUAGUUCACAUGAGAAAUUUAAAUAUUAUGUGACUUUCAUUAAUGAUCAUAGCAGAUUUACUUGGGUCUACUUUCUUCGCUCUAAAUCUGAGGUCUUUCGUACUUUCACUGAGUUUUUAGCAUAUGUUGACAAUCAAUUUUCUACUUCUAUUAAGACAUUAUGCACAGAUUCCGGUGGUGAGUAUUUGUCUACUGAGUUUCAAGCAUUCUUAGCUUCUAAGGGUAUUAUUCAUCAACGUUCAUGUCCCUCUACUCCUCAACAAAAUGGAGUUGCCGAACGCAAAAAUCGUCAUCUUUUAGAUGUGGUACGUACUCUCUUGUUAGAAUCUUCUGUUCCAUCCAUGUUUUGGGUAGAGGCUCUAAAAACUGCUACUCACUUGAUUAAUCGUUUACCUUCUCAAGUCCUACAUAUGGAGUCUCCCUAUUUCCGCUUAUUUGCUAAGCAACCUAGUUAUGAUCACCUUCGUAUUUUUGGUUGUGUAUGCUUUGUUCAUUUACCUCCUCAUGAGCAACAUAAAUUAUCUGCUCAAUCUGUUCGAUGUGCUUUCUUGGGAUAUAAUAUGUGUCAAAAGGGAUUUGUUUGCUAUGAUCCUACAUUACAUCGUACACGUAUUUCUAGGAAUGUUAUUUUCUUUGAAAAUCAACAUUUCUUUCAUGUAUCCUCUUCUACUGUGUCAUCCUCUUCUACUGUGGUCCUUCCCUCCUUUAAGCAACAGUUCUCAGAUCUUCAUCCAGUCAGUUCUCGCUUUCAACCAGGUAUUGUGUAUACGAGACGCUCCCGCCCAUAGUCUCUUUCGGUGGCUCAUCCGAUAUCUGAUCCUACCAUGCUCCAGAUGCAGUCAGUUGCAGCACCUUCAAUACGUCGCUCUUCUCGAGUGUCUGUACCUCCAAAUAGGUAUGGAUUUCCCUCUUCCAGUUCUGGCAAUUCUAUUUCAGCCCUUACUGCUGCAUUGUCCAAAUUUGAUAUUCCCACAUGCCACUCACAUGCUGCUAAGCAUGAUUGUUGGCGACAAGCUAUGUAGGAAGAAAUUGCCGCUCUAGAGGCCAAUCACACUUAGGACAUUGAGCCCUGUCCUCCCACUAUUGUUCCUCUGGGUUGCAAAUGGGUUUACUCAGUCAAGGUCCGAUCUGAUGGAAGUUUGGAUCGUUACAAAGCUCGGCUUGUUGCACUUGGGAAUAAUCAGGAAUAUGGUGUCAAUUAUGAAGAGACCUUUGCUCCUGUGGCUAAAAUGACUACUGUUCGUACGAUUCUAGCUCUUGCUGCUUCUAGUGAUUAGCCACUACAUCAGAUGGAUGUAAAAAAUGCUUUUCUUCAUGGGGAUCUUAAAGAGUGUAUUUAUAUGAAGCCACCCCCGGGAUUGUUUCCCUCUCCGACUUCACAUGUGUGUAAGCUUCGUCGCUCUCUUUAUGGUCUCAAACAGGCUCCGAGGGCCUGGUUUGAUAAAUUCCGCACCACUUUAUUACAAUUUUCAUUCAGGCAGAGCAAGUAUGACACUUCCUUGUUUCUUCGGAAAUCAGACAUGGGUAUUGUUGUUCUUUUGGUUUAUGUUGAUGAUAUUGUGAUCACUGGUUCCGAUUCUGCUUUACUUGGUCAGCUCAAAACUCAUCUCUCCGAGUCCUUUCAUAUGAAAGAUCUUGGGUCUCUCACAUAUUUUCUNNNNNNNNNNNNNNNNNNNNNNNNNNNNNNNNNNNNNNNNNNNNNNNNNNNNNNNNNNNNNNNNNNNNNNNNNNNNNNNNNNNNNNNNNNNNNNNNNNNNUCCCUGCAGGCAAUUCUACUCGCCUUGCUUCUUAUAGUGAUGCUGAUUGGGCCGGUUGUGCUGAUACCCGUCGCUCCAUCACUGGUGGGUGUGUGUUCUUAGGUGAUGCAUUGAUAUCUUGGAAAAGUAAGAAGCAAGACAGAGUCUCUAAGUCAUCUACGGAAUCUGAGUACCGGGCGAUGUCUCUUGCUUGUUCUGAAAUCAUUUGGCUUCGAGGUUUGCUUGCGGAGUGAUUACUACUCAAAAAGUGUUAUUUCAUAGCUUGUAAUUAACUCUUUUAAACACUUUUGAGUAGUAGUUAUUGUCUUUUAACCCAAUUAACAUAUUAAGGACCUUUGCAAGCACUUCUAAUCAAUUUGUGUUAAGUUUUGGUGUUUUGAUAGCUUUUUGAUCACCAAAGCAAUAUGAGAUUGAGAAGAGUUAUUUGGAAUCCAUGGCAAAGCAAUGGAAAGCUCAGAAACAUGAAGAACCAAAGCUUUGAAGUCCUUUGCCAUAAGCAAAUCUGGAAUGCAAGGAGGGGAAGUAAAGAGAAAUCUGCCAUGAAGCAUUUUUUAUGACAGUCAUGUCAGCCACUUUUGGAGAACUUCCUGAAGUCCAAUUUAUUCAUGCUAUAUGUCGUUUCGAAGCUCAGGAAGUCAGUAAUCCAAUGCUUCAAACAGUGCACAAUUCAGAGCUAAAAUGAAGGAGUUACAGCCAUUGGAAGCCGAACACCGCAAGCUGAAAGCCAACUUCGCAGCGCUGCGAAAUCAGCCUUUUGCUGCGAAGUGAUUUGGCAGCCCUUUUUGUGCGUAUGUGAAAUCUCACAGACCUCGUUUUCACCUGCGAAAUGGUCCUUAGUGCUUCCCGAUAUUUGCGACCGACACAUUGAGAUAUUUUUCUUCAGAUUUUUGUUGUCUAAAUCCCAAAACUCUCCUUGUAAGCCACCAAUUAUAGGAUUCCUUAGCUAUUAAGUUAGGAAAAAUGGUGAAUAUCCAUGUAAUAAUUAUUAUUGUAAUUUUCAUAUAAAUAGCUCUCGGGAGCCUGUUCUCAGGGGGAGAGGACGACGACCCUUUUGUAAAAAGUUUGAAAGAAAGUAAAAUACAGAGCCUUUGCUCUGCCUUACCUUCUCACUUUGAUUAUAUUUUUCAUUUACUAGUUAUGCACUCUCUAAGGAAGUUUCCCCAGAGAAUGAGUAACUAAACCUUUAGUUCCUUAGAGCUAAGGUUUCCGGGAAAGGUUCCAAGUGCAAGAAUUAGUAGCUUUGUGGUUUCAGCCAUGAAUGAAGAGAAAGUGUGAUCCUUUAGUGAUUUCUAUAUUUUUAGUUAACUUAAAACGCCUUGGAGUCACCUGGGCCAACACUUGGUAAGGCAAGUGAUCUCUGUCCAUGGGGAUGCACUAGUUUACCCCUUGCGAGCCUCUGGGAGGUGACUUGAAGGUAGGAUUUUCUAGAAUUGCCAACACUUGGUAAGCUUUUGGACUCCAAGGAGACAUCCAUUAGUUAUCUCUUGCGAGCUUGAGAAGGGAAGUCCAAGGUUAAAGAUCACCUUGAAUGGUAAAUGCUAAGUGAGAGGCACGAACCAUUGCAAGUUGCAUCAGUGAGAAGGAAUUAGAGCUGAAAUCCAAUUAAGGGAUGCAUCUGUACAACACCGGUUAGAGAAUUGACUAUAUGUUAAUUCUCUAAUGCGAGGAAAUGAACUAACUGACCAGAGCUAUGUUUUUGCAUGAGAAACCUCCCCUAUGAACCUAAAUCUCCAAGGAAUGUUUUUCUUCAUAAUUAAUUUACAUUACUUGUUGUGCCGUUAGUUUAAAUCUAAACAUUUUUCAACCAAAGUUUGUGUUUUAUUUCUUAAGCUAACCUUGAAAUGAAACAGCACCAAUUCACUUUGAAUUGGUAUCAUUUGUAAUUUGAAAACCCUUCCCAAUGAACGAUCCUAGAGUCACUAUGCUAUAGUAGCUUUUUCUUUGCUACCCUAGUAUAUGGUGUAAUAGGUUAUAAAUUUUGUUGAUUACUCCCUCAAUCAAGGAGCACCAGCUGGACACGAAUCAGCUGAGACACCAAUUGGGCAUGAAUCAAAUGGCGCCGUUGCCGGAGGUCUGAGCUUUCGACCCUGGCUUUCUUUUGCAGGGGAUGGCCCCCUGACCUAGUAAGAUAACGCCUCGCCGGAGGUUUCUGUGGUGCGGGCUUCGCCGGAAGUGAAGCAGCUUCUGGCCGCGGAGGUUCAGAGGUGGGGCCUUGAACAGGCGCCUCUCGCAGAACUCGUUUGCGGCUGGAAUGAGAGGAUGAUUUGGCUCCUCUGGUUCGCGCCAUAUCGGACUGACGAAAUUUGGCCGGAAGUGAUGACCGGAAGAGAUGACCGGAGGUUCGCACGUCGUCGGGCUCGGGCAAGGGAAUGAACAGACGGUUGCUAUGGCGUUUUCUCUUUCUGAAACCCUUUCGCAACUCAAAUGAUCGGUUUUUAUAAAAAAUAACGGAAUAUUAAAAGUCAUUUUGAUUUUUGUAGAAGAAGGCCGAUUUCGCAGCAAAAGGGGGUUUUCGCAGAAAAAAACUAUUUUCGCAACCCAUUUCGCAGCUGCGAAAUGGGUGUCACUGUGCUGCGAAGUGGCACUCGUGUGCCAAAAUUGGUUUCGCAGCUGCGAAACACCCUGCAGAAUGGAGCUUUGGCUGCGAAAUUGGGAAUUUUCAUGCUUUGGAGCUUCGUAGCCGUUUCGCAGCUUCAAAACGGGGGCUCCUGUGCUGCGAAGUGGCACUCAUGUCCCAAAAUUGGUUUCGUAGCUGCGAAAAUUUUCGCAGAGGAGUCAAUUGAGUUGCGAAAUGAUUUCGCAAAGGACGGCCAUUUUCGCAGAGACACAUUGAUUCCGCAGCGGCUUCUUUUAGGUUGCGAAACGGUUUCGCAGCGAAGUGCUAAUUUCGCAGAGGAUUCUCUUAGGUUGCGAAAUCUCGCAGACCCCUGUUUUUGCCCCGAAAGACUUCUUUUCAAUUUCUUUGUAUUUUCUCCUACUAGAGAUCAUUCAAAAAGACUAAAUUACAUAUAAAUACACAAUUUAAAAUCAAAAUUAAAAUCAAAAGUAUGGAUAAAACUUUGAAAUUUACAAAAUUUACAAAAAUUUUGGACUUUGGUGAAACCAAGUCCAUCAAACCCUUAUUUGCUUAGGUUUUUUGUGGCUCAAGGAGGUUGAUUUCCUCCUUUUCUGGUUUGAAUGGCUCCAUGAAUGGCUUGAGACGAUAUCCAUUGACUCUAAAGGUGUCCUUGCCAUUGGAAUUCAAUAAUUCCACCACUCCAUUUAUAUGUACUUGGUGAAUAAUGAAAGGACCUAUCCACCUUGACUUGAGCUUUCCAGGAAAGAUAUGGAGUCUUGUGUCAUAGAGUAGAACUCUUUGUCCUUUCCGAAAUUCUUUGUUGGAGAUUAGUUGAUCAUGCCACUUCUUCAUCCUUUGUUUUGCAACUUUGGAAUUGAUGUAAGCAUCAUUUCUUAAUUCCUCCAUCUCAUUAAGGUCUAAGCACCUCUUUGCUCCGGCUCUUAUCAAGUCCAUAUUCAACUUUUUGAUUGCCCACCAAGCUUUGUAUUCAACUUCCACAGGGAGAUGGCACGCUUUGCCAUAGACAAGACGAUAGGGAGACAUGCCAAGAAUAGUCUUAUAAGUUGUUCUAUAUGCCCAUAAUGAAUCAUGAAGCUUAAUAGACCAAUCUUUUCUGCUUGAAAUCACCACUUUCAUCAAUAUGUUCUUUAUUUCCCUGUUUGCUAGCUCAACUUGCUCGGAAGUCUGAGGAUGAUAAGGUGUAGCUACCUUAUGCUUCACUCCAUACUUGGCUAAUAAAGUUUCAAAAGGUUUGUUGCAAAAAUGAGUACCUCCAUCACUGAUUAUGGCUUUGGGCACCCCAAAUCUUGAAAAAAUGUUCUCUUUAAGAAACUUGAGAACCACUCUGUGAUCAUUUUGUUUACAGGGGAUUGCCUCAACCCAUUUAGAAACAUAAUCCACCCCCACCAAGAUAUAAGAAUUACCAAAAGACAUUGGGAAAGGUCCCAAGAAGUCAAUGUCCCAUACAUCGAAUAGCUCAACUAUUAGAAUGGGGGUUCAUAGGCAUUUGAUUUCUUUUUGUUAGCCUUCCAAGCCUUUGGCAUCUAUCACAACUUCUACACAUGAUGUGGGCAUCUUUGAAAAGAGAUGGCCAAGUAAACCCUGAUUGCAACACCUUCAUGGUUGUUUUCUGAGAGGUAAAGUGGCCUCCACAUGCAUUCUCAUGACAAUGGUUUAGAAUCCCUUGUUGCUCUUCUUCAGGGACACACUUCCUUAUGAUCUGAUCUGCACAAUACUUAAAAAGGAAGGGCUCUUCCCAAUAAUAAGCAUGAAUUUUUGCAAAGAAGUGCUUCCUGUCUUGUGCAUUCCACUCACUUGGAAUUUCACCAGUAACUAGAUAAUUAGCAAUAUGAGCAUACCAAGGAGUUUUUACUAGGAACAUAAGUGAUUCCUUAGGAAAGUCAUCAUUAAUAGGCAAGGCAUGGGAAUUAUGUGCUAUAGCUAACCUUGAAAGGUGGUCAGCUACCACAUUCUCCACUCCUUUCUUAUCUCUGAUUUGGAGAUCGAAUUCUUGUAACAAAAGAAUCCAUCUAAUCAACCUUGCUUUUGCAUCUUGCUUUGUCAAUAAAUACUUCAAGGCUGAAUGGUCAGUGAAAACAAUGAUAAAAGACCCUGCCAAAUAAGCACGAAAUUUAUCUAAGGCAAAUACCACAGCUAACAAUUCUUUCUCUGUAGUUGUGUAGUUCCUUUGAGCUUCGUUCAAUGUUUUGCUUGCAUAGUAGAUCACAUAGGGCUUCCCAUAUUCUCUUUGGCCAAGCACAGCUCCUAUAGCAAAGUCACUGGCAUCACACAUCAGUUCAAAGGGUAGUUGCCAGUUAGGGGCCCUCACUAUUGGAGUUGUUGUUAAAAAUUUCUUCAGUUGAUCAAAGCUAUUUUGACAUCUUUCAUCCCAUAUAAAAUUAGCAUCCUUAGCUAACAGCUCACAAAGAGGUUUUGAAAUAUUUGAAAAAUCUUUUAUAAACCUCUUCUAGAACCCUACAUGGCCAAGGAACUGCCUUACUCCUUUUUCAUUCUGAACCACAGUAAUCCCUGACUUCUUUGGUACCACUUGAGUAGGACUCACCCAAGGGCUGUCAGAUAUAGGGUAAAUAAUACCUGCUUGAAGUAGCUUCAGCACCUCAGCUCGCACCACCUCUUGUAAAUGAGGAUUCAAUCUUCUUUGAAGUUGACGAAUUGGCUUAGCUUCCUCCUCCAUAUAUAUAUGAUGCAUGCAAACUAAAGGACUAAUGUCUUUCAAGUCAGAUAUUUGCCAUCCUAUUGCUUUCUUACACCUCUUGAGAACUUCCAAUAACCACUUCUCUUAAUAACUGGUCAGAGAUGAAGAUAUUACGACAGGACAUUGAUUAUUUUCUUCAAGGUAUGUAUAUUUCAGCUCCACGGGUAGAGGCUUCAAAUUGAGUUUUGGGGUCUCUUUUUCAACAGUUGCUCCUUCUUCUUUAUUGAACAAAGGUAGAAUCUCUUCUAUCCUCCUCCAACUUUGUAGAGUAGCAAGCACAUUAGGGGGUUCAGACAAACCUUCCUCAAAACCUGCAAGACUUUCAUUCAGCUUGUCUUGCAUAUUCUGAUUACAGUGCUCCUCUACUAGAGUGUCAAUAAUGCACACCUCUUCUGGACCCUCUUCUUCUUCCAGAGUGGUUUGCUUUUUAGACAUAUAAAAAAUGUUGAGAUCAAGUGUCAUGUUGCCAAAAGUGAGUUGCAUGAGCUCAUUCCUAUAGUUGAUGAGCGCAUUUGAGGUAGCAAGGAAUGGCCUUCCAAGGAUGAUAGGAACUAAAUUAGCUUCCUUUACAGUAGGAUCCGUAUCAAGAACAAUAAAAUCUACCGGAUAGUAGAAAUUAUCAACUUGAACCAAGACAUCCUCAAUUACCCCCCUUGGAAUUUUUACUGAUCUAUCUGCUAGAGAUAGAGUGAUUGUUGUUGGCUUCAACUCACCAAGUCCCAAUUGCUUGUAGACAAAGUAUGGAAGCAAAUUCACACUUGCUCCCAAGUCUAACAAAGCUUUCUCCACUACCUUUCCUCCAAUCAUGACUGAAAUGGUAGGACUUCCCGGAUCUUUGUACUUCAAAGGAGACUUGCAUUGUAAGAUUGCACUUACUUGCUCAGUCAAGAAGGCUUUCUUAUUUACAGUCAACCCUCUUUUGAUAGUACAUAAGUCCUUUAGGAAUUUUGCAUAUGUUGGAACUUGUUUAAUCAUAUCUAGCAGUGGGAUAUUGACUUUCACUUGUCUCAACACUUCAAGAAUUUCAGAUGUAUUUCUAAUCCCCCUUUUCCCAUGCAAUGCUUGAGGAAAAGGUGGAGAAGUUGAUUUCUUCAGCAUUUCUUCCUUCAGAAGUUCCUUCUCUGGAUUUGCAUUCAUUGUUGAAUCAUAGUCCUCCUUCUUUUCAUUGAUCUCUCUCUUUUUGUCUUCCAUUUCCUCCCCUUUCUUUGUCUCUUCUUCUUCCUCAACAUGUGGCUUGGGUGUUGGCUUCUCAAUUUUUUUACCACUCCUUAGAGUGAUCAAGGCUUUGACAUCUUUCAUCUGUGAUGAUUCUCCCUCAUGGCUUUCCACUUCAUGGACACCCUUGGGGUUUUGGUGGGGUUGAGAAGGAAAUCUUCCCUUUUCUUGCACUGUGUUCAAAUUUGUGAGCCUUGAGAUUGAGUAUUAGAGAUUAUCUAUCUUUUGGGAUAUAUCAUUUUGCAUUCCAUCCAUCCUUUUGUUCAGAGUACUCUCUACUCUGUCAAUUCUUUGACUAAGUUGAGCAUUGAUGGCUUUUUGGUCUCCAACAAAAUCUCUCACUACCUUGCUGAGAUUCACUAUUGCUUGUUCAAGACUUGAAGAUUGUUGAAAUGGUUAAUCCGGCUGUUGGUACUGAGGUGCUCUGGCCUUCCAUGAGAAAUUUGGAUGAUUCCUCCAACUUGAGUUGUAAGUAUUUCCAUAGGGUGCAUUGUUAUUGGGCUUGAAUUGUCCAACAACAUUUGCUUGAUCUCCAAACAUUUCCCUUUUAGUUGAAAUUGUAGGGCAUUCCUCUACCAAGUGUUCAUAUGAUUGACAAUUAGAACAAAGCUUCACUUGCACUGGUGCUUCAGCAACAGCUUGCACUUCAUGUAUCUUUUUCAGUUCCAGCUCCUCCAAUCUUCUUGUCAUAGCUGCAAACUUUGCUUUCAUAUCAUCAUCUUCUUUCAAGGUAUACAUCCCAGCCUUAGCAUUGAAAGCACUCAGCUGAGACUUCAUCUUUCCCACUUCUUCUUUGAUUGGUUCAUCCCAUCCCCUUGAAACUUCAGCUACAUAACUCAAGAAAUCCAUAGCUUCCUCCGGAUUUUUGCUCAUGAAAUCUCCUCCACACAUUGUCUCGAGGAGUUGCUUCAUUGAGGAAGACAUCCCAUCAUAAAAAUAGCUCACCAAUAGCCAAGUAUCAAAACCAUGGUGAGGGCAAGCAUUUAUAGCUUCCAUCUAUCUUUCCCAACACUCAUAGAAUUUCUCGUUCUCUUUAGCUGAGAAGUUUGAAAUUUGCCUUUUCAAGCCAUUUGUUCUAUGAGUGGGAAAAAAUUUCUUGAGGAAUUCAGCUUGUAAGUCAGUCCAAGUGCGGAUACUCCUUGACCUUAAAGAAUUAAGCCAAAUUUUGGCCUUAUCCUUUAAAGUAAAAGGAAAUAACUUAAGCCUCAUCAAGUCAAUUGAAGUUCCUCCCUCUUGGAAUGUAUUACAAACAUCUUCAAAUUCCUUGAUAUGUGCGUAGGAAUUCUCACUUUCCAUCCCAUGGAAAGUUGGUAGAAGUGGAAUAAUAUACGGUCUAAUCACUAGCUGCUCUGUAGGAGGCACUAUACAUGAUGGUGCACUCAUACGAGGUGGAUGCAUGCGGUCCCUCAUUGAUCUAAAUUCAUUAAGAUUGUCUUGACGACCUUGGUGACUAUGCUGAUCUUAAGGAGUAGCUUCCAUGAUAUUCAAGCUCAAUUCCAAUUCCUUGUUAUGAGGUGUAUCACGUUUAACAAGCCUUCCUCCACUGUCUCGUAUCCAAUUUGGCAUACACAACUAGUAUCUAUCUGUAACUAAAAUGAAAAUAAAGGACAACAAAAGAAAACAGGGCUACAAAAACAAAAUAAAACUAAGCUGAAUUUAAAAGAUAAAUUUAGAUUAUGAAUAAGUAGAAAAAAAAUGAGAAUUAAUAAAGCGAAAGAAACGUUACCAAACUUGUGAUGAAAAUCACAAGUACUCUGAAAUAGUAUCACUAUAAACUUGACACCUUCCCCGGCAACGGCGCCAUUUUCGGCGCCGUCAUCAGAGCCUCCGGCGGAGCUUCAAGAGCACCAACCGCCACUUUCAGAAUCCCAAAUUCCAUCUGGGAUAGCUCCUGAAGUGCUAAUCAGGCGUCCGAUGCUGACUCAACCACCAAUUGAAGGGAAUUUGGACUGCCGAGCUCGACCAUUUCACUCUGAGCUAUGCUUUGACACAGCCACCUUCAAAUUGCGGUCGGAGCUUGCAGAUUCAUUCCACCUACUGCGCAGAUAUCGCAUGGAGCAUCUGCUGACCCCAAGAGAUUUCUUCUAUCCCAGAGUAGCCAUGGAUUUUUAUCAGUCCAUGACUACUAAUCAGGUCAGAGAUCCUACUCUAAUCCAUUUUACUAUUGACGGUCGGCAUGGCAUUUUAGGAGCUCGCCAUAUAGCAGAGGCCCUGCAUGUACCAUACGAGCCAAGCCAUUUUGAGGAUUACCGAGUAUGGACUAGUCCCUGUCAGCUGGAAAUGGUUCAUAUCUUGUCCAGAAGAGCUUCCACAAAUCCACAUCUAUUGAGGAGGGAACUUCCUCCGAGCAUGUUUCUCAUUGAUGCACUCUUGCGUCACAACAUUUAUCCACUACAGCACUGGACUCAGAGGAGAAAAGUUCUUUUAGAGGCCCUGUUCAGGAUUUCAGAGGGAUAUUUCUUUGGCCCUCACCACCUAAUUAUGGUUGUCCUUCUCUACUUUGAAGAGAAGGUGCAUAAGAAGAAGCUGCAGCGAGCUGAUGCCAUUCCACUUCUUUUUCCACGGCUGCUAUGUCAGAUUCUGGAGCAUCUGGGGUAUCCAUCAGAUCCUCAGCUGGAGCGCAAGCGUAUAUGCCGAGAGGUAUUUACUCUGGACAAGUGGAUCAAUAUGACAGCGUAUAGAGCUAAGCAACCAGAGCUCCCACAGCCAGCUGAGAUACCAGCUGCCAGGAGAGCAUCUCCAGAUCAUAUACCUGACGGUAUACCCAUUGCUUCUCCUACCAUAUCCAGAGCCCCUCCAGUUACUCCAGCCUCAUCAGAGCCCUCUACUUCAGCUGAGCCAAGGAUGGCCAUUCCCAUUUCAGAGUAUAGAGAUUUAUGCCACACACUGCAGACCUUGACCGCGUCUCAGAGCAGCCUUGCUCAAGAGAUGGCAGCUAUUCGAGCUCGCCAGGAGCAGAUGUUGACCACCCAGGCUCAGCACACUGCCAUCUUGAGGCAGCUCCAGCAUCAUCUCGGUCUUCCAUCAGUUGCUGAGCAUCUCACUCCCACCACUAUAGUGCCACACUCACAGGCCACAGAGCCUCAGGCCCCUCCUGAAUCAGCUACUGAAGAGGUAGAGCCAUCUGCCUAAGCCAUCAGCUCCAGCAUCAUCCACCCAUCUGAUCAUUUAUAUAUCUACUAUAUAUUUCUUUUAUGUAUUUCGUUUUUGUUAGUCUUUUAUGAAAUCCCAUCAUUUUGAUAUCAUAUAUGGGGAUUACUUGUAUUGCUUUCUUUCCGAUUGUACUCACAUGAAUUAAAGUAAUACAAGUCUAGCAAUUUUUGUUAACUCUUAGCAUUAAUUUAUUCUUAUUUCCUUUGCUCACAUCUUUUAUUCUUUUUGAAACAUGUGGUUUCUCCAAUCAGUAUUCGAAAUUGAUAUCACUCAGGAGGUACCACUUCCUCCCUAUAAUUUCAAUCACCCAUAUCACAUUAAGGACAAUGCUCAGCUCGGUUGGGGGGGGAGAAAUGAGGAAGGAAGUAUGCUAAGUUAUGUUGGUAAUUCAGUUAUGUUGGUAAAUUAGUUGUAGUUUUUUACUUUUUACUCUAAUCUCCAUGGAUUAUGAGGAAAAAUUUUCAAAUUAAAAUAGGAGAAACUGAACUUUUUCUUUUCACUUGACUUAGAGUUUGGAUUAUGCUUACUAAAGUGGUUCAAUUGUUGAAGCUUCUAUUGAAAUCAAGUUUAGUUCUUCCACUUUAAGCUAUCCACACACUGUGCACAAUAGAUUCCGAUUAUAAGAUGAAAAACUAUUUCCCUCUUGACUUAGGAAAAUUUUGGGACUUGGUACCUUUGACCUCAUUUAAUAAUGUUGAGACACCUUAUGAAAGGCCAAUGAGCCUUUGAAAAAAAAAAAGAGAAAGAAAGCAAAAUGUUUGCUUGCCUUGAAACCCGAGCAAGGUCUAAGGGGUAUAUGGUGAAAAUCUUUAAAACCUAGUGCCCUAAGCCUUAAUUGGUUGGGAGUCACCGACCUCAAUGCUCGUUACAAGGGUGGAUAGGUGGAGUUAGCAUAUGGUAGGUGCUUGGGUAUUAAAAAUUCAUUCUCAAAAGUCCGGGGUAAAAUCCUAAGAGUUAGUGGUUGAAAAAUCCUUAAAGCUUGAUGCCCUAAACCUUAAUUGGUUGGGAGUCAUCGAUGGACCCCCGUUACAUGGACAAUUCAGAAAAGAAUACCUCUUAAGCCUUGUACCUUCUAAAAAAAAAAGUGUGUUCUCUGCCUAUUGAAUUUGGUCAGUUUGCUAAGUGUUGAAAAGAGAUAGGUUGGGGGGAGAGAUUAGUUUAGCAUGCUAUAUUCGGAAACUAUCAUCUUACACUUAGAUUUUUGUGGAAGAAUAAAGUUUGGUUCUUCGGAAGUGAAAAUGAUUUUAAAACUUCAAUUUGCAUAAUGCAUUCCCUUGAUCAAUAGUGUUUAGCAAAGUUUUUGAUAACUCUUGUUGAAAUUUGAGUUUAUAUUUCUUUAAUGUUCCAUGUGAGAGUUAGAUCAUCAUGCCACUUAAAAAAAAUUUGAAGUGAUCAGCAUGAUGUUGUAAAUUAUAGUAUUGUUUAUUUUUUUUUAUUAUUAUUUUUAUUUUUAUUUUUCUCUCCUUCAUUGCUAAGGGACUAGCAAUAUGUCGGUUGGGGGGAGUGAUUACUACUCAAAAAGUGUUAUUUCAUAGCUUGUAAUUAACUCUUUUAAACACUUUUGAGUAGUAGUUAUUGCCUUUUAACCCAAUUAACAUAUUAAGGACCUUUGCAAGCACUUCUAAUCAAUUUGUGUUAAGUUUUGGUGUUUUGAUAGCUUUUUGAUCACCAAAGCAAUAUGAGAUUGAGGAGAGUUAUUUGGAAUCCAUGGCAAAGCAAUUGAAAGCUCAGAAACAUGAAAAACCAAAGCUUUGAAGUCCUUUUCCAUAAGCAAAUCCGGAAUGCAAGGAGGUGAAAAAAGAGAAAUCUGCCAUGAAGCAUUUUUUAUGACAGUCAUGUCAGCCACUUUUGGAGCACCUCCUGAAGUCCAAUUUAUUCAUGCUAUAUGUAGUUUUGAAGCUCAGGAAGUCAGCAAUCCAAUGCUUCAAACGGUGCGCAAUUCGGAGCUGAAAUGAAGGAGUUACAGCCGUUGGAAGCCGAACACCGCAAGUUGAAAGCCAACUUCGCAGCGCUGCGAAAUCAGCCUUUUGUUGCGAAGUGAUUUCGCAGCCCUUUUUGUGCGUCUGCGAAAUGGUCCUUAGUGCUUCCCGAUAUUUGCGACCGACACAUUGAGAUAUUUUUCUUCAGAUUUUUGUUGUCUAAAUCCCAAAACUCUCCUUUUAAGCCACCAAUUAUAGGAUUCCUUAGUUAUUAAGUUAGGAAAAAGGAUGAAUAUCCAUGUAAUAAUUAUUAUUGUAAUUUUCAUAUAAAUAGCUCUCGGGAGCCUGUUCUCAGGGGGAGAGGACGACGACCCUUUUGUAAAAAGUUUGAAAGAAAGUAAAAUACAGAGCCUUUGCUCUGCCUUACCUUCUCACUUUGAUUGUAUUUUUCAUUUACUAGUUAUGCACUCUCUGAGGAAGUUUCCCCAGAAAAUGAGUAACUAAACCUUUAGUUCCUUGGAGCUAAGCUUGCCGGGAAAGGUUCCAAGUGCAAGAAUUAGUAGCUUUGUGGUUUCAGCCAUGAAUGAAGAGAAAGUGUGAUCCUUUAGUGAUUUCUAUAUUUUUAGUUAACUUAAAACGCCUUAGAGUCACCGGGGCCAACACUUGGUAAGGCAAGUGAUCUCUGUCCAUGGGGAUGCACUAGUUUACCCCUUGCGAGCCUCUGGGAGGUGACUUGAAGGUAGGAUUUUCUAGAAUUGCCAACACUUGGUAAGCUUUUGGACUCCAAGGAGACAUCCAUUAGUUAUCUCUUACGAGCUUGAGAAGGGAAGUCCAAGGUUAAAGAUCACCUUGAAUGGUAAAUGCUAAGUGAGAGGCACGAACCAUUGCAAGUUGCAUCAGUGAGAGGGAAUUAGAGCUGAAAUCCAAUUAAGGGAUGCAUCUGUACAACACCGGUUAGAGAAUUGACUAUAUGUUAAUUCUCUAAUGCGAGGAAAUGAACCAACUGACCAGAGCUAUGUUUUUGCAUGAGGAACCUCCCCUGUGAACCUAAAUCUCCAAGGAAUGUUUUUCUUCAUAAUUAAUUUCCAUUACUUGUUGUGCCGUUAGUUUAAAUCUAAACCUUUUUCAACCAAAGUUUGUGUUUUAUUUCUUAAGCUAACCUUGAAAUGAAACAGCACCAAUUCACUUUGAAUUGGUAUCAUUUAUAAUUUGAAAACCCUUCCUAGUGAACGAUCCUAGAGCCACUAUGCUACAGUAGCUUUUUCUUUGCUACCCUAGUAUAUGGUGUAAUAGGUUAUAAAUUUUGUUGAUUACUCCCUCAAUCAAGGAGCACCAGCUAGACACGAAUCAGCUGAGACACCAAUUGGGCAUGAAUCACGGAGUUAGAUUUUUCUGAGAUCGAUCCUACACCUCUAUAUGCCGAUAAUACAAGCGCUAUUCAGAUCACGGUCAAUCCUGUCUAUCAUGAGCGCACAAAGCAUAUUGAAGUGGACUGUCACUCUAUCCGUGAAGCAUUUGAAGCUCGUGUUAUCACUCUUCCACAUAUUUCCACUGACUUACAAAUUGCUGAUAUCUUCACCAAGGCUCUCCCUCGUCAUCGACAUUGCUUGCUAAGUAGCAAAUUGAUGUUUGUUGAUCAACCUGCAUCAAUUUGAGUGGGGCUGUCAAAGGACAACUUUGUUGUCCACACUUCCUUCCUUAUUUUAGCCCACACUUGCUGUCCACACUUCUUUCCUUAAUUUAGCCCACCCUUCUUUCCUUAUUUUAGCCCACAAUUGUUUCCUUAUUUCUCCAUUUAUUAUUCUGUACAGUUAGCAUGUAUUAUUUGACAGAUUAUAGUUUACAUGUAUAGGGCUAGAAUCAUGCUAGAAUUUAUUUGCUUUUAUUUGCUUUCCAUGUAAAGCAUCCUUGUAAAGUCUAUAUAUAAUAUACAAAACUCAAGGCCAAGGUAUUCGGUCAUUCACACAAUAUUUUGACAGUUCCUACUGGUCAAAGCCUGUGAUUCGCGUGUAACUCCAAUUGGGUCAUUUAAUCAAAAACAUUUAUAAAACCUAUGACCUCAUACUAACGUAGCAAAGCUACUAUAUUAUAGUGGCUCUAGGGUCGAACUCUGGGAUGGGUUUUCAUUCUACCAGUGAUAUACUCAAGAUUAGAAAUUGUAUUUAAUGAUUUCCUUGAUCAAAAACUUAAAGUUUAAAAGAAAAUAAAAUUUGUUUUGAAAGUGUUUGAAACUAAACUAACAUAAACUAAUUAAAAAUGGAAGAAAGAAAGUCUCCCGGAGCUAAGGGUUGCUAGGAUCAAUUUCAGAAUAGAAAGUAGAAAAUUCCAGAUUUUUCUCCUCGCAUUGGGGAUUUAACCUAUAGUUAUUUCCCGAACCGGUAUAGGUUUGACAAUGAAGAUUUAAUCCAUAAAAGGUCAAUAGAAAUGGUAAUCAAGGUCCAUUAAUGGCUUAAGACACUAUGGGUCUUCACCUUGAAUCACUUUCCAAUGACUCGUACAUGAUAACUAAUGGACUAAUAUGGAUCUAGCAAUAAGCAUCCAUAAGGACCUGAAGCUUACCAUGUAUUGGUCAUUCAAAGUGAUUCUAAGGGAUUUUAAAGCAAAACUUUGGAUUUAGAAGCCAUUUAUGAAUUCCAACUACUUGAAUUUAAUGCAUGGAAGCUUUCCACCUUUUCAUCUGGACUUUUCACCUAGCUUCCUUUACUCCAAGAAACCGAAAGUUUAGCCUCUCAUCCUCCGGGCAAACAUCCUCAGAGGUUGUUUGGCUUCCAAGAAAAAGAAAAUAAUAAAGAGAAAAGAGAAACGAGAGAGCUCUGUAAAAAAUUCUCAGUGUCAAACGUAAUACGUAUUCUAUAUUCUAUAUCAUCCAAGAGGUGAUUUUGCACCCCUUAUAUAGUAUUUACAAAAGCAAAAGCUUGUGAUUGGUUAGUUACAAGGAUAAGAAAGGAAAUUACAUCACAAAAUACAAAGGAAAAUAUCUAAAGUGGAGUCGGCAAAAGCAGAGGAAAAUUCGCAACACGCAUGGGUUAUGCGAAUUUUGAAGGUGUUAUGCGAAUUUCACAUAACACCUUGUGGAAUGCGAAAUUUUCGCAUAACCUGGAGCAGUUGGCUUCCGAAGGUCAUAUCUUCCUCAUUUCAGCUCCAAAUCGUGUACGGUUUGAAACGUUGGAUUCUUGACUUCCAGAGCUUUGAAAUGGUAUAUAGUAUGUAAAAAAUGGACUUCGGGAAGUGCUCCAAAAGUGCAAAAGAAGACUGCAGCUGCUGUCCUCUGAUUUUUUUCACUUUGCUUCUCUUUGCUUCUCUCCUUUGCUUGACUUGUCUUAAUGAUCCAAAAAGCUGUCAAAACAUUAAAACUAGCCACAAAUAUGAUUAGAAGACAUUUCUAGGUCCUUAACAUGCCAAUUGGACUAAAGAUGGAGAACUACUACACAAAAGUGCUUAAAACAUAAUGCAUUAAAGGUGUAAAAUAGCACUUUUUGGGUAGUAAUCACUCCCCCCAACUGACACAUUGCUAGUCCCUGAGCAAUGAAGGAAAGAAAAAUAAAGAAAAAUAGAUAAUAUAAUAAUUUACAAAAUCAUGCUGAUCACUCCAAAAAAUAACCAAGUGGCAUGAUUGGAUCAAACUCUCUCGUGGCAUGAUUGGAUCAAACUCUCUCGUGGCAAGUCAAGGAUAUAAAACUCAAUCAUCAACAAGAGUCAUCAAAUAACUUACCUAUCACAACAUUCAAAGAGCGGGCAUUAUGCAAAUUUGAGUAUCAAAAUAAUUUCCACUCCCAAAGGACCAACUCUUAAUCUUCCACAAAAAUCUAAGUGUUAAGAUGCUUAGUUUCCAGUUAUAGUGUGUCAAACUAUAUUCUCCCCCCAACUAAGGUUUUUCUCUAACUUUAGCAACACUAACUCAUAUAUAGAAGGCUAAGAACGCACCUCUUUUUUUUUUUUUUUUUUUUUAUUACACUCAUAUAUACUCCACCCAUCCACCCAUGUAACGAGCAGUGAGGUCGGUGGCUCCCAACUAUUGAAGGCUUAGGGCACCAGGUUUUAAAGAUUUUCACCAUAUACCCCUCGGACCUUGCUCGGGUUUCAAAGCAAGUGAAGCAAAAUUUUUCAUAAGACACUUUGGCCUUUUAUAAGGUGUCCCAACACUAAUAGAAUGAGGUCAAUUGCACCAAGUCAAAAAUUUCCUAAGUUUAGGGGGUGAAAAAGUUUUCCAUCUUAUAACUGGAAUCUAAUGUGUUCAGUGUGUGAAAAGAUUAGAGUGGAAGACUUAAGAUUGAAAUCAAAAGGAGCUUCAACAAUUUAUCAACUUUAAUAAGCACAAUACAAACUCUAAGACUAUGGCAAUAAGAUAAAAAUUUAAUUUCUCCUAUUUAUUUUUGAGAAUUUAUCUUUAAGAAAACAAGGAGAGUUUGCAAAAAAUUUGUUAGCAAAAUAACUUAACCAAAAAAAAAAAAAAAUUCAACAAAUUACUUCCUCAACUCUCCCCCCAACUAGGAUGAACAUUGUCUCCAAUGUUCUAAAAGCAAAUGGUAAUAAAAGGGAGGAAGUGAUACCUCCUGAUAGUAAGGUACUCUGAAUAGAGAGGAGAAACCACAUGUUGCAUAAGAAAAGAAAAAUCAUAAGAGUGAUGAUUAGAGGAAAUAAAAAGGAAUAGCUAAAAUACACAAAAAGGAAGAUGUCUAUAUAAACUGAGAGAGUACAAUAUACAAGACAAACAUGGAAUAUAUCCAAUCCCAGUAUAAAAGUGGUCCAAAAUACAUAAGACAUCCAAAAACAUAGAAUAUAGAUACAAAAAAAAGGGAGAGGAGUGAUCGUAUGAUCAAGUAGUAGGCUCCUCUGGUGGAUAGGAGGGGUCCUCUGCUGGAACUGAGGAAGGCACCGCUACAGGUGGAGCUGGUGGCACAAGACCGAGGUGCUGCUGAAUCUCACGGAGAAUGAGAGUCUGCUGGUCCUGCUGAAUCUGGAAGUGGUCCAUGCGCUCCAUAAUGGCUGUCUAAGUAGUGGUCAGAGUUUGAAAAGAAGCGAGCAAGGCACGGUACUCUGAACCAGGGAUAGUGAUGGGCGGCUCUGCGGUAGGAGGAACAGCAGGUGGGGCAUCAGAUGAUGCUGCCUCUGGUACAGGCUCCGAGGGAGCUGAAGUGGAUGGAGCAGGAGGGACUUCCCUUGGCUCGGGAAGUUCUGGUGAAUGCUGAUGGAGCCAUAGCUGAUUCCAUUGUUCAAGAGAGAAGCGCUCUCGACAAUGGCGGCGGGGCUCAGCCUGAGGGUCUGCAGGAAAACCCAUAUGUGCCAAAACAUGGCAUAGCAGCCGAGGGAAAAGUAACUGAAUGGAAGUCGCCCUCGUAAGACGCCGCUUAUGCACCUUCUCCUCAAAUGGAGGAGAGCGGCCAUAAUCAAAUGAUGAGGACCAAAGUAGUAGCCCUAAGAGAUACGAAAUAAUGUCUCUAAAAUGGCCCCUCGCCUCUGUACUGUAUGCUGAAGAGGAAAAAGGUUGGUGUGAAGCACCACAUCAACUAGGAGCAUCCCUGGGGGAAGCUCCCUCCUGAAAAUGGUCCUCUGGGAAGAUGUCCCUCGAGAUAGGCUACGAACCAUGUCCCACUCAGAAAGUGGGGCCCAGCAUCUAAAUGCAGUGGGAUCAGCUGGUGCAUAAGGGAUAUGGAAAGCCUCGGCAAUCUGUCGAGCCCCCAAAAUACCCUGGCGUCCAUCAAUGGUAAAAAAUAUCGAGGCUGGUACCGGGACGCCACGAGUAGUCAUAGACUGGUAAAAGUCUAAAACUACUCGAGGAUAAAAGAACUGGGGCAGAGUCAUAAAGGGUACAAGAUGGUACCUCUCAAGUAGGCUGUAUGAAUCCCGCAAGUUAGUCUGCUGGCGCAAAAUAGUGUGAUCAAAAUAUGCCUCGACAUGAAAUGCUUUGGAUCGGCAAUCUGAGUUGCCCUCAAUGGGCGAGCUGGGUCUAGGGCGUCUGGUGGAAGGCGGCUGAGACUGUGAAUCCCGAGGUGCUCUAGAGGACUCUCCUGGCUCUGAAGUCUUGGCUUUCUUUGUAGGAGGAGCCCGAGGUGGAAUCUGAGUAGGGGCCACAGGUGUGGCAGAUGCUCUCCUCGUAUGGUAUCUGCUCUGAGAGGCAGAAUCAGCUAAAUGUGGCGGCACAUCUAGUGGGGCCCGCACAGGGGCGACUCUCUCACUGCUCUGGGGAGCUGAGGUAUGUCCUCCUCGGGUCUUAGGCAUAAUGAAGUAAUGAAAUGAGGCUCAGAGGGUUUGGAUUGGGGAGGGCAGAGAUGGAAAAACUGAAAAAUUCGCACAAGGUAGGGGUUAUGCGAAAAUUUCGCAUAAGGGGGGAUGUUAUGCGAAUUUCGCAUAACACAUAGUGUUAUGCGAAAAUUUCGCACAUGCACUAUUCACACGCCCACUUGAAGUUUUGAAGCUCAUUCAAAUGGUGGAAAUUUUUGGCUUUUGAGGGUGGGAAAUGCUGGCUAAGGUAGGAAAAGGAUUUUUCAUGGUGAAUAGGCUUGGAAAUUGGAGCUUUUUCACGAAGAAAUUUUGAAAAUUGGAGCUCCUCUACCCGGCGGCAAUGGGUUCUCUUUGAAGAAAACGUGGCUUGAAUGCUUAGCUUGAGGUUUUGGAUUGGUAAAUACAAGGCUGAAAUUGGUUGAGGGAUGGAUUUAGAGUGUUGAGUGAGGAAUUGGGAGGUUUUUUAUGGUAGAAAGAGCUGAAAAUUGAAGGGGUGGACGGUGAUGAAUAAUGACUGUCGCGGCUAUGAGGUGGAGUUAUGGAGAUUGGCUGCCAUGGUGGUGUUGAGAGUGGGGAAUGAUGAAGAAAAGAAACUUAAGGAAGGGAUUUGGUGAUUGGAAGAGAGAUGUUGAGAGAAAUGAAGAAGAAAGUGAGCAUGGGAAGAGGAGAACACGGUCUUUAAAAAGGUAAUGCAAAUUUCGCAUUACACCUUGUGUUAUGCGAAAAUUUCGCAUUCUUGUGGGUACCUAGACAGAGAGCAUGGUUUUGAAAAUUUGUCCCAAAAACGAAUUCGCACAAGGUUCGCAUAAGAUUCGCAUUCCUGUGAAAUUCGCAUAAGGGAUUUUGGGAAGGGACCAAGAGCAUGUUUUUUUUUUAAAUUGCCACAAAAGCAUUUUCGCAUAAGGGGUGUGUUAUGCGAAAAUUUCGCAUAACAGGAAGUGUUGUGCGAAAAUGGCUGAGACUUGGUUUUUUCUCCCCUGUUUUGCCUUGCUUUCACCAUGACUUCAUUCUUCAAGCUUUCCCACCUGAAUGUUAACACAAAAAAACCAAUUCAAAACACAUUAGAACGGCAUUAAAGUCAAAAAUAAAAAUCAAAACAUGGAAAAACACAAGAAAAAACUAGAUUAAACUAAAAUCAACUUAAAAGAAAACAAAAAGAGGAUGAACUCUUUAGUCUUUGAAGAGACUAAGUUCAACCAUAAACCAAGUAUUUUCAUGUUGAAGGUGGAUCAAGGAGGAUGAAUUCCUCCUUGUCUCGGGAAAAUGAUUCUAUAUAGGGCUUGAGACGAUGUCCAUUCACUUUGAAAGUUCGAGUGCUAUUGAAGUUGAGUAGUUCCACUACUCCAUUUGAUUGCACAUCAUGAAUUAUGAAAGGACCCGUCCACCUUGAUUUCAAUUUUCCCAGAAAAAGAUGAAGCUUAGAGUCAUAAAGCAAGACUCUUUGUCCCUUGGCAAAAUUCUUUUGAUUUACCAAUUGAUCAUGCCAUUUCUUCAACCUCUCUUUUGCAAUUUUUGAAUUGAGGUAAGCAUCAUUCCUCAUUUCCUCCAAUUCAUUCAAAUCCAAACAUCUCUUCAACCCGGCUCUUGUCAAAUCCAUGUUGAGCUUCUUGAUUGCCCACCAUGCUUUAUAUUCAACCUCCACUGGAAGAUGACACGCUUUGCCAUAAACAAGGCGAUAAGGAGACAUUCCAAGAAUGGUCUUGUAAGCGGUCCUAUAAGCCCAUAAGGAAUCCAGGAGCUUAAUAGACCAAUCCUUCCUAUUCACAUUCACCACCUUCAUCAAUAUAUUCUUGAUCUCCCGGUUGGCUAACUCAACUUGGCCACUUGUUUGAGGGUGAUAAGGUGUAGCUACCUUGUGCUUAACCCCAUACUUGGCUAAAAGAGUCUCAAAAGGUUUAUUGCAAAAGUGGGUUCCUCCAUCACUGAUAAUGGCCUUAGGCACUCCAAAUCUUGCAAAGAUGUUGUCCUUGAGGAAUUUAAGAACCACCUUAUGAUCAUUGCUCCUACAUGGGAUUGCUUCUACCCACUUAGAGACAUAAUCCACUCCCACCAAAAUGUAGGAAUGUCCAAACGACAUUGGAAAUGGUCCCAUGAAGUCUAUCCCCCAAACAUCAAAGACAUCCACUAUCAAGAUGGGAUUCAAGGGCAUCAUAUUUCGGCGUGUUAGCUUACCAAGCCUUUGACACCGAUCACAUCCCUUGCACAUAGAGUGGGCAUCCUUGAAAAGAGAAGGCCACCAAAAGCCUGAUUGGAUCACUUUCAUUGCUGUUUUCUGAGAGGCAAAAUGACCUCCACAUGCAUUAUCAUGGCAAUGGGAAAGAAUUCCUGAUUGCUCUUGUUCAGGAACACAUUUCCUUAUGAUUUGAUCCGCACAAUAUUUGAAGAGAAAAGGCUCCUCCCAAUAAUAGGCAUGGAUCUUAGCAAAGAAAUGCCUCUUAUCUUGGGCACUCCACUCACUUGGUACUUCUCCAGUAACCAAGAAAUUUGCAAUGUGAGAAUACCAUGGAGCUACCUCUAUUGACAUGAGAGACUCCUCAGGGAAGUCAUCAUUGAUAGGCAGACCAUGUGAGUCAUGUGAUAUCACAAGUCUUGACAAGUGAUCAGCUACCACAUUUUCUACCCCCUUUUUAUCCUGGAUUUGGAGAUUGAAUUCUUGGAGCAAAAUGAUCCAUCUUAUCAAUCUUGUCUUGGCAUCUUGCUUGGUUAGCAAGUAUUUCAAAGCGGAAUGGUCAGUGAACACCACUAUAGAGGACCCUACCAAAUAAGCACGAAACUUAUCCAAGGCAAAAACUACUGCCAACAACUCCUUCUCAGUAGUUGUGUAGUUCCUUUGAGCCUCGUUCAAAGUUUUGCUCGCAUAAUAAAUCACAUAGGGCUUUCCAUCUUCUCUUUGCCCCAAGACAGCCCCCAUAGCAAGGUCACUUGCAUCACACAUUACCUCAAAAGGUAAUUUCCAAUUUGGGGCUCUCACUAUUGGUGCAGUUGUGAGGAAUUGCUUCAGUUCCUCAAAACUCUUCUGACACUUCUCAUCCCACACAAACUUGGCAUCCUUUACCAAGAGUUCACAAAGAGGCUUUGAGAUUUUUGAGAAAUCCUUAAUGAACCUCCUAUAGAACCCGGCAUGUCCUAAGAAUUGCCUAAUUCCUUUAACAUUUGUGGGAGGUGGCAACUUAACAAUUAGCUCCACCUUUGCCUUAUCUACCUCAAUGCCCUUCUUGGAGAUGAUAUGUCCUAAGACAAUUCCUUGUUGUACCAUAAAAUGGCACUUCUCCCAAUUUAGCACUAGGUCUUUCUCAAUACAUCUUUGGAGAACAGCUUCUAAAUGCAACAAACACUCCUCAUAAGAACUUCCAUAUACAGUGAUGUCAUCUAUGAAGACUUCCAUGAUGCGCUCCACCAUAUCACUGAAGAUGCUCAGCAUACAUCUUUGGAAAGUUGCAGGAGCAUUACAUAGACCAAAGGGCAUUCUCCUAUACGCAAAAGUACCAAAGGGGCAAGUGAAGGUUGUCUUUUCUUGAUCUUCCAAAUCAAUCUCUAUUUGGAAGUACCCCGAGUACCCAUCCAGAAAACAGUAGAAAGGAUGUCCUGAGACUCUCUCAAGGACUUGGUCCAUGAAAGGCAAUGGGAAAUGGUCCUUCCUAGUCACUGAAUUCAACCUCCUGUAGUCUAUACACACCCUCCAUCCUGAGGUAGGACAUGUAGAGACUUCCUCCCCUUUCUCAUUCUGGACCACAGUAAUUCCAGAUUUCUUUGGGACUACUUGGGUGGGGCUCACCCACAAACUGUCUGAAAUGGGAUAUAUGAUCCCAGCUUGGAGUAACUUCAGAACUUCACCCCUCACCACCUCUUGCAUGUGAGGAUUCAACCUCCUCUGGGGCUACCUCACUGGUUUUGCAUCAUCCUCCAUAUAGAUAUGGUGGGUGCACACCAAAGGGCUAAUCCCUUUCAGAUCAGAAAUUUGCCAUCCAAUGGCUUUCUUGCAUUUCCUGAGGACUCCCAAAAGACUAUCCUCUUGAUCACUAGUAAGAAUUGAAGAAACCACCACUGGACAUUUCUCAUUUUCCUCCAAAUAUGCAUAUUUCAAAUCAACAGGAAGCGGCUUCAAAACAAGCUUUGGAGGAUCCUCCACAGUUGCUCCUUGUGAGUCUUCCUGGUUGAACAGUGGUAAGAUCUCUUCCCGUCUCCUCCAAGGAGACAUGAUGGCUAGAACAUCAGAGGGUUCAGGUAACCCUUCUUCAAACAUUUCAAGGCUUUCAUUCAAGCUCUUUUGUAAAUUCUUGUCACAAUACUCUUCAACCAAGGUGUUGAUCAAGCACACCUCCUCCAAUCCUUCCUCUUCUUCUAAGUGAAGAUGCCUCUUGCAUAGGUGGAAUAUGUUUAAUUCCAAGGUCAUAUUCCCAAAUGUGAGCUGCAUCACCCCAUUUCUACAAUUGAUGAUGGCAUUGGAGGUAGCUAGGAAAGGUCUCCCAAGGAUGAUUGGUACAUAGUUUGCUUCCUUCACAGUGGGGUCAGUAUCAAGCACAACAAAAUCCACAGGAUAGUAGAAUUUGUCCACUUGAACUAGAACAUCCUCUAUCACCCUCCUUGGGAUUUUGACUAACCUGUCAGCUAAGGAGAGAGUGAUGGCUGUGGGCUUCAAUCCUCCAAGUCCCAGUUGCUUAUACACAGAGUAUGGGAGCAAAUUCACACUUGCCCCCAAGUCUAGUAAAGCUUUCUCCACAUGUGUCUCUCCAAUGUUAACUGAAAUGGUGGGGCAUCCCGAAUCUUUAUACUUAACUGGAGACUUACUCUGAAUGAUAGCACUUACUUGCUCAGUGAGGAAUGCAUUCUUUGUCACAUGUAACCCUCUCUUGACCGUGCACAAGUCCUUUAGAAACUUUGCAUAUGUGGGGACUUGCUUGAUCAUAUCAAGUAAGGGUAUAUUCACCUUCACUUGUCUCAAGACUUCAAGAAUUUCUGAUGAAUUCUUGAUUUCCUUCUUUCCAUGUAAAGCUUGAGGAAAAGGGGGAGGCAUAUGUUUCUUCAUCAUAUCCUCUUUAAUCACUAUCCUUGGCUCUUCUUCAAUGCUUGAUUUGGAUGCACUUUUCUUCCCACUCUUCUCUUCUUGGUUAUUCUUCUCUUUAACCAAGGUUUUCUUUGACAUGAGUUCUUCAUCUUGCCUCACCUUAGGCAGGGGUUGAUCAACCUCUUUUCCACUCCUUAAAGUGAUCACAGCUUUAACCUCCCUCAACUUUGAAGACUCUCCCUCUUGGGUUUCAACUUCAUGAACACCCUUGGGAUUUUGGCUUGGUUGAGAGGGAAACUUUCCCUUCUCAUUCACAGUGUUGAGGUUGGUAAGCCUAGAGAUGGAGUAUUGAAUAUUAUCUAUCUUCUGAGAUAGAUCAUUUUGCAUCCCCUCCAUUCUCUUAAUUUGAGAACUCUCAACAUUUUCAAUCUUUUGAUGCAAUUGGGAGUUGAUUGCCUUUUGUUCACCCACAAAGUCACCCAUGACUUUACUUAGGUUCACAAUGGCUUGCUCCACUGAAGAGGUUUGUUGAGGUGCUUGGGUUUGGCCUUGUGGUUGGUAUGGAGGUGGUCUUGGUUUCCAAGAAAAAUUUGGAUGGUUUCUCCAGCUUGAAUUAUAGGUGUUUCCAUAAGGUGCAUUGUUGUUAGGCCUAAAUUGCCUCACAACAUUGGCUUGAUCACCUAACAUCUCCCUCAUAGCUGGCAUGGUUGGGCACUCAUCUACCACAUGAUCACAUGAUUAGCAAAUGGUGCAUGGCAUGACAUGGGCUUGGGUCUCGGAAAUGGCUUGGACUUCAUGCAUCUUUUUCAACUCAAGUUAUUCCAACCUCCUUGCUAUUGUUGCCACUUUUGCUUUCAUGUCCAUGUCUUCACUUAAUACGUACAUUCCACCUUUUGGAUUUUGGGUUGGUUGAGAGGGAAACUUCCCUUUCUCUCUUGAGUUGGGCUCAUCCCAUCCUCUUGACACCUCAGACACAUAACUUAAAAAGUCCAUGGCUUCUUCCGGAUUCUUGCUCAUAAAAUCUCCCCCACACAUGGUUUCGAGAAUUUACUUCAUGGAGGAAGACAUUCCAUCAUAAAAAUAGCUCACCAAGAGCCAUGUAUCAAAGCCAUGAUGAGGGCAAGCAUUGAUGGCCUCCAUAUACCUUUCCCAACAUUCAUGGAACUUCUCAUUUUCUUUAGCAGAAAAGUUUGAGAUUUGUCUCUUCAACCCAUUGGUCCUAUGGGUGGGGAAAAAUUUCUUCAAAAAUUCGGCUUGAAGAUCAACCCAAUUCCUUAUGCUCCUUGGCCUUAAAGAAUUAAGCCAUAUUUUUGCCUUGUCCUUCAAAGUAAAAGGGAAUAGCUUGAGUCUCAUCAAGUCUAUUGAAGCUCCUCCCUCUCUAAAGGUAUUGCACACCUCCUCAAACUCCUUGAUGUGGGCAUAUGGAUUCUCACUCUCCAUUCCAUGGAAGUUUGGUAGGAGGGGCACAAUAUGAGGCCUUAUAACCAACUGCUCAAGAGGAGGUAGGAUGCAUAAGGGUGCACUCAUCCUUGGUGGGUGCAUUCUAUCCCUCAUGGAUAAAUAUGCAUUGGGAUUACCCCCUUGACCUUGUUGAGAAUUCUGAUCCUCUGGUGGAGGGUCCAUGAUGUUAACACAAAUAUCCAACUCUGUGUCUUGAGGAUUCUCAAUCCUUACUAAUCUUCCCUCUUGGUCCCGAAUCCAAUAGGGCAUGCACAAGUUACUACUUACCUGAAAUAAAACAAAAACAACAAAAACAAAAGAAACCUAGAAAAAAGUUAAGGUUAGAAAGAAAAUGAAAAUAAACCUAACAAAAAUAAAAUGAAAGGAAAUGAAGUUAGCAAAAAAGGAAUUCACCAAACUUGUGAUGGAAAUCACAAGUAGCCUCUAAAAGGUUGCAUCACUGUAUUGUGGCACCAUCCCCGGCAACGGCGCCAUUUUGAUUCACGUGUAACUCCAAUUGGGUCAUUUAAUCAAAAACAUUUAUAAAACCUAUGACCUCAUACUAACGUAGCAAAGCUACUAUAGUAUAGUGGCUCUAGGGUCGAACUCUGGGAUGGGUUUUCAUUCUACCAGUGAUAUACUCAAGAUUAGAAAUUGUAUUUAAUGAUUUCCUUGAUCAAAAACUUAAAGUUUAAAAGAAAAUAAAAUUUGUUUUGAAAGUGUUUGAAACUAAACUAACAUAAACUAAUUAAAAAUGGAAGAAAGAAAGUCUCCCGGAGCUAAGGGUUGCUAGGAUCAAGUUCAGAAUAGAAAGUGGAAAAUUCCAGAUUUUUCUCCUCGCAUUGGGGAUUUAACCUAUAGUUAUUUCCCGAACCGGUAUAGGUUUGACAAUGAAGAUUUAAUCCAUAAAAGGUCAAUAGAAAUGGUAGUCAAGGUCCAUUAAUGGCUUAAGACACUAUGGGUCUUCACCUUGAAUCACUUUCCAAUGACUCGUACAUGAUAACUAAUGGACUAAUAUGGAUCUAGCAAUAAGCAUCCAUAAGGACCUGAAGCUUACCAUGUAUUGGUCAUUCAAAGUGAUUCUAAGGGAUUUUAAAGCAAAACUUUGGAUUUAGAAGCCAUUUAUGAAUUCCAACUACUUGAAUUUAAUGCAUGGAAGCUUUCCACCUUUUCAUCUGGACUUUUCACCUAGCUUCCUUUACUCCAAGAAACCGAAAGUUUAGCCUCUCAUCCUCCGGGCAAACAUCCUCAGAGGUUGUUUGGCUUCCAAGAAAAAGAAAAUAAUAAAAAGAAAAGAGAAACGAGAGAGCUCUGUAAAAAAUUCUCAGUGUCAAACGUAAUACGUAUUCUAUAUUCUAUAUCAUCCAAGAGGUGAUUUGCACCCCUUAUAUAGUAUUUACAAAAGCAAAAGCUUGUGAUUGGUUAGUUACAAGGAUAAGAAAGGAAAUUACAUCACAAAAUACAAAGGAAAAUAUCUAAAGUGGAGUCGGCAAAAGCAGAGGAAAAUUCGCAACACGCAUGGGUUAUGCGAAUUUUGAAGGUGUUAUGCGAAUUUCGCAUAACACCUUGUGGAAUGCGAAAUUUUCGCAUAGCCUGGAGCAGUUGGCUUCCGAAGGUCAUAUCUUCCUCAUUUCAGCUCCAAAUCGUGUACGGUUUGAAACGUUGGAUUCUUGACUUCCAGAGCUUUGAAAUGGUAUAUAGUAUGUAAAAAAUGGACUUCGGGAAGUGCUCCAAAAGUGCGAAAGAAGACUGCAGCUGCUGUCCUCUGAUUUUUUUCACUUUGCUUCACUUUGCUUCUCUUUGCUUCUCUCCUUUGCUUGACUUGUCUUAAUGAUCCAAAAAGCUGUCAAAACAUUAAAACUAGCCACAAAUAUGAUUAGAAGACAUUGCUAGGUCCUUAACAUGCCAAUUGGACUAAAGAUGGAGAACUACUACACAAAAGUGCUUAAAACAUAAUGCAUUAAAGGUGUAAAAUAGCACUUUUUGGGUAGUAAUCACCCUGACUGUAAGUGCUGGUACCGCCAUUAGUCAAGGCCUGACUAUAGGAGACUCUGUUGCCACCAUUUUUACCAAAUUUAUUAAGCUCAAUGGCAUUGAAAUGCCUCUCUGAUUCAAUCAGUUGAUUUGUCAGAUCCUGGUUUAUUUUUAAUAUAUUCCGUCGCUUCAGUUCUAAUUCAGAAGUCAACUUCUACCGAUUCCAGAGGUCCCAAUAUUUUGCUAUCAGUGGCUUGCUUUACAAUGCCUUGCAUGUAUACUUUCCUUGCCAAAACUUGCACUGUCCUAUCAAACAGAUGAUUAAUCUCCCCAUGUUAUUGAUCAAUUAUGCUCCGCCACAUUCAGCAGUUUUCAGAAAUGGUGCCUAUGCCUUACUCUAAUUCCAUAACUGAACUUUUCUAGAAUAUGGUGCAAGCAUCCCUGAAACCACCUGACCCUUCUAUACAUUGCCAAAGUGUAUCCAGUUCUUUAGCCAUCUCUUUAACAUUGCCAAAUUGUUUAAUAAGUUUGGUUCAGAGUUCAGUUAUCCUUGUAAGGGGAGAGUUCUGUAAUUAGGAGACUUGGCUGGAAAAUUUUCCUGCAUUGACAAUUAUGUACCUAGAGUCAAAGAUAUUGGUUCGACAUUCCCUACCACCAUUGAACCCCUCUGUCCUCUGCUUUGACUGACGGAACUCCUCUUGGACAUGUUGAUUCAUGCGACAAGUUGCCUGAUAUGUAGGACUGCCUUGUGAUUGAGGGUGCCAUUGACCACGCUGCAUUGAUUCUGAUUGUUCUCCAAUAAAUAGGCAGUUAAAAUCAUUUUUAGACUCCAUAAUCAGCUGCUAUGGAUGUGACAACUAUUGAAUAUCUGCAACUGCCUUUGGCCAGCUUAAAGAGGUGUUCUCUGAUGCCUUGAUUGCUGUCUGCUAGGUUCAAUAUUCCAAUUCCCGUGAGUUGAACGAGCGGUACAACUGUAUUUUUUGUUGUAAUAUCCUGCUGAAAAUGUUCCUGUGCAAGAAGAUGAGAUAGUAAUUUUGUGCCUAGCUGCUGGAUUUCUUGAGAUAUGGACUCUGAAAAUGAAACCUGUGAUUCAAUAACUUGGCUAGAAGUAAGCUUUAGUGUUGCAAGGCUUUGUGAUUUCUCCAAAAUAUUUACAAGAACUUACAAAACACUAUGUUGUCCCCACAUGCUGAAAUCUGGACAAAGCAAAACCAUAAAAGAGGGUUCCACAAUUCUUGCAACAGCUGAGCCUUUAGAAAUUGCACUGCUAUAUGUUAGGGUACGGAACAGUUCUGAUAUUGAAGAGCAUAAUGAACUGGGUGCAACAGGGAGUAGCUCAAGAAAAUUAUCAAUAAUACUAGCUUUGACCAUGUCUAGCUAGAGGAGAGUUCGAUCCUUCCCCAACUUUGAGAGAACACAGAUACAAGUCUCAAUGAGUUGAUGGUUUGAUCCAGAAACCAUGUUAACAAUUAGAUCCAUAAUGUCAUAAGUUGCUGCAAGCUCCACCAAUUAUUCAUCAUCCAACAAUCUCUCGAAAAGCACAAAUACCAGAUUCUACGGUUGUGCUGUUAUCAGAUUGCAUCAACAAUAUAAGUGGUCCUAUGCAUUCAGAGGCCAUCAGCAAUGCUCGAAUUUUUGGAAUAUUAAGCGAAACAAAGCAGAGUUGUCUUCACCCGAUGUUUGAGGAGUUGUAACAGGAGCAAUCUGUUGCUGUAUCAAAUCCUUAACCUUUCUAUAACACUCUUGAAGUGUGUCUCCCAAGCAUAUAGCUUCAGGAUUUUCAUGUUUAUAAGCAACUCUAUAAAAGCCUUCAGCUUCUCGUCCUGUGCUGCCAUGAACUUUAUCUGAUACAGAGGAAUGAGAUGACUUUGCAGCAUUUGAGAGUCGAAGCUACUUCUGAUAAAUGACUAUAGACGGUAAGGAUCUCACUUGUUUGGGGUACAGUUUCUUCAUUAAGCAUCUUUUGUCAUUACCAUCAGUGGAACAGCUUUCUAUAAAGAAACCUGGCUGUUUAGAUUGCAGCAAUACUGCCUCCUCAUUACCCAACACGUGAACUGCAGGAAGCAUUCUUAACCAGUCUGCUUUUGGACACAUAAUAAGGUUGCCUGAAUAGUGAUUGAGACCAACACAUGAAUCCUUCGGAUACAUCCAUCAGCAAAAAGCCUUGUUUUCAUUCCGAAUCAGCCAUGCCUGAAGCUACAAGCCCCGUAAGAUUGUUGUAAUGGUUUGGAUGACAACCUCCCCAUUCUUUUUGCCACUCAGAGUCUCUAACAAAAGCACAUCAAAACUAAAGACAUCAUACCUUAUCUCAAAAGUUUCUAUCAACUACAUACUCUGAGGCCCAUAUAAACAUUGUUUUGUUUUUGCUUCAGUUUGAUCUUUCUCAAAAGCUCUUGUCAUGACAAAAUUUGAAAUGUUGGGGUGCAGCUCACUGUCAAAUAAUGUAUUGCUGGAAAAGAAGUCCUUUUACAACUCCUGUGACAAUCUUAAAGCGUCCUUUGCCAAGCCAAUGAUGCACUUCUUUUCUGAUCAAAAAAUAAAAAUAGUCCAGACAUUUGUUAAGCACGUAUUCAUAGAUUAGCAUCCUUCCUUCUUCAAUAUGACAACCCCAAAAGCCUGAAAAAAUCGAGGUGUUGGAGCUUGGAUAUCAAAAUAACUUCAUCCUUGUGCUCUUGGAGCCCUUGCGGGUUUCUGGACCUAAUUCAGAACCUGAAAUCCGAUGUAGAUGUUUUUCUUUGUAUCUUCAAUAUACCCUCAGACAUCAAUCUGAUGUCCAUACCAGAUCAAACAACUGUUGCCUUCAGCACUGUGUUGAUUAUUGUAAGUCGUACAGAAACUGUUUUGGAAGAACUGUUCUCCUCACAUUUCUUUGAAAGACAGUAAUUAUGACUUCAACAACACUGUCUGAACCUUGUAUGGGCUUAUCAUCAAUUCCAACAAUGGAAUUGUCCAUCAAUAUCCGCAAUACUUUCUCUACUCUUGAAUGAAACCUGGAUGAAGUUUCUCUCAUAGCAUAAUAAAAGAAAGCAGACACCUGAUUCUCUCAUAAGCAAUGGUUUUUUUUUACAACUUCCAACAUGAUCUUUUUAACACUUUUUUUAUCAGCUAUUCAACUGGUACAUUCCUCGAUAUGAAUGAUACCGCCUCUGCCAUAAAUUCCUGAAUGUAGUCCUUGGGGUAACAUCUUAAUUUCACUGUAACCUUCAGAACACGAACAAUAUCUUUUAUCUUGUCCUACGAUCUCUGCAAGACGACACUUAUUCAGUACCUCCCGGAUUUCUUGAUCUGAAUACUCUCCUAGAGGAUCCAAAUUAGUUCUCACAAACUGACCCAACUGACCCACAAACUGCAACCUUGUAACCUUUCAUAAUUUUCAUCCAUUCAACAAUUUUGAUAGUUGACUCCUAAUUUUUAUCACAUGUCCAAACGCAUUCUACUAUCUCAAUAUCAAAGGUGACUUCAGAUGGUUCAGCUUUCCUUUUUUUUUUCUUUUUUUCUUUUUUACCGUAUAAAACCCAAAGGAUGCAGAUUCAUCCAUCAAUUACAAACAUCAGAGAAACAUCUUCAUAGUUAAAAUCUCCGAACAUUGAACCCAGAACGCCACAAAUUAAGAACCUUCAGGAACUAUGGUAACCUCUGCAUCUAUCUAGUCUAACCCUAGGUAACCUUGUUAUACCCAGCCUUUAUAGAAUUCCUACCUUUCUCGGAAUAUUCAUCCUGUUAUGGUCUCCGUAGCCCAGAACACCAAAGGAGGGAGAAGGAAGAAAUACAUAGAAGCAGAAGACAAGAAAAAUAAUCCAGAAAAAAAAAAAAAAAAAAAAAAGAGGCAAGGGAGAUGAAGAUGGGUGAGAAGGCAAGCCACAAUUCAUUGUUUUCAAAAGGGCUAGAAGAAUUGAACAUGUCAAGACGAAUUUAGUUAGAACUUUAUCAAGAUUCCACAAACAUUCAAGCUUAAGCACAAAUCUCUGUUUCAGCUAUUUGUAGAAAGAUUCAAAGAAAUCAAGAACACAACCAUAAUAGAGCAAGUUCAUAGACAACUUCGAUUCAACGACAUAAAUAGGUGGCCCUUGAUGUCCACUCCAAACAGUGAAGUAAAUGCUCAGAAUUAUCAGAGAAGCAUCAGGAAUCAAACAUAAAAGAAGACAUAGAAAAUGGCUGAAAACGUACCUGAGCAAUCUUCACCGGGUUACUUGGCUUCCCUUUCUUCUCCGAAAUCCUCUAAAAUCAAUCGUGAAUUCCUGUUUUGCUUCUUCCCACCAAAACGAUCUCCUCCACAAAGACAGUUCCCCUAGAAAAAAUCCCUGAAUCUCCUAUCCUUCUUUUCCUUUUCUUUUUUUCUCCCCCAAAAAAACCCAUCUGUUAGAGCUUUCUAUAGCAAAUAACAGUUCUUCUACGUGAGGAGUCUUCCUCUCUCCAAAUUUUCUCUUAUGCAUCGGAAAAACUCUUUUUUUAAAUUUCAAACAAUGCCAAUCCCUGCACAUCACCUACAAUCCAUGCAUAUCAUCUAAAGAGUCUUACCGUUUUCAAAAACUUCUCCAAUGGUAGACUUCUUCUAUAAAAAUUUCAAAUUAUUAAAUUAAAUAAAUAAGUAAUAAAAUAAAUAAAUAAAUGGGAGAAUGAUAAAAUGAUAAUAAUAGAUAAGUGAAUAAAUAACAAGAUAAUAAACAAAUAAAUAAGAAUAAUAAAUAACUAAAUAACCAAAAAUGAUUGAUAAUAAUGAAAAUAAAUAAAUAAAUAAAAACAUAAUAAAUGAUCAAAUAAAAGUGAUGGAUAAUAAUAAAAAAUGAAAAUAAAUAAAUAAAUAAAUUGAGUCACACAAGUCAUGCAACUAUGCAAGUCACGCUAAGAAUGUCUAAUGGGCCAAGUGGGCUUAAGCGGGCCUAAGCAGACCUAAAGUAUCAAAAUGACUUAAGGUGGUGUCUAAUGGGUCGGGUAUACCUAUACGGGCCUAGGGUGAGACAAGGUGGGCCUAGCUAAGUUUAACCUAAAGUGCAUCUAAGUGAAGCCUAAUCUAAACUUGAAGAGCAGUCAAGGUCAUAAUGUGGAGCCGGAUGAACCCCUAAACCAAAGUCUCCAAAGUGGCUCUGAAAACAUAAGUUACACGAGUAGUAAUGGGCCACCAGGGAAUUUACUGUAAAGUAUCGAACAAGUAUCUAAUAGGACACGUGCUAGGAGGACAAAAUUGAGGGUCUACACUAUCACUAGUGACCCAAAUCUUAGUGUUAUUGACAUGCUUACAGGGGUAGUCUGGAUAUUCCUCAUGUUUGAAGAGUUCAAACCAAAUCCAAAACUUAAUGUUUUUCUUUUCUUGUCUUAAGUAAGCAUAAAAUUCUUCUUGGUAGAGGGUUCUAAUGUCUUUAGGGACAGUGCUAAAGAACCAAUCUUUCCUUUGCUUAUUGACUUUAGAAUAGAAGUCCUUUCUUAAGAGAUCCUUGUUGAUUUCAAAGUCCUCAUCACUUAGGCUUAUAAUGUUAAUCAUAUAGGAGACAUAACAGGGGACUCAUCCUGUUGUGAUUCCUGAGUAGACUCAUUUUCCUCAGUGUAAAAUGGUCUGGCCACGUUGGUGUGACUUCUAACACCUGUUAACUUAAUAUUCUUAGGAUUUGCUGAACUGUAACCUUCUUCUUCCCUAAUGGUUCUAACUAGGAUAAAAGAGUUUGAAGCUUUAGAGGGUUCAUAAACUGAAACUCUAAGGCUGUUGGAAUGACGGAAAGAGUUGGAGAAAACUAGAUCUCCUCCUCCGUCAGGAUAUUGAACAAUCUGUUCAAUCCUUUCAGAUCUCUGCUUAAUGGCUGGAACAGCAUUAGCAAAAUGCCAAUUUUCAAGAAACUCAACAUCUUUCCACAAGAUCUUCUUAGGGAUUAUGAAGUUUGACUUAUCUAGCAUAUCAAAGUAGAAGAGUAGUCUCACCCUUAGGACUGGUGCAAAGAGCUCCAGAUCCAACACUUGUGGUCAUGCUUUUAUAGGCAAACCUGGUUAUGAUGGAAACAGGACUGUUUCCUGGUUUGAACUUAAAACCAUGGGUCUUAACAUGCAAGACAACUGGAUCUAAGAUGUCUGCAUCUCUUAGUCUAACUGUGAAGUUAGGGAAACACUUGAAGUAAACUAGGCCAUCAUUCAGUCCAGCUUGGACUUCACCUAUAAUAGAAUCUCGAUAAUCGAGAUGUCUAUUAUCUCUUAAACACAUGAAAAUAGAGGUGUUUAAACCUAAUCUUGUCAAAGGCUUAGCUGCUACUUGAAUCAUACCAAAGUGUAUGAAGUUAUAGCCAUCUUUCUUAUGCUUCUCAAUAGACUUACUAUCUAACAGUCUUAUGACUUGAUCGUCUUGUUCUAAACUUACUGACAUUUCAGAGGUUUUGAUGGUAUAGUCUGUGAAAAACUUAAAGGUUCCUUUCUUAUAAAUUUCUUGAUUAGACACCUUGGGUAGCUUCCAAUCAUCUAAAUCAUUUUGGAUCUUAGGAUAAUUGAUCUCUUCACUGUUUACAACAACAUCUUGAGAAUCAGUGGAUCUCCUAGACAUGGUUUUGAAAAUCGAACUCAUUUUAGGCUUUUAUUUGAAAUGAGUAAUUGUUAUUUUUGCUUUUAAGCAUGGAUCAAAUAUAUUUUUGCAUGGAAAAUGUGUUAUAACAUUUAUUUUGUUUAUAACGAAACAUAUGGAGAUAUUCUACUUUUGUAAGUUGGAAUAAAUAAAAUAAAGAAUUUGAAUCUAGUUUGUUUGGUCUUUAUCAAUAGGAUAUAAUAGUUGACUUUUUGGUUCAACCAAUGGGAUGUAAUCAUUGACCUUUACAUUUUCCUUAUAAGGAAUGUAAUUGAUUUGGACCCUAACCUCUAAGGGUUUGGUUAGAGGUUACUAGUACUAGUAGUGUUUGGUUUCAUCCACCUUAAAAAGAACAUUUGAGGCUAACCACCCAUUUGUAAAGUCUCACUUAACUAGCCACUAUUUAUUAUUUGAUAAUCAGAGUAAAAAAAAUUAAAAUGUAUUUGAUUUGAAAUGGAUAUGAAAUUAUUUUGAUAUAUAUGAGAAUGUUUGGUUGAAUUGUUUAAAUGUAUUAGCAUGUUUAACUCAAAAGUUUUAUAAAAAGAAUAAUGUUAUAUCUCCUAUUUAUAAGUAUAAUUGAAAAUAUUUGAUUCAUGAAACUAUAUUAAUAUUUCUUAUUGGGUUUUGAGUUUAUCCCCUUGUUGAUAAUUUUUUUCAGGUACCUUCGUUCUAGUCCCAACAACAAACUCCUUGAUCAUACAGUCAUCCAAAGUGACACCACACCCAUCCAUCCCAAAAAGUAGCGGCAUUCCAAGGACGCCAAGGCUAGUCCGAAGCUGUGCAGUGAGAAGGAACAUUGUGAGGGACUGGAAUUUCGAGGAGGUAGUGAUGGAGUAUUAGUAUUUUACUAGUAGCAAGUAUGAAAUAUAGCUAGCUGCUUUGUUUUGGGUGCAACUAGAUCCCUAGCUUUUUCUCUGUACAAGAAGAUUUUGAGCCUCUGUCUCUGAAAUCCAAUGUGAAACUCUGUUCAUAUUUUGGCUAAUCGCAUUCCCUUCUAUAAUUGCUGCUGCUGCUUUCAGUGCCCCUCUCACUCCCCUUUGUUUCCAUUUUCUAUUAUUCUUGCCUUCCACCAUUUUCAUGUUGAUUUGCUGCCUCCACUUCCCACGGCUCUUACCAAUUAUUCAUUUUCUUUUUUCUUUUCUUUUUUUUGAAUUAAUUACAUCAAUCUUAAAUAUACUUACAACCCUGCAUUAUGUUUGUUCCAAUAAAGUACUAAAAGAAAUAUCCUUUACUUCAACGGCGUCUAGAGUUCUUCAAACAAUGUGAUAUCUCACACCAAGUAAACCCUUAACUCUUUCCCCUCUUACUAAAAAGACUACAGAUUGUUCUUGUGAAUUAUGGCCAAUAUCCGAUAUAUAAGCAGUGAUUUCAAAUCCAAAGGUUAAUCGUACUUUGAUAACUUUACUCAAAGUUUGGUUUUUUAGGGGUGAUAGUAGAAAAGUUGAUAGAUAAGUCACCUUUACCGCCACUCUUUAAAACUGUAAAUGAGAUUUCCACCUCAUACAGCAACCUUUUUCCUCGUUUGAGAAUCUCCUCCCCUCUUCCACUCCGUCCCAAAGAGUAACUAUGACCAAUUCAAUCACAUUUUCAUGUUCCAAUUGAACACUUUCCAUUUUUUAUCAUUCUCAAAUCAAAAGAGAAGAUUAUUUUUUUUACCGUAAAAAAAAUAUGAUAGAAAAUUAAAUAUAAUUAAAUUUAAUUAGAAAUUUUUUUGUUUUUUAAUUAUUUAUCUUUAUAUAGAACAGUUUAAAUAAAUGAAAUAAUAUAUAAAAAUAAUUUAUUAAUUUAAAUUUUUUAUUUAUUUUCUUUUUCUCAAUUUUCUUGAAUCAAACAUAACCUUAAUUUAAAAAAAAAAUUAUAACCAUGGUAUAUAUAUAUAUAUAUAUAUAUUAAUUUUUUAAAAGAAAUUAUAAAUUAUAUAUAUAAGAGGCAAAAUCCUAAAUGGCAAUGUAUUCAAACAAAUAGAAAUGUUUAUAAAAACCUAAAAAUAUUUAUCAUUUAACAAUGACUCGACAAAAAAAACCUAAUUAAUACAAUAAAACUAAAUCAGAAAGAAAGAACAAAAUUAAAUGAGUCCAUCGAGUAAGUCUUUCUUGCAAUUAAUUUUGAACCACUCCAGAAUACAUGGGAACAAUGACUCGACCACUGAAUCGGAUCUAAUCAACAGCAAACCUAACACAGUCUUCGUCUUCAUCUUCAUCUUCAUCUUCAUCUUCAUCUUCAUCUUCAUCACCAUCACCGUAAUCAUCUUCAUCUCCACCCUCCAUCUCCCUCAACUCAACAACAUCCUCUCUAUCAAUUGUCCAUACAUCCACCUCCACCACCAUCCAAAACCCGUGGCCCCCACUCCUCUCUACCACCUCCUCCACAAACGAGGUUGUUCUGGGUAUCAGGUAUUUGAAGACGGUGCUCCCAAGUUCCAAGCUGGCCAGAACGUUUGAUACAUAGAGUUGGCGCAGUAGGGGCAGAUGAAGCACUUGCACCGGCACUCCAAACACUCUGACGACUUUGGGACUCACAACAUCCUCUGCCAGCAUCUCCUCCCCUUCUCUCGUGUCUGUGCCUACUACCCGCUGAUAUCGGUGUUUGAUGUGGAUUUCCAUGAUCGCAAUGGCUUCAGAUAUGGAAUGGAGACCGUAAAAGGACAAAUCGCACAAAAGGGUGUUGGACUUCAUUGUGGGUGAGAGUAGCCGAACUACAAUUUUGUAUGAGAGGGUUUUGCUAUAUCCAAAUAUUUAUAGAUAGACACGAAUGAGAAUUAGUAACCGAUUGAGCUUUGAA